UUCCCAGUUCAUUCUCUACUUUCUUUCGCAAAAAGGUCUCAUCAGGUUCAAAUGCUUCCAGAUAUGCAGUGUAACGUUCAAAAGCAGUGUUUAAUGCUUUAACAAAUUCAUAUGGUAAAGGUCUGACAUUCUGCAGAAAUAUUCACAUGAGUAUACAGCAUGAAUCCGAGAAACAUUAAAUAAAUAAGCGUCACUAAUAACAAUGUUUCUAUGUAACCUCGCCACUCAAUCUAAGGUUGUCAUCAAUUUCCAUCCUCAAAGAUACAAGUUUUCCCGUAAAUUCCUCAACUGCCUCAGCUGCACGGAGUAUAUUAGCCAAGAUCUCCUGGCCAGCCUUGUCUUCUGUAUUUUUAGACAAUGCCUUGUUUGCAUAAUGAAUGACAGCAUUUGGGAGCUCAUCCCAACUUGCAGCCAUCAAGUCCUUGACAACAGUUUCGAUCUCACGAUCAUUUAUGGAAGGCAUGUGACUCAAAUAACGCCUGCUUCCAAUGUUCAUCGAACUCGAGAGAGGGGACCAGAAAUCUCAUAAUAUCAAAUGACAUCACAUUAUUCUUUUUGGCAGGUAAUACAAAAAGAUAUACUAACUCAAAACAGGAAAGCUAAAGCUCAUAGAUAAUGUAUAUCUAUUGACUCUAGCCAAGCCUAACCAAAGUCCACAAUGCAGAAAAUAUGUCCUAAAGACACCAAAUGAUGCAACUUCUAAAUAAAUGCUCAUUAGUAAAUUUGUGUCCUAAAAGCACUCUCCACAUAAAGAUGUUAAGUACCCAGAUCAAUCUUGUUGAACAAAAUGCCACUCAAGUAGAAUUAUCCCAUCCCAAGAUAUUAUAAUUUAUAUAUAUAUAUAGUAGGAACAAAAGAGAAAAAUAAGCAAGGACGAUAACGAAGAAAGUACCAGGAGUGAGGCGUUUUGCAACAGUUGGGAGAUGGAAAUAGCGGAGUCCACGGCUGAGGUGAUGCUGGUUGCUGGUAGUGGCGGUGGCGGUUGCCGCAAUAGAGAAACCUAGGGAUCUGCGAUAGAUCGAACGGUAUAGAGAUCUCAUCGUAACAAUUUUCUCCAUUUUCGUUCUUGGAGUGACGACCCUUUUCCCUGCUGCCGUUCGGCAACAACAUAUUUUAAAAUGACUUAAAGUUAAAAUUUAAGUUGACUUAUAAGUUAUUUUAAGUUAUGACUUAUAAGUAAAAGCGUUCAACAUCAAUUUGACUUAAAAGUUAGAAAUUAAGUUAAAACAAGUUAUGAAGGUGUUUAGCUAAUAAUGACUUAUAAGUUAAAAUCAAAUGUAAAGAUUACUAAAAAUGACAAUAAUAAAAAGAUACUUUGAUUUAAUAACAUAUCAUAACAAUCAUCCACAAUUUCAUUAAAUAAAACACUAAAAGUGGAUUUAAAAUAUAGUGUUAUACUACUAAAAGCAGUGUACCCUACGUGGUUUGCAUUUUGCACCAUGGUUAGAUCAAAAUAGAACAAUAUAACUAGAAAAUUCUUUACCACAUUCACUAAAUAUUCAAUUGAUUAGCAUUUGGAAAAAAAACCACUAAAUUGAAUCAGCCAAAAAUAAAGUUCCAUUCCAAACCUUAAAAUUAAUAUACUCCUAUUAAAACAAAAACAAUACAAGACAUCAAGAGGCCAAAGCAAAACCAAACAGAAAAUAAUGAAAUUCUACUUGAAUUAUUAAAAAGAUUCUUAAAAAACAUGUUUUAAACAAAAAAGAAAUUUAGGUUCUUUCAAAAAUUCAUUGAUUAGCCACAAGGUACUUAAUUAACAAGAAAACCACUAAAAUAACUAAGGUUGUGUUUGAUAAAACUGAAAGUUAAGAUCUGAACAGUUUAGACAUCUGAAAAGUAGAGCAUCUGAAUCAAAAUGUUGUUUGAUAGUUAAUUCUUUCAAAAUGUCUAAAUAAUAGUAUUUUACAAUUUUAACAUUUUCUUCCUUCUUUCUAUUCAACAACCCAGCUUCUUCUCCUUCCCCUUUCUUCUCCUCCUCCUCCUCCCCCCUAAUACACUCUUCCGCUGCAUCAGUUUUCUGGUACAUCAACAUUAAUCAAAUACUUCAAAUACCAACUAUAAUCAUCAGUAAAAUCUUUUGAUACAUAUAUAGAGAGGGAAAAAAUGAAGGAAAAGUGAUUUCAAAUCGGAUUGUCUGUGCGAUUACUUUACCGUUGAUGAUGGUUGCCUUCUGAUCCGAUGUGGCCGUCAUUUUUCAAGUAUGAAUUUGAUUAAUUAUUCUCUUGUAUUUCUCAGCUUUUCCGAUCCCCAGUUUUGCUAUUUCUAUUUCAUCUGCGUUCUCUCAUCUCAUCCCCAGUUUUGCUAUUUCUAUUUACAUGUAAUUUGUUGAAUGGUAAGGAUGAAUAUGAGGAAAGUGAUGGAGGGUGAUGUUCAAUUUCAUGUGAUCCAUUUAUCUCCUAGCUACGUUCUUUCUGAUUUGAUCCAUGAAAAAAAUUUAUCAAAAAAAUAAUUUGUCUUCGAUCUACAGUUAGAUUUUGAGAAGGUUAUUUUUGUCCAAAAAAAUCAAAUUUUCGCUCAGAUGGGCUCUGAUUGGUUUAGCUGUAUUUUUGAAUCUUAUCUAUUAAGAGGUAUUCAGAGGCAUAAAAAAUGUUUACCAAACAAGUUGUGCCUCUGACCGAAUCAGAGGCACAACUAUUCAGAGCCAUUAAGACGUAAACAAACACAGCCUAAGCCUAGUCUGGAUACCAUUUUAGUCCAACUAAAAUGUUCGAGUCUACCCUAUCUUCAGUAAGAAGCCGGGGCGGAUGCACGUUAGGGGCUGGGGGGCACCUGACCCCACUAAAAUUUCAGAGGUUCAAGGGGGUCAACUUAAAAAAAUUAUUUGAGAUGGCUGUGAAAUGAAAUUUUUAUAUUUUAUACUUCAAAACCUAUUAGAUUUCCUAAAGUUAACUGUUAAAGUCUAAAAGACCAAAUCCUAUGGACGUUAUUCUGGAAUCCCACUACAACACUACUCCACUAGUAGUCUUAGACAUUUAGACUUUUAGUACUUCACUUUAUCUAUUGAUCGCAACAAAGGACAUAGCAACAUCAAUUCCAUGUCUCUUAGGUCUCCAUAUUCGCAAUCGCAACAGAGAAACUCCAAAUUCAAGUAUUUUUUAAUUAUAAUUUUAGUUUUUUAAUUUCAAAAAUUUAACAAUUGCCUCAGAAAUUUUUGUAAUUGUUUAUAGAUUCUUUUUUUGUACUUUUAUAAAAUUAGGGCUUUUUACUUCUUAAAGCAACACUGCAACAAAGAAGAAAACUCCAUCAAAUAAAAGUUCUUCAAAUUCAAGUGUGUUUUAUUCUAUUUUUACUUUCUUUAAAUUUUGUAAUUUAUUUUGUAAUGUUACUUGUUAGUGGUUUAAUUGAGAUUGUUUAUUGUUGAUACUAAUUUCACUUGAAUAUUCAUAUCGUAAAUUGAUCUUGUUUUAAUGGUAAAUUAGUUUUUAAAUAUUUAUUGAUUAUCAGGCAUGGACAUACGUAAUUGGGUUUCAACUAAACGUACAAAAUUUGAAUCUAUUCCUGAAAAUGUCCAAGCAGAAAGGACUAGUGACGACCCUAUCACUGCUGAUAUUCACCAAGAAACUCACCCACAAAAUGUUAACCGCCAAACCCAAGUACCAAAAUCUUUUGACCAAAAUAUCCAGUUUCAAACUCAUACACUGGUAUCUACUUCCCUUAAUAUUGAGGGGGGUCCCGGUAAAAGACCGCCAAUAAGUUCUUAUCCCACUAGUGAAAGAGAGAAUUUUCGAAUAAGUUAUUUACUAAGGGGGCCGACUCAACCAAUACCUCUCAAAUUUCCCGAUACACUAAUUAAUGAAGUUGCUCGUAAUUAGUUAUUUUCAAAUGUUGGUUGAGAAAAGAAAGGAUGAUGUAUAUCCCCAAGUCUAUUUGUUGCUGAAGUUGGAUCUACUUUUGCCUGUUCCUACUGCAACUAUUGAAAGGACAUUUUUGGCCAUGAAUAUUGGUGAAGAAUGAACUCCGUAACCAAAUGAGAGAUGAAUGAAUGACUGUUUAGUAACUUACAUUAAGCGUGAUAUUUUUGCAACUAUUAAAAAUGAGGCUAUCAUGCAAAAAUUUCAAACAAUGAAACCUCGAAAAAUAUUAUUGUAAACAAUAUUUGAGGAUUAUUUAGUUUUGUGAUUUAUUUUAUUAAAUUUUUAUUCUUAAGGGAUUUUUUUUUGAAUUUGACCCACUGAAUUACGAGACUGGUAAGAAAUCAGUUCUAGAUUCAAAAGAUUAAAAAUAAAAGUUUCCCCUAGUUUUGCUCUUGACCCCCUAGGCCCUAGGAUUGAAAUAUAUUCUUAAAUUUACUACAGUAUAAUAGUGUAGGUUCUCAUAAAAAUUGAAAAUAUUGAACAAAAGAACAAAACUUUAAUAUUUCAACUACAAAAUUCAUACUUAGUGAAACAGUGACUAGAAAAUCCAUCUACAGAAUUCAUACCAAAAUUACAUUAACCAUACAGCAGCAGGAGAUUCCUUCACCAAGAGAAAUGAAUUAAGAAUCAGACUUAAAUUCUCUCUAAUAGACAAAUUUUCCAAUAAUGAUUAGCCUCCACAAUGUCAUCAUAACAAAUGCUGUCACAAAUCCUCUUCAAGGAGGCAAAUCAUAAGGAAAGGCCAAAAUGGUGGCAAAAUAGUUGAUCUACAGAUUUGUAGUCUUUUGUUUGGCAUCUAAAGCAUAACCCAAAUUAGGUCGCGCAAAGGAUAAAUAUCAAGUAUACCCAUCAAGAGUUAGCUCCCACACUCCCCAACAAAAACAAAUCUUUGAACUUAAAAAGGGGUCAAUUUUUAUUCUCUUAAAGAAAGUAGUCUUUGAUAGCCUUGAACAUAUAUCACAGUGAAGAUUCAACUAAUUUAAACCUAAUAAUUAAAAUGAAUUUAUAUAAUCAAAUAAAACCUAAUAGUUAAAAUGAAAACACCAAAAGGGCCAUCAAAAGCUAUCAAAAUCUGAUUAAUAGGAAAAUACAAGAUCUCAAUAAACUGUAAUCUGAGAAAAACAUCCUCUUUUACCUGAUUCAGGUGAUUAGAGUUAGAGAUAACUCGAUCUUAAAUUGUAAUAUUGAUGAAUCAAAUCGAAAAUUCCAAAACCAUAAACAGAAUGAUCGCAGAAUUAAUUGUAUAAUAUAUAUGUGUAUUUACAUAUUACAAAUCGUACCGAUAAUACUGUGAUCCGGGAGGAAUUGUAAGCCGAAAGAGAGGAUGUCUCAAUCGAGCAAGAGAGAUUGAUUCAAUAGAGCGAGAGAGAUUGAUUCCAAUCGACCAAGAUGAGCAGCAAAGCAGCCGUUUGUUUACGUUAGAGAAGGGAAGAACUCAGAAACCUUAAUAUUGAGUACUCCUAUCCUAUUUCGUGAAUAGCUGAUUUAAACUUUAACACUGGGAUUAAAACUAUAUUUCAGAAUAUUAUUAACAUAAACUUUAAUAUUGAAUACUCUUAUCCUAUUUUGUUAAAAAAUCAUAGAAUAUAUGUAAUAAUUCGGAUUUUUUUAAUAAUUAAAUAUUAAUUUUGUUUUAUUAAAAGUAUAAUUGAAUUAUAAAAGGUAAGUUAAUAUAUUUUGUUCUCCCUUGUUUCGUUUCGAAAGUUAAAUUCUUUUAAUAGAUAAUUAAAUAAUUGAUUUAAUUAAAAUAAAAAAGUCCAUUAAUAUUUUGGUAACUCAUUUAUUAUUUCCUACUUAUAUUUAAAGAGUGGAGUUGUAACGCUACUCCUAUUCCAAUUUGAUGAGUUGAAAUACUUAUACGCUCUGCAGUCCAUUAGAAAAGUUAUAAUUAAUUUAUCCGAUGUCAAUGUAUUCGAAACCUAUUUUUUUGGGUAUUUGUCCUCUACAACUACGAAAAGGAAGAGAAGUUAUUUGAAAUCAUUUUCGUACCUUAAAUUUAUUAAAACCGCAACAUGUCCCAAUUUUCAUCACUAUUUUCAGCCCUAAUUUUGAAAAUUUGAAAAUUCGUAAAUUAGUCGUAUUAACUCCGAAUCGAGUGAUUCUUGAGCUUAUUUUGUAUAUCUUUUCGAGAGUUAAAAUUUUUAUGAAAAUAUAAAGAGAUUUUGAAGACUCAAAAAGACCCGAAAGUUAGAUUAUUUACUACUACAUAUUGAAAAAAAAAAGACGAACAAGGAAUGUAAAUAUUAUUUCAUAUCUUGAUUUUAAGUUUAGUUACGUGGGUUUUUAAAUUAGAGAUUAUUUUUGAUCAAAAUAGAGACAUGAAUUAGAAACCAUGAUAAUUGGAAAGAGAAGAUAAAUUUAUAUUAAAGAAUAUAAUUUAAUUAAAUGUAAACGUUAAAAUUUGAAAAUAAAAUUCUAUAUUUUUAAGGUAUAUUGUAUGUAUUAUAUCUCUUAAUCCGACUGUUAUAUCGUUAUAAGUUUUUGAAUAUGUUAUACAUAUAUAAGUUGGGAAUAUAUUCACCUAUUUUGAACCGUUGAAAAUUAACGUAUGAUUUGUUAUGAAUUUUUAUCAAGUAGAUUUUCAAUAGCGAGUUAUGAUAUUUAAAAAUGUAUAACUUAAUGUUUUUAAACCCGAUUUGGUUGAUUUUUGAGGUUAAAUUGGAGUAUUUGAAGUCUAAUUUUUGUUAAAAUUAAUUAAUUUAGCAAAAAAAAUUCAAUCAAUGGUAAUAAUACCAGAAUAGUGGACUGACGUCUUAAAAAUAAUUUGCCAUGUUAGAGUUUUAAGACUUCUUAAAAUUUGUUAUUGACUUUUAAGUUUUGGAGUAUUAAUAGUGAUCUAAGACGAUAAUUAAAGUCACCGUUGUGACGCCCCCAAAAUAGGUAUACAUCAUCCAUUUUAGGUCGUCAAUAACAUGGUACAGAAACUGUGACGCCCCCAAAACAGGUAUACAUCACCCAUCUUGGGUCGCCACUUACAUGUUACAAAAUACAACUACAAACUUAAUUAUACAACAGUCGUGUAACAUACGACAAAACAUAGCUGAGAGUUUUGAAACGAAUAUUAUCUUCUAGACAUUAUUCAAACACAAUGGAGUCCUCAUUAUAUUUAUUAUCACACUAUUUCACAAAAUAAUGAGGACUACUAAUGCAAACAUCUGGACCGUCACUCUAUUCCCCGACUAGUCCCAACUACGUUCUCAUUUCCUGAAAAGAAUAGUGAAAGAAAGGGUGAGCUCAACUAGCCCAGUAAGAAAUAUUAUGACCAAGAUAAUGCAGAAUAAAUUAUCUUUAUCCUUCAACAAUAUAACAACUGAUAGAAUAUAAUAGACAACAAGUUUUAGAUCAACAACUGCAGCGGAAUAAGCAAUCCAUUAGAAGAGUCAAGUAGAGCAUAAAAUCUACUAUCUUCUAUGAUUUAAAAAGUUUUUCAUCAACUUUAUCGCUGAGACUCAGCUUAAUAAAUAAAAUCGAAUCAUCCCUGCACCACGGCCAAGGAUAUUCAUGUAAUCAUCAAUGGUCAUGAUUAUACCGAAUAAUCCCUGGUCAUAAUCAUACCAACAACUGUCCACCAAUGAACUACAGGCCAAUGAGGACUUUUACCACAUCAUUCGUUACAUUACGGUCAUGAUUAUACCGAAUAAUCCCUGGUCAUAAUCAUACCAAGUCCAUCUAUGCACGUAAGCCAAAGAUGACUUUCAUCACAAUAUAAGCAUGAGGAUGAUGACAAUGAUAUAAGCAUUAAUCAAACGAAAACAAGGAUAAAUAUUAAAGACUUUAAAUUUAUCCAAAUAUUAUCAAUCGCUUAAUAAACUCAUAAUCUAAUAUUAUUAAUAUUAUAAUAAUAUUUUAAUCAAUUCUUAAACUUAUAAAUAAUUUAAUUUAAUUGUUUACACUUUACCAAAUAAUGCAUUUAAUCAAUCAAAAAUGCCAUACUCAUAAGAUUUCAUUACCAAUGAUCAAUUUACUCAUCAAAAAUCUGCACAUACCUUAUAUAGGAUUCCCAAGCCAUAAAAUCCUAUUUACCAAUUCUUCAACUUCACAUAACAUAUUUAACUAAUAUGUUUGUAACUAAACUAUUUUUAUGAAAAAUACCAAAUCAGUCCCAAAAAUUAUUCUUUUCUGGGAUUAAGCAUAAUAUAGUUUCAUAUUGAACAUAUAUUUUUCUUGGAAUUUUUAAAAUUCAUUUACUAUUUUUCAGAAAUCAAUUUCUAAUUAAUUCCUUAAGAAAUUAGCUACCUCAAGUUUAACUCCAAAAAUUCCCAAAUCUUGGCAGAAUUUUACACAUGUUAACGUGAGCUUCCAGUUUAAAUUUCAUGGUCAUCGGAGUUAUAGAACUCCGGUUAUAGCAUUUUUCGUCGGAAAAACCUAAAUAUUGAAAUGGUCAUAACUUGCUCAUUUUAAGUCGGAAUGAGCUCAUUUUGGACAGUAUGUUCUUUAUACCAUAUACUUUCAUGUCCCAAAAGGCCAUAAUUUUUCUCAUAAUUUAAGUGGCCAAAACAACCCCUCUAAAAAUCUGGACAGUAGCAUUUCGGUAAUUUCCAGCUUUUUCAUCCUUUACUAAUAUUAGUCCACACGAAAAUCUACAACACAUUUUUCAGUGAUUCCACGUGAUUCCAACACAAAAAUCUAAGUUGUCAGCCCGUAGGCAAAAUUGACUAACACUUAGGUAAAAAGAUAAAAAAGAGGCCAAAACCCGACUCGGCCAUUGUAAUGACAUGCAAAUGCAUGCAUAGCACCGCGUAGGUAUUAGGCACGCGUUAUAACUUACAAGACUCAAUUCUGACUUACGGAGGUCGAGUUAUCAAUUCGUAGGAUAAACUGACCAACACUUAGGGAAAAAGUCAAAAAAGAAGCCAAAACCCAUCUCGACUGUCGUAAUAACACGCAAACACGUACAUAGCACUGCGCAGGUAUUAGGCACGUGUUACAACUUACAGGACUCGAUUCAGACUUACGGAGGCCGAGUUAUCAGCCCGUAGACAAAACUGACCAACACCUAGGCAAAGAAAUCGAAAAAGAGGCCAAAACUCGCCUCGGCCGUUGAAACGAUACGGAAACUCGUAUAUAGCACCGCGUAGGUAUUAGGUACGCGUUACAACUUACGGAACUCGAUUUCAACUUACGGAGGCCGAGUUAUCAGCCCGUAGAUAAAACUAACCAACACUUAGGUAAAAAGUUAAAAAAGAGGCCAAAACCCGCCUCGGCCGUCGUAAUGAUACGCUAACACAUACAUAGCGCCGCGUAGGUAUUAGGCAUACGUUACAACUUACGAGACUCGAUUCCGACAUACGGAGCCCGAGUUAUCAACCCGUAGGCAAAACUGACCAACACUUAGGCAAAAAGUCAAAAAAGAGGCCAAAAAAAAACCUCGACAGUCGUUACGACAUGCAAACACAUACAUAGAACGGCGUGGGUAUUAGACAUGUGUUACAACUUAUGGGUCUUGAUUCUGACUUACGGAGGCCGAGUUAUCAGCCCGUAGCCGAAACUGAACAACACUUAGGCAAAAAGUCGAACAAGAGGCCAAAACCAGCCUCGACCGUCGUAACGAUAUGCAAACACGUACAUAGCAUCGCGUAGGUAUUAGGAACGCAUUACAACUUAAGAGACUCGAUUCCGACAUACGUAGGCCGAGCUAUCAGCCUGUAGGCAAAACUGACCAACACUUAGGCAAAAAGUCGAAAAAGAGGCCAAAACCCGCCUUGGCCGUCAUAAUGACGCGCAAACACAUGCAUGGCACCGCGUAGGUAUUUGGCAUGCGUUACAACUUACGGGACUCGAUUCUGAUAUACGAAGGCCGAGUUAUCAGCCCGUAGAUAAAACUGACCAACACUUAGGGAAAAAGUCAAAAAAGAGGCCAGAACCGCCUCGGCUAUCGUAAUAACACGCAAACAUAUACAUAGCACUGAAUAGGUAUUAGGCACGCGUUAUAACUUAUGAGACUCGAUUUUGACUUACGGAGGCCGAGUUAUCAGUGUGUAGGCAAAAUUGACCAACACUUAAGCAAAAAGUCUAAAAAGGGGCCAAAAUAAGCCUCGGCUAUCGUAAAAACACGCAAACACGUACAUAGCAUCGUGUAGGUAUUAGGCAUGCGUUAUAACCUAUGAGACUCGAUCCGACUUACGGAGGCCGAGUUAUCAGCCCGUAGGCAAAACUGACCAACACUUAGGCAAAAAGUCGAAAAAGAGGCCAAAACUAGCCUCGGCCGUUGUAACGACACGGAAACACAUACAUAGCAUCGCGUAGGUAUUAGGCAUGCAUUACAACUUACGGGACUCGAUUCUGACUUACGGGGCCGAGUUAUCAGCCCGUAGGCAAAACUGGCCAACACUUAGGCAAAAAGUCAAAAAAGAGGCCAAAACUCGCCUCGACCGUUGUAACGAUAGGCAAAGUCUUACAUAGCACCGUGUAGGUAUUAGGCAUGCGUUACAACUUACGGGACUCGAUUCCGACUUACGGAGGCCGAGUUAUCAGCGUAGGCAAAACUGACCAACGAUACGCAAACACAUAUAUAAAACCACGUAGGUAUUAGGCAUGCGUUAUAACUUACGGGACUUGAUUCCGACUUACGGAGACCGAGUUAUCAGCCCGUAGGCAAAACUGACCAACACUUAGGUAAAAUGUUAAAAAAGAGGCCAAAACCCGCUUCAGUCAUCGUAACGAUAUGCAAACAUAUACAUAGCACCGCGUUGGUAUUAGGCAUACAUUACAACUUAUGGGACUCAAUUUCGACAUACGGAGGCCGAGUUAUCAGCCCGUAGGCAAAACUGACCGACACUUAGGUAAAAAGUUGAAAAAAGGCCAAAACCAACCUCGGCCGUCGUAACAACACGCAAAGACAUACAUAGCACUACAUGGGUAUUAAGCACGCGUUAUAACUUACGGGACUCAAUUUUGACUUACGGAGGCCGAGUUAUCAGCCCGUAAGCAAAACUGAACAACAUUUAGGUAAAAAGUCAAAAAAGAGGCCAAAACAUUCCUCGGCCGUCGUAACGACAUAAAAACACAUACAUAGUACCGCGUAUGUAUUAGGCAUGCGUUACAACUUACGGGACUCGAUUCUGACAUACGUAGACCGAGUUAUUAGCCCGUAUGCAAAAUUAACCAACACUUAGGUAAAAAGUUACAAAAGAGGCCAAAACCCGCAUCAGCCAUUGUAAUGACACGCAAAUACAUGCAUAGUACCACGUAGGUAUUAGACACGCGUUAUAACUUACAGGACUCAUUUCCGACUUACGGAGGCCGAGUUAUCAGCCCGUAGGCAAAACUGACCAACAUUUGGGGAAAAGUAAAAAAAAGGCCAAAAUCCACCUCGACCGUUGUAAUGAUACGAAAACUCGUACAUAGCACCGCGUAGGUAUUAGGCACACGUUACAACUUACGGGACUCGAUUCCGAUUUACGGAGGCCGAGUAAUAAGCCCGUAGGCAAAACUAACUAACACUUAGGUAAAAAGUCAAAAAAGAAGCCAAAACCCAGCUCGGCCAUCGUAAUGAUACAAAAACACAUACAUAGCACCGCGUAGGUAUUAGGCAUGCGUAACAACUUACGGGACUCGAUUCCGAUAUACGGAGGCCGAGUUAUCAGUCCGUAGGCAAAACUAACCAAUACUUAGGCAAAAAGUCAAAAAAGAGGCCAAAACCAACCUCGGCUGUCGUAACAACACGCAAAGACAUACAUAGCACUGCAUGGGUAUUAGGCACGCGUUAUAACUUACGGGACUCAAUUCUGACUUACGGAGGCCGAGUUAUCAGCCUGUAAGCAAAACUGAACAACAUUUAGGUAAAAAGUCAAAAAAGAGGCCAAAACAUGCCUCGACCGUCGUAACGACAUAAAAACAUAUACAUAGUACUGCUUAUGUAUUAGGCAUGUGUUACAACUUACGGGACAUGAUUCUGUCAUACAUAGACCGAGUUAUUAGCCCGUAUUCAAAUUUGACCCACACUUAGGUAAAAAGUUAAAAAAGAGGCCAAAACUCGCAUCGGCCAUUGUAACGACACGCAAAUACAUGCAUAGCACCGCGUAGGUAUUAGGCACGCGUUACAACUUACGGGACUCAAUUCCGACUUAUGGAGGCCGAGUUAUCAACCCGUAGGCAAAACCGACCAACAAUUGGGGAAAAAGUCGAAAAAAGGCCAAAAUCCACCUCGGCCGUUGUAAUAAUACGGAAACUCGUACAACUUACGGGACUCAAUUCCGACAUACGGAGGUCGAGUUAUCAGCCCGUAGGCAAAACUGACAAACACUUAGGCAAAAAGUCAAAGAAGAGGCCAAAACUCGCCUCGGCCAUCGUAACGACAAACAAACACAUACAUAUCAUCGCGUAGGCAAAAUUGACCAACACUUAGGUAAAAAGUUAAAAAGGAGGCCAAAACCCGCCUCGGCAAUUGUAAUGACAUGCAAACGCAUGCAUAGCAGCGCGUAAGUAUUAGGCACGUGUUAUAACUUACGAGACUCAAUUCUGACUUACGGAGGCCGAGUUAUCAGUUCGUAGGGAAAACUGACCAACACUUAGGGAAAAAAUCAAAAAAGAGGCCAAAAUCCACCUCGACCAUCGUAACGACACGCAAACACGUAAAUAGCACCGCGCAGGUAUUAGGCACGUGUUACAACGUACGGGACUCGAUUCUGACUUACGUAGGCCUAGUUAUCAGCCCGUAGGCAAAACUGACCAACACUUAGGCAAAAAAUCGGAAAAGAGGCCAAAACUCGCCUCGGCCGUUGAAAAGAUACGGAAACUCGUAUAUAGCACCACGUAGGUAUUAGGCAUGCGUUAUAACUUACAGGACUCGAUUUCGACUUACGGAGGCCGAGUUAUCAGCCCGUAGAUAAAACUAACCAACACUUAGGUAAAAAGUUAAAAAAGAGGCCAAAACCCGCCUCGGCCGUCGUAAUGAUACGCUAACACAUACAUAGCACCGCGUAAGUAUUAGGCAUACAUUACAACUUACGGGACUCAAUUCCGACAUACGAAGCCCGAGUUAUCAGCCCGUAGGCAAAACUGACCAACACUUAGGCAAAAAGUCAAAAAAGAGGCAAAAAAAAACUCGACAGUCGUAAUGACACGCAAACACAUACAUAGAACCGCGUGAGUAUUAGGCAUGUGUUAUAACUUAUGGGUCUUGAUUCUGACUUACGGAGGCCGAGUUAUCAGCCCGAAGGCAAAACUGAACAACACUUAGGCAAAAAGUCGAACAAGAGGCCAAAACCAGCCUCGACCGUCGUAACGAUAUGCAAACAUGUACAUAGCACUGCGUAGGUAUUAGGCACGUGUUACAACUUAAAGGACUCGAUUCUGACAUACGGAGGCCGAGCUAUCAGCCUGUAGGCAAAACUGACCAACACUUGGCAAAAAGUCGAAAAAUAGGCCAAAACCCGUCUUGGCCGUCGUAACGACGUGCAAACACAUGCAUAGCACCGCGUAGGUAUUUGGCAUACGUUACAACUUAAGGGACUCGAUUCUGAUAUACGAAGGUCGAGUUAUUAGCCCGUAGGUAAAACUGACCAACACUUAGGGAAAAAGUCGAAAAAGAGGCCAAAACCGCCUCGACCCUCAUAAUGACAUGCAAACACGUAUAUAUCACUGUGUCGGUAUUAGACACGUAUUACAACUUAUGGGAUUCGAUUCUGACAUACGGAUGCCGAGUUAUCAGUGCGUAGGUAAAACUGACCAACACUCAAGCAAAAAGUCAAAAAAGAGUCCAAAACCCACCUCGGCUGUCGUAAUAACACGCAAAUAUAUACAUAGCACUACAUAGGUAUUAGGCACGCAUUACAAAUUAUGGGACUCAAUUCUGACUUACGGAGGCCGAGUUAUCAGCGUGUAGGCAAAAUUGACCAACACUUAAGCAAAAAGUCUAAAAAGGGGCCAAAAUAAGCCUCGGCUAUCGUAACAACACGCAAACACGUACGUAGCAUCGCGUGGGUAUUAGGCAUGCGUUACAACUUAUGAAACUCGAUUCUGACUUACGGAGGCCGAGUUAUCAGCCCGUAAGCAAAACUGACCAACACUUAGGCAAAAAGUCAAAAAAGAGGCCAAAACUAGCCUUGGCCGUUGUAACGACACGCAAACACAUACAUAGCAUCACGUAGGUAUUAGGCAAGCAUUACAACUUACGGGACUCGAUUCUGACUUACGGGAGUCGAGUUAUCAGCCCGUAGGCAAAACUGACCAACAUUUAGGCAAAAAGUCAAAAAAGGGGCCAAAACCCGCCUCGACCGUUGUAACGAUAGGCAAACUCUUACAUAGCACUGCGUAGGUAUUAGGCAUGCGUUACAACUUACGAGACUCGAUUCCGACUUACGGAGGCCGAGUUAUCAACCGUAAGGCAAAACUGACCAACACUUAGCGAAAAAGUCAAAAAGAGGCCAAAACCCGCCUUGGCCGUCAAAACAAUACGCAAACACAUACAUAGAACCCCGUAGGUAUUAGGCAUGCGUUAUAACUUACGGGAUUUAAUUCUGAUAUACGGAGGCCGAGUUAUCAACCCAUAGGCAUAACUGACCAACACUUAGGCAAAAAGUUGAAAAAGAGGCCAAAACUCACCUCGGCCGUAGUAACGAUACACAAACACUUACAUAGCAUCGCGUGGGUAUUAGGCACACGUUACAACUUACGGGACUCGAUUUCGACUUACGAAGGUUGAGUUAUUUGCCCGUAGGCAAAACUUGCCAACACUUAGGCAAAAAGUCGAUAAAAGAGGCCAAAACUCGCCUUGACUGUCGUAACAACACGUAAACACAUACAUAGCACAACGUAGGUAUUAGGCAUACGUUACAACUUACGGGACUCGAUUCCAACUUACGGAGGCCGAGUUAUAAGCCCGUAGGUAAAACUGACCAACACUUAGGCAAGAAGUCGAAAAAGAGGCCAAAACUCGCCUCGACAGUUGUAAAGACACGCUAACACAAAUAUAGCACCGCGUAGGUAUUAGGCACGCGUUACAACUUACGGCACUCGAUUCCUACUUACACAGGCCGAGUUAUCAGCCCGUAGGCAAAACUGACCAACACUUAGGCAAAAAGUCGAAAAAGAGGCCAAAACCCGCCUCAGCAGUCGUAAGGACACGCAAACAUUUACAUAGAACCACAUAGGAAUUAGGCACGUGUUACAACUUGUGAGACUCUAUUCUGAUUUACGGAGGCCGACGUAUCAGCCCGUAGGCAAAACUGACUGACACUUAGACAAAAAGUUGAAAAGAGGCCAAAACCCGCCUCGACCGUCGUAAGGACACGCAAACAGAUACAUAGCACCGCGUAGGUAUUAGGCACGCGUUACAACUUAUAGGACUCGAUUUCGACUUACGGAGACCGAGUUAUAAGCUGGUAGGCAAAACUGACCAACACUCAAGCAAAAAGUCAAAAAAGAGACCAAAUCCCGCCUCGACCAUCUUAACGACACGUAAACACGUACAUAGCACUGCGUAGGUACUAGGCACGCGUUAUAUCGUACUGGACUCAGUUCAGAGUUACGGAGGCUGAGUUAUCAGCCCGUAGGCAAAACUGAGUAACACUUAGGCAAAAAGUCGAAAAAGAGGCCAAAACCAGCCUCAGCCGUCGUAAUGACACGCAAACACAUACAUAGCACUGCGUAGGUAUUAGGAACUCGUUACAACUUACGGGACUCGAUUUCGACUUACGGAGGCCAAGUUAUCAGCCCGUAAUCAAAACUCGCCAACACUAAGGCAAAAAGGCAAAAAGAGGCCAAAACCCGUCUCGACCGUCGUAACAACACGCAAACAUAUACAUAACAUAAUAUAGGUAUUAGGCACACGUUACAAUAUACGAUACUUGAUUCUGACUUACGGAGGCCGAGUUAUCAGCCCGUAGGCAAAACUGACCAACAUUUAGGUAAAAAGUUAAAAAAGAGGCCAAAGCCCGCAUCGGCCGUUGUAACGACACGAAAAAAAUGCAUAGUACUGCGUAGGUAUUAAGCACGUGUUAAAACUUACGGGACUUGAUUCCAACUUACGGAGGCCGACUUAUCAGCCCGUAGGCAAAACUGACGAACACUUAGGUAAAAAGUUAAAAAAGAGGCCAAAACCCGCCUCGGCCGUCGUAACGACACGUAAACACGCACAUAUCACCGUGUAGGUAUUAGGCACGCGUUAUUAUUUACGGGACUUGGUUCUGAUUUACGGAGGCCGAGUUAUCAGCCCGUAGGUAAAACUAACCAACACUUAGGCAAGAAGUCAAAAAAGAGACCAAAACCCGCCUCGGCAAUCGUAAAGACACGCAAACAUGAACAUAGCACCGCGUAGGUAUUAGGCACGGGUUAGAACUUAGGGGACUCGAUUCUGACUUACAGAAGCCGAGUUAUCAGCCCGUAGGAAAAACUGACCAACACUUAGGCAAAAAGUCGAAAAAGAGGCCAAAACCUGCCUCGGCCGUCGUAACAACACGCAAACACGUGUAUAGUACCACAUAGGUAUUAGGCACGCAUUAGAACUUACGGGACUCGAUUCCAACUUACGGAGGCCGAGUUAUCAGCCCGUAGCCAAAACUGACCAACACUUAGGCAAAAAGUCAAAAAAGAGGCCAAAAUCCGCCUUGACCGUCGUAACAACACGCAAACACAAACAUAGCACAAUGUAUGUAUUAAGCACUCGUUUCAAUAUAUGUUACUCGAUUCCGACUUACGGAGGUCGAGUUAUCAGCCCGUAGGCAAAACUGACCAAUAAUUAGGUAAAAAAUUAAAAAAGAGGCCAAAACCCGCCUCGGCCGUUGUUACGACAUGAAAACACAUGCAUAGUACCGCGUAGGUAUUAGGCACGCGUUAAAACUUACGGGACCCGAUUCCAACUUGCGGAGGCCGAGUUAUCAGCCCGUAGGCAAAACUGACUAACAUUUAGGUAAAAAGUCAAAAAAGAGUCCAAAACCCGCCUCGGCCAUUGUAACGACACGUAAACACGUACUUAUCACCGUGUAGGUAUUAGGCACGCGUUACUACUUACGGGACUCAAUUCUGAUUUACCGAGGCCGAGUUAUCAGCUCGUAGGCAAAACUGACCAAAAUUAGGUAAAAAGUCGAAAAAGAGUCCAAAAUCCGCCUCAGCUGUUAUAAUGAGACAGAAACUCGUGCAUAGCACCGCGUAGGUAUUAGGCACGCGUUACAACUUACGAAACUCAAUUCCGACUUACGGAGGCUGAGUUAUCAGCUCGUAGGCAAAACUUACCAACACUUAGUUAAAAUGUCAAAAAAGAGGCCAAAAACCGCCUCAGCCAUCGUAACGAUACGCAAACAAAUACAUAGUACCGCGUAGGUAUUAGGUAUUCAUUACAACUUACGGGACUCGAUUUCGACAUACGGAGGCCGAGGUAUCAGCCCGUAGGCAAAACUGACCAACACUUAGGUAAAAAGUCCAAAAUGAGGCCAAAACCCACCUCGGCUGUCGUAAUAACACGCAAAGACAUACAUAGCACUGCAUGGGUAUUAGUCACGCGUGAUAACUUACAGGACUCAAUUCUGACUUACGGAGGCCGAGUUAUCAGCCCAUAAGCAAAACUGAACACCAUUUAGGUAAAAAGUCAAAAAAGAGGCCAAAACAUGCCUCGGCCGUCGUAACGACACACAAAGACAUACAUAGCACUGCAUGGGUAUUAGUAACACGUUAUAACUUAUAGGACUCAAUUCUGACUUACGGAGGCCGAGCUAUCAGUCCGUAAGCAAAACUGAACAAUAAUUAGGUUAAAAGUCGAAAAAGAGGGCAAAACAUGACUCGGUCGUCGUAACAACACAAAAACACAUACAUAGUACCGCGUAUGUAUUAGGAAUACGUUACAACUUAUAGGACUCGAUUCUAACAUACGUAGACUGAGUUAUUAGCCCGUAUGCAAAAUUGACCAACACUUAGGUAAAAAGUUAAAAAAGAGGCCAAAACCCGCAUCGGCCAUUGUAGGUAUUAGGCACGCGUUACAACUUACGGGACUCAAUUCCGAUUUACGGAGGCCGAGUUAUCAGCCCGUAGACAAAACUGACCAACAUUUGGGGAAAAAGUCAAAAAAGAGGCCAAAACCCACCUUGGCCGUUGUAACGAUACGAAAACUCGUACAUAGCACCGCGUAGGUAUUAGGCACGGAUUACAAUGUACAGGACUCGAUUCCGAUUUACAGAGGCCGAGUUAUCAAACAGUAGGCAAAACUAAUUAACACUUAGGUAAAAAGUCAAAAAAGUAGCCAAAACCCGCUUCAGACAUCGUAACGAUACACAAACACAUACAUAGCACCGCAUAGGUAUUAGGCAUGCGUUACAACUUAUGGGACUCGAUUUCGACAUACGGAGGCCGAGUUAUCAGCCCGUAGUCAAAACUGACCAACACUAAGGCAAAAAUUAAAAAAAGAGGCCAACACUCGCCUCGGACAUCGUAACGACACCCAAACACAUACAUAGCAUCGCGUAGGUAUUAGGCACGCAUUACAACUUACGGGAAAACUGACCAACACUUAGGCAAAAAGUCAAAAAAGAGGCCAAAACUCACCUUGGCAGUAGUAACGACACGCAAACACAUAACUAGGAACGCGUAGGUAUUAGGCACGCGUUACAACUUACGGGACUCGAUUCCGACUUACGGAGACCGAGUUAUCAGCCCGUGGGCAAAACUGACCAACAUUUGGGGUAAAAGUCGAAAAAGAGGCCAAAACCCACCUCGGCCGUUGUAACGAUACGAAAACACGUACAUAGCACCGCGUAGGUAUUAGGCACGCGUGACAAUUUACGGGACUCGAUUCCAAUUUAUGGAGGCCGAGUUAUAUGCCCGUAGGCAAAACUAACUAACACUUAGGUAAAAAUUCAAAAAAGAAGCCAAAACCCGCUUCGGCCAUCGUAAUGAUAUGAAAACACAUACAUAGCACCGCGUAGGUAUUAGGCAUGCGUUACAACUUACGGGACUCGAUUCCGACGGACAGAGGCCUAGUUAUCAGCCCGUAGGCAAAACUGACCAACAAUUAGGCAAAAACUCGAAAAAGAGGCCAAAACUCACCUCGGCUGUAGUAAUGACACGCAAAGACAUACAUAGCACCGCGUAGGUAUUUGGCACGCGUUAAAACUUACGGGACUUGAUUCUGACUUACGGAGGCCGAGUUAUCAGCCCGUAGGCAAAACUGACUAACACUUAUGCAAAAAGUUGAAAAAGAUGCCAAAAACUAGUCUCGACCCUCGUAAUGAGACGCAAACUAAUACAUAGUACCGCGUAGGAAUUAGGCACGCGUUACAACUUACAUGACUCGAUUAUGACUUACGAAGGCCGAGUUAUCCGCCCAUUGGCAAAAUUUACCAAGACUUAGGUAAAAAGUCAAAAAAGAGGCCAAAAUAGGCUCGGCCGUCGUAAUGACACACAAACAUAUACAUAGCACCACGUAGGCAUUAGGCACGCGUUACAAUUUACGGGACUCAAUUUCUACUUACGGAGGCCGAGUUAUCAGCUCGUAGGCAAAACUGACAAACACUUAGGCAAAAACUCGAAAAAGAGGCCAAAAUCCGCCUCGACCGUCAUAACGAUACGUAAACAUGUAUAUAGCACCGUGUAGGUAUUAGGCAUGUGUUACAACUUACGGGACUCAAUUCUGACUUACAUAGGCCGAGUUAUAAGCCCAUAGGCAAAACUGACCAACACUUAGGCAAAAAGUCAAAAAAGAGGUCAAAACCCGCCUUGGCCGUUGUAACGAUACUUAAAAAAGUACAUAGCACCGCGUAGAUAUUAGGCACGCGUUACAAGUUACGAGACUCGAUUCUGACUUACGGAGGCUGAGUUAUCAGUCCGUAGGCAAAACUGACUAACACUUAGGCAAAAAGUUAAAAAAAAGGCCAAAACCCGUCUCAGUCAUCGUAACGACACGUAAACAUAUACAAAGCACCUCGUAGGUAUUAGACACGCGUUACAAUAUAUGAACUCAAUUCUAACUUACGGAGGCCAAGUUAUUAGCCCGUAGGCAAAACUGACCAACACUUAGGCAAACAGUCGAAAAAGAGGCCAAAACCAGCCUCAGCUGUCGUAAGGACACGCAAACACGUACAUAGCACCACGUAGGUAUUAGGCACGUGUUACAACUUGUGAGACUUUAUUCCGAUUUACGGAGGCCGACUUAUCAGCCCGUAGGCAAAACUGACUAACACUUAGACAAAAAGUCAAAAAAGAGGCCAAAACCCGCCUCGGUCUUCAUAACGACAGGCAAACACGUACAUAGCACCGCGUAGGUAUUAGGCAUGCGUUACAACAUAUGGGACUCGAUUCCGACUUACAUAGGCCGAGUUAUCAGCCCGUAGGCAAAACUGACCAACACUUUGAUAAAAAGUCGAAAAAGAGUCCAAAACCCGCCUCGGCCAUCGUAACAAUAUGCAAACUUGUAUAUAGCACAGCGUAGGUAUUAGGAACGCGUUACAAAUUACGGAAUUCAUUUCUAACAUACGGAGGCCAAGUUAUCAGCCCAUAGGAAAAAUUGACCAAUACUUAGGCAAAAAGUCAAAAAAGAGGCCAAAACCCGUCUUGGUCGUCAUAAUGACACACAAACACAUACAUAGCACUACAUAGGUAUUAGACACGCGUUACAACUUAUGGAACUCGAUUCCAACUUACGGAGGCCGAGUUACCAGCCCGUAGGCAAAACUGACUAACAAUUAUGCAAAAUGUCGAAAAAAGGCCAAAACCAGCCUCGGCCGUUGUAACGACACGAAAACACAUACAUAGUACCGCAUAGGUAUUAGGCACACGUUAAAACUUACGGGACUAGAUUCCAACUUAUGUAGGCUGAGUUAAUAGCCCGUAGGCAAAACUGACCAACACUUGGUAAAAAAUCAAAAAAGAGGCUAAACCCGCCUCGGCCGUCGUAAUGUCACGCAAACUCGUACAUAGUACCGCGUAGGUAUUAGGCAUGCGUUUCAACUUACGGAACUCGAUUUUGACUUACGGAGGCUGAGUUAUCAGCUCGUAGGCAAAACUGACCAACACUUAGGUAAAAAGCCGAAAAAGAGGCCAAAACUCGCCUAAACCAUCAUAUUAGGCAUGCGUUAAAAGUUACGGGACUCAAUUCUGACAUACAUAGAACGAAUUAUAAGCCUGUAUGCAAAAUUGACCAACACUUAGGUAAAAAGUUAGUAUGCAAAAUUGACCAACACUUAGGUAAAAAGUUAAAAAAGAGGCCAAAACCCGCAUCGACCAUUUUAACGACACGCAAAUACAUGCAUAGAACCGCGUAGGUAUUAGGCACGUGUUACAACUUACGGAACUCAAUUCCGACUUACGGAGGUCGAGUUAUCAGCCCGUAGGCAAAACUGACCAAUAUUUGGGGAAAAUGUCAAAAAUAAGGCCAAAACCCACCUCGGCCGUUGUAACGAUACGGAAACUCGUACAUAGCACCGUGUAGGUAUUAGGCACGCGUUACAGCUUACGGGACUCGAUUCUGAUUUACGGAGGCAGAGUUAUUAGCCCGUAGGCAAAACUAACUAACACUUAGAUAAAAAGACAAAAAAGAAGACAAAACCCGCCUCGACCAUCGUAAUGAUACGCAAACACAUACAUAGCACCGCAUAGGUAUUAGGCAUACGUUACAACUUACGGGACUCGAUUCCGACAUACGGAGGCCGAGUUAUCAGCCCGUAGAUAAAACUGACCAACACUUAGGCAAAAAGUUGAAAAAGAGGCAAAAACUCGCCUCAGCCAUCGUAACAACACGCAAACACAUACAUAGCAUCGUGUAGGUAUUAGGCACGUAUUACAACUUACGGGACUCGAUUCCGACAGACGGAGGCCGAGUUAUCAGCCCGUAGGCAAAACAGACCAACACUUAGGCAAAAAGUAGAAAAAGAGGCCAAAAUCCACCUCGGCCGUUGUAACGAUACAAAUACUAGUACAUAACACGGCGUAGGUAUUAGGCACGUGUUACAACUUAAGGGACAUGAUUCUGACUUACGGAGGCCGAGUUAUCAGCCCGUAAGCAAAACUAACUAACACGUAGGUAAAAAGUCAAAAAAGAAGCCAAAACCCGCCUCGGCCAUCGCAAUGAUACGUAAAAACAUAUAUAGCACCGCGUAGGUAUUAGGCAUACAUUACAAUGUACGGGACUCGAUUCCAACAUACGGAGGCCGAGUUACCAGCCCGUAGGCAAAACUGACCAACACUUAGGCAAAAAGUCGAAAAAGUGGCCGAAACUCGCCUUGGCCAUCGUAAUGACACGCAAACACAUACAUAGCAUCACGUAUGUAUUAGGCAUGCAUUACAACUUACGAGACUCAAUUCCGACAGACGGAUGCCGAGUUAUCAGCCAGUAGGUAAAACAGACCAAUAGUUAGGCAAAAAGUCGAAAAAGAGGCCAAAACUCACCUCGGUUAUAGUAAUGACACGCUAACACAUACAUAGCACCGCGUAUGUAUUUGGCACGCGUUAUAAUUUAUGGGACUUGAUUCUGACUUACGGAGGCCGAGUUAUCAGCCCGUAGGCAAAACUAACCAACACUUAGGCAAAAAGUCGAAAAAGAUGCCAAAAACUAGUCUCGACCGUCGUAAUAAGACGCAAACUAAUACAUAGCACCGCGUAGGAAUUAUUCACACGUUACAACUUACGGAACUUGAUUCUAACUUACGGAGGCCGAGUUAUCAGCUCAUUGGCAAAACUGACCAACACUUAGGCAAAAAGUCAAAAAAGAGGCCAAAAUUAGCCUCGGCCAUCGUAAUAACACACAAACAUAUACAUAGCACCACGUAGGCAUUAGGCACACGUUACAACUUACGGGACUCAAUUUCGACUUACGGAGGUCGAGUUAUCAGCCCGUAGGCAAAACUGACCAAUACUUAGGCAAAAAGUCAAAAAAAUGGCCAAAACUCGCCUCGGCCAUCGUAACGACACGCAAACACAUACAUAGCAUCACGUAGGUAUUUGGCACGCAUUAAAACUUACGAGACUCGAUUCCAAUAGACGGAGGCCGAGUUAUCAGCCCGUAGGUAAAACUGACCAAUAGUUAGGUAAAAAGUCAAAAAAUAAGCCAAAACUCACCUUGGCUGUAGUAACGACACGCAAACACAUAGAUAGUACCACGUAGGUAUUUGGCACGUGUUAUAACUUACGGGACUCGAUUCUGACUUACGGAGGCCGAGUUAUCAGCCCGUAGGCAAAACUGACCAACACUUAUGCAAAGAGUCGAAAAAGAUGCCAAAAACCAGUCUCGACAAUCGUAAUGAGACGCAAACUAAUACAUAGCACCGCGUAGGAAUUAGGCACACAUUACAACUUACGGGACUCAAUUUCGACUUACGGAGGCCGAGUUAUCAGCCCGUAGGCAAAACUGACAAACACUUAGGCAAAAACUCAAAAAAGAGGCCAAAACCCGCCUCGACCGUCAUAACGACACGUAAACACGUAUAUAGCACUGUGAAGGUAGUAGGCACGUGUUACAACUUACGGAACUCAAUUCUGACUUACAUAGGCCGAGUUAUCAGCCUGUAGGCAAAACUAACCAACACAUAGGGAAAAAGUCAAAAAAGAGUCCAAAACCCGCCUCAGCCGUUGUAACGAAACGCAAACAUGUACAUUGAACCGCUUAAAUAUUAGUCACGCAUUACAAGUUACGGGACUCGAUUCCGACUUACAGAGGCUGAGUUAUCAGCCCGUAGGCAAAACUGACUAACACUUAGGCAAAAAGUUAAAAAAGAGGCCAAAACUCUACUUGGUUGUAGUAACGACACGCAAACACAUAUAUAGCACCACGUAGAUAUUAGGCACGCAUUACAACUUACGGGACUCGAUUCCGACCUACGGAGGCCGAGUUAUCAGCCCGUAGGUAAAACUGACCAACACUUAGGCAAGAAGUCAAAAAAGAGGUCAAAACCCGCCUCGGCAGUCGUAAAGACACACAAACAUGAACAUAGUACCGUGUAGGUAUUAGGCACAUGUUAGAACUUACGGGACUCGAUUACGACUUACAGAGGCUGAGUUAUCAACCCGUAGGCAAAACUGACCAACACUUUGGCAAAAUGUCGAAAAAGAGGUCAAAACUGCCUCGGUCGUCGUAACAACACGCAAACAUGUGUAUAGUACCGUGUAGGUAUUAGGCACAUGUUAUAACUUACGGGACUCGAUUCCAACUUACGGAGGCCGAGUUAUCAGCCCGUAGCCAAAACUGACCAACACUUUGGCAAAAUGUCGAAAAAAGAGGCCAAAAUCGCCUCGGCCGUCGUCACAACAUGUAAACACAUACAUAGCACCACGUAGGUAUUAGGCACACGUUACAACUUACGAGACUAAUUUCCGACUUACGGAGGCUGAGUUAUCAGUCCGUAGGCAAAACUCUCCAACACUUAGGCAAAAAGUCAAAAAAGAGGCCAAAACCCGCCUCGACCGUCGUAACAACACGCAAACACAAACAUAGCACAAUGUAGGUAUUAAGCACGCGUUACAAUAUAUGUUACUCGAUUCCGACUUACGGAGGCCGAGUUAUCAGCCCGUAGGCAAAACUGACCAAUAAUUAGGUAAAAAAUUAAAAAAGAGGCCAAAACCCGCCUCGGCCGUUGUAACUACAUGAAAACACAUGCAUAGUACCGCGUAGGUAUUAGGCAUGCGUUAAAACUUACGGGACCCAAUUCCAACUUACGUAGGCCGAGUUAAUAGCCCGUAGGCAAAACUGACCAACACUUAGNNNNNNNNNNNNNNNNNNNNNNNNNNNNNNNNNNNNNNNNNNNNNNNNNNNNNNNNNNNNNNNNNNNNNNNNNNNNNNNNNNNNNNNNNNNNNNNNNNNNGUAGGUAUUAGGCACGUGUUACAACUUGUGGGACUCUAUUCCGAUUUACGGAGGCCGACUUAUCAGCCCGUAGGCAAAACUGACUAACACUUAGACAAAAAGUCAAAAAAGAGGCCAAAACCCGCCUCGGUCUUCAUAACGACACGCAAAUGCGUGCAUAGCACCGCCUAGGUAUUAGGCAUGCAUUACAACAUAUGGGACUCGAUUCCGACUUACAUAGGCCGAGUUAUCAGCCCGUAGGCAAAACUGACCAACACUUUGGCAAAAAGUCAAAAAAGAGUCCAAAAUCUGCCUCGGCCAUCGUAACAAUAUGUAAACUUGUAUAUAGCAUAGCGUAGGUAUUAGGAACGCGUUACAAAUUACGGAAUUUGUUUCUGACAUACGGAGGCCAAGUUAUCAGCCCGUAGGCAAAAUUGACCAAUACUUAGGCAAAAAGUCAAAAAAGAGGCCAAAACUCGUCUCGGUCGUCAUAACCAUACACAAACACAUACAUAGCACUACGUAGGUAUUAGACACGCGUUAUAACUUAUGGAACUCGAUUCCAACUUACAGAGGCCGAGUUACCAGCCCCGUAGGCAAAACUGACCAAUAAUUAUGCAAAAUGUCAAAAAAGAGGCCAAAACCCGCCUCGGCCGUCGUAACAACACGCAAACACGUGCAUAGUACCGCGUAGGUAUUCGGCAAGCGUUACAACUUACGGGACGCGAUUCCAACUUACAGAGGUCGAGUUAUCAGCCCGUAGUCAAAACUAACUAACACUUAGGCAAAAAGUCGAAAAAGAGGCCAAAACCCACCUCGGUCGUCGUAACAACACGUAAACACAUACAUAACACCACGUAGGUACUAGGCACACGUUACAACUUACGGGACUAAUUUUUGACUUACGGAGGCCGAGUUAUCAGUCCGUAGGCAAAACUCGCCAACACUUAGGCAAAAAGUCAAAAAAGAGGCCAAAACUCGUCUCGACCGUCAUAACAACACGCAAACACAUACAUAGCACAAUGUAGAUAUUAGGCACGUGUUACAAUAUAUGUUACUCGAUUCUGACUUACGGAGGCCGACUUAUUAGCCCGUAGGCAAAACCGACCAACACUUAGGCAAAAAGUCAAAAAAGAGGCCAAAACUAGCCUCAGCCGUCGAAAGGACACGCAAACACAUACAUAGCACCACGUAGGUAUUAGGCACGUGUUACAACUUGUGAGACUCUAUUCUGAUUUACGGAGGCCGACUUAUCAGCCCGUAGACAAAACUGACUAACACUUAGACAAAAAGUCGAAAAAGAGACCAAAACCCGCCUCGGUCUUCAUAACGACAAGCAAACACGUACAUAGCACCGCGUAGGUAUUAGGCAUGCAUUACAACAUAUGGGACUCGAUUCCGACUUACAUAGGCCGAGUUAUCAGCCCGUAGGCAAAACUGACCAACACUUUGGCAAAAAGUCGAAAAAGAGUCCAAAACCCGCCUCGGCCAUCGUAACAAUAUGCAAACUUGUAUAUAGUACAGCGUAGGUAUUAGGAACGCAUUACAAAUUAUGGAAUUCGUUUCUGACAUACGAAGGCCAAGUUAUCAGCCCAUAGGCAAAAUUGACCAAUACUUAGGCAAAAAGUCAAAAAAGAGGCCAAAACCCGUCUCGAUCGUCAUAAUGACACACAAACACAUACAUAGCGCUACGUAGGUAUUAGACACGUGUUACAACUUAUGGAACUCGAUUCCAACUUACGGAGGCCGAGUUACCAGCCCAUAGGCAAAACUAACCAACAAUUAUGCAAAAUGUCGAAAAAUAGGCCAAAACCCGCCUCGGCCGUCGUAACAACACGCAAACACGUGCAUAGUACCGCGUAGAUAUUCAGCACGCGUUACAACUUACGGGAUGAGAUUCCAACUUACAGAGGUCGAGUUAUCAGCCCGUAGUCAAAACUGACUAACAUUUAGGCAAAAAGUCGAAAAAGAGGCCAAAACCCACCUCGGUCGUCGUAACAACACGUAAACACAUACAUAACACCACGUAGGUACUAGGCACACGUUACAACUUACGAGACUAAUUUUUUACUUACGGAGGCCGAGUUAUCAGUCCGUAGGCAAAACUCGCCAACACUUAGGCAAAAAGUCAAAAAAGAGGCCAAAACUCGUCUCGACCGUCAUAACAACACGCAAACACAUACAUAGCACAAUGUAGAUAUUAGGCACGCGUUACAAUAUAUGUUACUCGAUUCCGACUUACGGAGGCCGACUUAUUAGCCCGUAGGCAAAACUGACCAACACUUAGGUAAAAAGUUAAAAAAGAGGCCAAAACCCGCCUCGACCGUUAUAAUGACACGAAAACACAUGCAUAGUACUGCAUAGGUAUUAGGCAAAUGUAAAAACUUACGGGACUCGAUUCCAACUAACGUAGGCCGAGUUAAUAGCCCGUAGGCAAAACUAACCAACACUUAGGUAAAAAAUCAAAAAAGAGGCUAAAACCCGCCUCGGCCGUCGUAAUGUCACGCAAACUCGUACAUAGUACUGCGUAGGUAUUAGGCAUGUAUUACAACUUACGGAACUCGAUUCUGACUUAUGGAGGCCGAGUUAUCAGCCCGUAAGCAAAACUGACCAACACUUAGGUAAAAAGUCGAAAAAGAGGCCAAAAUCCACCACAGCCAUCGUAACGAUACGCAAACACAUGCAUAGCACCGCGUAGGUAUUAGGCACGCAUUACAACUUAUGGGACUCAAUUUCGACAUACGGAGGCCGAGUUAUCAGCCCUUAGGCAAAACUGAACAACAUUUAGGUAAAAAGUCAAAAAAGAGGCCAAAACCCGCCUCGGCAGUCAUAACGACUCGCAAACACAUAAAUAGCACCGCGUAGGUAUUAGGCGUGUGUUACAACUUACGGGACUCAAUUCUGACUUACGGAGGCCGAGUUAUCAGCCCGUAGGCAAAACUAACCAACAUAUAGGUUAAAAGUCGAAAAAGAGGCCAAAACCCGCCUCGGUCAUCGUAAUAACACGCAAACAUGUGCAUAGUACCGCGUAGGUAUUAGGCACGCAUUACAACUUACGGGACUCGAUUCCAACUUACGGAGGCCGAGUUAUCAGCCCGUAGCUAAAACUGACCAACACUUAGGCAAAAAGUCAAAAAAGAGACCAAAACCCGCGUCUGCCACCGUAACAACACGCAAACACAUAUAUAGCACUGCGUAGGUAUUAGGCGUGUGUUACAACUUACGGGACCCGAUUCAGAGUUAUGGAGGCCGAGUUAUCCGCCCGUAGGCAAAACUGACCGACACUUAGGUAAAAAGUUAAAAAAUAGGCCAAAACCCGCCUCGGCGGUUGUAACGACACGAAAACACAUGCAUAGUACCGCGUAGGUAUUAAGCAUGCGUUAACACUUACGGGACUCGAUUCCAAAUUACGGAGGCCGAGUUAUCAGCCCGUAAGCAAAACUGACCAACACUUAGGUAAAAAGUCAAAAAAAGAGGCCAAAACCGCCUCGGCCGUCAUAACGACACUCAAGCACGCACAUAUCACCGUUUAGGUAUUAGGCACGCGUUACUACUUACGGGACUCGAUUCUGAUUUACUAAGACCGAGUUAUCAGCUCGUAGGCAAAACUGACCAACACUUAGGUAAAAAGUCAAAAAAGAGGCCAAAACCCGCCUCAGCCAUCGUAACGAUAUGCAAACACAUACAUAACACCGCAUAGGUAUUAUGCAUGCAUUACAACUUACGGUACCCGAUUUCGACAUACGAAGGCCGUCGUCAGCCCGUAGGCAAAACUAACCAACACUUGGGCAAAAAGUCAAAAAAGAGGCCAAAACUUACGGGACUCAAAUACAUACAUAGCACUGCAUGGGUAUUAGGCAUGCGCUAUAACUUACGGGACUCAAUUCUGACUUACGGAGGCUGAGUUAUCAGCCCGUAAGCAAAACUGAACAACAUUUAGGUAAAAAGUCAAAAAAGGGGCCAAAACUCGCCUCGGCUGUCGUAACGACACGAAAACACAUACAUAGCACCGCGUAGGUAUUAGACACUCGUUACAACUUAUGGGACUCAAUUCUGACUUACGGAGGCCGCCGUAGGGAAAACUCGACAACACUUAGGCAGAAAGUCGAAAAAGAGGCCAAAACCCGCCUCGACCGUCGUAACAACACGCGCACACAUACAUAGCACAGAACGGGACUCAAUUCUAACUUACGGAGGCCAAGUUAUCAGCCCGUAGGUAAAACUGACCAACACUUAGGGAAGAAGUCAAAAAAGAGGCCAAAACCCGCCUCGGUAGUCGUAAAGACACGCAAACAUGAACAUAGCACCAUGUAGGUAUUAGGCACGUGUUAGAACUUACAUGACUCGAUUCCGACUUACAGAGGCCGAGUUAUCAGCCCGUAGGCAAAACUGACCAACACUUUGGCAAAAAGUCAAAAAAGAGUCCAAAAUCCGCCUCGGCCAUCGUAACAAUAUGUAAACUUGUAUAUAGCAUAGCGUAGGUAUUAGGCACGCGUUAAAACUUACGGAACUCGAUUCCGACAUACGGAGGCCGAGUUAUCAGCCCGUAGGCAAAACUGAACAACACUUAGGCAAAAAGUCAAAAAAGAGGCCAAAACAUGCCUCGACCGUCGUAACGACACGCAAACACAUGCAUAGCACCGUGCAUGUAUUAGGCAUGUGCUACAACUUACGGGACUCGAUUCCGACAUAUGUAGGACAAGUUGUCAGCCCGUAGGCAAAAUUGACCAACACUUAGGUAAAAAGUUAAAAAAAAGGCCAAAACACGCCACGGCCAUUGUAAUGACAUGCAAACACAUGCAUAGCACCGCGUAGGUAUUAAGCAAGCAUUAUAACUCCUGACUCAAUUCCGACUUACGGAGGCCGAGUUAUCAGUUCGUAGGCAAAACUGACCAACACUUAGGGAAAAAUUCAAAAAAGAAGCCAAAACCCACCUCGGCCAUCGUAAAAACACGCAAAGACAUGGCACCGCGUAGGUAUUAGGCACGCGUUACAGCUUAUGGGACUCGAUUCCGAUUUACGGAGGCCGAGUUAUCAGCCCGUAGGCAAAACUAACUAACACUUAGGUAAAAAGUCAAAAAAGAAGCCAAAACCCGCCGCGGCCAUCGUAAUGUUACAAAAACACAUACAUAGCACCACAUAGGUAUUAGGCAUGCGUAACAACUUACGGCACUCGAUUCCGACAUACGGAGGCCGAGUUAUCAGCUCGUAGGCAAAACUGACAAACACUUAGGUAAAAAGUUAAAAAGAGGCCAAAACCCGCCUCGACCGUUGUAACGACACGAAAACACAUGCAUAGUACCGCAUAGGUAUUAGGCACACGUUAAAACUUACGGGACUCUAUUCCAACUUAUGUAGGCCGAGUUAAUAGCCCGUAGGCAAAACUGACUAACACUUAGGUAAAAAAUAAAAAAAGAGGCUAAAACCCGCCUCGACCGUCGUAAUGUCACGCAAACUCGUAUAUACUACCGCGUAGGUAUUAGGCAUGCGUUAUAACUUACGAAACUCGAUUCUGACUUACGGAGGCCGAGUUAUCAGCCCGUAGGCAAAACUGACCAACACUUAGGUAAAAAGUCGAAAAAGAGGCCAAAACUCACCUCAACCAUCGUAUUAGGCAUGCUUUAAAACUUACGGGACUCAAUUCUAACAUACGUAGACCGAAUUAUAAGCCCGUAUACAAAAUUUAACAACACUUAGGUAAAAAGUUAAAAAAGAGGCCAAAACCCGCAUCAACCAUUUUAAUGACACGCAAAUACAUGCAUAGUACCGCGUAGGAAUUAGGCACGCAUUACAACUUACGGGACUCAAUUCCGACUUACAGAGGCCGAGUUAUCAUAAUGACAUGCAAACACAUACAUAGCAUCACAUAGGUAUUUGGCACGCAUUAAAACUUACGAGACUCGAUUCCAAUAGACGGAUGCCGAGUUAUCAGCCCGUAGGUAAAACUAACCAAUAGAUACGUAAAAAGUCAAAAAAGAGGCCAAAACUCACCUUGGCUGUAGUAACGACAUGCAAACACAUACACAACACCACGUAGGUAUUUGGCACGUGUUAUAACUUACGGGACUCGAUUCCGACUUACGGAGGCCGAGUUAUCAGCCCGUAGGCAAAACUGACCAACACUUAUGCAAAAAGUCGAAAAAUAUGCAAAAAACCAGUCUCGACCGUCGUAAUGAGACGCAAACUAAUACAUAGCACCGCGUAGGAAUUAGGCACGCUACAACUUAUAGGACUCAAUUCUGACUUACGGAGGCCCAGUUAUCAGCCCAUUGGCAAAACUGACCAACACUUGGGCAAAAAGUCAAAAAAGAAGCCAAAAUUAGCCUCGGCCGUCGUAAUGACACACAAACAUAUACAUAGCACCACGUAGGCAUUAGGCACGCGUUACAACUUACGGGACUCAAUUUCGAUUUACGGAGGCCGAGUUAUCAGCCUGUAAGCAAAACUGACUAACACUUAUGCAAAAAUUCGAAAAAGAGGCCAAAACCCGCCUCAGCCGUCAUAACGACACGCAAACACGUAUAUAGCAUCGUGAAGGUAAUAGGCAUGUGUUACAACUUAUGGGACUCAAUUCUGACUUACAUAGGCCGAGUUAUCAGCCCGUAGGGAAAACUAACCAACACUUAGGGAAAAAGUCAAAAAAGAGGCCAAAACCCGCCUCGGCCGUUGUAACAAAACGCAAACAUGUACAUAGAACCGCGUAGAUAUUAGGCACGCGUUACAAGUUACGGGACUUAAUUCCGACUUACGGAGGCCGAGUUAUCAGUCCGUAGGCAAAACUGACUAACACUUAGGCAAAAAGUUAAAAAAGAGGCCAAAACCCGUCUCAGUCAUCGUAACGACACGUAAACAAAUACAUAGCACCGUGUAGGUAUUAGGCACGCGUUACAAGUUACAGAACUCGAAUCUAACUUACAGAGGCCGAGUUAUUAGCCUGUAGGCAAAACUGACCAACACUUAGGCAAACAGUUGAAAAAGAGGCCAAAACCAGCCUCGGCCGUCGUAAGGACACGCAAACACGUAUAUAGCACCACGUAGGUAUUAGGCACGUGUUACAACUUGUGGGACUUGAUUCUGAUUUACGGAGCCCGACUUAUCAGCCCGUAGGCAAAACUGACUAACACUUAGACAAAAAGUCGAAAAAGAGGCCAAAACCCGCCUCGAUCUUCAUAACAACACGCAAACAUGUACAUAGCACCGCGUAGGUAUUAGGCAUGCAUUACAAAAGAGAUGUCUUGAUGCAAUACGAAAGAAGAAAUUCAAUAAGUUUAUUAUUAAUUUUGUAUUUUUAUUUAGAGAUAAAUGUGUUAUUAAUGAAAUUAUUUAGUAUGAUAUUAUAGUAAUAGCUUUUCAUUAGGAGAGUUUUAAUUGUAGUAAUAGAUUUCAAUUAGAAGAGUUUAUAAUAGUAGUAGAUUUUAAUUAGAAGAUUGUUUCCUAGUAUUGGGUUUUAUAUUUAAGCAUUAUAAUACUUCAUAAGUUUCUAAAAUUUUCAAUUCAGACCCUUAAGUUUUUGAAAUUUUCAAUUCUGUCCCCAAAGUUUCUAAAAUUUUCAAUUCAGCCCCUCUACAUAUAUACAAUGUCUUCCAGGUUUAACAAUCCAGACUUUCUUUGGGCUAAGAUAAAGCAACUUGAGCAUCGAACUUUGAUCAUAUGCGAGCAAUUUAAAUGGUCUUGUGUCCCGUAUAGUGCGAGAGUAUUGGAAAUUAUGUGAUGAGCUUGCACUUUCUGAAACAAGUCUUGCAAAUUUAAAGGCACAUUACGAGUACAUAACCACAUGUUUUGUUUGUCCAUGUUUUGUUCAGGCACAAAAAAAUGUUCAUCCUAAUCGUGUUUGUUCAACUAAAGCGACACGUUCACAAGAGGAAACCUGCAACGUAAAUUCUUACAAGACAAUUGAUGACUGUUUCACAAUACUUAAACGUCUCAAUAACCAAUAUGAAAUUGGUGAGGAUAAAGAAGAGCAAGUACUCUCACAUAUUAAUGCUGGUGAGAAACAUGAAUCGGAAGUUAAGUGUGUUGAAAAACUUGCAGAUUCAGAGAUGAUUUAUAGUGAGAAAAUUGAAGUUAAGUUUGACCCCAAAUGCAAAAACAUCAAAGAAGAUAAAUUUGAGGUCAACAAUAUUGAUUUUCUCUUUCCCGUUGAUACAGUUGAGUUCCCAACUACUUCAAAUAUCUAUAUUAUGUCAUUGUUAUUCCCAAAAAUUGUGCUAAUGACAUUAAAACAUCGGAUGCGAAUGUUUUGUUGGAAGAAAUCUCUCGGGCCGUGGUUUAUUAUUCUACGAUAUUUCAACUCGAGGACGAGUUUUUUUUUAAGGCGAGGAGAAUGAUGAAGUACGGAAGAAGAAAUUCAAUAAGUUUGUUAUUAAUUUUGUAUUUUUAUUUAGAGAUAAAUGUGUUAUUAAUUAAAUUAUUUAGUAGGAUAUUAUAGUAAUAGUUUUUCAUUAGGAGAGUUUUAAUUGUAGUAGUAGAUUUCAAUUAGGAGAGUAUUAUAGUAGUAGAUUUUAGUUAGAAGAUUGUUUCCUUUCUAAAUUAGAGUUUUUACUUAAUCCCCAAGUAUUGGGUUUUGUAUUUAAGUAUUGUAAUACUUCAUUAUUUUGGGAUAUUAUUGAAUAUAUUGAUUUGAGAUUAAAACUGUGUGCUUUUGUGUGUGUUUCUUUACCGAUUCUCUGCGGGAGAUAGGUACUCUUAUUCCUUCUUCCUACCCCGUCCUACAUCAUGUCUACUUAAGAGUGCCAUACACAAAUCUUAAUAUUUUCGUUUUCAUAUCAGUCUUUUUUAAUAUUUUGCUCCUAUUUUCUUUUAGCAUCUCUAUGGCCAGUGCUAGUAAUACCAUCUUAGCCUUUUAACUGUCUGCAACACACUUAUGUGCAGUAAACAAGCAAUGAACCAACACAAUGAGAAACAUGGAUGAUAACACAUUUCUAGGUCCAAAUUUUGUAUGCUAUCUAUCUGUCUAUAUAAAAGUGUUUACAAGAAAAAAGCACAUAUGUUUAUACCUUUCCCCAUUCAGAACCAAGACCACCACAUCUCAUUUUCAAGUGUAUCAUCCUCGUUCCUAGUUCAUUCUCUACUUUCUUUCACAAAAAGGUCUCAUCAGGUCCAAAUGCUUCCAGAUAUGCAGUGUAACGUUCAAAAUCAGUGUUUAAUGAUUUAACAAAUUUAUAUGGUAAAGGUCUGACAUUCUGCAGAAAUAUUCACAUGAGUAUACAGCAUGAAUCCGAGAAACAGUAAAUAAAUAAGUGUCACCAAUAACAAUGUUUUUAUGUAACCUCGCCACUCAAUCCAAGGUUGUCAUCAAUUUCCAUCCUCAAAGAUACAAGUUUUCCCGUAAAUUCCUCAACUGCCUCAGCUGCACGGAGUAUAUUAGCCAAGAUCUCCUGGCCAGCCUUGUCUUCUGUAUUUUUAGACAAUGCCUUGUUUGCAUAAUGAAUGACAGCAUUUGGGAGCUCAUCCCAACUUGCAGCCAUCAAGUCCUUGACAACAGUUUCGAUCUCACGAUCAUUUAUGGCAGGCAUGUGACUCAAAUAACGCCUGCUUCCAAUGUUCAUCGAACUCGAGAGAGGGGACCGGAAAUCUCGUAAUAUCAAAUGACAUCACAUUAUUCUUUUUGGCAGGUAAUACAAAAAGAUAUACUAACUCAAAACAGGAAAGCUAAAGCUCAUAGAUAAUGUAUAUCUAUUGACUCUAGCCAAGCCUAACCAAAGUCCACAAUGCAGAAAAUCUGUCCUAAAGACACCAAAUGAUGCAACUUCUAAAUAAAUGCUCAUUAGUAAAUUUGUGUCCUAAAAGCACUCUCCACAUAAAGAUGUUAAGUACCCAGAUCAAUCUUGUUGAACAAAAUGCCACUCAAGUAGAAUUAUUCCAUCCCAAGAUAUUAUAUUAUAUAUAUAUAUAUAUAUAGUAGGAACAAAAGAGAAAAAUAAGCAAGGACGAUAACGAAGAAAGUACCAGGAGUGAGGCGUUUUGCAACAGUUGGGAGAUGGAAAUAGCGGAGUCCACGGCUGAGGUGAUGCUGGUUGCUGGUAGUGGCGGUAGCGGUGGCCGCAAUAGAGAAACCUAGGGAUCUGCGAUAGAUCGAACGGUAUAGAGAUCUCAUCGUAACAAUUUUCUCCAUUUUCGUUCUUGGAGUGACGACCCUUUUCCCUGCUGCCGUUCGGCAACAACAUAUUUUAAAAUGACUUAAAGUUAAAAUUUAAGUUGACUUAUAAGUUAUUUUAAGUUAUGACUUAUAAGUAAAAGCGUUCAACAUCAAUUUGACUUAAAAGUUAGAAAUUAAGUUAAAACAAGUUAUGAAGGUGUUUAGCUAAUAAUGACUUAUAAGUUAAAAUCAAAUGUAAAGAUUACUAAAAAUGACAUUAAUAAAAAGAUACUUUGAUUUAAUAACAUAUCAUAACAAUCAUCCACAAUUUCAUUAAAUAAAACACUAAAAGUGGAUUUAAAAAACAGUGUUAUACUACUAAAAGUAGUGUACCCUACGUGGUUUGCAUUUUGCACCAUGGUUAGAUCAAAAUAGAACAAUAUAACUAGAAAAUUCUUUACCACAUUCACUAAAUAUUCAAUUGAUUAGCAUCUGGAAAAAAACCACUAAAUUGAAUCAGCCAAAAAUAAAGUUCCAUUCCAAACCUUAAAAUUAAUAUACUCCUAUUAAAACAAAAACAAUACAAGACAUCAAGAGGCCAAAGCAAAACCAAACAGAAAAUAAUGAAAUUCUACUUGAAUUAUUAAAAAGAUUCUUAAAAAACAUGUUUUAAACAAAAAAGAAAUUAGGUGCUUUCAAAAAUUCAUUGAUUAGCCACAAGGUACUUAAUUAACAAGAAAACCACUAAAAUAACUAAAGUUAUGUUUGAUAAAAUUGAAAGUUAAGAUCUGAACAGUUUAGAUAUCUAAAAUGUAGAGCAUCUGAAUCAAAAUGUUGUUUGAUAGUUAAUUCUUUCAAAAUGUCUAAAUAAUAGUAUUUUACAAUUUUAACAUUUUCUUCCUUCUUUCUAUUCAACAACCUAGCUUCUUCUCCUUCCCCUUUCUUCUCCUCCUCCUCCUCCCCCCCUAAUACACUCUAUCGCGCUGAACCGAGUUCAGUUUUCUGGUACAUCAAUAUGGGGUAAUCACACAUAUACUUCAAAUACCAACUAUAAUCAUCAGUAAAAUCUUUUGAUACAUAUAUUGAGAGGGAAAAAAUGAAGGAAAAGUGAUUUCAAAUCGGAUUGUCUGUGCGAUUACUUUACCGUUGAUGAUGGUUGCCUUCUGAUCCGAUGUGGCCGUCCUUUUUCAAGUAUGAAUUUGAUUAAUUAUUCUCUUGUAUUGCUUAGCUUUUCCGAUCCCCAGUUUUGCUAUUUCUAUUUCAUCUGCGUUCUCUCAUCUCAUUCCCAGUUUUGCUCUUUCUAUUUACAUGUAAUUUGUUGAAUAUUAAGGAUGAAUAUGAGGAAAGUGAUGGAGGGUGAUGUUCAAUUUCAUGUGAUCCAUUUAUCUCCUAGCUACAUUCUUUCUGAUUUGAUCCAUGAAAAAAAUUUAUCAAAAAAAAAAAUUUGUCUUCGAUCUACAGUUAGAUUUUGAGAAGGUUAUUUUUGUCCAAAAAAAAUCAAAUUUUCGCUCAGAUGGGCUCUGACUGGUUUAGCUGUAUUUUUGAAUCUUAUAUAUUAAGAGGUAUUCAGAGGCAUAAAAAUGUUUACCAAACAAGUUGUGCCUCUGACCGAAUCAGAGGCACAACUAUUCAGAGCCAUUAAGACGUAAACAAACACAGCCUAAGCCUAGUCUGGAUACCAUUUUAGUCCAACUAAAAUGUUCGAGUCUACCCUAUCUUCAGUAAGAAGCCGGGGAGGAUGCACGUUAGGGGCAGGGGGGCACCUGACCCCACUAAAAUUUCAGAGGUUCAAGGGGGUCAACUUAAAAAAAUUAUUUGAGAAGGCUGUGAAAUGAAAUUUUUAUAUUAUAUACUUCAAAACCUAUUAAACUUCCUAAAGUUAACUGUUAAAGUCUAAAAGACCAAAUCCUAUGGACGUUAUUAUGGAAUCCCACUACAACACUACUCCACUAGUAGUCUUAGACAUUUAGACUUUUAGUACUUCACUUUAUCUAUUGAUCGCAACAAAGGACAUAGCAACAUCAAUUCCAAGUCUCUUAGGUCUCCAUAUUCGCAAUCGCAACAGAGCAACUCCAAAUUCAAGUAUUUUUUAAUUAUAAUUUUAGUUUUUUAAUUUCACAAAUUUAACAAUUGCCUCAGAAAUUUUUGUAAUUGUUUAUAGAUUCUUUUUUUGUACUUUUAUAAAAUUAGGGCUUUUUACUUCUUAAAGCAACACUGCAACAAAGAAGAAAACUCCAUCAAAUAAAAGUUCUUCAAAUUCAAGUGUGUUUUAUUCUAUUUUUACUUUCUUUAAAUUUUGUAAUUUAUUUUGUAAUGUUACUUGUUAGUGGUUUAAUUGAGAUUGUUUAUUGUUGAUACUAAUUGCACUUGAAUAUUCAUAUCGUAUAUUGAUCUUGUUUUAAUGUUAAAUUAGUUUUUAAAUAUUUAUUGAUUGUCAGGCAUGGACAUACGUAAUUGGGUUUCAACUAAACGUACAAAAUUUGAAUCUAUUCCUGAAAAUGUCCAAGCAGAAAGGACUAGUAACGACCCUGUCACUGCUGAUAUUCACCAAGAAACUCACCCGCAAAAUGUUAACCCCCAAACCCAAGUACCAAAAUCUUUUGACCAAAAUAUCCAGUUUCAAACUCAUACACCGGUAUCUACUUCCCUUAAUAUUGUGGGGGUCCCGGUAAAAGACCGCCAAUAAGUUCUUAUCCCACUAGUGAAAGAGAGAAUUUUUGAAAAAGUUAUUUACUUAGGGGGCCGACUCAACCAAUACCUCUCAAAUUUCCCGAUACACUAAUUAGUGGAGUUGCUCGUAAUUAGUUAUUUUCAAAUGUUGGUUGAGAAAAGAAAGGAUGAUGUAUAUCCCCAAGUCUAUUUGUUGCUGAAGUUGGAUCUACUUUUGCCUGUUGCUACUGCAACUAUUGAAAGGACAUUUUCGGUCAUGAAUAUUGUGAAGAAUGAACUCCGUAACCAAAUGAGAGAUGAAUGAAUGACUGUUUAGUAACUUACAUUAACCAUGAUAUUUUUGCAACUAUUAAAAAUGAGGCUAUCAUGCAACAAUUUCAAGCAAUGAAACCUCGAAAAAUAUUGUUGUAAACAAUAUUUGAGGAUUAUUUAGUUUUGUGAUUUAUUUUAUUAAAUUUUUAUUCUUAAGGGAUUUUUUUUCGAAUUUGACCCACUGAAUUACGAGACUGAUAAGAAAUCAGUUCUAGAUUCAAAAGAUUAAAAAAAAAAGUUUCCCCUAGUUUUGCUCUUGACCCCCUAGGCCCUAGGAUUGAAAUAUAUUCUUAAAUUUACUACAGUAUAAUAGUGUAGGUUCUCAUAAAAAUUGAAAAUAUUGAACAAAAGAACAAAACUUUAAUAUUUCAACUACAGAAUUCAUACUUAGUGAAACAGUGACUAGAAAAUCCAUCUAUAUAAUUCAUACCAAAAUUACAUUAACCAUACAGCAGCAGGAGAUUCCUUCACCAAGAGAAAUGAAUUAAGAAUCAGACUUAAAUUAUCUCUAAUAGACAAAUUUUCCAAUAAUGAUCAGCCUCCACAAUGUCAUCAUAACAAAUGCUGUCACAAAUCCUCUUCAAGGAGGCAAAUCAUAAGGAAAGGCCAAAAUGGUGGCAAAACAGUUGAUCUGCAAAUUUGUAGUCUUUUGUUUGGCAUCUAAAGCAGAACCCAAAUUAGGCCGCGCAAAGGAUAAAUAUCAAGUAUACCCAUCAAGAGUUAGCUCCCACACUCCCCAACAAAAAUAAAUCUUUGAACUUAAAAAGGGGUCAAUUUUUAUUCUCUUAAAGAAAGUAGUCUUUGAUAGCCUUGAACAUAUAUCACAGUGAAGAUUCAACUAAUUUAAACCUAAUAAUUAAAAUGAAUUUAUAUAAUCAAAUAAAACCUAAUAGUUAAAAUGAAAACACCAAAAGGGCCAUCAGAAGCUAUCAAAAUCUGAUUAAUAGGAACAUACAAGAUCUCAAUAAACUGUAAUCUGAGAAAAACAUCCUCUUUUACCUGAUUCAGGUGAUUAGAGUUAGAGACAACUCGAUCUUAAAUUGUAAUAUUGAUGGAUCAAAUCAAAAAUUCCAAAACCAGCCUUGGCCGUUGUAACGAUACUUAAAAAAGUACAUAGCAUCGCGUAGAUAUUAGGCACGUGUUACAAGUUACGGAACUCAAUUCUGACUUACGGAGGCCGAGUUAUCAGCCCAUAGGCAAAACUGACUAAUACUUAGGCAAAAAGUUAAAAAAGAGGCCAAAACCCGUCUCAGUCAUCGUAACGACACAUAAACAAAUACAUAGCACCGUGUAGGUAUUAGGCAUGCGUUACAACUUACAGAACUCGAAUCUAACUUACAGAGGACGAGUUAUUAGCUCGUAUGCAAAACUAACCAACACUUAGGUAAACAGUCGAAAAAGAGGCCAAAACCAUCCUCGGCCAUCGUAAGGACACGCAAACACGUACAUAGCACCACGUAGGUAUUAGGCACGUGUUACAACUUGUGGGACUCGAUUCCGAUUUACGGAGCCCGACUUAUCAGCCCGUAGGCAAAACUGACCAACACUUAGGCAAAAAGUCAAAAAAUAGGAUUCUGACUUACGAAGGCCGAGUUAUCAGCCCGUAGGCAAAACUGACCAACACUUAGGCAAAAAGUCGAAAAAGAGGCCAAAACUUGUAUCGGCCUUCAUAACGACACGCAAACACAUACAUAGCACCGCGUAGGUAUUAGGCACGCGUUACAACUUACGGGACUCGAUUCAGACGUACGGAGGCCGAGUUAUCAGCCCAUAGGCAAAACUGACUAAUACUUAGGCAAAAAGUUUAAAAAGAGGCCAAAACCCGUCUCAGUCAUCGUAACGACACAUAAACAAAUACAUAGCACCGUGUAGGUAUUAGGCAUGCGUUACAACUUACAGAACUCGAAUCUAACUUACAGAGGACGAGUUAUUAGCUCGUAUGCAAAACUAACCAACACUUAGGUAAACAGUCGAAAAAGAGGCCAAAACUUGUAUCGGCCUUCAUAACGACACGCAAACACAUACAUAGCACCGCGUAGGUAUUAGGCACGCGUUACAACUUACGGGACUCGAUUCAGACGUACGGAGGCCGAGUUAUCAGCCCAUAGGCAAAACUGACUAAUACUUAGGCAAAAAGUUUAAAAAGAGGCCAAAACCCGUCUCAGUCAUCGUAACGACACAUAAACAAAUACAUAGCACCGUGUAGGUAUUAGGCAUGCGUUACAACUUACAGAACUCGAAUCUAACUUACAGAGGACGAGUUAUUAGCUCGUAUGCAAAACUAACCAACACUUAGGUAAACAGUCGAAAAAGAGGCCAAAACUUGUAUCGGCCUUCAUAACGACACGCAAACACAUACAUAGCACCGCGUAGGUAUUAGGCACGCGUUACAACUUACGGGACUCGAUUCAGACGUACGGAGGCCGAGUUAUCAGCCCAUAGGCAAAACUGACUAAUACUUAGGCAAAAAGUUUAAAAAGAGGCCAAAACCCGUCUCAGUCAUCGUAACGACACAUAAACAAAUACAUAGCACCGUGUAGGUAUUAGGCAUGCGUUACAACUUACAGAACUCGAAUCUAACUUACAGAGGACGAGUUAUUAGCUCGUAUGCAAAACUAACCAACACUUAGGUAAACAGUCGAAAAAGAGGCCAAAACUUGUAUCGGCCUUCAUAACGACACGCAAACACAUACAUAGCACCGCGUAGGUAUUAGGCACGCGUUACAACUUACGGGACUCGAUUCAGACGUACGGAGGCCGAGUUAUCAGCCCAUAGGCAAAACUGACUAAUACUUAGGCAAAAAGUUUAAAAAGAGGCCAAAACCCGUCUCAGUCAUCGUAACGACACAUAAACAAAUACAUAGCACCGUGUAGGUAUUAGGCAUGCGUUACAACUUACAGAACUCGAAUCUAACUUACAGAGGACGAGUUAUUAGCUCGUAUGCAAAACUAACCAACACUUAGGUAAACAGUCGAAAAAGAGGCCAAAACUUGUAUCGGCCUUCAUAACGACACGCAAACACAUACAUAGCACCGCGUAGGUAUUAGGCACGCGUUACAACUUACGGGACUCGAUUCAGACGUACGGAGGCCGAGUUAUCAGCCCAUAGGCAAAACUGACUAAUACUUAGGCAAAAAGUUUAAAAAGAGGCCAAAACCCGUCUCAGUCAUCGUAACGACACAUAAACAAAUACAUAGCACCGUGUAGGUAUUAGGCAUGCGUUACAACUUACAGAACUCGAAUCUAACUUACAGAGGACGAGUUAUUAGCUCGUAUGCAAAACUAACCAACACUUAGGUAAACAGUCGAAAAAGAGGCCAAAACUUGUAUCGGCCUUCAUAACGACACGCAAACACAUACAUAGCACCGCGUAGGUAUUAGGCACGCGUUACAACUUACGGGACUCGAUUCAGACGUACGGAGGCCGAGUUAUCAGCCCAUAGGCAAAACUGACUAAUACUUAGGCAAAAAGUUUAAAAAGAGGCCAAAACCCGUCUCAGUCAUCGUAACGACACAUAAACAAAUACAUAGCACCGUGUAGGUAUUAGGCAUGCGUUACAACUUACAGAACUCGAAUCUAACUUACAGAGGACGAGUUAUUAGCUCGUAUGCAAAACUAACCAACACUUAGGUAAACAGUCGAAAAAGAGGCCAAAACUUGUAUCGGCCUUCAUAACGACACGCAAACACGUACAUAGCACCACGUAGGUAUUAGGCACGUGUUACAACUUGUGGGACUCGAUUCCGAUUUACGGAGCCCGACUUAUCAGCCCGUAGGCAAAACUGACUAACACAUAGGCAAAAAGUCGAAAAAGAGGCCAAAACUUGUAUCGGCCUUCAUAACGACACGCAAACACGUACAUAGCACUGUGUAGGUAUUAGGCAUGCGUUACAACUUAUGGGACUCGAUUCCGACUUACAUAUGCCGAAUUAUCAGCCCGUAUGCAAAACUGACCAACACUUAGGCAAAAUGUCGAAAAAGAGGCCAAAACCGCCUCGGCCAUCGUAACAAUACGUAAACAGCAACGUAAGUAUUAGGCACGCAUUAUAACUUACGAGACUCGAUUCUGACAUACGGAGGCCAAGUUAUCAGCCCGUAGGCAAAACUGACCAAUACUUAGGUAAAAAGUCAAAAAAGAGGCCUAAACCCGACUCGACCGUCGUAAUGAAACACAACCGCAUACAUAGCAUUGCGUAGGUAUUAGACACGCGAUACAAUUUACGGGACUCGAUUCCGACUUACGGAGGCCGAGUUAUCAGCCCGUAGGCAAAACUGACCAACAUUUAGGAAAAUUUCGAAAAAGAGGUCAAAACCCGCCUCGGCCGUCGUAACAACACGUAAAGACAUACAUAGCACUGCAUGGGUAUUAGGCAUGCGUUAUAACUUACGAGACUCUAUUCUGACUUACGGAGGCCAAGUUAUCAGCCCGUAAACAAAACUAAACAACAUUUAGGUAAAAAGUCAAAAAAGAGGCCAAAACAUACCUCGACCGUCGUAACGACAUAAAAACAUAUACAUAGUACCGUGUAUGUAUUAGGCAUGCGUUACAACUUACGGGACUCGAUUCUGACAUACGUAGACCGAGUUAUUCGUCCGUAUUCAAAAUUGACCAUAACUUAGGUAAGAAGUUAAAAAAGAGGCCAAAACCCGCAUUGGCCAUUGUAACGACACACAAAUAUAUGCAUAGCACCGCGUAGGUAUUAGAUACGCGUUACAACUAAUGGGACUCAAUUCUGACUUACGAAUGCCGAGUUAUCAGCCCGUAGGCAAAACUGACCAACAUUUGGGGAAAAAGUCAAAAAAGAGGCCAUAACCCACCUCGGCCGUUGUAACGAUAUGGAAACUCGUACAUAGCACCGCGUAGGUAUUAGGCACGCGUUUCAACUUACUGGACUCGAUUCCAAUUUACGGAGGCCGAGUUAUCAGCCCGUAGGCAAAACUAAUUAACACUUAGGUAAAAAGUCAAAAAAGAAGCCAAAACCCGCCUCGGCCGUCGUAAUGAUACGCAAACACAUACAUAGUACUGCGUAGGUAUUAGGCAUGUGUUACAACUUACGGGACACGAUUUUGCCAUACGGAGGCCGAGUUAGCAGCCCUUGGGAAAAUUGACUAACACUUAGGCAAAAAGUCAAAAAGAGGCCAAAACUCACCUCGGCCAUCGUAACGACAAGCAAACACAUACAUAUCAUUGCGUAGGUAUGAGGCAUGCAUUACAGCUUACGGGACUCAAUUCCAUCAGACGGAGGCCGAGUUAUCAGCCCGUAGGCAAAACUGACCAACACUUAGGCAAAAAGUAGAAAAAGAGGCCAAAAUCCGCCUCGGCCAUUGUAACGAUACAAUAACUCGUACAUAGCACCGCGUAGGUAUUAGGCACGCGUUACAACUUACGGGACUCGAUUCAGACGUACGGAGGCCGAGUUAUCAGCCUGUAGGCAAAACUAACUAACACUUAGGUAACAAGUCAAAAAAGAAGCCAAAACUUGACUCGGCCAUCGUAAUGAUACGCAAACACAUACAUAGCACCGCGUAGGUAUUAGACAUAUGUUACAACUUACGGGACUCGAUUCCGACAUACGGAGGCCGAGUUAUCAGCCCGUAGGAAAAACUGACCAACACUUAGUCAAAAAGUCAAAAAAGAGACCAAAACUCGCCUCGGCCAUCGUAACGACACGCAAACACAUACAUAGCAUCGUGUCGGUAUUAGGCACGCAUUAUAACUAACGGGACUCGAUUCCGACAGACGGAGGCCGAGUUAUCAGCCCAUAGGCAAAACUAACCAACACUUAGGCAAAAGGUCAAAAAGAGGCCAAAACUCUCCUUAGUUGUAGUUAUGACACGCAAAUACGUAUAUAGCACCGCGUAGAUAUUAGGCACGCGUUACAACUUACGGGACUCGAUUCCGACCUACGGAGACCGAGUUAUCAGCCCGUAGGUAAAAUUGACCAACACUUAGGCAAGAAGUCAAAAAAGAGGCCAAAACCCGCCUCGGCAGUCGUAAAGACACACAAACAUAAACAUAGUACCGUGUAGGUAUUAGGCACAUGUUAGAACUUAUGGGACUCGAUUCCGACUUACAGAGGCCGAGUUAUCAGCCCGUAGGCAAAACUGACCAACACUUUGGCAAAAUGUCGAAAAAGAGGCCAAAACUGCCUCGGCCGUCGUAACAACACGCAAAUAUGUGUAUAGUACCGCGUAGGUAUUAGGCACAUGUUACAACUUACGGGACUCAAUUCCAACUUACGGAGGCCGAGUUAUCAGCCCGUAGCCAAAACUGACCAACACUUAGGCAAAAAGUCGAAAAAGAGGCCGAAACCCACCUUGGCCGUCGUCACAACACGUAAACACAUACAUAGCACCACGUAGGUAUUAGGCACACGUUACAACUUACGGGACUAAUUUCUGACUUACGGAGGCUAAGUUAUCAGUUCGUAGGCAAAACUCGCCAACACUUAGGCAAAAAGUCAAAAAAGAGGCUAAAACACGCCUCGACCGUCGUAACAACACGCAAACACAAACAUAGCACAAUGUAGGUAUUAAGCACGCGUUACAAUAUAUGUUACUCGAUUCCGACUUACGGAGGCCGAGUUAUCAGCCCGUAGGCAAAACUGACCAACAAUUAGGUAAAAAAUUAAAAAAGAGGCCAAAACCAGCCUCAGCCGUUGUAACGACACGAAAACACAUGCAUAGUACCGCGUAGGUAUUAGGCACGUGUUACAACUUGUGGGACUCUAUUCCAAUUUACGGAGGCCGACUUAUCAGCCCGUAGGCAAAACUGACCAACACUUAGGAAAAAAGUCAAAAAAGAAGCCAAAACCCACCUCGGCCGUCGUAAUGACACGCAAACAUGUACAUAGCACCGCGCAGAUAUUAGGCGCGUGUUACACCUUACGGGACUCGAUUCUGACUUACGAAGGCCGAGUUAUCAGCCCGUAGGUAAAAUUGACCAACACUUAGGCAAAAAAUCGAAAAAGAGGCCAAAACUCGCCUCGGUCGUUGUAACGAUACGGAAACUAGUAUAUAGCACCACGUAGGUAUUAGGCACGCAUUACAACUUAUGGGACUCGAUUCCGACAUACGGAGGCCGAGCUAUCAGCCUGUAGGCAAAACUGACCAACUCUUAGGCAAAAAGAGGCCAAAACUCACCUCGGUCGUCGUAACAACAUGCAAAGACAUACAUAACACUGCAUGGGUAUUAGGCAUGUGUUAUAACUCACGGGACUCAAUUCUGACUUACGAAGGCCGAGUUAUCAGCCCGUAAGCAAAACAAAACAACAUUUAGGUAAAAAGUCAAAAAAGAGGCUAAAACCCGCCUCGGCCGUCGUAACAACACGCAAAGACAUACAUAGCACCGCGUAGGUAUUAGGCACUCGUUACAAGUUACGAGACUCGAUUUCAACUUACGGAGGCCGAGUUAUCAGCCCAUAGGCAAAACUCGCCAACACUUAAGCAAAGAGUCGAAAAUGAGGCCAAAACCUGCCUCGACUGUCGUAACAACAUGCACACACAUACAUAGCACAACGUAGGUAUUAGGCACGUGUUACAACUUACGGGACUCAAUUCUAACUUACGGAGGCCGAGUUAUCAGCCCGUAGGUAAAAUUGACCAACACUUAGGCAAGAAGUCAAAAAAGAGGCCAAAACCCGCCUCGGCAGUCGUAAAGACACGCAAAUAUGAACAUAGCACCGUGUAGGUAUUAGGCACGUGUUAGAACUUACGGAACUGGAUUCCGACUUACAAGCCGAGUUAUCAGCCCGUAGGCAAAACUGACCAACACUUAGGCAAAAUUUCGAAAAAGAGGGCAAAACCCGACUUGGCCGUCGUAACAACAAGCAAACACGUGCAUAGUACCGCGUAGGUAUUAGGCACGCGUUACAACUUAUGGGACUCGAUUUCGACAAACGGAGGCCGAGUUAUCAGCCCGUACGCAAAACUGAACAAAACUUAAGCAAAAAGUCGAAAAAGAGGCCAAAACCCACCUCGGCCGUCGUAACAACAUGCUAACACAUACAUAGCACCGCGUGGGUAUUAGGCACGCGUUAUAACUUAGGAGACUCAAUUCUGACUUACGGAGGCCGAGUUAUCAACCCGUGGAGAAAACUGCACAAUACUUAGGCAAAAAGUAAAAAAAGAGGCCAAAACAUGCCUCGACCGUCGUAAUGACACGCAAACACAUACAUAGCACAACGCAUGUAUUAGGCAUGUGCUACAACUUACGGGACUCAAUUUCCACAUACGUAGGCCAAGUUGUUAGCCCGUAGGAAAAAUUGACCAACACUUAGGUGAAAAGAUAAAAAAGAGGCCAAAACCCGACUCGGCAAUUGUAAUGACAUGCAAACGCGUGCAUAGCACCGCGUAGGUAUUAGGCACACGUUAUAACUUACGAGACUCAAUUCCGACUUACAGAGGCCGAGUUAUCAGUUCGUAGGCAAAACUGACCAACACUUAGGGAAAAAGUCAAAAAAGAAGCCAAAACCCAUCUCGGCCGUCGUAAUGACACACAAACACGUACAUAGCACUGCGCAGGUAUUAGGCACGUGUUACAACUUACGGGACUCGAUUCUGACUUACGGAGGCCGAGUUAUCAGCCCGUAGACAAAACUGACCAACACUUAGGCAAAAAAAUCGAAAAAGAGGCCAAAACUCGCAUCGGCUGUUGAAACGAUACGAAAACUCGUAUAUAGCACCCUGUAGGUAUUAGGCACGCAUUACAACUUACGGGACUCGAUUUUGACUUACGGAGGCCGAGUUAUCAGCCCGUAGAUAAAACUAACCAACACUUAGGUAAAAGUUAAAAAAGUGACCAAAACCCGCCUCGGCCGUCGUAACGAUAUGCUAACACAUACAUAGCACCGCGUAGGUAUUAGGCAUACGUUACAACUUACGGGACUCGAUUCCGACAUACGGAGCACGAGUUAUCAGCCCGUAGGCAAAACUGACCAACACUUAGGCAAAAAGUCAAAAAAUAGGCCAAAAAAAACCUCGGCAGUCGUAACGACACGCAAAUACAUACAUAGAACCGCGUGGGUAUUAGGCAUGUAUUACAACUUAUGGGUCUUGAUUCUGACUUACGGAGGCCGAGUUAUCAGCCCGUAGGCAAAACUGAACAACACUUAGGCAAAAAGUCGAACAAGAGGCCAAAACCAGCCUCGACCGUCGUAACGAUAUGCAAACACGUACAUAGCACCGCGUAGGUAUUAGGCACGCAUUACAACUUAAGGGACUCGAUUCCGACAUACGGAGGCCGAGCUAUCAGCCUGUAGGCAAAACUGACCAACACUUAGGCAAAAGUAGAAAAAGAGGCCAAACCUGCGUAGGUAUUAGGCACGCAUUAUAACUUACGGAACUUGAUUCUAACUUAUGGAGGCCGAGUUAUCAGCCCAUUGGCAAAACUGACCAACACUUAGGCAAAAAGUCAAAAAAGAGGCCAAAAUUAGCCUCGGCCGUCGUAAUAACACACAAACAUAUACAUAGCACCACGUAGGCAUUAGGCACACGUUACAACUUACGGGACUCAAUUUCGACUUACGGAGGCCGAGUUAUCAGCCCGUAGGCAAAAUUGACCAAUACUUAGGCAAAAAUUCAAAAAAGUGGCCGAAACUCGCCUCGGCCAUCGUAACGACACGCAAACACAUACAUAGCAUCACGUAGGUAUUUGGCAUCAUUAAAACUUACGAGACUCAAUUCCAACAUACGGAGGCCAAGUUAUCAGCCCGUAGGUAAAACUAACCAAUAGUUAGGUAAAAAGUCAAAAAAGAGUCCAAAACUCACCUUGGCUGUAGUAACGACACGCAAACACAUAUAUAGCACCACGUAGGUAUUUGGCACGUGUUAUAACUUACGGGACUCGAUUCUGACUUACGGAGGCCGAGUUAUCAGCCCGUAGGCAAAACUGACCAACACUUAUUCAAAAAGUCGAAAAAGAUGCCAAAAACCAGUCUCGACUGACGUAAUGAGACGCAAACUAAUACAGCACCGCGUAGGAAUUAGGCACGCGUUACAACUUAUAGGACUCGAUUCUGACUUACGGAGGCCGAGUUAGCAGCCCAUUGGCAAAACUGACCAACACUUAGGCAAAAAGUCAAAAAAUAGAACAAAAUUAGCCUCGGCCGUUGUAAUGACACACAAAUAUAUACAUAGCACCAUAUAGGCAUUAGGCACGCGUUACAACUUACGGGACUCAAUUUUGACUUACGGAGACCGAGUUAUCAGCCCGUAGGCAAAACUGACAAACACUUAGGCAAAAACUCGAAAAAGAGGUCAAAACCCGCCUCGAUCGUCAUAACGACACGCAAACACGUAUAUAGCAUCGUGAAGGUAAUAGGCACGUGUUACAACUUAUGGGACUCAAUUUUGACUUACAUAGGCCGAGUUAUCAGUCCGUAGGCAAAACUAACCAACACUUAGGGAAAAAGUCAAAAAAGAGGCCAAAACCUGCCUCAGCCGUUGUAACGAAACGCAAACAUAUACAUAGAACCGCGUAGAUAUUAGGCACGCGUUACAAGUUACGGGACUCGAUUCCGACUUACAGAGGCCGAGUUAUCAGCCCGUAGGCAAAACUGACUAACAUUUAGGCAAAAAGUUAAAAAAGAGGCCAAAACCCGUCUCAAUCAUCGUAACGACACGUAAACAAAUACAUAGCACCGUGUAGGUAUUAGGCACGCGUUACAACUUACAGAACUCGAAUCUAACUUACAGAGGCCGAGUUAUUAGCCCGUAGGCAAAACUGACCAACACUUAGGCAAACAGUCGAAAAAGAGGCCAAAACCAGCCUUAACCGUCGUAAGGACACGCAAACACGUACAUAGCACCACGUAGGUAUUAGGCACGUGUUACAACUUAUGGGACUCGAUUCCGAUUUACGGAGCCCGACUUAUCAGCCCGUAGGCAAAACUGACUAACACUUAGGCAAAAAGUCGAAAAAGAGGCCAAAACUCGAAUCGACCUUCAUAACGACACGCAAACACGUACAUAGCACUGCGUAGGUAUUAGGCAUGCGUUACAUCUUAUGGGACUCGAUUUCGACUUACAUAUGCCGAAUUAUCAGCCCGUAGGCAAAACUGACCAACACUUAGGCAUAACGUCAAAAAAGAGGCCAGAACCGCCUCGGCCAUCGUAACAAUACGCAAACAUGUAUAUAGCACGGUGCAAGUAUUAGGCACGCGUUACAACUUACGAGACUCGAUUCUGAUAUACGGAGGCCAAGUUAUCAGCCCGUAGGCAAAACUGACCAAUACUUAGGCAAAAUGUCAAAAAAGAGGCCUAAACCCGUCUCGGCCGUCGUAAUGACACACAAACGCAUACAUAGCAUUGCGUAGGUAUUAGACACACGAUACAACUUACGUGACUCAAUUCUGACUUAUGGAGGCCGAGUUAUCAGCCCGUAAGCAAAACUGAACAACAUUUAGGUAAAAAGUCAAAAAAGAGGCCAAAACAUGCCUUGACCGUCGUAACGACAUAAAAACAUAUACAUAGUACCGUGUAUGUAUUAGGCAUGCGUUACAACUUACGGGACUCAAUUCUGAGAUACGUUGACUGAGUUAUUAGCCCGUAUUCAAAAUUGACCAACACUUAGGUAAGAAGUUAAAAAAGAGGCCAAAACCCGCAUCGACCAUUGUAACGACACACAAAUAUAUGCAUAGCACCGCGUGGGUAUUAGGCACGCAUUACAACUUACGGGACUCAAUUCCGACUUACGGAUGCCGAGUUAUCAGCCCGUAGGCAAAACUGACCAACAUUUGGGGAAAAAGUCGAAAAAGAGGCCAUAACCCACCUCGGCCGUUGUAACGAUAUGGAAACUCGUACAUAGCACCGCGUAGGUAUUAGGCACGCGUUAUAACUUACGGGACUCGAUUCCAAUUUACGGAGGCCGAGUUAUCAGCCCGUAGGCAAAACUGACCAACAUUUGGGGAAAAAGUCGAAAAAGAGGCCAUAACCCACCUCGGCCGUUGUAACGAUAUGGAAACUCGUACAUAGCACCGCGUAGGUAUUAGGCACGCGUUAUAACUUACGGGACUCGAUUCCAAUUUACGGAGGCCGAGUUAUCAGCCCGUAGGCAAAACUGACCAACAUUUGGGGAAAAAGUCGAAAAAGAGGCCAUAACCCACCUCGGCCGUUGUAACGAUAUGGAAACUCGUACAUAGCACCGCGUAGGUAUUAGGCACGCGUUAUAACUUACGGGACUCGAUUCCAAUUUACGGAGGCCGAGUUAUCAGCCCGUAGGCAAAACUGACCAACACUUAGGCAAAAAGUCGAAAAAGAGGCCAAAACCAACCUCGGCCGUCGUAACAAUACGCAAAGACAUACAUAGCACUGCAUGGGUAUUAGGCACGCGUUAUAACUUACAGGACUCGAUUCUGACUUACGGAGGCCAAGUUAUUAGCCCGUAAGCAAAACUGAACAACAUUUAGGUAAAAAGUCAAAAAAGGGGCGAAAAUUAGCCUCAGUCGUCGUAAUAACACAAAAAUAUAUACAUAGCACCACGUAGGCCUUAGGCACGCGUUACAACUUACGGAACUCGAUUCUGACUUACGGAGGCCGAGUUAUCAGCCCGUAGGCAAAAUUGACCAACACUUAGGCAAAAAGUCGACAAAGAGGCCAAAACCCGCCUCGGCCAUCGUAAUAAUACACAAACAUGUAUAUAGCACUGCAUAGGUAUUAGGCACGCGUUACAACUUACGGGACUCGAUUCUGACAUACGGAGGCCAAGUUAUCAGCCCGUAGGUAAAACUGACCAAUACUUAGGCAAAAAUUCAAAAAAGAGGCCAAAACCCGUCUCGACCGUCGUAAUGACACAAAAACACAUACAUAGUACAGCAUAGGUAUUUGACACGCGUUACAACUUACGGAGGGCGAGUUAUCAGCCUGUAGGGAAAACUGACCAACACUUAGGCAAAAAGUCAAAAAAGAGGAUAAAACACGCCUCGGCCAUUGUAACAAGACGCAAACACAUAUAUUGUACUGUGUAGGUAUUAGGCACGCGUUACAAUAUACGGGACUCGAUUCUGACUUACGGAGGCCGAGUUAUCAGCUAGUAGGCAAAAUUGACCAACACUUAUGCAAAAAGUCGAAAAGGAGGCCAAAAUCCGCCUCGACCGUCGUAAUGACACGCAAACACAUACAUAGUAUCGCGUAGGUGUUAGGAAUGCAUUAUAACUUACGGAACUAGAUUUCGACUUACGUUGGCCGAGUUAUCAGUCCGUAAGCAAAACUGACCAACACUUAGGCAAAAAGUCGAAAAAAGGCCAAAACCUGCCUUGACUAUCGUAACGAAACACAAACAUGUAAAUAGGACCGCAUAGGUAUUAGGCAAAUAUUACAACUUACGGGACUCGAUUCCGACAGACGGAGGCCGAGUUAUAAGCCCGUAGGCAAAACUGACCAACACUUAGGCAAAAAGUCAAAAAAGAGGCCACAACCCGUCUCGGCCAUCGUAACGAGACGCUAGCACAUACAUAGCACCGCUUAGGUAUUAGGAACGCGUUACAACUUACGGGACUCAAUUCCGACUUACGGAGGCCUAGUUAUCAGCCUGUAGGCAAAACUGACCAACACUUAGGCAAAAAAUCGAAAAAGAGGCCAAAACUCUUCUCGGCUGUAUUAACGACACGCAAACACAUACAUAGCACCGCGUAGGUAUUAGGCACGCGUUACAACUUACGAGACUCGAUUCCGACUUACGGAGGCCAAGUUAUCAGCCCAUAGGCAAAACUGACCAACAUUUAGGCAAAAAGUCGAAAAAGUUCCCAAAAACCCGUCUCGGCCGUCGUAAUAAGACGUAAAGUAAUACAUAGCACCGCGUCAGAAUUAGGCACACGUUACAACUUAUAGGACUCGAUUCUGACUUACGAAGGCAGAGUUAUUAGCCCAUUGGCAAAACUGACCAACACUUAGGCAAAAAGUCAAAAAAGAGGCCAAAAUUAGCCUCGGUCGUCGUAAUGACACAGAAACAUAUACAUAGCACCACGUAGACAUUAGGCACGCGUUACAACUUACGGGACUCGAUUUUGACUUACGGAGGCUGAGUUAUUAGCCCGUAGACAAAACUGACCAACACUUGGGCAAAAACUCGAAAAAAGGCCAAAACACGCCUUGGCCGUCAUAACGAUACGCAAACACUUAUAUAGCACUGUGUAGGUAUUAGGCACGUGUUACAACUUACAAAACUCGAUUCAGACGUGUAUAGGCCAAGUUAUCAGCCCGUAGGCAAAACUGACCAACACUUAGGCAAAAAGUCGAAAAAGUGGCCAAAAACCCGUCUCGGCCGUCGUAAUAAAACGCAAACUAAUACAUAGCACCAUGUCAGAAUUAGGCACGCGUUACAACUUAUAGGACUCGAUUCUGACUUACGGAGGCCGAGUUAUUAGCCCAUUGGCAAAACUGACCAACACUUAGGCAAAAUGUCAAAAAAGAGGCCAAAAUUAGCCUCGGUCGUCGUAAUGACACACAAACAUAUACAUAGCACCACGUAGGCAUUAGGCACGUAUUACAACUUACGGGACUCAAUUUCAACUUACGGAGGCCGAGUUAUCAGCCCGUAGGCAAAACUGACCAACACUUAUGCAAAAAGUCAAAAAAGAGGCCAAAACUCGCAUCGGCCAUCGUAACAACAUGCAAACACAUACAUAGCAUCGCGUAGGUAUUAGGCACACAUUACAACUUACGGGACUCGAUUCCGACAGACGAAGGCCGAGUUAUCAGCCCGUAGGCAAAACUGACCAACACUUAGGCAAAAAGUCAAAAAAGAGGCCAAAACUCUCCUCAGCUGUAGUAACGACACGCAAACACAUACAUAGCACCGCGUAGGUAUUAGGCACGCGUUACAACUUACGGGACUCGAUUCUGACUUACGGAGGCCAAGUUAUCACCCCGUAGGCAAAACUGACCAACACUUAGGCAAAAAGUUGAAAAAGUUCCCAAAAACCCGUCUCCGCCGUCGUAAUAAGACGCAAAGUAAUACAUAGCACCGCGUCAGAAUUUGGAAUGCGUUACAACUUACAGGACUCGAUUCUGACUUACGAAGGCCGAGUUAUUAGCCCAUUGGCAAAACUGACAAACAUUUAGGCAAAAAGUCAAAAAAGAGGCCAAAAUUAGCCUCGGUCUUCGUAAUGACACACAAACAUAUACAUAGAACCACGCAGACAUUAGGCACGCGUUACAACUUACAGGACUCGAAUUUGACUUACAGAGGCCGAGUUAUCAGCCCGUAGGCAAAACUGACCAACACUUGGGCAAAAACUCGAAAAAAGGCCAAAAUCCGCCUUGGCCGUCAUAACGACACGCAAACACGUAUAUAGCACUGUGUAGGUAUUAGGCAUGUGUUACAACUUAUAGGACUCGAUUCAGACUUAUAUAGGCCGAGUUAUCAGCUCGUAGGCAAAACUGACCAACACUUAGGUAAAAAGUUAAAAAAGAGGCUGAAACUCGCCUCGGCCGUCGUAACGAUACGCAAAGAAGUACAUAGCACCGUGUAGGUAUUAGGCAUGAGUUAUAACUUACGGGACUCGAUUCUGACUUACGGAGGCCGAGUUAUCAGCCCGUAGGCAAAACUGACCCAACACUUAGGUAAAAAGUUAAAAAAUAAGCCAAAACCCGCCACGGCCAUCGUAAUGAUACGCAAAUACAUACAUAGCACCGCGUAGGUAUUAGGCAUGUGUUACAACUUACGGGACUCGAUUCUGACUUACGGAGGCCGAGUUAUCAGCUCGUAGACAAAACUGACCAACACUUAGGUAAAAAGUCAAAAAAGAGGCCAAAACCCGCCUCGGUCGUCGUAACAACACGCAAACACGUAUAUAUCACUGUGUAGGUAGUAGGCACGCGUUACUACUCACGGGACUCGAUUCUGAUUUACCGAGGCCGAGUUAUAAGCCCGUAGGCAAAAUUGACCAACACUUAGGCAAAAAGUCGAAAAAGAGGCCAAAACCCGCCUCAACCGUUGUAAUGAGAAGGAAACUCGUACAUAGUACCGCGUAAGUUUUAGGCAUGCGUUACAACUUACGAAACUCGAUUCCGACUUACGGAGGCCGAGUUAUAAGCCUUUAGGCAAAAUUGACCAACACUUAGGUAAAAAGUCAAAAAAGAGGCCAAAACCCGCCUCAGCCAUCGUAACGAUACGCAAACACAUGCAUAGCACCGCGUUGGUAUUAGGCAUACAUUACAACCUACAGGACUCGAUUUCGACAUACGGAGUCCGAGUUAAUUACUCCUUACUUAUCACACUGAAACUCUCAACUUAAUUGAUUAGCGUGUAUUGACCAUUAAAGUCCUUAACCAUAGAACUUUAACCAAAGAUGGAGUUUUUACUUUCAACCAAUUGUCUUUUAUACACAAAAUAUGAGUAAAGCCUAAAAAGUUAAAUUCUUUUAUUGAGAAUACAUCAACAUUAAAUAUGGUGAUAAAAAUAAUGACGCUGAAUGUUGUUUCUUCAAAAAAAAAAAGUAAUGGUUGAAUAUUUAUUAUAAGGGCAUAAAAGUAAAACAAUGAACCAACUAAAUUUUAUAAAUAAUAAGUAGCCUAUAUAUUGGGACAUCCCAAAAUGAAAAAUCACCCUAUAACUAUGGGACGGAAGGAGUAUUUAUAUUCAAAAUUUUAGAAACAAUUUAAACAUGUAAGAAAUCGAACUAGUCGAACCAAUCUCGAACUUAUCAAACCAAACUCGAACUUAUCGAGUCAAUCUCGAACUUAUCGAACUGAACUCGAACUUAUCGAACCGAACCACAUGGUUCGCGAACAUGUUCGAUCGAGCAAUCGAACGUAACACUAUGUGCAAACUCGACUCGACUAGGCGAGCAUCGAAUUCGAACUGAACCGGUUCACGAACGUUUGCAGCCCUACAGUAAUAUACUACAUACCUGAAGGGCAUACAAGGCAAUUUUAACUAAACUGCUGAAAGAUGAUACAAUCCAUAUCGCAAAACUUUUUGGUUCUCACUAUUUUAUCAAAUCAACUAGAUAAUAGCUCAUAAUUGACAUGAACAUAUAAUGAAGAAAUUAACACUUCAAACCAAAGAUAACAGCUUUGUGACGACCAGUUUCAUCAAAUGAUUCAUCUCCAGAUGAAACAGUCACAUUAUACAGAAAGCUUAGUAAUUGAUAACAUCGGUAGAAUGUCUAAAAGAGAAACUGGCAUGGAUAAAGCCCUCAAGAGAACAUGACAUCAAGACUUAAGAUAUUUAAGUUGUCUACUCUAUGCUCAACAUAUGAACCAGAAAGUCUAGAAGUCCCAAGAACUGUGACCUGCAAUUGAAUGAACAAACAAUUUCAAAUAAUUAGACCAUUUAAUGUAGUCAUUCGAAGAAAGCAGGGACUUCGAGAAGUUAUGAAAAAAUGUCAUAAAAAAAAGAAGAAGAAAAGAGAUGUCUUGAUGCAGUACGGAAGAAGAAAUUCAAUAAGUUUAUUAUUAAUUUUGUAUUUUUAUUUAGAGAUAAAUGUAUUAUUAAUGAAAUUAUUUAGUAGGAUAUUAUAGUAAUAGCUUUUCAUUAUGAGAGUUUUAAUUGUAGUAAUAGAUUUCAAUUAGGAGAGUUUAUAAUAGUAGUAGAUUUUAGUUAGAAGAUUGUUUCCUAGUAUUGGGUUUUAUAUUUAAGCAUUGUAAUACUUCAUAAGUUUCUGAAAUUUUCAAUUCAGACCCUUAGGUUUUUGAAAUUUUCAAUUCUGUCCCCAAAGUUUCUAAAAUUUUCAAUUCAGCCCCUAAAGUUUCUGAAAUAUUCAAUUUAGCCCCCAUAGUUUUUGAAUUUUCAAUUUAACCCCCAAAGUUUUUAAAGUUUUCAAUUCAGCCCCUCUACAUAUAUACAAUGUCUUCCAGGUUUAACAAUCCAGACUUUCUUUGGGCUAAGAUAAAGCAACUUGAGCAUCGAACUUUGAUCAUAUGCGAGCAAUUUAAAUGGUCUUGUGUCCCGUAUAGUGCGAGAGUAUUGGAAAUUAUGUGAUGAGCUUGCACUUUCUGAAAAAAGUCUUGCAAAUUUAAAGGCACAUUACGAGUACAUAACCACAUGUUUUGUUUGUCCAUGUUUUGUUCAGGCACCAAAAAUUUUCAUCUUAAUCGUGUUUGUUCAACUAAAGCGACGCGUUCACAAGAGGAAACCUGCAACGUAAAUUCUUACAAGACAAUUGAUGACUAUUUCACAAUACUUAAACGUCUCAAUAACCAAUAUGAAAUUGGUAAGGAUAAAGAAGAGCAAGUACUCUCACAUAUUAAUGCUGGUGAGAAACAUGAAUCGGAAGUUAAGUGUGUUGAAAAACUUGCAGAUUCAGAGAUGAUUUGCAGUGAGAAAAUUGAAGUUAAGUUUGACCCCAAAUGCGAAAACAUCAAGGAAGAUAAAGUUGAGGUCAACAAUACUGAUUUUCUCUUUCCCGUUGAUACAGUUGAGUUCCCAACUACUUCAAAUUUCUAUAUUAUGUCAUUGUUAUUCCCAAAAAUUGUGCUAAUGACAUUAAAACAUUGGAUGCGAAUGUUUUGUUGGAAGAAAUCUCUCGGGCCGUGGUUUAUUAUUCUACGAUAUUUCAACUCGAGGACAAGUUUUUUUCUAAGGCGAGGAGAAUGAUGAAGUAUGGAAGAAAAAAUUCAAUAAGUUUGUUAUUAAUUUUGUAUUUUUAUUUAGAGAUAAAUGUGUUAUUAAUUAAAUUAUUUAGUAGGAUAUUAUAGUAAUCGUUUUUCAUUAGGAGAGUUUUAAUUGUAGUAGUAGAUUUCAAUUAGGAGAGUAUUAUAGUAGUAGAUUUUAGUUAGAAGAUUGUUUCCUUUCUAANNNNNNNNNNNNNNNNNNNNNNNNNNNNNNNNNNNNNNNNNNNNNNNNNNNNNNNNNNNNNNNNNNNNNNNNNNNNNNNNNNNNNNNNNNNNNNNNNNNNUAUUGAAUAUAUUGAUUUGAGAUUAAAACUGUGUGCUUUUGUGUGUGUUUCUUUACCGAUUCUCUGCGGGAGAUAGGUACUCUUAUUCCUUCUUCCUACCCCGUCCUACAUCAUGUCUACUUAAGAGUGCCAUACACAAAUCUUAAUAUUUGCAAGGAAAAGUCAACAAAAGUAGGACUCUCUUCUCCAGAUGGAGGAAGUGAUCCGUAUUUCGUUUUCAUAUCAGUCUUUUUUAAUAUUUUGCUCCUAUUUUCUUUUAGCAUCUCUAUGGCCAGUGCUAGUAAUACCAUCUUAGCCUUUUAACUGUCUGCAACACACUUAUGUGCAGUAAACAAGCAAUGAACCAACACAAUGAGAAACAUGGAUGAUAACACAUUGCUAGGUCCAAAUUUUGUAUGCUAUUUAUCUGCCUCUAUAAAAGUGUUUACAAGAAAAAAACACAUAUGUUUAUACCUUUCCCCAUUCAGAACCAAGACCACCACAUCUUAUUUUCAAGUGUAUCAUCCUCGUUCCCAGUUCAUUCUCUACUUUCUUUCGCAAAAAGGUCUCAUCAGGUCCAAAUGCUUCCAGAUAUGCAGUGUAACGUUCAAAAGCAGUGUUUAAUGCUUUAACAAAUUCAUAUGGUAAAGUUCUGACAUUCUGCAGAAAUAUUCACAUAAGUAUACAACAUGAAUCCGAGAAACAGUAAAUAAAUAAGUGUCACCAAUGACAAUGUUUUUAUGUAACCUCGCCACUCAAUCCAAGGUUGUCAUCAAUUUCCAUCCUCAAAGAUACAAGUUUUCCCGUAAAUUCCUCAACUGCCUCAGCUGCACGGAGUAUAUUAGCCAAGAUCUUCUGGCCAACCUUGUCUUCUGUAUUUUUAGACAAUGCCUUGUUUGCAUAAUGAAUGACAGCAUUUGGGAGCUCAUCCCAACUUGCAGCCAUCAAGUCCUUGACAACAGUUUCGAUCUCACGAUCAUUUAUGGCAGGCAUGUGACUGAAAUAACGCCUGCUUCCAAUGUUCAUCGAACUCGAGAGAGGGGACCGGAAAUCUCGUAAUAUCAAAUGACAUCGCAUUAUUCUUUUUGGCAGGUAAUACAAAAAGAUAUACUAACUCAAAACAGGAAAGCUAAAGCUCAUAGAUAAUGUAUAUCUAUUGACUCUAGCCAAGCCUAACCAAAGUCCACAAUGCAGAAAAUCUGUCCUAAAGACACCAAAUGAUGCAACUUCUAAAUAAAUGCUCAUUAGUAAAUUUGUGUCCUAAAAGCACUCUCCACAUAAAGAUGUUAAGUACCCAGAUCAAUCUUGUUGAACAAAAUGCCACUCAAGUAGAAUUAUUCCAUCCCAAGAUAUUAUAAUUUAUAUAUAUAUAUAUAUAUAGUAGGAACAAAAGAGAAAAAUAAGCAAGGACGAUAACGAAGAAAGUACCAGGAGUGAGGCGUUUUGCAACAGUUGGGAGAUGGAAACAACGGAGUCCACGGCUGAGGUGAUGCUGGUUGCUUGUAGUGGCGGUAGCGGUGGCCGCAGUAGAGAAACCUAGGGAUCUACGAUAGAUCGAACGGUAUAGAGAUCUCAUCGUAACAAUUUUCUCCAUUUUCGUUCUUGGAGUGACGACCCUUUUCCCUACUGCCGUUCGGCAACAACAUAUUUUAAAAUGACUUAAAGUUAAAAUUUAAGUUGACUUAUAAGUUAUUUUAAGUUAUGACUUAUAAGUAAAAGCGUUCAACAUCAAUUUGACUUAAAAGUUAGAAAUUAAGUUAAAACAAGUUAUGAAGGUGUUUAGCUAAUAAUGACUUAUAAGUUAAAGACUAAAAGACAAUUUGCACCCCAAAUUUUACAUCGUUUUUUACUUUUGCACCCCAAACCGAAAAAGGUGUCUAAGUACACCCCAAACUUCAUUAUACGUAACAAAACGCACACUUUCUUCACUUAACCGGUCAAAAGUGACCGGCUAAGACUGUAACACAAGUUUGGGGUGCAAAUUAUCUUUUAGUCUUAAAAAUUGGUAAAAAUAAUUACUUUUAAAUAAAAUAAAAUAAUUUUAAAUAAAUAAUUAGUUUUAAAAAUAAAAAUAAACUAAUUAAUUUAAAAUAAAAUAAUUAAAAUAAUAAAAUUAAAAUAAAUAUUAGGAAUUAACAAUUAAUCAUUAAUCAUUAACUUGUAAAAUGAUUAUUUUAUUUUUAUUUUUUAAAUUAAUUAUUAAUCAUUCCGGUUAAAAAAUUAUUAACUUGUAAAAAAAUUAUUUUUGCCACAUAAAAAAAAUUCUGUUUUUUUUUUAAAAACAUAAUUUUGUUAAAAAUUCUUCUUUUUAACUUGUAAAAAAAAUUAUGUUUUUUGUUUAAAAUUAUGUUUUUAAAAAUUAUGUUUUUGUUUUUAAAAACAGAAUUUUUUUUUAAAGAAAAUAAAAUUCUAUUUUUAAAAAAUUUUGUGUAAAAAAAAUCAUUAACAAAACAUAAUUUACAAGUUAAUGAUUAAUAAUUAAUCAAUAACUUGUAAAAUGAUUAAUUUUUAAAAAUAUAAUUUUGAAAAAUAUGUAUCAUAUAUAUAUUGUAAGACCCCAAAUAAUUAAUAAAUGAAAUUUAAUUUCCUCUAAUUAUUAUUUUGAAAUAGUAAGGGUUGAUGUGANNNNNNNNNNNNNNNNNNNNNNNNNNNNNNNNNNNNNNNNNNNNNNNNNNNNNNNNNNNNNNNNNNNNNNNNNNNNNNNNNNNNNNNNNNNNNNNNNNNNCCGACGCCCUCCAAUUGCCUCCGAUUACAUAAUAGUCACAAAGAUGACUGUUUUGACCCUUCCUAAUGACCUCAAAUUGAAAAACUUAAAGAAUAAAAGUUGUAGGUAUAUUCGUCCUCGUUUCGAAUAAUCUUGAGUCACCUUAAUCGGAGUUCGAAUGAAAAAGUUAUGGCUGUUUUAGUAAAACAUGUCCUGUCAGAUUUUUUUUCCAAAAUUGGCAAGGCAGACUACCCCCCCGUCGGGGCGGGGGUUUUUGCACUUGGGGGCCCCACCGGGCCGGGGGUCCCUGCUGCGAUUUUCGAUUUUAUGUUCUGUAACUCUACGGAAAACCAAAUUAGGCCUCCAAACUCCUUUCUAACAACCAUACUAACCUAUCUAAGGUGUAAUAGGUUUACAGAAAUAUAAUCUAAUGUUUUCUAACGCGUUUCUAACCACAUAAACAACACACACCAUCUAGGAUCAUCACUCCGUUCCCCAACUCGUCCCAGCUACGUUCUCAUUUCCUGAAGAGAACAGUGAAAGAAAGGGUGAGCUCGACUAGCCCAGCAAGAAAUAUUAUGACUAAGAUAAUGCAGAAUAAACUAUCAUUAGUCUUCAACAAUGUUAAACUGAUAAAAAACAAUAGACAUCAAGUUUAACUGUAGCGGAACAAGCAAUCCAUUAAAAGAGUCAAGUAGAGAAUAAAUUCUACUAUCUUUUAGGUAUUAGGCACACGUUAAAACUUACGGGACUCGAUUCCAACUUACGUAGGCCGAGUUAAUAGCCCAUAGGCAAAACUGACCAACACUUAGGUAAAAAACCAAAAAAGAGGCUAAAACCCGCCUCGGCCGUCGUAAUGUCACGCAAACUCGUACAUAGUACCGCGUAGGUAUUAGGCAUGCGUUACAACUAACGGAACUCGAUUCUGACUUACGAAUGUCGAGUUAUCAGCCCGUAGGCAAAACUGACCAACACUUAGGUAAAAAGUCGAAAAAGAUGCCAAAAACUAGUCUCGACCGUCGUAAUAAGACGCAAACUAAUACAUAGCACCACAAAGGAAUUAGGCACGCGUUACAACUUACGGAACUUGAUUCUAACUUACGGAGGCCGAGUUAUCAGCCCAUUGGCAAAACUGACCAACACUUAGGUAAAAAGUCAAAAAAGAGGCCAAAAUUAGCCUCGGCCGUCGUAAUAACACACAAACAUAUACAUAGCAACACGUAGGCAUUAGGCACACGUUACAACUUACGGGACUCAAUUUCGACUUACGGAGGCCGAGUUAUCAGCCCGUAGGCAAAACUGACCAAUACUUAGGCAAAAAGUCAAAAAAGUGGUCAAAACUCACCUCGGCCAUCGUAACGACACGCAAACACAUACAUAGCAUCACGUAGGUAUUUGGCACGCAUUAAAACUUACGAGACUCGAUUCCAAUAGACGGAGGCCGAGUUAUCAGCCCGUAGGUAAAACUGACCAAUAGUUAGGUAAAAAGUCAAAAAAGAGGCCAAAACUCACCUUGGCUGUAGUAACGACACACAAACACAUACAUAGCACCACGUAGGUAUUUGGCACGUGUUAUAACUUACGGGACUCGAUUCCGAAUUACGGAGGCCGAGUUAUCAGCCCGUAGGCAAAACUGACCAACACUUAUGCAAAAAGUCGAAAAAGAUGCCAAAAACCAAUCUCGACCGUCGUAAUGAGAUGCAAACUAAUACAUAGCACCGCGUAAGAAUUAGGCACGCGUUACAACUUACAGGACUUGAUUCUGACUUACGGAGGCCGAGUUAUCAGCCCAUUGGCAAAACUGGCCAACACUUAGGCAAAAAGUCAAAAAAGAGGCCAAAAUUAGCCUCGGCCGUCGUAAUGACACACAAACAUAUACAUAGCACCACGUAGGCAUUAGGCUCGCGUUACAACUUACGGGACUCAAUUUUGACUUACGGAGGCCGAGUUAUCAGCCCAUAGGCAAAACUGACAAACACUUAGGCAAAAACUCGAAAAAGAGGCCAAAACCCGCCUCGACCGUCAUAACGACAUGAAAACACGUAUAUAGCACCGUGAAGGUAAUAGGCACGUGUUACAACUUACGGGACUCAAUUCUAACUUACAUAGGCCGAGUUAUCAGCCCGUAGGCAAAACUAACCAACACUUAGGGAAAUAGUCAAAAAAGAGUCCAAAACCCGCCUCGCCCGUUGUAACGAAACGCAAACAUGUACAUACAACCGCGUAGAUAUUAGGCACGUGUUACAAGUUAUGGGGCUCGAUUCCGACUAACAGAGGCCGAGUUAUCAGCCCGUAGGCAAAACUGACUAACACUUAGGCAAAAAGUUAAAAAAGAUGCCAAAACUCUCCUUAGUUGUAGUAACGACACGCAAACACAUAUUUAGCUCUGCGUAGAUAUUAGGCACGCGUUACAACUUACAGGACUCGAUUCCGACCUACAGAGGCCGAGUUAUCAGCCUGUAGGUAAAACUGACCAACACUUAGGCAAAAAGUCAAAAAAGAGGCCAAAACCCGUUUCGGCAGUCGUAAAGACACACAAACAUGAACAUAGUACCGUGUAGGUAUUAGGCACAUGUUAGAACUUACGGGACUCGAUUCUGACUUACAGAGGCCGAGUUAUCAGCUCGUAGGCAAAACUGACCAACACUUUGGCAAAAUGUCAAAAAAGAGGUCAAAACCGCCUCGGCCGUCGUAACAACACGCAAACAUGUGUAUAGUACCGCGUAGGUAUUAGGCACAUGUUACAACUUACAGGACUCGAUUCCAACUUACGGAGGCCGAGUUAUCAUCCCGUAGCCAAAACUGACUAACACUUUGGCAAAAUGUCGAAAAAAGAGGCCAAAACCGUCUCGGCCGUCGUAACAACACGUAAACACAUACAUAGAACCACGUAGAUAUUAGGCACAUGUUACAACUUACGGGACUAAUUUCUGACUUACGGAGGCCGAGUUAUCAGUCCGUAGGCAAAACUCGCCAACACUUAGGCAAAAAGUCAAAAAAGAGGCCAAAACCCGCCUCGACCGUCGUAACAACACGCAAACACAAACAUAGCACAAUGUAAGUAUUAAGCACGCGUUAAAAUAUAUGUUGCUUGAUUCCGACUUACAGAGGCUGAGUUAUCAGCCCGUAGGCAAAACUCACCAAUAAUUAGGUAAAAAAUUAAAAAAGAGGCCAAAACCCGCCUCGGCCGUUGUAACGACACGAAAAUACAUGCAUAGUACCGCGUAGGUAUUAGGCAUGCAUUAAAACUUACGGGACCCGAUUCCAACUUACGUAGGCCGAGUUUAGGCAAAACUGACCAACACUUAGGUAAAAAGUCAAAAAAGAAGCCAAAACCGGCUUCGGCCGUCGUAACGACACGUAAACACGUACAUAUCACCGUGUAGGUAUUAGGCAUGUGUUACAACUUGUGGGACUCUAUUCCGAUUUACGGAGGCCGACUUAUCAGCCCGUAGGCAAAACUGACUAACACUUAGACAAAAUAUCGAAAAAGAGGUCAAAACCCGCCUCGGUCUUCAUAACGACACGCAAACACGUACAUAGCACCGCGUAGGUAUUAGGCACGCGUUACAACUUAUGAAACUCGAUUUCGACUUACGGAGGCCGAGUUAUUAGCCCGUAGGCAAAUCAGACCAACACUUAGGCAAAAAGUCAAAAAAGUGGUCAAAACCAGCCUCAGCCGUCCUAAGGACACGCAAACACGUACAUAGUACCACGUAGGUAUUAGGCACGUGUUACAACUUGUGGGACUCUAUUCCGAUUUACGGAGGCCGACUUAUCAGCCCAUAGGCAAAACUGACAAACACUUUGACAAAAAGUCAAAAAAGAGGCCAAAACCCGCCUCGGUCUUCAUAACGACAUGCAAACACGUACAUAGCACCGCGUAGGUAUUAGGCAAGCAUUACAACAUAUGGGACUCGAUUCCGACUUACAUAGGCCGAGUUAUCAGCCCGUAGGCAAAACUGACCAACACUUUAGCAAAAAGUCGAAAAAGAGUCCAAAAUCCGCCUUGGCCAUCGUAACAAUAUGCAAACUUGUAUAUAGCACAGCGUGGGUAUUAGGAAUGCAUUACAAAUUAUGGAAUUCGUUUCUGACAUACGGAGGCCAAGUUAUCAGCCCGUAGGCAAAAUUGACCAAUACUUGGCAAAAAGUCAAAAAAGAGGCCAAAACCCGUCUCGGUCGUCAUAAUGACACACAAACACAUACAUAGCACUACGUAGGUAUUAGACACGCGUUACAACUUAUGGAACUCGAUUCCAACUUACGGUGGCCGAGUUACCAGCCCGUAGGCAAAAUUGACCAACAAUUAUACAAAAUGUCAAAAAAGAGGACAAAACCCGCCUCGGCCGUCGUAACAACACGCAAACACGUGCAUAGUACCGCGUAGGUAUUCGGCAUGCGUUACAACUUACGGGACGCAAUUCCAACUUACAGAGGUCAAGUUAUCAGCCCGUAGUCAAAACUGACUAACACUUAGGCAAAAAGUCGAAAAAGAGGCCAAAACCCACCUCGGUCGUCAUAACAACACGUAAACACAUACAUAGCACCGCGUAGGUACUAGGCAUACGUUACAACUUACAGGACUAAUUUCCGACUUACGGAGGCCGAGUUAUCAGUCUGUAGGCAAAACUCGCCAACACUUAGGCAAAAAGUCAAAAAAGAGGCCAAAACUCGUCUCGACCGUCGUAACAACACACAAACACAUACAUAGCACAAUGUAGAUAUUAGACAUGCGUUACAAUAUAUGUUACUCGAUUCUGACUUACGGAGGCCGAGUUUUUAGCCCGUAGGCAAAACUUACCAACACUUAAGUAAAAAGUUAAAAAAGAGGCCGAAACCCGCCUCGACCGUUGUAACGACACAAAAACAUAUGCAUAGUACCGCAUAGGUAUUAGGCACACGUUAAAACUUACGGGACUCGAUUCCAACUUACGUAGGCCGAGUUAAUAGCCCGUAGGCAAAACUGACCAACACUUAGGUAAAAAAUCAAAAAAGAGGCUAAAACCCGACUCGGCCGUCGUAAUGUCACGCAAACUCGUACAUAGUACCGCGUAGUUAUUAGGCAUGCGUUACAACUUACGGAACUCAAUUCUGACUUACGGAAGCCGAGUUAUCAGCCCGUAGGCAAAACUGACCAACACUUAGGUAAAAAGUCAAAAAAGAGGCCAAAACCCACCUCGGCCGUCAUAACGACUCGCAAACACAUACAUAGCACCGCGUAGGUAUUAGACACUCGUUACAACUUACGGGACUCGAUUCUGACUUACGGAGGCCGAGUUAUCAGCCCGUAGGUAAAACUCGACAACACUUAGUUAAAAAGUCGAAAAAGAUGCCAAAACCCACCUCGGCCGUCGUAACAACACGCAAAUACAUACAUAGCACUGCAUGGGUAUUAGGCACGCAUUAUAACUUACGGGUCUCAAUUCUGACUUACGGAGGCCGAGUUAUCAGUCCGUAAGCAAAACUGAACAACAUUUAGGUAAAAAGUCAAAAAAGAGGCCAAAACCCACCUCGGCCGUCAUAACGACUCGCAAACACAUACAUAGCACCGCGUAGGUAUUAGACACUCGUUACAACUUACGGGACUCGAUUCUGACUUACGGAGGCCGAGUUAUCAGCCCGUAGGCAAAACUCGACAACACUUAGGCAGAAAGUCGAAAAAGAGGCCAAAACCCGCCUCGACCGUCGUAACAGUACGCACACACAUACAUAGAACAGCAUCGGUAUUAGGCACGUAUUAUAACUUACGGGACUCAAUUCUAACUUACGGAGGCCAAGUUAUCAGCCCGUAGUUAAAACUGACCAACACUUAGGCAAGAGGUCAAAAAAGAGGCCAAAACCCGCCUCGGUAGUCGUAAAGACACGCAAACAUGAACAUAGCACCGUGUAGGUAUUAGGCAUGUGUUAGAACUUACAUGACUCGAUUCCGACUUACGGAGGCCGAGUUAUCAGCCUGUAGGCAAAACUGACCAACACUUGAGCAAAAUGUCGAAAAAAGGCCAAAACCCGCCUCGGUCGUCGUAACAACAAGCAAACACGUGCAUAGUACCGUGUAGGUAUUAGGCACGCAUUACAACUUACGGGACUCGAUUCCGACAUACGGAGGCCGAGUUAUCAGCCCAUAGGCAAAACUGAACAAUACUUAGGCAAAAAGUCAAAAAAGAGGCCAAAACAUGCCUCGACCGUCGUAACGACACGCAAACACAUGCAUAGCACCGUGCAUGUAUUAGGCAUGUGCUACAACUUACGGGACUCGAUUCCGACAUACAUAGGACAAGUUGACAGCCCGUAGGUAAAAUUGACCAACACUUACGUAAAAAGUUAAAAAAAAAAGGCCAAAACACGCCACGGCUAUUGUAAUGACAUGCAAACACAUGCAUAUCACCGCGUAGGUAUUAAGCACUCAUUAUAACUCCUGACUCAAUUCUGACUUACGGAGGCCGAGUUAUCAGUUCGUAGGCAAAACUGACCAACACUUAGGGAAAAAUUCAAAAAAGAAGCCAAAACCCACCGCGGCCGUCGUAAAAACACGCAAAGACAUAGUACCGCGUAGGUAUUUGGCACACGUUACAGCUUACGGGACUCGAUUUUGAUUUACGGAGGUCGAGUUAUCAGCCCGUAGGCAAAACUAACUAACACUUAGGUAAAAAGUCAAAAAAGAAGCCAAAACCCGCCUCUGCCAUCGUAAUGUUCCGAAAACAAAUACAUAGCACCGCGUAGGUAUUAGGCAUGCGUAACAACUGACGGGACUCGAUUCCGACAUACGGAGGCCGAGUUAUCAGCCCGUAGGCAAAACUGACCAACACUUAGGUAAAAAGUUAAAAAAGAGGCCAAAACCUGCCUCGGCCGUUGUAACGACACGAAAACACAUGCAUAGUACCGCAUAGGUAUUAGGCACGCGUUAUAACUUACGGGACUCAAUUCUGACUUACGGAGGCCGAGUUAUCAGUCUGUAAGCAAAACUGAACAACAUUUAGGUAAAAAGUCAAAAAAGAGGCCAAAACCCGCCUCGGCCGUCAUAACAACUCGCAAACACAUACAUAGCACCGCGUAGGUAUUAGGCACUCGUUACAACUUAUGAGACUCAAUUUUGACUUACGGAGGCUGAGUUAUCAUACCGUAGGCAAAACUUACCAACAUAUAGGUCAAAAUUCGAAAAAGAGGCCAAAACCCGCCUCGUUCGUCGUAACAACACGCAAACACGUGCAUAGUACCGCGUAGGUAUUAGGCACGCAUUACAACUUACGAGACUCGAUUCCAACUUAUGGAGGCCGAGUUAUCAGCCCGUAGCCAAAACUGACCAACACUUAGGCAAAAAGUCGAAAAAGAGGCCAAAACCCGCCUCGACCGUCGUAACAACACGCAAACACAUAUAUAACACCGCGUAGGUAUUAGGCGUGUAUUACAAAUUACGGGACCCAAUUCAGACUUACGGAGGCCGAGUUAUUAGCCCGUAGGCAAAACUGACCAACACUUAGGUAAAAAGUUAAAAAAGAGGCCAAAACCCGCCUCGGGCGUUGUAUCAACACGAAAACACAUGCAUAGUACCGCGUAGGUAUUAGGCACGCGUUAAAACUUACAGGACUCGAUUCCAAAUUAUAGAGGCCGAGUUAUCAGCCCGUAAGCAAAACUGACCAACACUUAGGUAAAAAAUCAAAAAAAGAGGCCAAAACCCGCCUCGGCCGUCGUAAUAACACGCAAACACGCACAUAUCACCAUUUAGGUAUUAGGCACGCGUUACUACUUACGGGACUCGUUUUUGAUUUACUGAGACCGAGUUAUCAGCUCGUAGGCAAAACUGACCAACACUUAGGUAAAAAGUCAAAAAAGAGGCCAAAACCCGCCUCAGCCAUCGUAACGAUACGCAAACACAUACAUAGCACUGCGUAGGUAUUAUGCAUGCAUUACAACUUACGGUACCCGAUUUUGACAUACGGAGGCCGUUAUCAGCCCGUAGGCAAAACUGACCAACACUUAGGCAAAAAGUCAAAAAAGAAGCCAAAACUCACCUCGGCCGUCGUAACAACACUCAAAUACAUACAUAGCACUGCAUGGGUAUUAGGCAUGCGCUAUAACUUACGGGACUCAAUUCUGACUUACAGAGGCUGAGUUAUCAGCCCGUAAGCAAAACUGAACAACAUUUAGGUAAAAAGUCAAAAAAGAGGCCAAAACCCGCCUCGGCUGUCAUAACGACACGCAAACAUAUACAUAGCACCGCGUAGGUAUUAGACACUCGUUACAACUUACGGGACUCGAUUCUGACUUACGGAGGCCGAGUUAUCAGCCCGUAGGCAAAACUCGACAACACUUAGGCAGAAAGUCGAAAAAGAGGCCAAAACCCGCCUCGACCGUCGUAACAACACGCACACACAUACAUAACAACAUCGGUAUUAGGCACGUGUUAUAACUUACGGGACUCAAUUCUAACUUACGGAGGCCAAGUUAUCAGCCCGUAGGUAAAACUGACCAACACUUAGGCAAGAGGUCAAAAAAGAGGCCAAAACCCGCCUCGGCAGUCAUAAAGACACGUAAACAUGAACAUAGCACCGUGUAGGUAUUAGCCACGUGUUAGAACUUACAUGACUCAAUUUUGACUUAUAGAGGCCGAGUUAUCAGCCCGUAGGCAAAACUGACCAACACUUGAGCAAAAUGUCGAAAAAAAGGCCAAAACCCGCCUCGGCCAUCGUAACAACAAGCAAACACGUGCAUAGUACCGUGUAGAUAUUAGGCACGCGUUACAACUUACGGGACUCGAUUCCGACAUACGGAGGCCGAUUUAUCAGCCCAUAGGCAAAACUGAACAACACUUAGGCAAAAAAUCAAAAAAGAGGCCAAAACAUGCCUCGAUCGUCGUAACGACACGCAAACACAUGCAUAGCACCGUGCAUGUAUUAGGCAUGUGCUACAACUUACGGGACUCGAUUCCGACAUACGGAGGCCGAUUUAUCAGCCCAUAGGCAAAACUGAACAACACUUAGGCAAAAAAUCAAAAAAGAGGCCAAAACAUGCCUCGAUCGUCGUAACGACACGCAAACACAUGCAUAGCACCGUGCAUGUAUUAGGCAUGUGCUACAACUUACGGGACUCGAUUCCGACAUACGGAGGCCGAUUUAUCAGCCCAUAGGCAAAACUGAACAACACUUAGGCAAAAAAUCAAAAAAGAGGCCAAAACAUGCCUCGAUCGUCGUAACGACACGCAAACACAUGCAUAGCACCGUGCAUGUAUUAGGCAUGUGCUACAACUUACGGGACUCGAUUCCGACAUACGGAGGCCGAUUUAUCAGCCCAUAGGCAAAACUGAACAACACUUAGGCAAAAAAUCAAAAAAGAGGCCAAAACAUGCCUCGAUCGUCGUAACGACACGCAAACACAUGCAUAGCACCGUGCAUGUAUUAGGCAUGUGCUACAACUUACGGGACUCGAUUCCGACAUACGGAGGCCGAUUUAUCAGCCCAUAGGCAAAACUGAACAACACUUAGGCAAAAAAUCAAAAAAGAGGCCAAAACAUGCCUCGAUCGUCGUAACGACACGCAAACACAUGCAUAGCACCGUGCAUGUAUUAGGCAUGUGCUACAACUUACGGGACUCGAUUCCGACAUACGGAGGCCGAUUUAUCAGCCCAUAGGCAAAACUGAACAACACUUAGGCAAAAAAUCAAAAAAGAGGCCAAAACAUGCCUCGAUCGUCGUAACGACACGCAAACACAUGCAUAGCACCGUGCAUGUAUUAGGCAUGUGCUACAACUUACGGGACUCGAUUCCGACAUACGGAGGCCGAUUUAUCAGCCCAUAGGCAAAACUGAACAACACUUAGGCAAAAAAUCAAAAAAGAGGCCAAAACAUGCCUCGAUCGUCGUAACGACACGCAAACACAUGCAUAGCACCGUGCAUGUAUUAGGCAUGUGCUACAACUUACGGGACUCGAUUCCGACAUACGGAGGCCGAUUUAUCAGCCCAUAGGCAAAACUGAACAACACUUAGGCAAAAAAUCAAAAAAGAGGCCAAAACAUGCCUCGAUCGUCGUAACGACACGCAAACACAUGCAUAGCACCGUGCAUGUAUUAGGCAUGUGCUACAACUUACGGGACUCGAUUCCGACAUACAUAGGACAAGUUGUCAGCCCGUAGGCAAAAUUGACCAACACUUAGGUAAAAAGUUAAAAAAAAGGUCAAAACACGCCUCGACCAUUGUAAUGGCAUGCAAACACAUGCAUAGCACCGCGUAGGUAUUAAGCACGCAUUAUAACUCCUGACUCAAUUCUGACUUACGGAGGCCGAGUUAUCAGCUCGUAGGCAAAACUAACUGACACUUAGGUAAAAAGUCAAAAAAGAAGCCAAAACCUGCCUCGGUCGUCGUAAAAACACGCAAAGACAUAGCACCGCGUAGGUAUUAGGCACGCAUUACAGCUUACGGGACUCGAAUUCGAUUUACGGAGGCUGAGUUAUCAGCCCGUAGGCAAAACUAACUGACACUUAGGUAAAAAGUCAAAAAAGAAGCCAAAACCCGCCUCGGCCAUUAUAAUGUUACGAAAACAAAUACAUAGCACCGCGUAGGUAUUAGGCAUGCGUAACAACUUAUGGGACUCGAUUCCGACAUACGGAGGCCGAGUUAUCAGGCCGUUGGCAAAACUGACCAACACUUAGGUAAAAAGUCGAAAAAGCGGCCAAAACUCGCCUCGGCCGUUGUAACCACACGAAAACACAUGCAUAGUACCACAUAGGUAUUAGGCACACGUUAAAACUUACGGGACUCGAUUCCAACUUACGUAGGCCGAGUUAAUAGCCCGUAGGCAAAACUGACCAACACUUAGGUAAAAAAUCAAAAAAGAGGCUAAAACCCGCCUCGACCGCCAUAAUGACACGCAAACUCGUACAUAGUACCGCGUAGGUUUUAGGCAUGCGUUACAACUUACGGAACUCGAUUCUGACUUACGGAGGCCGAGUUAUCAGCCCGUAGGCAAAACUAACCAACACUUAGGUAAAAAGUCAAAAAAGAGGCCAAAACUCGCCUCAACCAUCGUAUUACGCAUGCGUUGAAACUUACAGUACUCAAUUCUGACAUACGUAGACCGAAUUAUAAGUCCGUAUACAAAAUUGACCAACAGUUAGGUAAAAAGUUAAAAAAUAGGCCAAAACCCGCAUCGACCAUUUUAACGACACGCAAAUACAUGUAUAGAACCGCGUAGGUAUUAGGCACGCGUUAAAACUUACGGGACUCAAUUCUAACUUACGGAGGCCGAGUUAUCAGCCCGUAGGCAAAACUGACCAAUAUUUGGGGAAAAAGUCAAAAACGAGGCCAAAACCCACCUCGGCCGUUGUAACGAUACGGAAACUUGUACAUAGCACCGUGUAGGUAUUAGGCACGCAUUACAUCUUACGGGACUCGAUUCUGAUUUAUGGAGGCCGAGUUAUCAGCCCGUAGGCAAAACAAACUAACACUUAGGUAAAAAGACAAAAAAGAAGCCAAAACCCGCCUCGGCCAUUGUAAUGAUACGCAAACACAUACAUAGCACCGCGUAGGUAUUAGGCAUAUGUUACAACUUACGGGACUCGAUUCCGACAUACGGAGGCCGAGUUAUCAGCCCGUAGACAAAACUGACCAACACUUAGGCAAAAAGUAGAAAAAGAGGCCAAAACUCGCCUCGGCCAUCGUAACAACACGCAAAAACAUACAUAGCAUCGUGUAGGUAUUCAGCAUGCAUUACAACUUACGGGACUCGAUUCCGAUAGACGGAGGCCGAGUUAUCAGGCCAUAGGCAAAACAGACCAACACUUAGGCAAAAAGUAGAAAAAGAGGCCAAAAUCCACCUCGGCCGUUGUAACGAUACAAAUACUAGUACAUAGGACGACGUAGGUAUUAGGCACGCGUUACAACUAAAGGGACUUGAUUCUGACUUACGGAGGCCGAGUUAUCAGCCCGUAAACAAAACUAACUAACACGUAGGUAAAAAGUCAAAAAAGAAGCCAAAACCCGCCUCGGCCAUCGUAAUGAUACGCAAAAACAUACAUAGCACCGCGUAGGUAUUAGUUUUACAUUACAAUGUAGGGACUCGAUUCCAACAUACGGAAGCCGAGUUACCCCGCCCGUAGGCAAAACUGAUCAACACUUUGGCAAAAAGUUGAAAAAGUGGCCGAAACUCGCCUCGGCCAUCGUAACGACAUGCAAACACAUACAUAGCAUCACGUAGGUAUUAGGCACGUAUUACAACUUACGGGACUCGAUUCCGACAGACGGAGGCCGAGUUAUCAGCCCGUAGGUAAAACUGACCAAUAGUUAGGCAAAAAGUCGAAAAAGAGGCCAAAACUCACCUCGGCUGUAGUAACGACACGCUAACACAUACAUAGCACCACGUAGGCAUUAGGCACACGUUAUAACUUACGGGACUUAAUUUCGACUUACGGAGGCCGAGUUAUCAGCCCGUAGGCAAAACUGACCAACACUUAGGCAAAAAGUCAAAAAAGAGGCCAAAAUUAACCUCGACCGUCGUAAUAACACACAAACAUAUACAUAGCACCACGUAGGCAUUAGGCACACGUUAUAACUUACGGGACUUAAUUUCGACUUACGGAGGCCGAGUUAUCAACCCGUAGGCAAAACUGACCAAUACUUAGGCAAAAAGUCGAAAAAGCGGCCGAAACUCGCCUCGGCCAUCGUAAUGACACGCAAGCACAUACAUAGCAUCACGUAGGUAUUUAGCACACAUUAAAACUUACGAGACUCGAUUCCAAUAGACGGAGGCCGAGUUAUCAGCCCAUAGGUAAAACUGACCAAUAGUUAGGUAAAAAAUCAAAAAAGAGGCCAAAAUUCACCUUGGCUGUAGUAACGACACGCAAACACAUACAUAACACCACGUAGGUAUUUGGCACGUGUUAUAACUUACGGGACUCGAUUCCAACUUAUGGAGGCCUAGUUAUCAGCCCGUAGGCAAAACUGACCAACACUUAUGCAAAAAGUCUAAAAAGAUGCCAAAAACCAGUCUCGACCGUCGUAAUGAGACGCAAACUAAUACAUAGCAUCACGUAGGAAUUAGGCACGCGUUACAACUUACAGGACUCGAUUUUGACUUACGGAGGCCGAGUUAUCAGCCCAUUGGCAAAACUGACCAACACUUAGGCAAAAAGUCAAAAAAGAGGCCAAAAUUAGCCUCAGUCGUCGGAAUGACACACAAACAUAUACAUAGCACCACGUAGGCAUUAGGCACGCAUUACAACUUACGGGACUCAAUUUUUACUUACGGAGGCCGAGUUAUUAGCCCAUAGGCAAAACUGACAAACACUUAGGCAAAAACUCGAAAAAGAGGCCAAAACCCGCCUCGACCAUUAUAACUACACGUAAACACGUAUAUAGCACCGUGAAGGUAAUAGGCACGUGUUACAACUUACGGGACUCAAUUCUGACUUACAUAGGUCGAGUUAUCAGCCCAUAGGCAAAACUAACCAACACUUAGGAAAAAAGUCAAAAAAGAGUCCAAAACCCGCCUCGGCCGUUGUAACGAAACGCAAACAUGUACAUAGAACCGCGUAGAUAUUAGGAACGCGUUACAAGUUACGGGACUCGAUUCCGACUUACGGAGGCCGAGUUAUCAGCCCGUAGGCAAAACUGACUAACACUUAGGAAAAAAGUUAAAAAAGAGGCCAAAACUCUCCUUGGUUGUAGUAACGACACACAAACACAUAUAUAGCACCGCGUAGAUAUUAGGCACGCGUUACAACUUACGGGACUCGAUUCUGACCUACGGAGGCUGAGUUAUCAGCCCGUAGGUAAAACUUACCAACACUUAGGCAAGAAGUCAAAAAAGAGACCAAAACUCACCUCGGCAGUCGUAAAGACACACAAACAUGAACAUAGUACCAUGUAGGUAUUAGGCACAUGUUAGAACUUACGAGACUCGAUUCCGACUUACAGAGGCCGAGUUAUCAGCCCGUAGGCAAAACUGACCAACACUUUGGCAAAAUGUCGAAAAAGAGGCCAAAACCGUCUCGGCCGUCGUAACAACACACAAAUAUGUGUAUAGUACCGCGUAGGUAUUAGGCACAUGUUACAACUUACGGGACUCGAUUCCAACUUACGGAGGCCGAGUUAUCAGCCCGUAGCCAAAACUGACCAACACUUUGGCAAAAUGUCGAAAAAGAGGCCAAAACCGCCUCGGCCGUCGUAACAACACGUAAACACAUACAUAGCACUGUGUAGGUAUUAGGCACACGUUACAACUUACGGGACUAAUAUCCGACUUACGGAGGCGGAGUUAUCAGUCCGUAGGCAAAACUCGCCAACACUUAGGCAAAAAGUCAAAAAAGAGGCCAAAACCCGCCUCGACCGUCGUAACGACACGCAAACACAAACAUAGCACAAUGUAGGUAUUAAGCACGCGUUACAAUAUAAGUUACUCGAUUUUGACUUACGGAGGCCGAGUUAUCAGCCCGUAGGCAAAACUGACCAACAAUUAGGUAAAAAAUUAAAAAAGAGGCCAAAACCUGCCUCGACCGUUGUAAUGACACGAAAAUACAUGCAUAGUACCGCGUAGGUAUUAGGCACGCAUUAAAACUUAUGGGACCCGAUUCCAACUUACGGAGGUCGAGUUAUCAGCCCGUAGGCAAAACUGACCAACACUUAGGUAAAAAGUCAAAAAAGAGGCCAAAACCCGCCUCGGCCGUCGUAACGACACGUAAACACGUACAUAUCACCGUGUAGGUAUUAGGCACAUGUUACAACUUAUGGGACUUUAUUCUGAUUUACGGAGGCCGACUUAUCAGCCCGUAGGCAAAACUGACUAAUACUUAGACAAAAUGUCGAAAAAGAGGUCAAAACCCGCCUCGGUCUUCAUAACGACACGCAAACACGUACAUAGCACCGCGUAGGUAUUAGGCACACGUUACAACUUACGAAACUCGAUUCUGACUUACGGAGGCCGAGUUAUCAACCCGUAGGCAAAAACUGGCCAACAUUUAGGUAAAAAGUCAAAAAAGAGGCCAAAACUAGCCUCAGCCGUCAUAAGGACACGCAAACACGUACAUAGCACCACGUAGGUAUUAGGCAUGUGUUACAACUUAUGGGACUCUAUUCCGAUUUACGGAGGCCGAGUUAUCAGCCCGUAGGCAAAACUGACUAACACUUAGAUAAAAAGUCGAAAAAAAGGCUAAAACCAGCCUCGGUCUUCAUAACGACACGCAAACACGUACAUAGCACCGCGUAGGUAUUAGGCAUGCAUUACAACAUAUGGGACUCGAUUCCGACUUACAUAGGCUGAGUUAUCAGCCCGUAGGCAAAACUGACCAACACUUUGGCAAAAAGUCAAAAAAGAGUCCAAAAUCUGCCUCGGCCAUCGUAACAAUAUGCAAACUUGUAUAUAGCACAACGUAGGUAUUAGGAACGCGUUACAAAUUAUGGAAUUCGUUUCUGACAUACGGAGGCCAAGUUAUCAUCCCGUAGGCAAAAUUGACCAAUACUUAGGCAAAGAGUCAAAAAAGAGGCCAAAACCCGUCUCGGUCGUCAUAAUGACAGACAAACACAUACAUAGCACUACGUAGGUAUUAGACACGCGUUACAACUUAUGUAACUCGAUUCCAACUUACGGAGGCCGAGUUACCAGCCCGUAGGCAAAACUGACCAACAAUUAUGCAACAUGUCAAAAAAGAGGCCAAAACCCGCCUCGGCCGUCGUAACAACACGCAAACACGUGCAUAGUACCGCGUAGGUAUUCGGCACGCGUUACAACUUACGGGACGCGAUUCCAACUUACAGAGGUCGAGUUAUCAGCCCGUACUCAAAACUGACUAACACUUAGGUAAAAAGUCAAAAAAGAGGCCAAAACCCACCUCGGCUGUCGUAACAACACGUAAACACAUGCAUAGCACCGCGUAGGUACUAGGCACACGUUAUAACUUACGGGACUAAUUUUUGACUUACGGAGGCCGAGUUAUCAAUCCGUAGGCAAAACUCGCCAACACUUAGGCAAAAGGUCAAAAAAGAGGCCAAAACUCGUCUCGACCAUCGUAACAACACGUAAACACAUACAUAGCACAAUGUAGAUAUUAGGCACGCAUUACAAUAUAUGUUACUCGAUUCCGACUUACGGAGGCCGAGUUAUUAGCCCGUAGGCAAAACUGACCAACACUUAGGUAAAAAAUCAAAAAAGAGGCUAAAACCCGCCUCGGCCAUCGUAAUGUCACACAAACUCGUACAUAGUACCGCGUAGGUUUUAGGCAUGCGUUACAACUUACGGAACUCAAUUCUGACUUACAGAGGCCGAGUUAUCAGCCCGUAGGCAAAACUGACUAACACUUAGGUAAAAAGUCGAAAAAGAGGCCAAAACUCGCCUCAACCAUCGUAUUACGGAGGCCGAGUUAUCAGUUCGUAGGCAAAACUGACCAACACUUAGGGAAAAAUUCAAAAAAGAAGCCAAAACCCACCGCGGCCGUCGUAAAAACACGCAAAGUCAUAGCACCGCGUAGGUAUUAGGCAUGCGUUACAGCUUAUGGGACUCGAUUCCGAUUUACGGAGGCCGAGUUAUUAGCCCGUAGGCAAAACUGAACAACACUUAAGCAAAAAGUCGAAAAAGAGGCCAAAACCCACCUCGACCGUCGUAACAACAUGCUAACACAUACAUAGUACCGCGUGGGUAUUAGGCACGCGUUAUAACUUAGGAGACUCAAUUCUGACUUACGGAGGCCGAGUUAUCAACCCGUAGAGAAAACUGCACAAUACUUAGGCAAAAAGUAAAAAAAGAGGCCAAAACAUGCCUCAGCCGUCGUAAUGACACGCAAACACAUACAUAGCACCGCGCAUGUAUUAGGCAUGUGCUACAACUUACGAGACUCAAUUUUCACAUACGUAGGCCAAGUUGUUAACCCGUAGGCAAAAUUGACCAACACUUAGGUAAAAACAUAAAAAAGAGGCCAAAACCCGACUCGGCCAUUGUAAUGACAUGCAAAUGUAUGCAUAGCACCGCGUAGGUAUUAGGCACGUAUUAUAACUUACGAGACUCAAUUCUGACUUACGGAGGCUGAGUUAUCAGCUCGUAGGCAAAACUGACCAACACUUAGGGAAAAAGUCAAAAAAGAGGCCAAAAUUAUCCUCGGCCGUCGUAAUGACACACAAAUAUAUACAUAGCACCACGUAGGCAUUAGGCACGCGUUAUAACUUACGGGACUCAAUUUCGACUUACGGAGGCCGAGUUAUCAGCCCGUAGGCAAAACUGACCAACACUUAGGGAAAAAGUCAAAAAAGAGGCCAAAAUUAUCCUCGGCCGUCGUAAUGACACACAAAUAUAUACAUAGCACCACGUAGGCAUUAGGCACGCGUUAUAACUUACGGGACUCAAUUUCGACUUACGGAGGCCGAGUUAUCAGCCCGUAGGCAAAACUGACCAACACUUAGGGAAAAAGUCAAAAAAGAGGCCAAAAUUAUCCUCGGCCGUCGUAAUGACACACAAAUAUAUACAUAGCACCACGUAGGCAUUAGGCACGCGUUAUAACUUACGGGACUCAAUUUCGACUUACGGAGGCCGAGUUAUCAGCCCGUAGGCAAAACUGACCAACACUUAGGGAAAAAGUCAAAAAAGAGGCCAAAAUUAUCCUCGGCCGUCGUAAUGACACACAAAUAUAUACAUAGCACCACGUAGGCAUUAGGCACGCGUUAUAACUUACGGGACUCAAUUUCGACUUACGGAGGCCGAGUUAUCAGCCCGUAGGCAAAACUGACCAACACUUAGGGAAAAAGUCAAAAAAGAGGCCAAAAUUAUCCUCGGCCGUCGUAAUGACACACAAAUAUAUACAUAGCACCACGUAGGCAUUAGGCACGCGUUAUAACUUACGGGACUCAAUUUCGACUUACGGAGGCCGAGUUAUCAGCCCGUAGGCAAAACUGACCAACACUUAGGGAAAAAGUCAAAAAAGAGGCCAAAAUUAUCCUCGGCCGUCGUAAUGACACACAAAUAUAUACAUAGCACCACGUAGGCAUUAGGCACGCGUUAUAACUUACGGGACUCAAUUUCGACUUACGGAGGCCGAGUUAUCAGCCCGUAGGCAAAACUGACCAACACUUAUGCAGGUCUUCAUAACGACACGCAAACACGUAUAUAGCAUCGUGAAGGUAAUAGGCACAUGUUACAACUUACGAGACUCAAUUCUGACUUACGGAGGCCGAGUUAUCAGCCCGUAGGCAAAACUGACAAACACUUAGGCAAAAACUCAAAAAAGAGGCCAAAACCCGCCUCGAUCGUCAUAACGACACGCAAACACGUAUAUAGCAUCGUGAAGGUAAUAGGCACAUGUUACAACUUACGAGACUCAAUUCUGACUUACAUAGGCCGAGUUAUCAGCCCGUAGGCAAAACUAACCAACACUUAGGGAAAAAGUCAAAAAAGAGUCCAAAACCCGCCUCGAUCGUCAUAACGACACGCAAACACAUACAUAGCACCACGUAGGCAUUAGGCACACGUUAUAACUUACGGGACUCAAUUUCGACUUACGGAGGCCUAGUUAUCAGCCCGUAGGCAAAACUGAUCAAUACUUAGGCAAAAAGUCGAAAAACUGGCCGAAACUCGCCUCGGCCAUCGUAACGACACGCAAACACAUACAUAGAAUCACGUAGGUAUUUGGCACGCAUUAAAACUUACGAGACUCGAUUCCAAUAGACGGAGGUCGAGUUUCCAGCCCGUAGUAAAACUGACCAAUAGUUAGGUAAAAAGUCAAAAAAGAGGCCAAAACUCACCUUGGCUGUAGUAACGACACGCAAACACAUACAUAGCACCACGUAGGUAUUUAGCACGUGUUAUAACUUACGGGACUCGAUUCCGACUUACGGAGACCGAGUUAUCAGCCCGUAGGCAAAACUGACCAACACUUAUGCAAAAAGUCGAAAAAGAUGCCAAAAACCAGUCUCGACCGUCGUAAUGAGACGCAAACUAAUACAUAGCACCGCGUAGGAAUUAGGCAUGCGUUACAACUUACAGGACUCGAUUCUGACUUACGGAGGCCGAGUUAUCGGCCCAUUGGCAAAACUGACCAACACUUAGGCAAAAAGUCAAAAAAGAGGCCAAAAUUAUCCUCGGCCGUCGUAAUGACACACAAAUAUAUACAUAGCACCACGUAGGCAUUAGGCACGCGUUAUAACUUACGGGACUCAAUUUCGACUUACGGAGGCCGAGUUAUCAGCCCGUAGGCAAAACUGACAAACACUUAGGCAAAAACUCAAAAAAGAGGCCAAAACCCGUCUCAGUCUUCAUAACGACACGCAAACACGUACAUAGCACCGCGUAGGUAUUAGGCAUACAUUACAACAUAUGGGACUCGAUUCUGACUUACGGAGGCCGAGUUAUCAGCCCGUAGGCAAAACUAACCAACACUUAGGGAAAAAGUCAAAAAAGAGUCCAAAACCCGCCUCGGCCGUUGUAACGAAACGCAAACAUGUACAUAGAACCGCGUAGAUAUUAGGCAUGCGUUACAAGUUACGGGACUCGAUUCUGACUUACGGAGGCCGAGUUAUCAGCCCGUAGGCAAAAUUGACCACUACUUAGGCAAAAAAGUCAAAAAUGAGGCCAAAACCCGUCUCGGUCGUCAUAAUGACACACAAACACAUACAUAGCACUACGUAGGUAUUAGGCACGUGUUACAACUUGUGGGACUCUAUUCCGAUUUAUGGAGGCCGACUUAUCAGCCCGUAGGCAAAACUGACUAACACUUAGACAAAAAGUUGAAAAAGAGGCCAAAACCCGUCUCAGUCUUCAUAACGACACGCAAACACGUACAUAGCACCGCGUAGGUAUUAGGCAUACAUUACAACAUAUGGGACUCGAUUCUGACUUACAUUGGCUGAGUUAUCAGCCCGUAGGCAAAACUGACCAACACUUUGGCAAAAAGUCAAAAAAGAGUCCAAAAUCCGCCUCGGCCAUCGUAACAAUAUGCAAACUUGUAUAUAGCACAGCGUAGGUAUUAGGAACACGUUACAAAUUACGGAAUUCGUUUCUGACAUACGGAGGCCAAGUUAUCAGCCCGUAGGCAAAACUGACUAACACUUAGACAAAAAGUUGAAAAAGAGGCCAAAACCCGUCUCAGUCUUCAUAACGACACGCAAACACGUACAUAGCACCGCGUAGGUAUUAGGCAUAUAUUACAACAUAUGGGACUCGAUUCUGACUUACAUUGGCUGAGUUAUCAGCCCGUAGGCAAAACUGACUAACACUUAGACAAAAAGUUGAAAAAGAGGCCAAAACCCGUCUCAGUCUUCAUAACGACACGCAAACACGUACAUAGCACCGCGUAGGUAUUAGGCAUAUAUUACAACAUAUGGGACUCGAUUCUGACUUACAUUGGCUGAGUUAUCAGCCCGUAGGCAAAACUGACUAACACUUAGACAAAAAGUUGAAAAAGAGGCCAAAACCCGUCUCAGUCUUCAUAACGACACGCAAACACGUACAUAGCACCGCGUAGGUAUUAGGCAUAUAUUACAACAUAUGGGACUCGAUUCUGACUUACAUUGGCUGAGUUAUCAGCCCGUAGGCAAAACUGACUAACACUUAGACAAAAAGUUGAAAAAGAGGCCAAAACCCGUCUCAGUCUUCAUAACGACACGCAAACACGUACAUAGCACCGCGUAGGUAUUAGGCAUAUAUUACAACAUAUGGGACUCGAUUCUGACUUACAUUGGCUGAGUUAUCAGCCCGUAGGCAAAACUGACUAACACUUAGACAAAAAGUUGAAAAAGAGGCCAAAACCCGUCUCAGUCUUCAUAACGACACGCAAACACGUACAUAGCACCGCGUAGGUAUUAGGCAUAUAUUACAACAUAUGGGACUCGAUUCUGACUUACAUUGGCUGAGUUAUCAGCCCGUAGGCAAAACUGACUAACACUUAGACAAAAAGUUGAAAAAGAGGCCAAAACCCGUCUCAGUCUUCAUAACGACACGCAAACACGUACAUAGCACCGCGUAGGUAUUAGGCAUAUAUUACAACAUAUGGGACUCGAUUCUGACUUACAUUGGCUGAGUUAUCAGCCCGUAGGCAAAACUGACUAACACUUAGACAAAAAGUUGAAAAAGAGGCCAAAACCCGUCUCAGUCUUCAUAACGACACGCAAACACGUACAUAGCACCGCGUAGGUAUUAGGCAUAUAUUACAACAUAUGGGACUCGAUUCUGACUUACAUUGGCUGAGUUAUCAGCCCGUAGGCAAAACUGACUAACACUUAGACAAAAAGUUGAAAAAGAGGCCAAAACCCGUCUCAGUCUUCAUAACGACACGCAAACACGUACAUAGCACCGCGUAGGUAUUAGGCAUAUAUUACAACAUAUGGGACUCGAUUCUGACUUACAUUGGCUGAGUUAUCAGCCCGUAGGCAAAACUGACUAACACUUAGACAAAAAGUUGAAAAAGAGGCCAAAACCCGUCUCAGUCUUCAUAACGACACGCAAACACGUACAUAGCACCGCGUAGGUAUUAGGCAUAUAUUACAACAUAUGGGACUCGAUUCUGACUUACAUUGGCUGAGUUAUCAGCCCGUAGGCAAAACUGACUAACACUUAGACAAAAAGUUGAAAAAGAGGCCAAAACCCGUCUCAGUCUUCAUAACGACACGCAAACACGUACAUAGCACCGCGUAGGUAUUAGGCAUAUAUUACAACAUAUGGGACUCGAUUCUGACUUACAUUGGCUGAGUUAUCAGCCCGUAGGCAAAACUGACUAACACUUAGACAAAAAGUUGAAAAAGAGGCCAAAACCCGUCUCAGUCUUCAUAACGACACGCAAACACGUACAUAGCACCGCGUAGGUAUUAGGCAUAUAUUACAACAUAUGGGACUCGAUUCUGACUUACAUUGGCUGAGUUAUCAGCCCGUAGGCAAAACUGACUAACACUUAGACAAAAAGUUGAAAAAGAGGCCAAAACCCGUCUCAGUCUUCAUAACGACACGCAAACACGUACAUAGCACCGCGUAGGUAUUAGGCAUAUAUUACAACAUAUGGGACUCGAUUCUGACUUACAUUGGCUGAGUUAUCAGCCCGUAGGCAAAACUGACUAACACUUAGACAAAAAGUUGAAAAAGAGGCCAAAACCCGUCUCAGUCUUCAUAACGACACGCAAACACGUACAUAGCACCGCGUAGGUAUUAGGCAUAUAUUACAACAUAUGGGACUCGAUUCUGACUUACAUUGGCUGAGUUAUCAGCCCGUAGGCAAAACUGACUAACACUUAGACAAAAAGUUGAAAAAGAGGCCAAAACCCGUCUCAGUCUUCAUAACGACACGCAAACACGUACAUAGCACCGCGUAGGUAUUAGGCAUAUAUUACAACAUAUGGGACUCGAUUCUGACUUACAUUGGCUGAGUUAUCAGCCCGUAGGCAAAACUGACUAACACUUAGACAAAAAGUUGAAAAAGAGGCCAAAACCCGUCUCAGUCUUCAUAACGACACGCAAACACGUACAUAGCACCGCGUAGGUAUUAGGCAUAUAUUACAACAUAUGGGACUCGAUUCUGACUUACAUUGGCUGAGUUAUCAGCCCGUAGGCAAAACUGACUAACACUUAGACAAAAAGUUGAAAAAGAGGCCAAAACCCGUCUCAGUCUUCAUAACGACACGCAAACACGUACAUAGCACCGCGUAGGUAUUAGGCAUAUAUUACAACAUAUGGGACUCGAUUCUGACUUACAUUGGCUGAGUUAUCAGCCCGUAGGCAAAACUGACUAACACUUAGACAAAAAGUUGAAAAAGAGGCCAAAACCCGUCUCAGUCUUCAUAACGACACGCAAACACGUACAUAGCACCGCGUAGGUAUUAGGCAUAUAUUACAACAUAUGGGACUCGAUUCUGACUUACAUUGGCUGAGUUAUCAGCCCGUAGGCAAAACAGACCAACACUUAGGCAAAAAGUAGAAAAAGAGGCCAAAAUCCACCUCGGCCGUUGUAACGACACAAAUACUAGAACAUAGCACGGCGUAUGUAUUAGGCACGUGUUACAACUUAAGGGACUUGAUUCUGACUUAUGGAGACCGAGUUAUCAGCCCGUAAGCAAAACUAACUAACACGUAGGUAAAAAGUCAAAAAAAAGCCAAAACCCGCCUCGGCCAUCGUAAUGAUACGCAAAAACAUACAUAGCACCGCGUAGGUAUUAGGCAUACAUUACAAUGUACGGGACUCGAUUCUAACAUACGGAGGCCGAGUUACCAGCCCGUAGGAAAAACUAACCAACACUUAGGCAAAAAGUCAAAAAAGUGGCCGAAACUCGCCUCGGCCAUCGUACGACACGCAAACACAUACAUAGCAUCACGUAGGUAUUAGGCACGCAUUACAACUUACGGGACUCGAUUCCGACAGACGGAGGCCGAGUUAUCAGCCCGUAGGUAAAACUGACCAAUAGUUAGGAAAAAAGUCAAAAAAGAGGCCAAAACUCACCUCGGCUAUAGUAACGACACGCUAACACAUACAUAGCACCGCGUAGGUAUUUGGCAUGUGUUACAAUUUACGGGACUCGAUUCCGACUUACGGAGGCCGAGUUAUCAGCCCGUAGGCAAAACAGACCAACACUUAGGCAAAAAGUCGAAAAAGAGGCCAAAACCAGCCUCAGCCGUCGUAAGGACACGCAAACACGUACAUAGCACCACGUAGGUAUUAGGCACGUGUUACAACUUGUGGGACUCUAUUCCGAUUUACGGAGGCCGACUUAUCAGCCCGUAGGCAAAACUGACUAACACUUAGACAAAAAGUCGAAAAAGAGGCCAAAACCCGCCUCGGUCUUCAUAACGACACGCAAACACGUACAUAGCACCGCGUAAGUAUUAGGCACGCGUUACAACUUACGAAACUCGAUUCCGACUUACGGAGGCCGAGUUAUUAGCCCGUAGGCAAAACUGACCAACACUUAGGCAAAAAGUCGAAAAAGAGGCCAAAACCAGCCUCAGCCGUCGUAAGGACACGCAAACACGUACAUAGCACCACGUAGGUAUUAGGCACGUGUUACAACUUGUGGGACUCUAUUCCGAUUUACGGAGGCCGACUUAUCAGCCCGUAGGCAAAACUGACUAACACUUAGACAAAAUGUCGAAAAAGAGGCCAAAACCCGCCUCGGUCUUCAUAACGACACGCAAACACGUACAUAGCACCGCGUAGGUAUUAGGCACGCGUUACAACUUACGAAACUCGAUUCCGACUUACGGAGGCCGAGUUAUUAGCCCGUAGGCAAAACAGACCAACACUUAGGCAAAAAGUCGAAAAAGAGGCCAAAACCAGCCUCAGCCGUCGUAAGGACACGCAAACACGUACAUAGCACCACGUAGGUAUUAGGCACGUGUUACAACUUGUGGGACUCUAUUCCGAUUUACGGAGGCCGACUUAUCAGCCCGUAGGCAAAACUAACUAACACUUAGACAAAAUAUCGAAAAAGAGGUCAAAACCCGCCUCGGUCUUCAUAACGACACGCAAACACGUACAUAGCACCGCGUAGGUAUUAGGCACGCGUUACAACUUAUGAAACUCAAUUCCGACUUACGGAGGCCGAGUUAUUAGCCCGUAGGCAAAACAGACCAACACUUAGGCAAAAAGUCAAAAAAGAGGUCAAAACCAGCCUCAGCCGUCCUAAGGACACGCAGACACGUAUAUAGUACCACGUAGGUAUUAGGCAUAUGUUACAACUUGUGGGACUCUAUUCCGAUUUACGGAGGCCGACUUAUUAGCCCAUAGGCAAAACUGACAAACACUUUGACAAAAAGUCAAAAAAGAGGCCAAAACCCGCCUCGGUCUUCAUAAUGACAUGCAAACAUGUACAUAGCACCGCGUAGGUAUUAGGCAAGCAUUACAACAUAUGGGACUCGAUUCCGACUUACAUAGGUCGAGUUAUCAGCCCGUAGGCAAAACUGACCAACACUUUAGCAAAAAGUCGAAAAAGAGUCCAAAAUCCGCCUUGGCCAUCGUAACAAUAUGCAAACUUGUAUAUAGCACAGCGUGGGUAUUAGGAAUGCGUUACAAAUUAUGGAAUUCGUUUCUGACAUACGGAGGCCAAGUUAUCAGCCCGUAGGCAAAAUUGACCAAUACUUAGGCAAAAAGUCAAAAAAGAGGCCAAAACCCGUCUCGGUUGUCAUAAUGACACACAAACACAUACAUAGCACUACGUAGGUAUUAGACACGCGUUAUAACUUAUGGAACUCGAUUCCAACUUACGGUGGCCGAGUUACCAGCCCGUAGGCAAAAUUGACCAACAAUUAUGCAAAAUGUCGAAAAAGAGGACAAAACCCGCCUCGGCCAUCGUAACAACACGCAAACACGUGCAUAGUACUGCGUAGGUAUUCGGCAUGCGUUACAACUUACGGGACGCAAUUCCAACGUACAGAGGUCGAGUUAUCAGCCCGUAGUCAAAACUGACUAACACUUAGGCAAAAAGUCGAAAAAGAGGCCAAAACCCACCUCGGUCGUCAUAACAACACGUAAACACAUACAUAGCACCGCGUAGGUACUAGGCAUACGUUACAACUUACAGGACUAAUUUUCGACUUACGGAGGCCGAGUUAUCAGUCCGUAGGCAAAACUCGCCAACACUUAGGCAAAAAGUUAAAAAAGAGGCCAAAACUCGUCUCGACCGUCGUAAUAACACACAAACACAUACAUAGCACAAUGUAGAUAUUAGGCAUGCAUUACAAUAUAUGUUACUCGAUUCUGACUUACGGAGGCCGAGUUUUUAGCCCGUAGGCAAAACUUACCAACACUUAAGUAAAAAGUUAAAAAAGAGGCCAAAACCCGCCUCAGCCAUCGUAACGAUAUGCAAACACAUGCAUAGCACCGCAUAGGUAUUAGGCACACGUUAAAACUUACGGGACUCGAUUCCAACUUACGUAGGCCGAGUUAAUAGCCCGUAGGCAAAACUGACCAACACUUAGGUAAAAAAUAAAAAAAGAGGCUAAAACCCGACUCGGCCGUCGUAAUGUCACGCAAACUCGUACAUAGUACCGCGUAGUUAUUAGGCAUGCAUUACAACUUACUGAACUCAAUUCUGACUUACGGAAGCAGAGUUAUCAGCCCGUAGGCAAAACUGACCAACACUUAGGUAAAAAGUCAAAAAAGAGGCCAAAACCCGCCUCAGCCAUCGUAACGAUAUGCAAACACAUGCAUAGCACCGCAUAGGUAUUAGGCAUGCAUUACAACUUACGGGACUCAAUUUCGAGAUACGGAGGCUGAGUUAUCAGGCCGUAGGCAAAACUGACCAACACUUAGUUAAAAAGUCGAAAAAUAUGCCAAAACCCACCUCGGCCGUCGUAACAACACGCAAAUACAUACAUAGCACUGCAUGGGUAUUAGGCACGCAUUAUAACUUACGGGUCUCAAUUCUGACUUACGGAGGCCGAGUUAUCAGUCCGUAAGCAAAACUGAACAACAUUUAGGUAAAAAGUCAAAAAAGAGGCCAAAACCCACCUCGGCCGUCAUAACGACUCGCAAACACAUACAUAGCACCGCGUAGGUAUUAGGCACUCGUUACAACUUACGAGACUCGAUUCCAACUUACGGAGGCCGAGUUAUCAGCCCGUAGCUAAAACUGACCAACACUUAGGCAAAAAGUCGAAAAAGAGGCCAAAACCCGCCUCGGCCAUCUUAACAACACGCAAAUACAUAUAUAGCACCGCGUAGGUAUUAGGCGUGUGUUGCAACUUACGGGACCCGAUUCAGACUUACGGAGGCCGAGUUAUCAGCCCGUAGGCAAAACUGACCAACACUUAGGUAAAAAGUUAAAAAAGAGGCCAAAACUCGCCUCAGCCGUUGUAACGACACGAAAAUACAUGCAUAGUACCGCGUAGGUAUUAGGCACGCGUUAAAACUUACGGGACUCGAUUCCAAAUUACGGAGGCCUAGUUAUCAGCUCGUAAGCAAAACUGACCAACAUUUAGGUAUAAAGUCAAAAAAAGGCCAAAACUCUCCUCGGCCGUCGCAACGACACGCAAACACGCGCAUAUCAUCGUUUAGGUAUUAGGCACGCGUUACUACUUACGGGACUCGAUUCUGAUUUACUGAGACCGAGUUAUCAGCUCGUGGGCAAAACUGACCAACACUUAGGUAAAAAGUCAGAAAAGAGGCCAAACCCGCCUCAGCCAUCGUAACGAUACGCAAACACAUAUAUAGCACCGCGUAGGUAUUAUGCAUGUAUUACAACUUACGGUACCCGAUUUCGACAUACGGAGGCCGUUUUCAGCCCGUAGGCAAAACUGACCAACACUUAGGUAAAAAGUCGAAAAAGAGGCCAAAACCCACCUCGGCCGUCGUAACAACACGCAAAUACAUACAUAGUACUACAUGGGUAUUAGGCAUGUGCUAUAACUUAUGUGACUCAAUUCUGACUUACGGAGGCUGAGUUAUCAGCCCGUAAGCAAAACUGAACAACAUUUAGGUAAAAAGUCAAAAAAGAGGCCAAAACCCGCCUCGGCUGUCGUAACGACACGCAAACACAUACAUAGCACCGCGUAGGUAUUAGACACUCGUUACAACUUACGGGACUCUAUUCUGACUUACGAAGGCCGAGUUAUCAGCCCGUAGGCAAAACUCAACAACACUUAGGCAGAAAGUCGAAAAAGAGGCCAAAACCCGCCUUGAUCGUCGUAAUAACACGAACACACAUACAUAGAACAGCAUCGGUAUUAGGCACGUGAUAUAACUUAUGGGACUCAAUUCUAACUUACGGAGGCCAAGUUAUCAGCCCGUAGGUAAAACUGACCAACACUUAGCCAAGAAGUCAAAAAAGUGGCCAAAACCCGCCUCGGCAGUCGUAAAGACACGCAAACAUGAACAUAGCACCGUGUAGGUAUUAAGCACGUGUUAGAACUUACAUGACUCGAUUCCGACUUACAGAGGCCGAGUUAUCAGCCCGUAGGCAAAACUGACCAACACUUGAGCAAAAUGUCAAAAAAAGGCCAAAACCCGCCUCGGCCGUUGUAACAACAAGCAAACACGUGCAUAGUACCGCACAGGUAUUAGGCACACGUUAUAAGCCCGUAGGCCGAGUUAUCAGCCCGUAGGCAAAACUUAACAACACUUAGGCAAAAAGUCAAAAAAGAGGUCAAAACAUGCCUCGACCGUUGUAAUGACACGCAAACACAUGCAUAGCACCGUGCAUGUAUUAGGCAUGUUCUACAACUUACGGGACUCGAUUCUGACAUACGUAGGACAAGUUGUCAGCCCGUAGGCAAAAUUGACCAACACUUAGGUAAAAAGUUAAAAAAAGGCCAAAACACGCCUCGGCCAUUGUAAUGACAUGCAAACACAUGCAUAGUACCGCGUAGGUAUUAAGCACGCAUUAUAAAUUACCUGACUCAAUUCCGACUUACGGAGGCCGAGUUAUCAGUUUGUAGGCAAAACUGACCACCACUUAGGGAAAAAGUCAAAAAAGAAGCCAAAACCCACUUCGGCCGUCGUAAUGACAUACAAACAUGUACAUAGCACCGUGCAGAUAUUAGGCACGUGUUACACCUUACAGGACUCGAUUCUGACUUACGAAGGCCGAGUUAUCAGCCCGUAGGCAAAACUGACCAACACUUAGGCAAAAAAUCGAAAAAGAGGCCAAAACUCGCCUCGGCCGUUGUAACGAUACGGAAACUAGUAUAUAGCACCACGUAGGUAUUAGGCACGCGUUACAACUUAUGGAACCCGAUUCCGACUUACGGAGGCCGAGUUAUCAGCCCGUAGGCAAAACUGACCAACACUUAGGUAAAAAGUCAAAAAAGAGGCCAAAACCCGCCUCGGCUGUCGUAACGACACGUAAACACGUACAUAUCACCGUGUAGGUAUUAGGCACGCGUUACUACUUACGGGACUCGAUUCUGAUUUAUGGAGGCCGAGUUAUCAGCUCGUAGGGAAAACUAACCAAAAUUAGGCAAAAAGUCGAAAAAGAGUCCAAAACCCGCCUCAUCUAUUAUAAUGACACAGAAACUCGUGCAUAGCACCGCGUAGGUAUUAGGCACGCGUUACAACUUACGAAACUCAAUUCCAACUUAUGGAGGCCGAGUUAUCAGCCCGUAGGAAAAACUGACCAACACUUAGUUAAAAUGUCAAAAAAGAGGCCAAAACCCGCCUCAACCAUCGUAACGAUACGCGAACAAAUUAAUAGCACCGCAUAGGUAUUAGGUACUCAUUACAACUUACGGGACUCGAUUUCAACAUACGGAGGCCGAGUUAUCAGCCCGUAGGCAAAACUGACCAACACUUAGGCAAAAAGUCCAAAAAGAGGCCAAAACCCACCUCGGCCGUCGUAACAACAUGCAAAGACUUACAUAGCACUGCAUGGGUAUUAGGCACGUGUUAUAACUUACGGGACUCAAUUCUAACUUACGGAGGCUGAGUUAUCAGCCCGUAGACAAAACAGAACAACAUUUAGGUAAAAAGUCGAAAAAGAGGGAAAAACAUGACUCGGUCGUCGUAACAACAUAAAAACACAUACAUAGUACCGCGUAUGUAUUAGGCAUGCGUUACAACUUAUGGGACUCGAUUCUGACAUACGUAGACCUAGUUAUUAGCCCGUAUGCAAAAUUGACCAACACUUAGGUAAAAAGUUAAAAAAGAGGCCAAAACCCUCAUCGGCCAUUGUAGGUAUUAGACACGCGUUACAACUUACGGGUUCAUAGUGUUUUUCACAUAUCUAUGUUACGUAAAUAUGUGGAAGACCCGAAUCACAUUAUUGAGUUAGAACCGGACGAAAUAGCGGAAGAUUUAACGUAUGAAGAGGUUCCUGUUCAAAUCUUGGAUAGGAAGGAACAUAUUCUACGCUCCAAGGUUAUACCUCAAGUCAANNNNNNNNNNNNNNNNNNNNNNNNNNNNNNNNNNNNNNNNNNNNNNNNNNNNNNNNNNNNNNNNNNNNNNNNNNNNNNNNNNNNNNNNNNNNNNNNNNNNAUUUUAUUGAAAAUAACGACGGAAGUUUUACCGUUAAUACUGUUGAACUACUCGGUAGUAAAAGUACAGUAAUACGCGUGGUUGCAUAGUAGCACACGGUAUUGAUUAUUGAUGCUUAUGUGAGAAGUCACUCAGUUUGAUUCAAUUAUUGUCGAUAUUUUAUAUGAUGAUGAAGUUUUGUUUUAUUCGUAUUAUUAAUGUAAUAAAAUAGAAACAUCAUUUUGUAUAAAAUAAAAUACUUUUAUUAAAGUUAUUCUACAAAUAGAAUAUAUUAUAUUUUAUUAUGCAUAGUGCCUGCAUAGUGUUUGAAUAAUAAAAAUCUUUUUAUAUAAAAUAGAAUAUAUUAUAUUUUAUUUAAAAGAUUUUGCUUUAAAUAUGUACUGUCAGAUUAAAGUAAAUCAAUCUGGACCGUUCAUGAGUUAGUUACUAUGCAUUCCAUUUUUCUAUAAAUAGAAGCUCAUUCCUUCAUUAUUUUCUUACGAAUUCACUGAACUCUAGAGAGAGAAAGUUAUAGAGAGAAAUAAGAAGAGAAGUCUGCUAACUUUCUUUUCCUAUAUCUAAUUUCUUUUACGGUAAGGAAUAUUAUUUAUUUCAUAUUCUGAAGAGAACUUCUGUUAUUCCAUUUCUUAUUUAUUCAGUUGGAAUAACCUGUAUACGCGGGCUACCCUAUACUUGGUGACAUUCUUCUAUUAUUCUAUUUUUAUUAUUCCGUUGGAACAUCCUGUCUGUGUGUUUACACCGGACCUGGUUCCGUCUUUAUUAUUAUUCUGUCGGAAUAUCCUGUCGGUGUGAAUUUCACCUGACCUGGUUCCAUUAUUUAUUAUUCUGCAUUUAAUAUUCUGUCGGUGUGAAUUUCACCUGACCGCGUAGGUAUUAGGCACGCGUUAAAGCUUACGGGACUCGAUUCCAACUUACGGAGGCCGAGUUAUCAGCCCGUAGACAAAACUGAACAACACUUAGGUAAAAAGUCAAAAAAGAGGCCAGAACUCGCCUCGGUCGUCGUAACAACACGCAAACACGUACAUAUCACCGUGUAGGUAUUAGGCACGUGUUACUACAUACGGGACUCGAUUCUGAUUUACCGAGGCCGAGUUAUCAGCCCGUAGGCAAAACUGACCAACACUUAGGGAAAAAGUCAAAAAAGAGGCCGAAACCCACCUCGGCCAUUGUAAUGAGACGAAAACUCAUAUAUAGCACCGCGUAGGUAUUAGGAACGCGUUACAACUUACGGAACUCGAUUCCAACUUACGGAGGCCGAGUUAUCAGCCCGUAGGCAAAACUGACCAACACUUAGGUAAAAUGUCGAAAAAGAGGUCAAAACCAACCUCGAUCGUCGUAAUAACACGUAAAGACAUACAUAGCACUGCAUGGGUAUUAGGCACGCGUUACAACUUACGGGACUCAAUUCUGACUUACGGAGGCCGAGUUAUCAGCCCGUAAGCAAAAUUGAACAACAUUUAGGUAAAGAGUCAAAAAAGAGGCCAAAACAUGCCUCGGCCGUCGUAACGACAUAAAAACACAUACAUAGUACCGCGUAUGUAUUAAGCAUGCGUUACAACUUACAGGACUCGAUUCUGACAUACGUGGACCGAGUUAUUAGCCCGUAUACAAAAUUAACCAAUAUUUAGGUAAAAAGUUAAAAAAGAGGCCAAAACCCGCAUCAGCCAUUGUAAUGACACGCAAAUACAUGCAUAGCACCGCGUAGGUAUUAGGCACGCGUUACAACUUACGGGACUCAAUUCUGACUUACGGAGGCCGAGUUAUCAGCCCGUAGGCAAAACUGACCAACACUUGGGGUAAAGUCGAAAAAAGACCAAAAUCCACCUCGGCCGUUGUAAUAAUACAAAAACUAGUACAUAGGACCGCAUAGGUAUUAGGCACGCGUUACAGCUUACGGGACUCGAUUCCAAUUUACGAAGCCCGAGUUAUCAGCCCGUAGACAAAACUAACUAACACUUAGGUAAAAAGUCAAAAAAGAAAUCAAAACCCGCCUCGGCCAUCGUAAUGAUAUGAAAACAUAUACAUAUCACCGCGUAGGUAUUAGGCAUGCGUAACAACUUACGGGACUCAAUUCCGACAUAUGGAGGCCGAGUUAUCAGCCCGUAGGCAAAACUGACCAACACUUAGGCAAAAAAUUGAAAAAGAGGCCAAAACUCGCCUCGGCCAUCGUAACGACAUGCAAACACAUACAUAGUAUCGCGUAGGUAUUAGGCACGCGUUAAAACUUAUGGGACUGGAUUCAAACUUACGGAGGCCGAGUUAUCAGCCCGUAAACAAAACUGGCCAACACUUAGAUAAAAAGUCAAAAAAGAGGCCAAAACCUGCCUCGGUCGUCGUAACGAUAUGCAAACACGUAUAUAUCAUCGUGUAGGUAUUAGGCAUGCGUUACUACUUACGAGACUCAAUUCUGAUUUGCCGAGGCCGAGUUAUAAUCCCGUAGGCAAAACUGACCAACACUUAGGCAAAAAGUCGAAAAAGAGGCCAAAACCCGCCUCGACCGUUGUAAUGAGACAGAAACUCGUACAUAGAACCGCAUAGGUUUUAUGCACGCAUUACAACUUACGAAACUUGAUUCUGACUUACGGAGGCCGAGUUAUCAGCCCGUAGGAAAAACUGACCAACACUUUGGUAAAAAGUCAAAAAAGAGGCCAAAACUGCCUCAGCUAUCGUAAAGAUACACAAACACAUACGUAGCACCACGUAGGUAAUAGGCAUACAUUAUAACUUACGGGACUCGAUUUCGACAUACGGAGGUCGAGUUAUCAGCCCGUAGGCAAAACUGACCAACACUUAGGCAAAAAGUCAAAAAAGAGGCCAAAACAAACCUCGGCCGUCGUAACAAUACGCAAAGACAUACAUAGCACUGCAUGUGUAUUAGGCACGCGUUAUAACUUACAGGACUCAAUUCUGACUUAUGGAGGCCGAGUUAUCAGCCCAUAAGCAAAACUGAACAACAUUUAGGUAAAAAGUCAAAAAAGGGGCCAAAACAUGCCUUGACCGUCGUAACGACAUAAAAACACAUACGUAGUACUGUGUAUGUAUUAGGCAUGUGUUAUAACUUACGGGACUCGAUUCUGAUAGAUGUAGACCGAGUUAUUAGCCCGUAUUCAAAAUUGACCAACACUUAGGUAAAAAGUUAAAAAGAUGCCAAAACCCGUAUCGGCCAUUGUAACGACACGCAAAUACAGGGGUACCACCGCGUAGGUAUUAGGCACGUGUUACAACUUAUGGGGCUCAAUUCUUACUUACGGAGGCCGAGUUAUUAGCCCGUAGGCAAAACUUACCAACAUUUGGGGAAAAAGUCGAAAAAGAGGCCAAAACCCACCUCGACCGUUGUAACGAUACAAAAACUAGUACAUAGUACCACGUAGGUAUUAGGCACGCGUUACAACUUACAGGACUCGAUUCCAAUUUACGGAGGCCGAGUUAUCAGCCCGUAGGCAAAACUAACUAACACUUAGGUAAAAAGUCGAAAAAGAUGCCAAAAACCCGUCUCGGCCGUCGUAAUAAGCCACAACCUAAUACAUAGCACCGCAUUGGAAUUAGGCACGCGUUAUAACUUACAGGACUCGAUUCUGACUUACGGAGGCCGGGUUAUUAGCCCAUUGGCAAAACUGACCAACACUUAGGCAAAAAGUCAAAAAAGAAGCCAAAAUUAGCCUCGAUCGUCGUAAUGACACACAAACAUGUACAUAGCACCACGUAGGCAUUAGGCACGCGUUACAACUUACGAAAGUUGAUUUCGACUUACGGAGGCCGAGUUAUUAGCCCGUAGGCAAAACUGACUAACACUUGGGUAAAAACUCAAAAAAGAGGCCAAAACCCGCCUUGGCCAUGAUAACGACACGUAAACACGUAUAUAGCACCAUGUAGGUAUUAGGCACGUGUUACAACUUACGGAACUCGAUUCUGACUUACGGAGGCCGAGUUAUCAGCCAGUAGGCAAAAUUGACCAACACUUGGUCAAAAAAGAGGCCAAAAUCCGCCUCAGCCAUCGUAACGAUACGCAAACAUAUACAUAGCACUGCGUAGGUAUUAGGCAUGAAUUACAACUUACGGGACUCAAUUUCGACAUACGGAGGCCAAGUUAUCAGCUCGUAGGCAAAACUGACUAACACUUAUGCAAAAAGUCGAAAAAGAGGCCAAAACCCACCUCGACCGUCGUAUCAACACGCAAAUACAUACAUAGCACUGCAUUAGUAUUAGGCACGCGUUUUAACUUAUGGGACUAAAUUCUGACUUACGGAUGCCUAGUUAUCAGCCCGUAAGUAAAACUGAACAAUAUUUAGGUAAAAAGUUAAAAAAGAGGCCAAAACAUGCCUCGGCCGUCGUAACGACAUAGAAACACAUACAUAGUACCGCAUAUGUAUUAGGCAUGCGUGACAACUUACGGGACAAGAUUUUGACAUACGUAGACCGAGUUAUUAGCCCGUAUGCAAAAUUGACCAACACUUAGGUAAAAAGUUAAAAAGAGGCCAAAACCCACAUCGACCAUUGUAACGACACAAAAAUAUAUGUAUAGCAUCGCGUAGGUAUUAGGCACAAUGUUACAACUUACGGGACUCAAUUCCGACUUACAGAGGCCGAGUUAUCAGCCCGUAGGUAAAACUGACCAACAUUUGGGGAAAAAGUCAAAAAAGAUGCCAAAACCAACCUCAACUGUUGUAAUGAUACGAAAACUCGUACAUAGCACCGCGUAGGUAUUAGGCACAUGUUACAGCUUACGGGACUCGAUUUCGAUUUACGGAGGCUGAGUUAUCAGCCCCUAGGUAAAACUAACAAACACUUAGGUAAAAAGUCAAAAAAGAAGCCAAAACCCGCCUCGGCCAUCGUAAUGAUACGCAAACACAUACAUAGCACCGCGUAGGUAGUAGGCAUUCGUUACAACUUAUGGGACUCGAUUCUGACAUACGGAGGCCGAGUUAUCAGCCCGUAGGCAAAACUAACCAACACUUAGGCAAAAAUUCGAAAAAUAGGCCAAAACUCGCCUCAGCCAUCGUAACGACACGCAAACACAUACAUAGCAUCGCGUAGGUAUUAGGCACGCGUUAAAACUUACGGGACUCGAUUCCAACUUACGGAGGCCGAGUUAUCAGCCCGUAGACAAAACUGACCAACACUUAGGUAAAAAGUCAAAAAAGAGGCCAAAACCCGUAUCGGUCGUCAUAACGACACGCAAACACGUACAUAUCACUAUGUAGGUAUUAGGCACGCGUUACUACUUACGAAACUCGAUUAUGAUUUACCGAGGCCGAGUUAUAAGCUUGUAGGCAAAACUGACCAACACUUAGGCAAAAAGUCAAAAAAGAGGCCAAAACCCGCCUCAGCCAUUGUAAUGAGAUGGAAACUCGUACAUAGCAUCGCCUAGGUUUUAGGCACGCGUUAUAACUUACAAAACUCGAUUCUGACUUACGGAGGCCGAGUUAUCAGCCUUUAGGCAAAACUUACCAACACUUAGGUAAAAAGUCAAAAAAGAGGCCAAAACCUGCCUCAGCCAUCGUAAUGAUACGCAAACACAUACAUAGCACCGCGUAAAUAUUAGGCAUACAUUACAACUUACGGGACUCGAUUUCGACAUGCAGAGGCCGAGUUAUCAGCCCGUAGGCAAAACUGACCAGCACUUAGGCAAAAAGUCGAAAAAGAGGCCAAAACCGCCUCGACCGACAUAAUGACAUGCAAACAUGUACAUAGCACCGCGUAGGUAUUAGGCAUGCGUUACAACUUACGGGACUCGAUUCCGACUUACGGAAGCCGAGUUAUCAGCCCAUAGGCAAAACUGACCAACACUUAGGCAAAAAGUCGAAAAAGAUGCCAAAAACCCGUCUCGGCCGUCGUAAUAAGCCACAACCUAAUGCAUAGCACCGCGUUGGAAUUAGGCACGCGUUAUAACUUACAGGACUCAAUUCUGACUUACAGAGGCCGAGUUAUUAGCCCAUUGGAAAAACUGACCAAUACUUAGGCAAAAAGUCAAAAAAGAUGCCAAAAUUAGCCUCGAUCGUCGUAAUGACACACAAACAUGUAUAUAGCACCACGUAGGUAUUAGGCACGCGUUACAACUUACGGAAGAUGAUUUCAACUUACGGAGGCCGGGUUAUCAGCCCGUAGGCAAAACUGACCAACACUUAGGCAAAAACUAAAAAAAGAGGCCAAAACCUGUCUUGGCCGUCAUAACAACAUGCAAACUCGUAUAUAGCACCGUGUAGGUAUUAGGCACGUAUUACAACUUACGGAACUAGAUUCUGACUUACAGAGGAUGAGUUAUUAGCCCGUAGGCAAAACUGACCAACACUUAUGAAAAAAGUCGAAAAAGAGGCCAAAACCCACCUCGGCCGUCGUAAUAACACGCAAAGACAUACAUAGCAUUGCAUUGGUAUUAGGCACACAUUUUAACUUACGGGACUAAAUUCUGACUUACGGAGGCCUAGUAAUCAGCCCGUAAGCAAAACUGAACAACAUUUAGGUAAAAAGUUAAAAAAGAGGCCAAAACAUGCCUCAGCCGUCGUAACGACAUAAAAACACAUACAUAGUACCGCGUAUGUAUUAGGCAUGUGUUAUAACUUACGGGACAAGAUUUUGACAUACAUAGACCCAGUUAUUAGCCCGUAUGCAAAAUUGAUACGCAAACACAUACAUUGCACCACGUAGGUAUUAGACAUACGUUACAACUUACGGGACUCGAUUCCGACAUACGGAGGCCGAUUUAUCAGCCCGUAGGCAAAACUGACCAACACUUAGAUAAAAAGUCAAAAAAGAGGCCAAAACUCACCUCGGCCAUCGUAACAACACGCAAACACAUACAUAGCAUCGCGUAGGUAUUAGGCAUGCAUUACAACUUACGGGACUCGAUUUCGACAGACGGAGGCCGAGUUAUCAUCCCGUAGGCAAAACUGACCAACACUUAGGCAAAAAGUCGAAAAAAGUUGCCAAAAACCCGUCUCGGCCGUCGUAAUAAGACGCAAACUAAUACAUAGCACCGCGUCAGAAUUAGGCACGUGUUACAACUUACAGGACUCGAUUCUGACUUAUAGAGGCUGAGUUAUUAGCCUAUUGGCAAAACUGACCAACACUUAGGCAAAAAGUCAAAAAAAAGGACAAAAUUAGCCUCGGUCGUCGUAAUGACACACAAACAUAUACAUAGCACCACGUAGGCAUUAGGCACGCGUUAUAACUUACGGGACUCGAUUUCGAAUUAUAUAGGCCGAGUUAUCAGCCCGUAGGUAAAACUGACCAACACUUAGGCAAAAAGUUAAAAAAGAGGCCGAAACCCGCCUCGGCCGUCGUAACGAUACGCAAAGAAGUACAUAGCACCGCGUAGGUAUUAGGCAUGCGUUUCAACUUACAGGACUCAAUUCCGACUUACGGAGGCCGAGUUAUCAGCCCGUAGGCAAAACUGACCAACACUUACGGAAAAAUUCGAAAAAUAGUCCAAAACUCGCCUCGACCAUCGUAACGACACGCAAACACAUACAUAGCAUCGCGUAGGUAUUAGGCACGCGUUAAAACUUACUGGACUCGAUUCCAACUUACGGAGGCCGAGUUAUCAGCCCGUAGACAAAACUGACCAACACUUGGGUAUAAAGUCAAAAAAGAGGCCAAAACCCGCCUCGGUCGUCGUAACAACACGCAAACACGUACAUAUCACUGUGUAGGUAUUAGGCACGCAUUACUACUUACGGGACUCGAUUCUGAUUUACCGAGGCCGAGUUAUAAGCCCAUAGGCAAAACUGACCAACACUUAAGUAAAAAGUUGAAAUAGAGGCCAAAACCCGCCUCAGUCGUUGUAAUGAGGCGGAAACUCGUACAUAGCACCGCGUAGGUUUUAGGCACGCGUUACAACUUACAAAACUUGAUUCUGACUUAUGGUGGCCGAGUUAUCAGUCUUUAGGCAAAACUGACCAACACUUAGGUAAAAAGUAAAAAAAGAGACCAAAACCCGCCUCAGCCAUCGUAACGAUACGCAAACACAUACAUAGCACCGCGUAGGUAUUAGGCACGCGUUACAACUUACAAAACUCGAUUCUGACUUACGGAGGCCGAGUUAUCAAUCUUUAGGCAAAACUGACCAACACUUAGGUAAAAAGUAAAAAAAGAGACCAAAACCCGCCUCAGCCAUCGUAACGAUACGCAAACACAUACAUAGCACCGCGUAGGUAUUAGGCACGCGUUACAACUUACAAAACUCGAUUCUGACUUACGGAGGCCGAGUUAUCAAUCUUUAGGCAAAACUGACCAACACUUAGGUAAAAAGUAAAAAAAGAGACCAAAACCCGCCUCAGCCAUCGUAACGAUACGCAAACACAUACAUAGCACCACGUAGGUAUUAGGCAUACAUUACAACUUACGGGACUCAAUUUCGACAUACGGUGGCCGAGUUAUCUGCCCGUAGGCAAAACUGACCAACACUUAGGCAAAAAGUCGAAAAAGAGGCCAAAACCAACCUCGGCCGUCGUAACAACACGCAAAGACAUACAUAGCAUUGCAUGGGUAUUAGGCACGCGUUAUAACUUACGGGACUCAAUUCUGACUUACGGAGGCCGAGUUAUCAGCCCGUAAGCAAAAUUGAAAAACAUUUAGGUAAAAAGUCAAAAAAGGGGCGAAAACAUGCCUCGACCGUCGUAACUACAUAAAAACACAUGUAUAGUACUACGUAUAUAUAAGGCCUGCGUUACAACUUACGGGACUCGAUUCUGACAUACGUAGACCGAGUUAUUAGCCUGUAUUCAAAAUUGACCAACACUUAGGUAAAAAGUUAAAAAAGAGCCAAAUCCCGCAUCGGCCAUUGUAAUGACACGCAAAUAUAUGCAUAGCACCGCGUAGGUAUUAGGCACGCGUUACAACUUACGGGACUCAAUUCCGACUUACGGGGGCCGAGUUAUCAGCCCGUAGGCAAAACUGACCAAUAUUUGGGGAAAAAGUUGAAAAAGAGGCCAAAACCCACCUCGACCGUUGUAACAUUACAGAAACUCGUACAUAGCACCGCGUAGGUAUUAGGCACACGUUACAACUUACGGGACUCGAUUCCAAUUUACGGAGGCCGAGUUAUCAGCCCGUAGGCAAAACAAACUAACACUUAGGUAAAAAGUCAAAAAAUAAGCCAAAACCCGCCUCGGCCAUUGUAAUGAUACGCAAACACAUACAUAGCACCGCGUAGGUAUUAGGCAUGUGUUACAACUUACGGGACUCGAUUCCGACAUACGGAGGCCGAGUUAUCAGCCCGUAGGCAAAACUGACAAACACUUAGGCAAAAAGUCGAAAAAGAGGCCAAAACUCACAUCGACCAUCGUAAUGACAAGCAAACACAUACAUAUCAUCGCGUAUGUAUUAGGCACACAUUACAACUUACGGGACUCGAUUCCGACAGACAGAGGCCGAGUUAUCAGCCCGUAGGCAAAACUGACCAACACUUAGGAAAAAAGUAGAAAAAGAUGCCAAAAUCCAUCUCAGCCGUUGUAACGAUACAGAAACUCGUACAUAGCACCGCGUAGAUAUUAGGCACGCAUUACAACUUACAGGACUCGAUUCUGACUUACGGAGGCCGAGUUAUCAGCCUGUAGGCAAAACUAACUAACACUUAGGUAAAAAGUCAAAAAAGAAACUGAAACCCACCUCGGCCAUCGUAAUGAUACGCAAAAACAUACAUUGCACCGCGUAGGUAUUAGACAUACGUUAUAACUUACGGGACUCGAUUCCGACAUACGGAGGCCGAGUUAUCAGCCCGUAGGCAAAACUGACCAACACUUAGGAAAAAAGUAGAAAAAGAUGCCAAAAUCCAUCUCAGCCGUUGUAACGAUACAGAAACUCGUACAUAGCACCGCGUAGAUAUUAGGCACGCAUUACAACUUACAGGACUCGAUUCUGACUUACGGAGGCCGAGUUAUCAGCCUGUAGGCAAAACUAACUAACACUUAGGUAAAAAGUCAAAAAAGAAACUGAAACCCACCUCGGCCAUCGUAAUGAUACGCAAAAACAUACAUUGCACCGCGUAGGUAUUAGACAUACGUUAUAACUUACGGGACUCGAUUCCGACAUACGGAGGCCGAGUUAUCAGCCCGUAGGCAAAACUGACCAACACUUAGACAAAAAGUCAAAAAGGAGGCCAGAACCCAUCUCGGCCGUUUUAACUUUACGGAAACUCGUACAUAGCACCGCAUAGAUAUUAAACACACGUUACAACUUACGGGACUCGAUUCCAAUUUACGGAGGCCGAGUUAUCAACUCGUAGGCAAAACUAACUAACGCGUAGGUAAAAAGUCAAAAAAUAAGCCAAAACCCGCCUCGGCCAUCGUAAGGAUACACAAACACAAACAUAGCACCGCGUAGGUAUUAGGCAUGUGUUACAACUCACGGGACUCGAUUCCGACAUACGAAGGCCGAGUUAUCAGCCCGUAGGCAAAACUGACAAACACUUAGGCAAAAAGUCAAAAAAGAGGCCAAAACUCGCCUCGGCCAUCGUAAUGACAAAUAAACACAUACAUAUUUUCGCGUAGGUAUUAGGCACGCAUUAAAACUUACGAGACUCGAUUUCGACAGACGGAGGCUGAGUUAUCAGCCCGUAGGCAAAACUGACCAACACUUAGGCAAAAAGUAGAAAAAGAGGCCAAAAUCCACCUCGACCGUUGUAACGAUACAGAAACUCGCACAUAGCACCGCGUAGGUAUUAGGCACGCGUUACAUCUUACGAGACUCAAUUCCGACUUACGGAGGCCGAGUUAUCACCUUGUAGGCAAAACUAACUAACACUUAGGUAAAAAGUCAAAAAAGAAUCUGAAACCCGCCUCAGCCAUCGUAAUGAUACACAAACACAUACAUUGCACCGUGUAGGUAUUAGACAUACGUUACAACUUACGGGACUCGAUUCCGACAUACGGAGGCCGAGUUAUCAGCCCGUAGGCAAAACUGACCAACACUUAGGCAAAAAGUCAAAAAAGAGGCCAAAACUCGCAUCGGCCAUCGUAAUAAUACGCAAACACAUACAUAGCAUCGCGUAGGUAUUAGGCACGAAUUACAACUUACGGGAUUCAAUUUCGACAGACGGAGGCCGAGUUAUCAGCCCGUAGGCAAAAAUGACCAACACUUAGGCAAAAAGUCGAAAAAGAGGCCAAAACUCUCCUCGGCUGUAGUAAUGACACGCAAACAUAUACAUAGCACCACAUAGGUAUUAGGCACACGUUACAACUUAUGGGACUCGAUUCCGACUUACGGAGGCCAAGUUAUCAGCCUGUAGGCAAAACUGACCAACACUUCUGCAAAAAGUCGAAAAAGUUGCCAAAAACCCGUCUCGGCGGUCGUAAUAAGACGCAAACUAAUACAUAGCACCGCGUCAGAAUUAGGCACGUGUUACAACUUACAGGACUCGAUUCUGACUUACGGAGGCCGAGUUAUCAGCCCAUUGGCAAAACUGACCAACACUUAAGCAAAAAGUCAAAAACGAGGCCAAAAUUAGCCUCAGUCGUCGUAAUGACACAAAAACAUAUAUAUAGCACCACGUAGGCAUUAGGCAAGCGUUAGAACUUACAGAACUCGAUUCCGACUUACGGAGGCCGACUUAUCAGCCCGUAGGCAAAAUUGACCAACACUUAGGCAAAAAGUCGAUAAAGAGGCCAAAACCCGCCUCGGCCAUCGUAAUAAUACACAAACAUGUAUAUAACACUGCAUAGGUAUUAGGUAUGCGUUACAACUUACGGGACUCGAUUCUGACAUACGGAGGCCAAGUUAUUAGCCCGUAGGCAAAACUAACCAAUACUUAGGCAAAAAGUCAAAAAAGAGGCCAAAACCCGUCUCGACCGUCGUAAUGACACACAAACACAUACAUAGUACAGCGUAGGUAUUAGAUACGCGUUACAACUUACGGAGGGUGAGUUAUCAGCCUGUAGGCAAAACUGACCAACACUUAGGCAAAAAGUCAAAAAAGAGGAUAAAACACGCCUCGGCCGUUGUAACGAGACGCAAACACAUAUAUUGUACUGUGUAGGUAUUAAGCACGCGUUACAACUUAUGGGACCCGAUUCUGACUUACGGAGGCCGAGUUAUCAGCCCGUAGGCAAAACUGACCAACUCAUAGGUAAAAAGUGAAAAAAGAGGCCAAAACAUGCCUCGGUCGUCAUACCGACAUAAAAACAUAUACAUAGUACCGCAUAUGUAUUAAGCAUGCGUUACAACUUACAGGACUCAAUUCUGACAUACGUGGACCGAGUUAUUAGCCUGUAUACAAAAUUAACCAAUACUUAGGUAAAAAGUUAAAAAAGAGGCCAAAACCCCCAUCAGCCAUUGUAAUGACACGCAAAUACAUGCAUAGCACCGCGUAGGUAUUAGGCACGCAUUACAACUUACAGGACUCAAUUCCAACUUACGGAGGCCGAGUUAUCAGCCUAUAGGCAAAACUGACCAAUAUUUGGGGUAAAGUCGAAAAAAAGACCAAAAUCCACCUUGGCCGUUGUAAUAAUACAAAACCUCGUACAUAGGACCGCGUAGGUAUUAGGCACGCGUUACAGCUUACGGGAUUCGAUUCCAAUUUACGGAGCCCGAGUUAUCAGCCCAUAGACAAAACUAACUAACACUAAAGUAAAAAGUCAAAAAAGAAACCAAAACUCGCCUCGACCAUCGUAAUGAUAUGCAAACAUAUACAUAGCACCGCGUAGGUAUUAGGCAUGCGUAACAACUUACGGGACUCGAUUCCGACAUACGGAGGCCGAGUUAUCAGCCUGUAGGCAAAACUGACCAACACUUAGGCAAAAAAUUGAAAAAGAGGCCAAAACUCGCCUCGGCCAUCAUAACUACACGCAAACACAUACAUAGUAUCGCGUAGUUAUUAGGCAUGCGUUAAAACUUAUGGGACUUGAUUCCAACUUACGGAGGCCGAGUUAUCAGCCCGUAAAAAAAACUGACCAACACUUAGAUAAAAAGUCAAAAAAGAGGCCAAAACCUACCUCGGUCGUCGUAAUGACACGCAAACAUGUACAUAUCAUCGUGUAGGUAUUAGGCAUGCGUUACUACUUACGAGACUCAAUUCUGAUUUACCGAGGCCGAGUUAUAAUCCCGUAGGCAAAACUGACCAACACUUGGGCAAAAAGUCGAAAAAGAGGCCAAAACCCACCUCGACCGUUGUAAUGAGACGGAAACUCGUACAUUGAACCGCGUUGGUUUUAGGCACGCAUUACAACUUAUGAAACUCGAUUCUGACUUACGGAGGCCGAGUUAUCAGCCCGUAGGAAAUAUUGACCAACACUUAGGUAAAAAGUCAAAAAAGAGGCCAAAACCCGCCUCAGCUAUCGUAAAGAUACACAAACACAUACGUAGCACCACGUAGGUAAUAGGCAUACAUUACAACUUACGGGACUCGAUUUCGACAUACAGAGGUCGAGUUAUCAGCCCGUAGGCAAAACUGACCAACACUUAGGCAAAAAGUCGAAAAAGAGGCCAAAACAAACCUCGACCGUCGUAACAAUACGCAAAGACAUACAUAGCACUGCAUGUGUAUUAGGCACGCGUUAUAAUUUACGGGACUCAAUUCUGACUUAUGGAGGCCGAGUUAUCAGCCCGUAAGCAAAACUGAACAACAUUUAGGUAAAAAGUUAAAAAAGGGGCCAAAACAUGCCUUGACCGUCGUAACGACAUAAAAACACAUACGUAGUACUGUGUAUGUAUUAGGCACGUGUUAUAACUUACGGGACUUGAUUCUGAUAUAUGUAGACCGAGUUAUUAGCCCGUAUUCAAAAUUGACCAACAUUUAGGUAAAAAGUUAAAAAAGAUGCCAAAACCCGUAUCGGCCAUUGUAACAACACUCAAAUACAGGCGUAGCACCGCGUAGGUAUUAGGCACGCGUUACAACUUACGGGGCUCAAUUCUGACUUACGGAGGCCGAGUUAUCAGCCCGUAGGCAAAACUUACCAACAUUUGGGGAAAAAGUCAAAAAAGAGGCCAAAACCCACCUCGGCCGUUGUAACGAUACGAAAACUCGUACAUAGCACCACGUAGGUAUUAGGCACGCGUUACAACUUACAGGACUCGAUUCCAAUUUACGGAGGCCGAGUUAUCAGCCCGUAGGCAAAACUAGCUAACACUUAGGUAAAAAGUCAAAAAAUAAGCCAAAACCCGUCUCGGCCAUCGUAAUGAUACGUAAACACAUACAUAGCACCGUGUAGGUAUUAGGCAUGUGUUAUAACUUACGGGACUCGAUUCUGACAUACGGAGGCCGAGUUAUCAUCCCAUAGGCAAAACUGACAAAUACUUAGGCAAAAAGUCGAAAAAGAGGCCAAAACUCUCCUCGGCCAUUGUAACGACAAGCAAACACAUACAUAUCAUCGCGUAGAUAUUAGGAACGCAUUACAAAUUACGGGACUCGAUUCCGACAGACGGAGGCCGAGUUAUCAGCCCGUAGGCAAAAUUGACCAACACUUAGGCAAAAAGUAGAAAAAGAGGCCAAAAUCCACCUCAGCCGUUGUAACGAUACAGAAACUCGUACAUAGCACCGCGUAGGUAUUAGGCACACAUUACAACUUACGUGACUCGAUUCUGACUUACGGAAGCCGAGUUAUCAGCCUAUAGGAAAAACUAACUAACACUUAGGUAAAAAGUCAAAAAAGAAGCUGAAACCAGCCUCGGCCAUCGUAAUGAUACGCAAACAAAUACAUAGCACCGCGAAUGUGUUAGACAUACGUUACAACUUAUGGGACUCGAUUCCGACAUACGGAGGCCAAGUUAUCAGCCCGUAGGCAAAACUCACCAACACUUAGGCAAAAAGUCAAAAAAUUGGCCAACAGUCGCCUCGGCCAUUGUAACGACAUGUAAACACAUACAUAGCAUCGCGUAGGUAUUAGGCACGCAUUAUAACUUACGGGACUCGAUUCUGACAGACGGAGAUCGAGUUAUCAGCUCGUAGGCAAAAUUGACCAACACUUAGGCAAAAUGUUGAAAAAGAGGCCAAAACUCUCCUCGGCUGUAGUAACGACACGCAAACACAUACAUAGUACCGCGUAGGUAUUAGGCAUGCAUUACAACUUACUGGACUCGAUUCCGACUUACGGAGGCCGAGUUAUCAGCCCGUAGGCAAAACUGACCAACACUUAGGCAAAAAGUCAAAAAAGAUGCCAAAAACCCGUCUCGGCCGUCGUAAUAAGACACAAACUAAUACAUAGGACCGCGUUGGAAUUAGGUACACGUUAUAACUUACAGGACUCGAUUCUGACUUAUGGAGGCCGGGUUAUUAGCCCAUUGGCAAAACUGACCAACACUUAGGCAAAAAGUCAAAAAAGAAGUCAAAAUUAGCCUCGGUCGUCGUAAUGACACAUAAACAUGUACAUAGCACCACGUAGGCAUUAGGCACGCGUUACAACUUACGAAAGUUGAUUUCGACUUACGGAGGCCGAGUUAUUAGCCCGUAGGCAAAAACUGACCAACACUUGGGUAAAAACUCGAAAAAGAGGCCAAAACCCGCCUUGGCCAUGAUAACGACACGCAAACACGUAUAUAGCACCGUGUAGGUAUUAGGCACGUGUUACAACUUACGGAACUCGAUUCUGGCUUACGGAGGGCGAGUUAUUAGCCCGUAGGCAAAACUGACCAACACUUAGUCAAAAAAGUCAAAAAAGAGGCCAAAAUCCGCCUCAGCCAUCGUAACGAUACGCAAACAUAUACAUAACACUACGUAGGUAUUAGGCAUGAAUUACAACUUACGGGACUCGAUUUCGACAUACGGAGGCCAAGUUAUCAGCUCGUAGGCAAAACUGACCAACACUUAUGCAAAAAGUCGAAAAAGAGGCCAAAACCCACCUCGACCGUCGUAUCAACACGCAAAGACAUACAUAGCACUGCAUUGGUAUUAGGCACGCGUUUUAACUUGUGGGACUAAAUUCUGACUUACGGAUGCCUAGUUAUCAGCCUGUAAGUAAAACUGAACAAUAUUUAGAAAGUUAAAAAAGAGGCCAAAACAUGCCUCGGCCGUCGUAACAACAUAGAAACACAUGCAUAGUACCGCGUAUGUAUUAGGCAUGCGUUACAACUUACGGGACAAGAUUCUGACAUACGUAGACCGAGUUAUUAGACCGUAUGCAAAAUUGACCAACACUUAGGUAAAAAGUUAAAAAAGAGGCCAAAACCCACAUCGACCAUUGUAACGACACAAAAAUAUAUGUAUAGCAUCGCGUAGGUAUUAGGCACGCGUUACAACUUACGGGACUCAAUUCCGACUUACAGAGGCCGAGUUAUCAGCCCGUAGGUAAAACUGACCAACAUUUGGGGAAAAAGUCGAAAAAGAUGCCAAAACCAACCUCAGCUGUUGUAAUGAUACAAAAACUCGUACAUAGCACCGCGUAGGUAUUAGGCACGUGUUACAGCUUACGGGACUCGAUUUCGAUUUACGGAGGCCGAGUUAUCAGCCCGUAGUCAAAACUAACAAACACUUAGGUAAAAAGUCAAAAAAGAAGCCAAAACCCGCCUCGACCAUCGUAAUGAUACGCAAACACAUACAUAGCACCGCGUAGGUAUUAGGCGUGCGUUACAACUUAUGGGACUCGAUUCUGACAUACGGAGGCCGAGUUAUCAGCCCAUAGGCAAAACUAACCAACACUUAGGCAAAAAUUUGAAAAAUAGGCCAAAACUCGCCUCAGCCAUCGUAACGACACGUAAACACAUACAUAGCAUCGCGUAGGUAUUAGGCAGGCGUUAAAACUUACGGGACUCGAUUCCAACUUACGGAGUCCGAGUUAUCAGCCCGUAGACAAAACUGACCAACACUUAGGUAAAAAGUCAAAAAAGAGGCCAAAACCCGUCUCGGUCGUCGUAACGACACGCAAACACGUACAUAUCACUGUGUAGGUAUUAGGCACAAGUUACUACUUACGUAACUCGAUUAUGAUUUACCGAGGCCGAGUUAUAAGCCUGUAGGCAAAAUUGACCAACACUUAGGCAAAAAGUCAAAAAAGAGGCCAAAACCCGCCACAGCCGUUGUAAUGAGACAGAAACUCGUACAUAGCACUGCGUAGGUUUUAGGCACGCGCUACAACUUACAAAACUUGAUUCUGACUUACGGAGGCCGAGUUAUCAGCCUUUAGGCAAAACUUACCAACACUUAGGUAAAAAGUCAAAAAAGAGGCCAAAACCCGCCUCAGCUAUCGUAAUGAUACGCAAACACAUACAUAGCACCGCGUAAAUAUUAGGCAUACAUUACAACUUACGGGACUCGAUUUCAACAUACAGAGGCCGAGUUAUCAGCCCGUAGGCAUAACUGACCAACACUUAGGCAAAAAGUCAAAAAAGAGGCCAAAACCGCCUCGACCGACAUAAUGACAUGUAAACACGUACAUAGCACCGCGUAGGUAUUAGGCAUGCGUUACAACUUCCGGGACUCGAUUCCGACUUACGGAGGCCGAGUUAUCCGCCCGUAGGCAAAACUGACCAACACUUAGGCAAAAAGUCGAAAAAGAUGCCAAAAACCCGUCUCGGCCGUCGUAAUAAGACACAACCUAAUAUAUAGCACCGCGUUGGAAUUAGACACGCGUUAUAACUUACAGGACUCGAUUCUGACUUACGGAGGCCGAGUUAUUAGCCCAUUGGCAAAACUGACCAACACUUAGGCAAAAAGUCAAAAAAGAUGCCAAAAUUAGCCUCGAUCGUCGUAAUGACACACAAACAUGUACAUAGCACCACGUAGGUAUUAGGCACGCGUUACAACUUAUGGAAGUUGAUUUCAACUUACGGAGGCCGAGUUAUCAGCCCGUAUGCAAAGCUGACCAACACUUAGGCAAAAACUCGAAAAAGAGGCCAAAACCUGUCUUAGCAGUCAUAACAACACGCAAACACGUAUAUAGCACCGUGUAGGUAUUAGGCACGUAUUACAACUUACGGAACUCGAUUCUGACUUACGGAGGACGAGUUAUUAGCCCGUAGGCAAAACUGACCAACACUUAGGGAAAAAGUCAAAAAAGAGGCCAAAACCCGCCUCAGCCAUCGUAACGAUACGAAAACAUAUACAUAGCACCGCGUAGGUAUUAGGCAUGCAUUACAACUUACGGGACUCGAUUUUGACAUACGGAGGCCGAGUUAUCAGCUCGUAGGCAAAACUGACCAACACUUAUGAAAAAAGUCAAAAAAGAGGCCAAAACCCACCUCGGCCGUCGUAAUAACACGCAAAGACAUACAUAGCAUUGCAUUGGUAUUAGGCACACAUUUUAACUUACGGGACUAAAUUUUGACUUACGGAGGCCUAGUAAUCAGCCCGUAAGCAAAACUGAACAACAUUUAGGUAAAAAGUUAAAAAAGAGGCCAAAACAUGCCUCGGCCGUCGUAACGACAUAAAAACACAUACAUACUACCACGUAUGUAUUAGGCAUGUGUUACAACAUACGGGACAAGAUUCUGACAUACGUAGACCUAGUUAUUAGCCCGUAUGCAAAAUUGAUAUACAAACACAUACAUUGCACCACGUAGGUAUUAGACAUACGUUACAACUUACGGGACUCGAUUCCGACAUACGGAGGCCGAUUUAUCAGCCCGUAGGCAAAACUGACCAACACUUAGAUAAAAAGUCAAAAAAGAGGCCAAAACUCGCCUCGGCCAUCGUAACAACACGCAAACACAUACAUAGCAUCGCGUAGGUAUUAGGCACACAUUACAACCUAUGGGACUUGAUUCCGACAGACGGAGGCCGAGUUAUCAGCCCGUAGGCAAAACUGACCAACACUUAGGCAAAAAGUCGAAAAAGAGGCCAAAACUCUCCUCGGCUGUAGUAACGACACGCAAAUAUAUACAUAGCACCGCGUCAGAAUUAGGCACGCGUUAGAACUUACAGGACUCGAUUCUGACUUACGGAGGCCGAGUUAUCAGCCCGUAAGCAAAACUGACCAACACUUAGGUAAAAAGUCAAAAAAAAGGGCCAAAAUUAGCCUCGGUCGUCGUAAUGACACACAAACAUAUACCUAGCACCACGUAGGCAUUAGGCACGCGUUACAACUUACAGGACUCGAUUCUGACUUACGGAGGCCGAGUUAUUAGCCCAUUGGCAAAACUGACCAACACUUAGGUAAAAAGUCAAAAAAAAGGGCCAAAAUUAGCCUCGGUCGUCGUAAUGACACACAAACAUAUACCUAGCACCACGUAGGCAUUAGGCACGCGUUACAACUUAUGGGACUCAAUUUCGACUUACGGAGGCCGAGUUAUCAGCCCGUAGGCAAAACAGACCAACACUUAGGUAAAAACUCAAAAAAAGGCCAAAACCCGCCUUGGCCGUCAUAACAACACGCAAAUACGUAUAUAGCACCCUGUAGAUAUUAGGCACGUGUUACAACUUACGGGACUCGAUUCUGACUUACGGAGGCCGAGUUAUCAGCCCGUAAGCAAAACAGACCAACACUUAGGUAAAAACUCAAAAAAAGGCCAAAACCCGCCUUGGCCGUCAUAACAACACGCAAAUACGUAUAUAGCACCCUGUAGAUAUUAGGCACGUGUUACAACUUACGGGACUCGAUUCCGAAUUAUAUAGGCCGAGUUAUCAGCCCAUAGGUAAAACUGACCAACACUUAGGCAAAAAGUUAAAAAAGAGGCCGAAACCCUCCUCGGCCGUCGUAACGAUACGCAAAGAAGUACAUAGCACCGCGUAGGUAUUAGGCAUGCAUUUCAACUUACGGGACUCGAUUCUGACUUACGGAGACCGAGUUAUCAGCCCGUAGGCAAAACUGACCAGCACUUAGGCAAAAAUUCGAAAAAGAGGCCAAAAUUCGCCUCGGCCAUUGUAACGACACGCAAACACAUACAUAGCAUCGUGUAGGUAUUAGGCACGCGUUAAAACUUACUGGACUCGAUUCCAACUUACGGAGGCCGAGUUAUCAGCCCGUAGACAAAACUGACCAACACUUGGGUAAAAAGUCAAAAAAGAGGCCAAAACCCGCCUCGAUCGUCGUAACGACACGCAAACACGUACAUAUCACUGUGUAGGUAUUAGGCACGCGUUACUACUUACGGGACUCGAUUCUGAUUUACCGAGGCCGAGUUAUAAGCCCGUAGGCAAAACUGACCAACACUUAGGCAAAAAGUCAAAAAAGAGGCCAAAACCCGCCUCGAUCGUCGUAACGACACGCAAACACGUACAUAUCACUGUGUAGGUAUUAGGCACGCGUUACUACUUACGGGACUCGAUUCUGAUUUACCGAGGCCGAGUUAUAAGCCCGUAGGCAAAACUGACCAACACUUAGGCAAAAAGUCAAAAAAGAGGCCAAAACCCGCCUCGAUCGUCGUAACGACACGCAAACACGUACAUAUCACUGUGUAGGUAUUAGGCACGCGUUACUACUUACGGGACUCGAUUCUGAUUUACCGAGGCCGAGUUAUAAGCCCGUAGGCAAAACUGACCAACACUUAGGCAAAAAGUCAAAAAAGAGGCCAAAACCCGCCUCGAUCGUCGUAACGACACGCAAACACGUACAUAUCACUGUGUAGGUAUUAGGCACGCGUUACUACUUACGGGACUCGAUUCUGAUUUACCGAGGCCGAGUUAUAAGCCCGUAGGCAAAACUGACCAACACUUAGGCAAAAAGUCAAAAAAGAGGCCAAAACCCGCCUCGAUCGUCGUAACGACACGCAAACACGUACAUAUCACUGUGUAGGUAUUAGGCACGCGUUACUACUUACGGGACUCGAUUCUGAUUUACCGAGGCCGAGUUAUAAGCCCGUAGGCAAAACUGACCAACACUUAGGCAAAAAGUCAAAAAAGAGGCCAAAACCCGCCUCGAUCGUCGUAACGACACGCAAACACGUACAUAUCACUGUGUAGGUAUUAGGCACGCGUUACUACUUACGGGACUCGAUUCUGAUUUACCGAGGCCGAGUUAUAAGCCCGUAGGCAAAACUGACCAACACUUAGGCAAAAAGUCAAAAAAGAGGCCAAAACCCGCCUCGAUCGUCGUAACGACACGCAAACACGUACAUAUCACUGUGUAGGUAUUAGGCACGCGUUACUACUUACGGGACUCGAUUCUGAUUUACCGAGGCCGAGUUAUAAGCCCGUAGGCAAAACUGACCAACACUUAGGCAAAAAGUCAAAAAAGAGGCCAAAACCCGCCUCGAUCGUCGUAACGACACGCAAACACGUACAUAUCACUGUGUAGGUAUUAGGCACGCGUUACUACUUACGGGACUCGAUUCUGAUUUACCGAGGCCGAGUUAUAAGCCCGUAGGCAAAACUGACCAACACUUAGGCAAAAAGUCAAAAAAGAGGCCAAAACCCGCCUCGAUCGUCGUAACGACACGCAAACACGUACAUAUCACUGUGUAGGUAUUAGGCACGCGUUACUACUUACGGGACUCGAUUCUGAUUUACCGAGGCCGAGUUAUAAGCCCGUAGGCAAAACUGACCAACACUUAGGCAAAAAGUCAAAAAAGAGGCCAAAACCCGCCUCGAUCGUCGUAACGACACGCAAACACGUACAUAUCACUGUGUAGGUAUUAGGCACGCGUUACUACUUACGGGACUCGAUUCUGAUUUACCGAGGCCGAGUUAUAAGCCCGUAGGCAAAACUGACCAACACUUAGGCAAAAAGUCAAAAAAGAGGCCAAAACCCGCCUCGAUCGUCGUAACGACACGCAAACACGUACAUAUCACUGUGUAGGUAUUAGGCACGCGUUACUACUUACGGGACUCGAUUCUGAUUUACCGAGGCCGAGUUAUAAGCCCGUAGGCAAAACUGACCAACACUUAGGCAAAAAGUCAAAAAAGAGGCCAAAACCCGCCUCGAUCGUCGUAACGACACGCAAACACGUACAUAUCACUGUGUAGGUAUUAGGCACGCGUUACUACUUACGGGACUCGAUUCUGAUUUACCGAGGCCGAGUUAUAAGCCCGUAGGCAAAACUGACCAACACUUAGGCAAAAAGUCAAAAAAGAGGCCAAAACCCGCCUCGAUCGUCGUAACGACACGCAAACACGUACAUAUCACUGUGUAGGUAUUAGGCACGCGUUACUACUUACGGGACUCGAUUCUGAUUUACCGAGGCCGAGUUAUAAGCCCGUAGGCAAAACUGACCAACACUUAGGCAAAAAGUCAAAAAAGAGGCCAAAACCCGCCUCGAUCGUCGUAACGACACGCAAACACGUACAUAUCACUGUGUAGGUAUUAGGCACGCGUUACUACUUACGGGACUCGAUUCUGAUUUACCGAGGCCGAGUUAUAAGCCCGUAGGCAAAACUGACCAACACUUAGGCAAAAAGUCAAAAAAGAGGCCAAAACCCGCCUCGAUCGUCGUAACGACACGCAAACACGUACAUAUCACUGUGUAGGUAUUAGGCACGCGUUACUACUUACGGGACUCGAUUCUGAUUUACCGAGGCCGAGUUAUAAGCCCGUAGGCAAAACUGACCAACACUUAGGCAAAAAGUCAAAAAAGAGGCCAAAACCCGCCUCGAUCGUCGUAACGACACGCAAACACGUACAUAUCACUGUGUAGGUAUUAGGCACGCGUUACUACUUACGGGACUCGAUUCUGAUUUACCGAGGCCGAGUUAUAAGCCCGUAGGCAAAACUGACCAACACUUAGGCAAAAAGUCAAAAAAGAGGCCAAAACCCGCCUCGAUCGUCGUAACGACACGCAAACACGUACAUAUCACUGUGUAGGUAUUAGGCACGCGUUACUACUUACGGGACUCGAUUCUGAUUUACCGAGGCCGAGUUAUAAGCCCGUAGGCAAAACUGACCAACACUUAGGCAAAAAGUCAAAAAAGAGGCCAAAACCCGCCUCGAUCGUCGUAACGACACGCAAACACGUACAUAUCACUGUGUAGGUAUUAGGCACGCGUUACUACUUACGGGACUCGAUUCUGAUUUACCGAGGCCGAGUUAUAAGCCCGUAGGCAAAACUGACCAACACUUAGGCAAAAAGUCAAAAAAGAGGCCAAAACCCGCCUCGAUCGUCGUAACGACACGCAAACACGUACAUAUCACUGUGUAGGUAUUAGGCACGCGUUACUACUUACGGGACUCGAUUCUGAUUUACCGAGGCCGAGUUAUAAGCCCGUAGGCAAAACUGACCAACACUUAGGCAAAAAGUCAAAAAAGAGGCCAAAACCCGCCUCGAUCGUCGUAACGACACGCAAACACGUACAUAUCACUGUGUAGGUAUUAGGCACGCGUUACUACUUACGGGACUCGAUUCUGAUUUACCGAGGCCGAGUUAUAAGCCCGUAGGCAAAACUGACCAACACUUAAGUAAAAAGUUGAAAAAGAGGCCAAAACCCGCCUCAACCGUUGUAAUGAGGCGAAAACUCGUACAUAGCACCGCGUAGGUUUUAGGCACGUGUUACAACUUACAAAACUCGAUUCUGACUAACGGAGGCCGAGUUAUCAGCCUUUAGGCAAAACUGACCAACACUUAGGUAAAAAGUCAAAAAAGAAUCCGAAACCCGCCUCGGCCAUCGUAAUGAUACGGAAACACAUACAUAGCACCGCGUCAGAAUUAGGCACGCGUUAUAACUUACGGGACUCAAUUCCAACAUCCGGAGGUAACUAACACUUAGGUAAAAAGUCAAAAAAGAAUCCGAAACCCGCCUCGGCCAUCGUAAUGAUACGGAAACACAUACAUAGCACCGCGUCAGAAUUAGGCACGCGUUAUAACUUACGGGACUCAAUUCCAACAUCCGGAGGUAACUAACACUUAGGUAAAAAGUCAAAAAAGAAUCCGAAACCCGCCUCGGCCAUCGUAAUGAUACGGAAACACAUACAUAGCACCGCGUCAGAAUUAGGCACGCGUUAUAACUUACGGGACUCAAUUCCAACAUCCGGAGGUAACUAACACUUAGGUAAAAAGUCAAAAAAGAAUCCGAAACCCGCCUCGGCCAUCGUAAUGAUUACGGAAACACAUACAUAGCACCGCGUCAGAAUUAGGCACGCGUUAUAACUUACGGGACUCAAUUCCAACAUCCGGAGGUAACUAACACUUAGGUAAAAAGUCAAAAAAGAAUCCGAAACCCGCCUCGGCACAUCGUAAUGAUACGGAAACACAUACAUAGCACCGCGUCAGAAUUAGGCACGCGUUACAACUUACAGGACUCGAUUCUGACUUACGGAGGCCGAGUUAUCAGCCUGUAGGCAAAACUGACCAACACCUCGAUUCCGACAGACGGAGGCCGAGUUAUUAGCCCGUAGGCAAAACUGACCAACACUUAGGCAAAAAGUAGAAAAAGAUGCCAAAAUCCGUCUCGGCCGUUGUAACGAUACAGAAACUCGUACAUAGCACUGCGUAGAUAUUAGGCACGCAUUACAACUUACAGGACUCGAUUCUGACUUACGGAGGCCGAGUUAUCAGCCUGUAGGCAAAACUAACUAACACUUAGGUAAAAAGUCAAAAAAGAAGCCGAAACCUACCUCGGCCAUCGUAAUGAUACGCAAACACAUACAUUGCACCGCGUAGGUAUUAGACAUACGUUACAACUUACGGGACUCAAUUCCAACAUACGGAGGCCGAGUUAUCAGCCCGUAGGCAAAACUGACCAACACUUAGACAAAAAGUCAAAAAAGAGGCCAGAACCCAUCUCACCCGUUGUAACUUUACGGAAACUAGUACAUAGAACCGCAUAGGUAUUAGGCACACGUUACAACUUAUGGGACUCGAUUCCAAUUUACGGAGGCCGAGUUAUCAACUCGUAGGCAAAACUAACUAACACGUAGGUAAAAAGUCAAAAAAUAAGCCAAAACCCGCCUCGGCCAUCGUAAAGAUACACAAACACAAACAUAGCACCGCGUGGGUAUUAGGCAUGUGUUACAACUCACGGGACUCGAUUCCGACAUACGGAGGCCGAGUUAUCAGCCCGUAGGCAAAAUUGACAAACACUUAGGCAAAAAGUCAAAAAAGAGGCCAAAACUCGCCUCGACAAUCGUAACGACAAGUAAACACAUACAUAUUAUCGCGUAGGUAUUAGGAACGCAUUAACACUUACGAGACUCGAUUUCGACAGACGGAGGCCGAGUUAUCAGCCCGUAGGCAAAACUGACCAACACUUAGGCAAAAAGUAGAAAAAAGAGGCCAAAAUCCACCUCAACCGUUGUAACGAUACAGAAACUUGCACAUAGCACCGCGUAGGUAUUAGGCACGCGUUAUAACUUACGAGACUCGAUUCCGACUUACGGAGGCCGAGUUAUCACCUUGUUGGCAAAACUAACUAACACUUAGGUAAAAAGUCAAAAAAGAAUCCGAAACCCGCCUCGGCCAUCGUAAUGAUACACAAACACAUACAUUGCACUGCGUAGGUAUUAGACAUACGUUACAACUUACGGGACUCGAUUCCGACAUACGGAGGCCGAGUUAUCAGCCUGUAGGCAAAACUGACCAACACUUAGGCAAAAAGUCAAAAAAAGAGGCCAAAAUCCACCUCAAUCGUUGUAACGAUACAGAAACUCGCACAUAGCACCGCGUAGGUAUUAGGCACGCGUUAUAACUUACGAGACUCGAUUCCGACUUACGGAGGCCGAGUUAUCACCUUGUAGGCAAAACUAACUAACACUUAGGUAAAAAGUCAAAAAAGAAUCCGAAACCCGCCUCGGCCAUCGUAAUGAUACACAAAAAUAUACAUUGCAUCGCGUAGGUAUUAGGCACGCGUUCCAACUUACGGGACUCGAUUCUGACUUACGGAGGCCAAGUUAUCAGCCCGUAGGCAAAACUGACCAACACUUAGGCAAAAAGUCGAAAAAGUUGCCAAAAACCCGUCUCGGCCGUUGUAAUAAGACGCAAACUAAUACAUAGCACCGCGUCAGAAUUAGGCACGCGUUACAACUUACAGGACUCGAUUCUGACUUACGGAGGCCGAGUUAUUAGCCCAUUGGCAAAACUGACCAACACUUAGGUAAAAAGUCAAAAAAAAGGCCAAAAUUAGCCUCGGUCGUCGUAAUGACACAGAAACAUAUACCUAGCACCACGUAGGCAUUAGGCACGCGUUACAACUUACGGGACUCAAUUUCGACUUACGGAGGCCGAGUUAUCAGCCCGUAGGCAAAACAGACCAACACUUAGGUAAAAACUCAAAAAAAAGGCCAAAACCCGCCUUGGCCGUUAUAACAACACGCAAAUACGUAUAUAGCACCCUGUAGAUAUUAGGCACGUGUUACAACUUACGGGACUCGAUUCCGAAUUAUAUAGGCCGAGUUAUCAGCCCAUAGGUAAAACUGACCAACACUUAGGUAAAAAGUUAAAAAAGAGGUCGAAACCCGCCUCGGCCGUCGUAACGAUACGCAAAGAAGUACAUAGCACCGUGUAGGUAUUAGGCAUGCAUUUCAACUUACGGGACUCGAUUCUGACUUACGGAGACCGAGUUAUCAGCCCGUAAGCAAAACUGACCAACACUUAGGCAAAAAUUCGAAAAAGAGGCCAAAAUUCGCCUCGGCCAUCGUAACGACACGCAAACACAUACAUAGCAUCGUGUAGGUAUUAGGCACGCGUUAAAACUUACUGGACUCGAUUCCAACUUACGGAGGCCGAGUUAUCAGCCCGUAGACAAAACUGACCAACACUUGGGUAAAAAGUCAAAAAAGAGGCCAAAACCCGCCUCGAUCGUCGUAACGACACACAAACACGUACAUAUCACUGUGUAGGUAUUAGGCACGCGUUACUACUUACGAGACAUGAUUCUGAUUUACCGAGGCCGAGUUAUAAGCCCGUAGGCAAAACUGACCAACACUUAAGUAAAAAGUUGAAAAAGAGGCCAAAACCCGCCUCAACCGUUGUAAUGAGACGGAAACUCGUACAUAGCACCGCGUAGGUUUUAGGCACGCGUUACAACUUACAAAACUCGAUUCUGACUAACGGAGGCCGAGUUAUCAGCCUUUAGGCAAAACUGACCAACACUUAGGUAAAAAGUAAAAAAAGAGACCAAAACCCGCCUCAGCCAUCGUAAUGAUACGGAAACACAUACAUAGCACCGCGUAUGUAUUAGGCAUACAUUACAACUUACAGGACUCGAUUUCGACAUACGGAGGCCGAGUUAUCAGCCCGUAGGCAAAAUUGACCAACACUUAGGCAAAAAGUCAAAAAAGAGGCCAAAACCAACCUCGGCCGUCGUAACAACACGCAAGGACACACAUAGCACUGCAUGGGUAUUAGGCACGCGUUAUAACUUACGGGACUCAAUUCUGACUUACGUAGGCCGAGUUAUCAGCCCGUAAGCAAAAUUGAACAACAUUUAGGUAAAAAGUCAAAAAAGGGGCGAAAACAUGCCUCGACCGUCGUAACUACAUAAAAACACAUAUAUAGUACUACGUAUGUAUAAGGCCUGCGUUACAACUUACGGGACUCGAUUCUGACAUACGUAGACCGAGUUAUUAGCCUGUAUUCAAAAUUGACCAACACUUAGGUAAAAAGUUAAAAAAGAGGCCAAAUCCUGCAUCAGCCAUUGUAACGACACGCAAAUACAUGCAUAGCACCGCGUAGGUAUUAAGCACGCGUUACAACUUACGGGACUCAAUUCCGACUUACGGGGGCCGAGUUAUCAGCCCGUAGGCAAAACUAACCAAUAUUUGGGGAAAAAGUUGAAAAAGAGGCCAAAACCCACCUCGACCGUUGUAACAUUACGGAAACUCGUACAUAGCAUCGCGUAGGUAUUAGGCACACGUUACAACUUACGGGACUCGAUUCCAAUUUACGGAGGACGAGUUAUCAGCCCGUAGGCAAAACUAACUAACACUUUGGCAAAAAGUCGAAAAAGAGGCCAAAACUAGCAUCGACCAUCGUAACGACAAGCAAACACAUACAUAUCAUCGCGUAGGUAUUAAGCACACAUUACAACUUAAGGGACUCGAUUCCGACAGACGGAGGCCGAGUUAUUAGCCCGUAGGCAAAACUGACCAACACUUAGGCAAAAAGUAAAAAAAGAGGCCAAAACUCGCAUCGGCCAUCGUAACAAUACGCAAACACAUACAUAGCAUCGCGUAGGUAUUAGGCACGCAUUACAACUUAUGGGACCCGAUUCUGACUUACGGAGGCCGAGUUAUUAGCCCGUAGGCAAAACUGACCAACUCUUAGGUAAAAAGUCAAAAAAGAGGCCAAAACCCGCCUCGGCCGUCGUAACAACACGUAAACUCAUACAUAUCACCGUGUAGGUAUUAGGCACGCGUUACUACUUACGGGACUCAAUUCUGAUUUACGGAGGCCGAGUUAUCAGCUCGUAGGCAAAACUGACCAAAAUUAGGCAAAAAGUCGAAAAAGAGUCCAAAACCCGCCUCAUCUAUUAGAAUGAGAUAGAAACUCGUGCAUAGCACCGCGUAGGUAUUAGGCACGCAUUACAACUUACGAAACUCAAUUCCGACUUACGGAGGCCGAGUUAUCUGCCCAUAGGCAAAACUGACCAACACUUAGUUAAAAUUUCAAAAAAGAGGCCAAAACCCGCCUCAACCAUCGUAACGAUACGCAAACAAUUACAUAGCACCGCGUAGGUAUUAGGUAUUCAUUACAACUUACGGGACUCGAUUUCGACAUACGGAGGCCGAGUUAUCAGCCCGUAGGCAAAACUGACCAACACUUAGGCAAAAAGUCCAAAAAGAGGCCAAAACCCACCUCCGCCGUCGUAACAACACGCAAAGACUUACAUAGCACUGCAUGGGUAUUAGGCACGCGUUAUAACUUACGGGACUCAAUUCUGACUUACGAAGGUCGAGUUAUUAGCCCGUAAACAAAACAGAACAACAUUUAGGUAAAAAGUCGAAAAUGAGGGCAAAACAUGACUCGGUCGUCGUAACAACAUAAAAACACAUACAUAGUACCGCGUAUGUAUUAGGCAUGCGUUACAACUUAUGGGACUUGAUUCUGACAUACGUAGACCGAGUUAUUAGCCCGUAUGCAAAAUUGACCAACACUUAGGUAAAAAGUUAAAAAAGAGGCCAAAACCCGCAUCGGCCAUUGUAGGUAUUAGGCACGCGUUACAACUUACGGGUUCAUAGCGUUUUUCACAUAUCUAUGUUACAUAAAUAUGUAGAAGACCCGAAUCACAUUAUUGAGUUAGAACCGGACGAAAUAGCGAAAGAUUUAACGUAUGAAGAGGUUCCUGUUCAAAUCUUGGAUAGGAAGGAACAUAUUCUACGCUCCAAGGUUAUACCUCAAGUCAGAGUGUUAUGGAGGAUCCACGAUGUUGAGGAAAUGACCUGGGAGUUAGAAUCUGAAAUGAAAUCAAGGUAUCCUUAUCUCUUCGACAUACCAGGUAUGUACCCUAAUUUCGAGGGCGAAAUUUCAUAAGAAGGGGAGAUUGUAAGACCCCACUUUUAUGAAUAAAAAUGAAUUUUUUAUAAUUAUCAUUUUUGAAUAUUAUGGAGUAAAUUUAAUAUAAUGUUAUAGUUGUGGGUAAUAUUUACAAAUUUUGCAAAGUAUGCAAGUUGUCAUAUAAUAUUCGAUUGGUCGGGGAAUAUUCGUUUUAACAGAGAAUAUUCGUACAACGGCGCAAUCAUUGGUGGACCCCACAACGGAAUUAUUGUCGGAUUGAGAAAACGACAAAAAUAUUUUAUUGAAAAUAACGGCGGAAGUUUUACCGUUAAUACUGUUGAACUACUCGGUAGUAAAAGUACAGUAAUACGCGUGGUUGCAUAGUAACACACGGUAUUGAUUAUUGAUUCUUAUGUGAAAAGUCACUCAGUUUGAUUCAAUUAUUGUCGAUCUUUUAUAUGAUGAUGAAGUUUUGUUUUAUUCGUAUUAUUAACGUAAUAAAACAGAAACAUCAUUUUAUAUAAAACAAAAUACUUUUAUUAAAGUUAUUCUAUAAAUAGAAUAUAUUAUAUUUUAUUAUGCAUAGUGUUUGCAUAGUGCCUGCAUAGUGUUUGAAUAAUAAAAAUCUUUUUAUAUAAAAUAGAAUAUAUUGUAUUUUAUUUAAAAGAUUUUGUUUUAAAUAUGUACCGUCAGAUUAAAGUAAAUCAAUCUGGACCGUUCAUGAGUUAGUUACUAUGCAUUCCAUUUUUCUAUAAAUAGAAGCUCAUUCCUUCAUUAUUUUCUUACGAAUUCACUGAACUCUAGAGAGAGAAAGUUAUAGAGAGAAAUAAGAAGAGAAGUCUGCUAACUUUCUUUUCCUAUAUCUAAUUUCUUUUACGGUAAGGAAUAUUAUUUAUUUCAUAUUCUGAAGAGAACUUCUGUUAUUCCAUUUCUUAUUUAUUCAGUUGGAAUAACCUGUAUACACGGGCUACCCUAUACUUGGUGACAUUCUUCUAUUAUUCUAUUUUUAUUAUUCCGUUGGAACAUCCUGUCUAUGUGUUUACACCGGACCUGGUUUCGUCUUUAGUAUUAUUCUGUCGGAAUAUCCUGUCGGUGCGAAUUUCACCUGACCUGGUUCCAUUAUUUAUUAUUCCGCAUUUAAUAUUCUGUCGGAAUAUCCUGUUGGUGUGAAUUUCACCUGACCUGGUCCAAUUAUUUAUUAUUUCGCAUUUAAUAUUCUGUCGGAAUAUCCUGUCGGUGUGAAUUUCACCUGACCGCGUAGGUAUUAGGCACGCGUUAAAACUUACGAGACUCAAUUCCAACUUACGGAGGCCGAGUUAUCAUCCCGUAGAUAAAACUGAACAACACUUAGGUAAAAAGUCAAAAAAUAAGCCAGAACUCGCCUCGGUCGUCGUAACGACACGCAAACACGUAUAUAUCACCGUGUAGGUAUUAGGCACGUGUUACUACAUACGGGACUCGAUUCUGAUUUACCAAGGCCGAGUUAUCAGCCCGUAGGCAAAACUGACCAACACUUAGGCAAAAAGUCAAAAAAGAGGUCGAAACCCGCCUCAGCCAUUGUAAUGAGACGGAAACUCGUACAUAGCACCGCGUAGGUAUUAGAAACGCGUUACAACUUAUGGAACUCGAUUCCAACUUACGGAGGCCGAGUUAUCAGCCCGUAGGCAAAACUGACCAACACUUAAGUAAAAUGUCAAAUGAGGCCAAAACUCGCUUCAGCCAUCGUAACGAUACGCAAACACAUACAUAGCACUGCGUUGGUAUUAGACAUACAUUAUAACUUACGGGACUCAAUUUCGACAUACGGAGGCCGAGUUAUCACCCCGUAGGCAAAACUGACCAACACUUAGGCAAAAAGUCGAAAAAGAGGUCAAAACCAACCUCGACAGUCGUAACAACACACAAAGACAUACAUAGCACUGCAUGGGUAUUAGGCAAGCGUUAUAACUUACGGGACUCAAUUCUGACUUACGGAGGCCGAGUUAUCAGCCCGUAGGCAAAACUAACCAACACUUAGGCAAAAAGUUGAAAAAGAGGCCAAAACUCGCCUCGGCCAUCGUAACGACACGCAAACACAUACAUAGUAUCGCGUAGGUAUUAGGCACGUGUUAAAAAUUAUGGGACUUGAAUCCAACUUACGGAGGCCGAGUUAUCAGCCCAUAAACAAAACUGACCAACACUUAGAUAAAAAGUCAAAAAAGAGGCCAAAACCUGCCUCGGUCGUCGUAACGACACGCAAACACGUACAUAUCAUCGUGUAGGUAUUAGGCAUGCGUUACUAUUUACGAGACUCAAUUCUGAUUUACCGAGGCCGAGUUAUAAUCCCGUAGGCAAAACUGACCAACACUUAGGCAAAAAGUCGAAAAAGAGGCCAAAACCCGCCUCGACCGUUGUAAUGAGACGGAAACUCGUACAUAGAACCGCGUAGGUUUUAGGCACGCAUUACAACUUACGAAACACGAUUCUGACUUACGGAGGCCGAGUUAUCAGCCCGUAGGAAAAACUGACCAACACUUAGGUAAAAAGUCAAAAAAGAGGCCAAAACCCGCCUCAGCCAUCGUAAAGAUAUGCAAACACAUAAGUAGCACCAUGUAGGUAUUAGGCAUACAUUACAACUUACGGGACUCGAUUUCGACAUACGGAGGUCGAGUUAUCAGCCCGUAGGCAAAACUGACCAACACUUAGGCAAAAAGUCGUAAAAGAGGCCAAAUCCAACCUCGACCGUCAUAAUAAUUUGCAAAGACAUACAUAGCAUUGCAUGUGUAUUAGGCACGCGUUAUAACUUACGGGACUCAAUUCUGACUUAUGGAGGCCGAGUUAUCAGCCCGUAAGCAAAACUGAACAACAUUUAGGUAAAAAGUCAAAAAAGAGGCCAAAACCCACCUCGGCCGUUGUAACGAUACGAAAACACGUACAUAACACCACGUAGGUAUUAGGCACACGUUACAACUUACGGGGCUCAAUUCUGACUUACGGAGGCCGAGUUAUCAGCCCGUAGGCAAAACUGACCAACAUUUAGGGAAAAAGUCAAAAAAGAGGCCAAAACCCACCUCGGCCGUUGUAACGAUACGAAAACUCGUACAUAACACCACGUAGGUAUUAGGCACGUGUUACAACUUACAGGACUCGAUUCCAAUUUACGGAGGCCGAGUUAUAAGCCCGUAGGCAAAACUAACUAAAACUUAGGUAAAAAGUCAAAAAAAAAGCCAAAACCCGUCUCGGCCAUCGUAAUGAUACGUAAACACAUAGAUAGCACCGCGUAGGUAUUAGGCAUAUGUUAUAACUUACGGGACUCGAUUCCGACAUACGGAGGCCGAGUUAUCAGCCCAUAGGCAAAAUUGACAAAUACUUAGGUAAAAAGUUGAAAAAGAGGUCAAAACUCUCCUCGGCCAUCGUAACGACAAGCAAACACAUACAUAUCAUCGCGUAGAUAUUAGGCACGCAUUACAACUUACGGGACUCGAUUCUGACAGACGGAGGCCGAGUUAUCAGCCCGUAGGCAAAAUUGACCAACACUUAGGCAAAAAGUAGAAAAAGAGGCCAAAAUCCGCCUCAGCCGUUGUAACGAUACAGAAACUCGUACAUAGCACCGCAUAGGUAUUAGGCACGCAUUAUAACUUACGGGACUCGAUUCCGACUUACGGAAGCCGAGUUAUCAGCCUGUAGGAAAAACUAACUAACACUUAGGUAAAAAGUCAAAAAAGAAGCUGAAUCCCGCCUCGACCAUCGUAAUGAUACGCAAACAAAUACAUAGUACCACGAAGGUAUUUGAUGAGUGAUUUUAUACACAUGAAUUGGAUAUAUUCGAGCUUAAUUUAUUGUUGUUCUCAAGUCUUUUAAGAUGUUAUUAUGUGUUUGUGUCUAUUCAAGCAUGUUUUAUAUUGUUUUGUAGGAUUUGGGACAAAAGUUAAAUGGAUCGACGUUCGGGGUGGCUAGAUUCGCGUUUUCGUCUUGCCAUUUACACAACAGUCACUUCAGAGCCUAUUUUACUAUAUCGACGGACAUUAUUUUGAAAAACUCAAAGAAUGAAAGUUGUAUAUCUACUUUUCCUAUUUCCGGAUCAUCUUGAAUCAUCUAAAUCGGAGUUCGGAAGAAGAAGUUAUGGCCAUUUUCCCAAAGGAUGUCGGAGCAGAAAAUGUCAGAACUUGUAACAGCGUCGAAGCGCUAUUUUUAGUUCAUUUUGCAGCGUCGGGGCGUUAUAAGGCAGAGUCUGAGCAUCAAGCCCAGCGCUGGAGCGCUAGGGAAGGGCUUGGUGAUGGCAUGGAUGCGUUUUGGGCGAAUUUUGACACCUUAUUGACUCAAAAUUGGAUUGGGUUUGUUCCUAAGCUCAAAAUUAGACUUGUAACCUAUAAAUACUUGAUGUAAGGCAUAAAAUAAAGGGAGAUUACAUAGAUUNNNNNNNNNNNNNNNNNNNNNNNNNNNNNNNNNNNNNNNNNNNNNNNNNNNNNNNNNNNNNNNNNNNNNNNNNNNNNNNNNNNNNNNNNNNNNNNNNNNNAGACUCUGCCUUAUAGCACCCCGGCGCUGCAAAAUGAACUAAAAAUAGCGCCCCGGCGCUGUUACAAGUUCUGACAUUUUCUGCUCCAACGUCUUUUGGGAAAAUGCCCAUAACUUCUUCGUUCGAACUCCGAUUUAGAUGAUUCAAGAUGAUCCAGAAAGAGAAAAAGUAGAUCUACAACUUUCAUUCUUUACAUUUUUUGAAAUAAUACCAGAGUUAUAGUCAAAUUGGCUCUAAAGUGACUGCUGUGUAAAUAGCAAGCCGAAAACGCGAAUCUAGCCACCCCGAACGUCGAUCCAUGUAACUUUUGUCCCAAAUCCUACAAAACAAUAUAAAACAUGCUUGAAUAGACACAAACACAUAAAAACAUCUUAAAAGACAUGAGAACAACAAUAAAUUAAGCCCGAAUGUAUCCAAUUCAUGUGUAUAAAACUCACUCCUCAAAUACCCCCAAACUUAAACCUUUGCUUGUCCUCAAGCAAAAACACAAACAUGUUAUGCAAUGCAAUGUAAUGAAACUAAUCUAUAUGCCUACGACUCCAACAGUAAUGACAGAAACAAGUCUAUUCAACCAGCCUUAGAGAAAUCAAGUAAACAUGAUAAUACAUCAUAUUAAAACAAAUCAGUAAUUUCCCAAUCACUCAUCAAAUCUUAGACUGUUAUCACUGAUAUAGUGUGUGUGUGCUCCACAACAAUGUUAACUGAUAUAAAAUCAAAUUUAACACAUAAUAGGUCUCUUUAAAGGCAUCAUACAGUGAAAACUCACAAAAUUCACGAAUAAGCUAGAUCCAACUAUAGUCAAACAUCCACCAAGUUCAAGAGUCCAAUCCGGGAUACUUAUGCUUUACUUUUCAUUACGGGGGCUUUUUGCUCUUUUCCCGUUUUAUUGUUUUUUUUUUUUUUUUUUUACUUUCUUUUUUUUUAACCAUGACUGUGCAAUGUCUCAUUCCAUUAGGCUAACAGUGUCACCCCUUAGCGAGCUUUCGACCAACGACUCCCAGACCAUAUAAGACCUUAGGGCGCUAGGUUUUAAGAUACCCCUUCGGGCGUACUUACUCAAGUAACAAAGGCCCCGAAACAAAACUAGCCACGGUAAUUUUUAUUUUUAUUUUUAUUUUUUUCUUUUUUUUUUAGCGAAGCUUAUAUAUCCCAAAUUUUCCCCCUAAACUUAAGUUUUUAUCAAAAUUUAGCCAUCUCUGCCUGUUCAUGUCUUUCAUUCCUUCACAUUAGUAUUAUCCUUAAGAAAUCCAUUAUGUAUCAAUUUAAACUUAAUCAGUCAACAUAGCUGUUAUUAACGUGNNNNNNNNNNNNNNNNNNNNNNNNNNNNNNNNNNNNNNNNNNNNNNNNNNNNNNNNNNNNNNNNNNNNNNNNNNNNNNNNNNNNNNNNNNNNNNNNNNNNNNNNNNNNNNNNNNNNNNNNNNNNNNNNNNNNNNNNNNNNNNNNNNNNNNNNNNNNNNNNNNNNNNNNNNNNNNNNNNNNNNNNNNNNNNNNNNNNNNNNNNNNNNNNNNNNNNNNNNNNNNNNNNNNNNNNNNNNNNNNNNNNNNNNNNNNNNNNNNNNNNNNNNNNNNNNNNNNNNNNNNNNNNNNNNNNNNNNNNNNNNNNNNNNNNNNNNNNNNNNNNNNNNNNNNNNNNNNNNNNNNNNNNNNNNNNNNNNNNNNNNNNNNNNNNNNNNNNNNNNNNNNNNNNNNNNNNNNNNNNNNNNNNNNNNNNNNNNNNNNNNNNNNNNNNNNNNNNNNNNNNNNNNNNNNNNNNNNNNNNNNNNNNNNNNNNNNNNNNNNNNNNNNNNNNNNNNNNNNNNNNNNNNNNNNNNNNNNNNNNNNNNNNNNNNNNNNNNNNNNNNNNNNNNNNNNNNNNNNNNNNNNNNNNNNNNNNNNNNNNNNNNNNNNNNNNNNNNNNNNNNNNNNNNNNNNNNNNNNNNNNNNNNNNNNNNNNNNNNNNNNNNNNNNNNNNNNNNNNNNNNNUAAUAUAAAACUUAAUAAAAACUAAAAAUAAAAAUUAAACUUGGGUUGCCUCCCAAUAAGCGCUUGUUUUAGAGUCUCAGCCUGACUUCUUCAAUUCUCUAUCCAAUUCCCCUACGAAAAUUAAGGAACCCUCCAUCCAUCAGAAGCAAUGUCUCUUUUGGGAGGUUCCCAUUAGCAAAAACCCUUGAAUUGAAGUCACCUAGCAUGCUCUUUGUAGAUAGGAUCCCCAUUAAGAACGGCAAACCACUGGGUGUUUCCUCCAUUAUGUCGAUGAUCAUAUUAGGACAUUGAAGCUUAAUAAACAUAAUGGAAUCUUCCUCUAACUUCUCCUUUUCAUCCCACCAUAACUCCACAAUUGUACUAGCUCUUACGUCACCAAGAGUUUAACAAACAAUUACAAUUUGAUGAGUGAGUGAGUUUUAUACACAAGAAUUGGAUACAUUUGGGCUUAAUUUAUUAUUGUUCUCAAGUCUUUUAAGAUGUUUUUAUGUGUUUGUGUCUAUUCAAGCAUGUUUUAUAUUGUUUUGUAGGAUUUGGGAUAAAAGUUACAUGGAUCGACGUUCGGGGUGGCUAGAUUUGCGUUUUCGUCUUGCUAUUUACAUAGCAGUCACUUAAGAGCCAAUUUGACUAUAUCUCCGGACAUUAUUUCGAAAAACGCAAAGACUGAAAGUUGUAGAUCUACUUCUCCUCUUUCCGGAACAUCUUGAAUCAUUGAAAUCGGAGUUCAGACGAAGACGUUAUGACCAUUUUCCCAAAGGACGUCGGAGCAGAAAAUGUCAGAACUUGUAACAGCGUCGGGGCGCUAUUUUUAGUUCAUUUUGCAGUGCUGGGGCGCUAUAAGGCAGUGUCUGAGCAUCAAGCCCAGCGCUGGGGCGCUGGGGAAGGGCUUGGUGAUGGCCCGGACGCGUUUUGGGUGAAUUUUGACACCUUUUUGACUCCAAAUUGGAUUGAGUUUGUUCCUAAGCUCAAAAUUAGACUUGUAACCUAUAAAUACUUGAUGUAAGGCAUAAAAUGAAGAGAGAUUACAUAGAUUAGACUAGAUUAAACACUCCUUUAGAUUAGAACAUAACCCUAGUUCUUAUUAGUUUUGGAGAUUGAAACAACUUGGAGACCAUUAAAGAUUCAAAGCAGGAGCGAAAAAGGAGUCUCAAGGCUACCGAUAAUAGAUUAUAUUCUCUUCUCUUCUCUUACUUUUAUCUUUUAAUGUCUAUUCAAUUGUGGAUUCUUGGUUUUAAUUCAUUAAUUAUGAACUAACUCUUUUAUUAAGAUUUUAAUUGAACUUUUUAUGGCUAUGAAUUAGUUAUUCAUUAUAUUCCAAUUAUUUGUGUCAAAGUGAGUUGUUUAUCUUGCCUUAUGCUUAUUGAUUAAUUAUUUGAUCAGUAAUUACCUUGUUACUCUAGAAGGAAUUGAGAGAGGAAUUCUAGGGUUAGAACUGGGCAUGAUAUCAUGUGACUUAGUUAUUUGCACAGUGAAUAAUUAGGUUUGUGAAUAGAAUGAGAAUAUUUAUUUGCCGUAUGUAACACAUAGGGAAUUGGGAUUGUAACGCGUUUAAUUCAAUUGUUUUGUAUAGAGAUAUAGCAAAAUUAAUUUGGGUUAAAUAGAAGGCAAUUGAUCGCUCGAGAGAGGGCUUUUGGCACUUGAGAAUUUCUGUUAACAAUUCAGUAGACAUAAUAAUUGGNNNNNNNNNNNNNNNNNNNNNNNNNNNNNNNNNNNNNNNNNNNNNNNNNNNNNNNNNNNNNNNNNNNNNNNNNNNNNNNNNNNNNNNNNNNNNNNNNNNNNNNNNNNNNNNNNNNNNNNNNNNNNNNNNNNNNNNNNNNNNNNNNNNNNNNNNNNNNNNNNNNNNNNNNNNNNNNNNNNNNNNNNNNNNNNNNNNNNNNNNNNNNNNNNNNNNNNNNNNNNNNNNNNNNNNNNNNNNNNNNNNNNNNNNNNNNNNNNNNNNNNNNNNNNNNNNNNNNNNNNNNNNNNNNNNNNNNNNNNNNAACAACUAUCAUCAUGAUUGGGGGUAUCACCCGGAUUUUUCAUGGAGUAACAAUCAAGCUCAAGCUCAAGCCCCGAGACAACAAAACAAUUCCGGGUUUCAAAAUCAGACACAACAACCAGAGCGGAAAGCAAGUUGGGAAGAAGCCUUGGAUAGAUUUAUUACAGCUUCUGAAAAGAAACACGAGGAAUAUGAAAAGAAACAAAAUAAAACAGAUCUGAAUACACAAAUCAUAAAUGCGUUGAUCAAGAAUUUGGAAAAUCAAUUGGGGCAGAUAGCACAUGCAUUGAACUUCCAUCUUUAAUACACUUGGCUCUAUGACAUGGAUAACGAGACUGAUGAUGAGCCCGAUGGUGAGCCCGAGCCAAAUCUACAACUGGAUGAGCCAUGAGAUGAAAAAGAGGUGACAAGUGGGGAUAAUGACAACAAGGUCGGUGAAGAACUAAUUGUGAGAACCAAUGAUGAUGAGCCAAUGUUAUUUAUGCCUCAAGUGCCUUCUCCUCCAUAGUUCAACAGUCCGGUUAGAUUUGCAAAACCUUGUCCGAUUGGUAGUCAUGUCGUCGGCAAUACUCUCUAUGAUGUAAAAGCAACUACACCUUCGAAACCAUGGUGCGAUGAGCUGGAGAAGAUAGAAGAAGAAAUUGUUGUGUCUGACAAGCCUCAAUGCCAGAAUCUAUUCGCAGACACAAUGGAAAAAACACCUAGAUGUUGGAAGUUCUUGAAUGUGAUCUUAUCUAAAGAAAGCAUGCUAGAUGACUUUAAUACAAUGGCUAUCGUAAAUGGGAACCUACCAAAAGCUAUAUUAUUUUCGAUGGAUGGAGGGUUCCUCAAUUUUCGUAGGGGAAUUGGAUAGAGAAUUGAUGAAAUCAGGCUGAGACUAUAAAACAAGCGCUUAUUGGGAGGCAACCCAAGUUUAAUUUUUAAUUUUAAUUUUUAUUAAGUUUUAUAUUAGUAGUUUGGAAUUUGCAUUUAUUUAGGAUUUAAUAAAAUUGNNNNNNNNNNNNNNNNNNNNNNNNNNNNNNNNNNNNNNNNNNNNNNNNNNNNNNNNNNNNNNNNNNNNNNNNNNNNNNNNNNNNNNNNNNNNNNNNNNNNNNNNNNNNNNNNNNNNNNNNNNNNNNNNNNNNNNNNNNNNNNNNNNNNNNNNNNNNNNNNNNNNNNNNNNNNNNNNNNNNNNNNNNNNNNNNNNNNNNNNNNNNNNNNNNNNNNNNNNNNNNNNNNNNNNNNNNNNNNNNNNNNNNNNNNNNNNNNNNNNNNNNNNNNNNNNNNNNNNNNNNNNNNNNNNNNNNNNNNNNNNNNNNNNNNNNNNNNNNNNNNNNNNNNNNNNNNNNNNNNNNNNNNNNNNNNNNNNNNNNNNNNNNNNNNNNNNNNNNNNNNNNNNNNNNNNNNNNNNNNNNNNNNNNNNNNNNNNNNNNNNNNNNNNNNNNNNNNNNNNNNNNNNNNNNNNNNNNNNNNNNNNNNNNNNNNNNNNNNNNNNNNNNNNNNNNNNNNNNNNNNNNNNNNNNNNNNNNNNNNNNNNNNNNNNNNNNNNNNNNNNNNNNNNNNNNNNNNNNNNNNNNNNNNNNNNNNNNNNNNNNNNNNNNNNNNNNNNNNNNNNNNNNNNNNNNNNNNNNNNNNNNNNNNNNNNNNNNNNNNNNNNNNNNNNNNNNNNNNNNNNNNNNNNNNNNNNNNNNNNNNNNNNNNNNNNNNNNNNNNNNNNNNNNNNNNNNNNNNNNNNNNNNNNNNNNNNNNNNNNNNNNNNNNNNNNNNNNNNNNNNNNNNNNNNNNNNNNNNNNNNNNNNNNNNNNNNNNNNNNNNNNNNNNNNNNNNNNNNNNNNNNNNNNNNNNNNNNNNNNNNNNNNNNNNNNNNNNNNNNNNNNNNNNNNNNNNNNNNNNNNNNNNNNNNNNNNNNNNNNNNNNNNNNNNNNNNNNNNNNNNNNNNNNNNNNNNNNNNNNNNNNNNNNNNNNNNNNNNNNNNNNNNNNNNNNNNNNNNNNNNNNNNNNNNNNNNNNNNNNNNNNNNNNNNNNNNNNNNNNNNNNNNNNNNNNNNNNAAUAGACUUGUUUCUGUCAUUACUGUUGGAGUCGUAGGCAUAUAGAUUAGUUUCAUUACAUUGCAUUGCAUAACAUUUUUGUGUUUUUGCUUGAGGACAAGCAAAGGUUUAAGUUUGGGGGUAUUUGAUGAGUGAGUUUUAUACACAUGAAUUGGAUACAUUCGGGCUUAAUUUGUUGUUGUUCUUAAGUCUUUUAAGAUGUUUUUAUGUGUUUGUGUCUAUUCAAGCAUGUUUUAUAUUGUUUUGUAGGAUUUGGGACAAAAGUUACAUAGAUCGACGUUCAGGGUGGCUAGAUUCGCAUUUUCGGCUUGCUAUUUACGUAGCAGUAGCUUCAGAGCCAAUUUGAGUAUUGCUACGGACCUUAUUUCGAAAACCUCAAAGAAUGAAAGUUGUAGAUCUACUUUUCCUCUUUCCGGAUCAUCUUGAAUCAUCUAAAUCGGAGUUUGGAAGAAGAAGUUAUGGCCAUUUUCCCAAAGGACAUUGGAGCAGAAAAUGUCAGAACUUGUAACAGCGCCGGGGCGCUAUUUUUAGUUCAUUUUGCAGCGCCGGGACGCUAUAAGGCAGAGUCUGAGCAUCAAGCCCAGUGCUGGGGCGCUGGGGAAGGGCUUGGUGAUGGCCUGGACGCGUUUUGGCUGAAUUUUGACACCUUUUUGACUCCAAAUUGGAUUGGGUUUGUUCCUAAGCUCAAAAUUAGACUUAUAACCUAUAAAUACUUGAUGUAAGGCAUAAAAUAAAGGGAGAUUACAUAGAUUAGACUAGAUUAAACACUCCUUUCGAUUAGAACAUAACCCUAGUUCUUAUUAGUUUUGGAGAUUGAAACAACUUGGAGACCAUUCAAGAUUCAAAGCAGGAGCGAAAGAGGAGUCUCAAGGCUACUGACAAUAGAUUAUAUUCUCUUCUCUUCUCUUACUUUUAUCUUUUAAUGUCUAUUCAAUUGUGGAUUCUUGAUUUUAAUUCAUUAAUUAUGAACUAACUCUUUCAUUAAGAUUUCAAUUGAACUUUUUAUGAUUACGAAUUGAUUAUUUGAUUUAUUCUAAUUAUUUAUGUUGAAGUGAAUUGUUCAUCUUGCUUUGAGCUUAUUGAUUAAUUAUCUGAUCAAUAAUUACCUUGUUACUUUAGAAGAAAUUGAGAGAGGAAUUCUAGGGUUAGAACUGGGCAUGGUGACAUGUGACUUAGUUAUUUGCAUAGUGAAUAAUUAGGUUUGUGAAUAGAAUGAUAAUAUCUAUUUGCCGCAUGUAACACAUAAGGAAUUGGGAUUGUAACGAGUUUAAUUCAAUUGUUUUGCAUAGAGAUAUAGCAAAAUUAAUCUGGGUUAAAUAGAAGGCAAUUGAUCGCUCGAGAGAGGGCUUUUGACACUUGAGAAUAUCUGUUAACAAUUCAGUAGACAUAAUAAUUGAGGUAAUUGGAUAAUGGGUUUAUAGUUCAUAAUUGGGGAUAUUUGAGUCUUAAUCCUUAUUUACCUAAAUUUAAUCAAAUCUUAGUUGUUUAUUUGCUUUCUUUUAGACUAAUCUCUUUUAAUUGUUUAAUUUAGUUUUCUUAACUAGAAAAAUCACAAUUAUUGGUUGUUUAAAUAAAAUUGAUUUGGUUAAGAGUUAGUACUUGGUAAUUUUUAUUAAAUAAUUCCUCGUGGGAACGAUACUCUACUUUCACUUUAUUACUUGUUGACCGUGUAUUCUUAUACGUAUUCAUUGAUUGCGAAAUCGAUCAAUAGUAUUAGGCAUACGUUACAACUUAUGGGACUCGAUUCCGACAUACGGAGGCCAAGUUAUCAGCCCGUAGGCAAAACUGACCAACACUUAGGCAAAAAGUCAAAAAAGAGGCCAAAACUCUCCUCGGCUGUAGUAACGACACGCAAACACAGACAUAGCACCGCGUAGGUAUUAGGCGUGCGUUACAACUUACGGGAUUCGAUUUCGACUUACGGAGGCCGAGUUAUCAGCCCGUAGGCAAAAUUGACCAACACUUAGGCCAAAAGUCGAAAAAGAUGCCAAAAACCCGUCUCGGCCGUCGUAAUAAGACGCAAACUAAUACAUAGCACCGCGUUGGAAUUAGGUACGCAUUAUAACUUACAGGACUCGAUUCUGACUUACGGAGGCCGAGUUAUUAGCCCAUUGGCAAAACUGACCAACACUUAGGCAAAAAGUCAAAAAAGAAGCCAAAAUUAGCCUCGAUCGUCGUAAUGACACACAAACAUGUACAUUGCACCACGUAGGCAUUAGGCACGCGUUACAACUUACAGAAGUUGAUUUUGACUUACGGAGGCCGAGUUAUUAGCCCGUAGGCAAAACUGACCAACAUUUGGGUAAAAACUCGAAAAGAGGCCAAAACCCGCCUUGGCCAUCAUAACGACACGCAAACACGUAUAUAACACCGUGUAGGUAUUAGGCACGUGUUACAACUUACGGAACUCGAUUCUGACUUACGAAGGCCGAGUUAUCAGCCCGUAGGCAAAACUGACCAACACUUAGGCAGAAGGUCAAAAAAGAGGCCAAAAUCCGCCUCAGCCAUCGUAACGAUAUGCAAACAUAUACAUAGCACUGCGUAGGUAUUAGGCAUGAAUUACAACUUACGGGACUAGAUUUCGACAUACGGAGGCCAAGUUAUCAGUUCGUAGGCAAAACUGACCAACACUUAUGCAAAAAGUCGAAAAAGAGGCCAAAACCCACCUCGAUCGUCGUAACAACACGCAAAGACAUACAUAGCACUGCAUUGGUAUUAGACAUGCGUUUUAACUUACGGGACUAAAUUCUGACUUACGGAGGCCUAGUUAUCAGCUCGUAAGAAAAAACUGAACAACAUUUAGGUAAAAAGUUAAAAAAGAAGCCAAAACACGCCUCGACCAUCGUAACGACAUAGAAACACAUACAUAGUACCGCGUAUGUAUUAGGCAUGCAUUACAACUUACGGGACAAGAUUUUGACAUACGUAGACCGAGUUAUUAGCCCGUAUGCAAAAUUGACCAACACUUAGGUAAAAAGUUAAAAAAGAGGCCAAAACCCACAUCGACCAUUGUAACGACACGAAUAUAUAUAUAUAUAUAUAUAGCACCGCGUAGGUAUUAGGCAAGCGUUACAACUUACGGGACUCAAUUCCGACUUACAGAGGGCGAGUUAUCAGCCCUCAGGUAAAACUGACCAACAUUUGGGAAAAAAAGUCGAAAAAGAUGUCAAAACCAACCUCGGCCGUUGUAAUGAUAUGGAAACUCAUAUAUAGAGCCGCGUAGGUAUUAGGCACGCGUUACAUCUUAUGAGACUCGAUUCCGAUUUAUGGAGGCCGAGUUAUCAGCCCGUAGGCAAAACUAACAAACACUUAGGUAAAAAGUCAAAAAAGAAACCAAAACCCGCCUCGGCCAUCGUAAUGAUACGCAAACACAUACAUAGCACCGCGUAGGUGUUAGGCAUGAGUUACAACUUAUGGAACUCGAUUCCGACAUACGGAGGCCGAGUUAUCAGCCCGUAGGCAAAACUAACCAACACUUAGGCAAAAAUUUGAAAAAUAGGCCAAAAUUCGCCUCAACCAUCGUAAUGACACGCAAAUACAUACAUAGCAUCGCGUAAGUAUUAGGCACGUGUUAAAACUUACGGGACUCGAUUCCAAAUUACGGAGGACGAGUUAUCAGCCCGUAGACAAAACAGACAACCACUUAGGUAAAAAGUCAAAAAAGAGGCCAAAACCCGCCUCGGUCGUCGUAACGACACGAAAACACGUACAUAUCAUUGUGUAGGCAUUAGGCACGCGUUACUACUUACGGGACUCGAUUCUGAUUUACCGAGGUCGAGUUAUAAGCCUGUAGGCAAAACUGACCAACACUUAGGCAAAAAGUCAAAAAAGAGGCCAAAACCCGCCUCAGCCGUUGUAAUGAGAUAGAAACUCGUACAUAGCACCGCGUAGGUUUUAGGCACGUAUUACAACUUACGAAACUCGAUUCUGACUUACAAAGGCCGAGUUAUCAGCCUUUAGGCAAAAGUUACCAACACUUAGAUAAAAAGUCAAAAAAGAGGCCAAAACCCGCCUCAGCCAUCGUAAUGAUACGCAAACACAUACAUAGCACCGCGUAAAUAUUAGGCAUACAUUAAAACUUACGGUACUCGAUUUCGACAUACGGAGGCCGAGUUAUCAGCCCGUAGGCAAAACUGACCAACACUUAGGCAAAAAGUCGAAAAAGAGGCCAAAACUGCCUCGACUGACAUAAUGACAUACAAACACGUACAUAACACCACGUAUGUAUUAGGCAUGCGUUACAACUUACGGGACUCGAUUCCGAAUUACGGAGGCCGAGUUAUCAGCCCGUAGGCAAAACUGACCAACACUUAGGCAAAAAAUCGAAAAAGAUGCCAAAAACUCGUCUCGGCCGUUGUAAUAAGACGCAACCUAAUACAUAGCACCGCAUUGGAAUUAGGCACGCGUUAUAACUUACAGGACUUGAUUCUAACUUACGGAGGCUGAGUUAUUAGCCCAUUGGCAAAACUGACCAACACUUAGGCAAAAAGUCAAAAAAGAUGCCAAAAUUAGCCUCGGUAGUCGUAAUGACACACAAACAUGUACAUAGCCCCACGUAGGUAUUAGGCACGCGUUACAACUUACGGAAGUUGAUUUUAACUUACGGAGGCCGAGUUAUGAACCUGUAGGCAAAACUGACCAACACUUAGGCAAAAACUCGAAAAAGAGGCCAAAACCUACCUUGGCCGUCAUAACGACACGCAAACACGUAUAUAGCACCGUGUAGUUAUUAGGCACGUAUUACAACUUAGGGAACUAGAUUCUGACUUACGGAGUCCGAGUUAUUAGCCCGUAGGCAAAACUGACCAACACUUAGGCAAAAAGUCAAAAAAGAGGCCAAAACCCGCCUCAGCCAUCGUAACGAUACAAAAACAUAUACAUAGCACUGCGUAGGUAUUAGGCAAGCAUUACAACUUACGGGACUCGAUUUCGACAUACGGAGGCCGAGUUAUCAGCUCGUAGGCAAAACUGACCAACACUUAGACCGAGUUAUUAGCCCGUAUUCAAAAUUGACCAACACUUAGGUAAGAAGUUAAAAAAGAGGCCAAAACCUGCAUCGGCCAUUGUAACGACACACAAAUAUAUGCAUAGCACCGCGUAGAUAUUAGGCACGCGUUACAACUUACGGGACUCAAUUCCGACUUACGGAUGCCGAGUUAUCAACCCGUAGGCAAAACUGACCAACAUUUGGGGAAAAAGUCGAAAAAGAGGCCAUAACCCACCUCAGCCGUUGUAACGAUAUGGAAACUCGUACAUAGCACCGCAUAGGUAUUAGGCACGCGUUACAACUUACGGGACUCGAUUCCAAUUUACGGAGGCCGAGUUAUCAGCCCGUAGGCAAAACUAAUUAACACUUAGGUAAAAAGUCAAAAAAGAAGCAAAAACCCGCCUCGGCCGUCGUAAUGAUACGCAAAACAUACAUAGUACCGCGUAGGUAUUAGGCAUGUGUUACAACUUACGAGACUAGAUUCCGACAUACGGAGACCGAGUUAUCAGCCCGUAGGCAAAAUUGACCAACACUUAGGCAAAAAGUCGAAAAAGAGGCCAAAACUCACCUCGGCCAUCGUAACGACAAGAAAAUACAUACAUAUCAUCGCGUAGGUAUUAGGCACGCAUUACAGCUUAAGGGGCUCAAUUCUGUCGGACGAAGGCCGAGUUAUUAGCCCGUAAGAAAAACUGACCAACACUUCGGCAAAAAGUAGAAAAAGAGGCCAAAAUCCGCCUCGGCCGUUGUAACAAUACAAGAACUAGUACAUAGCACCGCGUAGGUAUUAGGCAUGUGUUACAACUUACGGGACUUGAUUCAGACGUACGGAGGCCGAGUUAUCAGCCUGUAGGCAAAACUAACUAACACUUAGGUAACAAGUCAAAAAAGAAGCCAAAACUCGACUCGGCCAUCGUAAUGAUACGCAAACACAUACAUAGCACCGCGUAGGUAUUAGACAUAUGUUACAACUUACGGGACUCGAUUCCGACAUACGGAGGCCGAGUUAUUAGCCCGUAGGCAAAACUGACCAACACUUAGACAAAAAGUCAAAAAAGAGACCAAAACUCGCCUCGGCCAUCGUAAUGACACGCAAACACAUACAUAGCAUCGUGUCGGUAUUAGGCACGUAUUAUAACUUACGGGACUCGAUUCCGACAGACGGAGGCCGAGUUAUCAACCCAUAGGCAAAACUGACCAACACUUAGGCAAAAGGUCAAAAAAGAGGCCAAAACUCUCCAUGGUUGUAGUAACGACACGCAAAUACAUAUAUAGCACUGCAUAGAUAUUAGACACGCAUUACAACUUACAGGACUCGAUUCCGACCUACGGAGGCCGAGUUAUCAGCCGGUAGGUAAAACUGACCAACACUUAGGCAAGAAGUCAAAAAAGAGGCCAAAACCCGCCUCGGCAGUCGUAAAGACACACAAACAUGAACAUAGUACCGUGUAGGUAUUAGGCACAUGUUAGAACUUACGGGACUCGAUUCUGACUUACAGAGGCCGAGUUAUCAGCCCGUAGGCAAAACUGACCAACACAUUGGCAAAAUAUCGAAAAAGUUGCCAAAACCGCCUCGGACGUCGUAACAACACGCAAACAUGUGUAUAGUACCACGUAGGUAUUAGGCACAUGUUACAACUUACGGGACUCGAUUCCAACUUACGGAGGCCGAGUUAUCAGCCUGUAGCCAAAACUGACCAACACUUAGGCAAAAAGUCGAAAAAGAGGCCGAAACCCACCUCGGCCGUCGUCACAACACGUAAACACAUAAAUAGCACCGCGUAGGUAUUAGGCAUACGUUACAACUUACAGGACUAAUUUCCGACUUACGGAGGCUGAGUUAUCAGUCCGUAGGCAAAACUCGCCAACACUUAGGCAAAAAGUCAAAAAAGAGGCCAAAACCCGCCUCGACCGUCGUAACAACACGCAAACACAAACAUAGCACAAUGUAGGUAUUAAGCACGCGUUACAAUAUAUGUUAGUCGAUUCUGACUUACGGAGGCCGACUUAUCAGCCCGUAGGCAAAACUGACCAACAAUUAGGCAAAAAAUUAAAAAAGAGGCCAAAACCCGGCUCGACCAUUGUAACGACACGAAAACACAUGUAUUGUACCGUGUAGGUAUUAGGCACGCGUUAAAACUUACGGGACUCGAUUCCAACUUACGGAGGCCGAGUUAUCAGCCUGUAGGCAAAACUGACCAACACUUAGGUAAAAAGUCAAAAAAGAGGCCAAAACCCGCCUUGGCCGUCGUAACGACACAUAAACACGUACAUAUCAUCGUGUAGGUAUUAGGCACGUGUUACAACUUGUGGGACUCUAUUCCGAUUUACGGAGGCCGACUUAUCAGCCUGUAGGCAAAACUGACUAACACUUAGACAAAAUUUCGAAAAAGAGGCCAAAACCCGCCUCGGUCUUCAUAACGACACGCAAACACGUACAUAGCACCGCAUAGGUAUUAGGCACGCGUUACAACUUACGAAACUCGAUUCCGACUUACGGAGGCCGAGUUAUUAGCCCGUAGGCAAAACAUACCAACACUUAGGCAAAAAGUCGAAAAAGAGGCCAAAACCAGUCUCAGCCGUCGUAAGGACACACAAACAUGUACAUAGAACCACGUAAGUAUUAGGUACGUGUUACAACUUGUGGGACUCUAUUCCGAUUUACGGAGGCCGACUUAUCAGCCCGUAGGCAAAACUGACUAACACUUAGACAAAAAGUCGAAAAAGAGGCCAAAACCUACCUCGGUCUUCAUAAUGACACGCAAACACAUACAUAGCAUCGCGUAGGUAUUAGGCAUGCAUUACAAUAUAUGGGACUCGAUUCCGACUUACAUAGGCCGAGUUAUCAGCCCGUAGGCAAAACUGACCAACACUUUGGCAAAAAGUCGAAAAAGAGUCCAAAACCCGCCUCGGCCAUCGUAACAAUAUGCAAACUUGUAUAUAGCACAGCGUAGGUAUUAGGAAUGCGUUACAAAUUAUGGAAUUCGUUUCUGACAUACGGAGGCCAAGUUAUCAGCCCGUAGGUAAAAUUGACCAAUACUUAGGUAAAAAGUCAAAAAAGAGGCCAAAACCUGUCUCGGUCGACAUAAUGACACACAAACACAUACAUAGCACUACGUAGGUAUUAGACACACGUUACAACUUAUGGAACUCGAUUCCAACUUACGGAGGCCGAGUUACCAGCCCGUAGGGAAAACUAACCAACAAUUAUGCAAAAUAUCGAAAAAGAGGCCAAAACCCGCCUCGGCCGUCGUAACAACACGCAAACACGUGCAUAGUACCGCAUAGGUAUUCGGCACGCGUUACAACUUACGGGACACGAUUCUAACUUAUAGAGGUCGAGUUAUCAGCCCGUAGUCAAAACUGACUAACACUUAGGCAAAAAGUUGAAAAAGAGGCCAAAACCCACCUCGGCCGUCGUAACAACACGUAAACACAUACAUAGCAUCGCGUAGGUACUACACACACGUUACAACUUACGGGACUAAUUUCUGACUUACAGAGGCCGAGUUAUCAGUCCGUAGGCAAAACUCGCCAACACUUAGGCAAAAAGUCAAAAAAGAGGCCAAAACUCGUCUCGACCAUCGUAACAACAAGCAAACAUAUACAUAGCACAAUGUAGAUAUUAGGCACGUGUUACAAUAUAUGUUACUCGAUUCUGACUUACGGAGGCCGAGUUAUUAGCCCGUAGGCAAAAUUGACCAACACUUAGGCAAAAAAUCGAAAAAGUGGCCAAAACUCGCCUCGGUCGUUGUAACGAUACAGAAACUAGUAUAUAGCACCACGUAGGUAUUAGGCACGCGUUACAACUUAUGGACUCGAUUCCGACUUACGGAGGCUGAGUUAUCAGCCCGUAGACAAAACUAACCAACACUUAGGUAAAAAGUCAAAAAAGAGGCCAAAACCCGCCUCGGCUGUAGCAACGAUACGCUAAUACAUACAUAGCACUGCGUAGAUAUUAGGCAUACGUUACAACUUACGAGACUCAAUUCCGACAUACGGAGGUCGAGUUAUCAGUCCGUAGGCAAAACUGACCAACACUUAGGCAAAAAGUCAAAAAAGAGGCCAAAAACCACCUUGGCAGUCAUAACGACAUGCAAACACAUACAUAGAACAGUGUGGGUAUUAGGCAUGUAUUACAACUUAUGGGUCUUGAUUCUGACUUACGGAGGCCGAGUUAUCAGCCCGUAAGCAAAACUGAACAACACUUAUGCUAAAAGUCGAAUAAGAGGCCAAAACCAGCCUCGACCGUCGUAACGAUAUGCAAAUACGUACAUAGCAACACGUAGGUAUUAGGCACGCGUUACAACUUAAGGGUCUCGAUUCCGACAUACGGAGGCUGAGCUAUCAGCCUGUAGGCAAAACUGACCAACUCUUAGGCAAAAAGAGGCCAAAACCCACCUCGGUCGUCGUAACAACACGCAAAGAGAUACAUAACACUGCAUGGGUAUUAGGCAUGCGUUAUAACUUACGGGACUCAAUUCUGACUUACGAAGGCCGAGUUAUCAGCCCGCAAGUAAAACAAAACAACAUUUAGGUAAAAAGUCAAAAAAGAGGCUAAAACCCGCCUCGGCCGUCGUAACAAGACGCAAAGACAUACAUAGCACCGCGUAGGUAUUAGGCACUCGUUACAAGUUACGAGACUCGAUUCCGACUUACGGAGGCCGAGUUUUCAGCCCGUAGACAAAACUCGCCAACACUUAUGCAAAGAGUCGAAAAAGAGGCCAAAACCCGCCUCGAUCGUCGUAACAACACGCACACACAUACAUAGCACAACGUAGGUAUUAGGCACAUGUUACAACUUACGAGAUUCAAUUCUAACUUACGGAGGCCGAGUUAUCAGUCCGUAGGUAAAACUGACCAACACUUAGGCAAGAAGUCAAAAAAGAGGCCAAAACCCGCCUCGGCAGUCAUAAAGACACGCAGAUAUGAACAUAGCACCGUGUAGGUAUUAAGCACGUGUUAGAACUUACGGGGCUCGAUUCCGACUUACAGAGGCCGAGUUAUCAGCCCGUUGGCAAAACUGACCAACACUUAGGCAAAAUGUCAAAAAAGAGGCCAAAACCCGCCUCGACCGUUGUAACAACAAGCAAACACGUGCAUAGUACCGCGUAGGUAUUAGGCACGCGUUACAACUUACGGGACUCGAUUCCGACAAACGGAGGCCGAGUUAUCAGCCCGUACGCAAAAUUGAACAACACUUAAGCAAAAAGUCGAAAAAGAGGCCAAAACCCACCUCGGCCGUCGUAACAACAUGCUAACACAUACAUAGCACCGCGUGGGUAUUAGCCACGCAUUAUAACUUAGGAGACUCAAUUCUGACUUACGGAGGCCGAGUUAUCAACCCGUGGAGAAAACUGCACAAUACUUAGGCAAAAAGUAAAAAAAGAGGCCAAAACAUGCCUCGGCCGUCGUAAUGACACGCAAACACAUACAUAGCACCGCGCAUGUAUUAGGCAUGUGCUACAACUUACGGGACUCAAUUUCCACAUACGUAGGCCAAGUUGUUAGCCCGUAGGCAAAAUUGACCAACACUUAGGUGAAAAGAUAAAAAAGAGGCCAAAACCCGACUCGGCCAUUGUAAUGACAUGCAAACGCAUGCAUAGCACCGCGUAGGUAUUAGGCACGCGUUAUAACUUACGAGACUUAAUUUCGACUUACGGAGGCCGAGUUAUCAGUUCGUAGGCUAAACUGACCAACACUUACGGAAAAAGUCAAAAAAGAAGCCAAAACCCAUCUCGGCCGUCGUAAUGACACGCAAACACGUACAUAGCACUGCGCAGGUAUUAGGCACGUGUUACAACUUACGGGACUCGAUUCUGACUUACGGAGGCCGAGUUAUCAGCCCGUAGACAAAACUGACCAACACUUAGGCAAAAAAAUCGAAAAAGAGGCCAAAACUCGCCUCGGCCGUUGAAACGAUACGAAAACUCGUAUAUAGCACCACGUAGGUAUUAGGCACGCGUUACAACUUACGGGACUCGAUUUCGACUUACGGAGGCCGAGUUAUCAGCCCGUAGAUAAAACUAACCAACACUUAGGUAAAAAGUUAAAAAAGAGGCCAAAACCCGCCUCGGCCGUCGUAACGAUACGCUAACACAUACAUAGCACCGCGUAGGUAUUAGGCAUACGUUACAACUUACGGGACUCGAUUCCGACAUACGGAGCCCGAGUUAUCAGCCCGUAGGCAAAACUGACCAACACUUAGGCAAAAAGUCAAAAAAGAGGCCAAAAAAAACCUCGGCAGUCGUAACGACACGCAAACACAUACAUAGAACCGCGUGGGUAUUAGGCAUGUGUUACAACUUAUGGGUCUUGAUUCUGACUUACGGAGGCCGAGUUAUCAGCCCGUAGGCAAAACUGACCAACACUUAGGCAAAAAGUCAAAAAAGAGGCCAAAAAAAACCUCAGCGGUCGUAACGACACGCAAACACAUACAUAGAACCGCGUGGGUAUUAGGCAUGUGUUACAACUUAUGGGUCUUGAUUCUAACUUACGGAGGCCGAGUUAUCAGCCCGUAGGCAAAACUAAACAACACUUAAGGCAAAACGUCGAAUAAGAGGCCAAAACCAGCCUCGACCGUCGUAACGAUAUGCAAACACGUACAUAGCACCGCGUAGGUAUUAGGCACACAUUACAACUUAAGGGACUCGAUUCCGACGUACGGAGGCCGAGCUAUCAGCCUGUAGGCAAAACUGACCAACACUUAGGCAAAAAGUCAAAAAAGAGGCCAAAACCCGCGUAGGUAUUUGGCACGCGUUACAAUUUACGGGACUCGAUUCCGACUUACGGAGGCCGAGUUAUUAGCCCGUAGGCAAAACUGACCAACACUUAUGCAAAAAGUCAAAAAAGAUGCCAAAAACUAGUCUCGACCGUCGUAAUAAGAUGCAAACUAAUACAUAGCACCGCGUAGGAAUUAGGCACGCGUUACAACUUACGGAACUUAAUUCUAACUUAUGGAGGCCGAGUUAUCAGCCCAUUGGCAAAACUUAUCAACACUUAGGCAAACAGUCAAAAAAGAGGCCAAAAUUAGCCUCGGUCGUCGUAAUAACACACAAACAUAUACAUAGCACCACGUAGGCAUUAGGCACGCGUUACAACUUACGGAACUUAAUUCUAACUUAUGGAGGCCGAGUUAUCAGCCCGUAGGUAAAACUGACCAAUAGUUAGGUAAAAAGUCAAAAAAAUGGCCGACACUCGCCUCGGCAAUCGUAACGGCACGCAAACACAUACAUAGCAUCACAUAGGUAUUUGGCAGCAUUAAAACUUACGAGACUCGAUUCCAACAGACGGAGGCCGAGUUAUCAGCCCGUAGGUAAAACUGACCAAUAGUUAGGUAAAAAGUCAAAAAAAUGGCCGACACUCGCCUCGGCAAUCGUAACGGCACGCAAACACAUACAUAGCAUCACAUAGGUAUUUGGCAGCAUUAAAACUUACGAGACUCGAUUCCAACAGACGGAGGCCGAGUUAUCAGCCCGUAGGUAAAACUGACCAAUAGUUAGGUAAAAAGUCAAAAAAGAGGCCAAAAUUAGCCUCGGUCGUCGUAAUAACACACAAACAUAUACAUAGCACCACGUAGGCAUUAGGCACACGUUACAACUUACGGGACUCAAUUUUGACUUAUGGAGGCCGAGUUAUCAGCCCGUAGGCAAAACUGAUCAAUACUUAGGUAAAAAGUCAAAAAAAUGGCCGACACUCGCCUCGGCAAUCGUAACGGCACGCAAACACAUACAUAGCAUCACAUAGGUAUUUGGCAGCAUUAAAACUUACGAGACUCGAUUCCAACAGACGGAGGCCGAGUUAUCAGCCCGUAGGUAAAACUGACCAAUAGUUAGGUAAAAAGUCAAAAAAGAGGCCAAAACUCACCUUGGCUAUAGUAACGACACGCAAACAAAUACAUAGUACCACGUAGGUAUUUGGCACGUGUUAUAACUUACGGGACCCGAUUCCUACUUACGGAGGCCGAGUUAUCAGCCCGUAGGCAAAACUGACCAACACUUAUGCAAAAAGUCAAAAAAGAUGCCAAAAACCAGUCUCGACUGUCAUAAUGGAGCGCAAACUAAUACAUAGCACCGCGUAGGAAUUAGGCACACGUUACAACUUACAGGACUCGAUUCUGACUUACGGAGGCCGAGUUAUCAGCCCAUUGGCAAAACUGACCAACACUUAGGCAAAAAGUCAAAAAAGAGGCCAAAAUUAGCCUCGGCCGUCGUAAUGACACACAAACAUAUACAUAGAACUACGUAGGCAUUAGGCACGCGUUACAACUUACGGGACUCAAUUUCGACUUACGGAGGCCGAGUUAUCAGCCCGUAGGCAAAACUGACAAACACUUAGGCAAAAACUCGAAAAAGAGGCCAAAACCCGCCUCGACCGUCAUAACGACAUGCAAACACGUAUAUAGCAUCGUGAAGGUAAUAGGCAUGUGUUACAACUUACGGGACUCAAUUCUAACUUACAUAGGCCGAGUUAUCAGCCCGUAGGCAAAACUAACCAACACUAAGGGAAAAAGUCAAAAAAGAGGCCAAAACCCACCUCGGCCAUUGUAACAAAAUACAAACAUGUACAUAGAACUGCGUAGGUAUUAGGCAUGCGUUAUAACUUAUGGGACUCGAUUCCGACUUACAUAUGCCGAAUUAUCAGCCUGUAGGCAAAACUGACCAACACUUAGGCAAAACGUCGAAAAAGAGGUCAAAACCGCCUCGACCAUCGUAACAAUACGCAAACAUGUAUAUAGUACGGCGUAAGUAUUAGGCACGCGUUACAACUUACGGGACUCAAUUCUGACAUACGGAGGCCAAGUUAUCAGCCCGUAGGCAAAACUGACCAAUACUUAGGCAAAAAGUCAAAAAAAGAGGCCUAAACCCGUCUCGGCCGUCGUAAUGACACACAAACGCAUACAUAGCAUUGCGUAGGUAUUAGACACACGAUACAACUUACGGGACUCAAUUCUGACUUACGGAGGCCGAGUUAUCAGCCCGUAAGCAAAACUGAACAACAUUUAGGUAAAAAGACAAAAAAAAGGCCAAAACAUGCCUCGACCGUCGUAACGACAUAAAAACAUAUACAUAGUACCGUGUAUGUAUUAGGCAUACGUUACAACUUACGGGACUCGAUUCUGACAUACGUAGACCGAGUUAUUUGUCCGUAUUGAAAAUUGACCAACAAUUAGGUAAGAAGUUAAAAAAGAGGCCAAAACCCGCAUCGACCAUUGUAACGACACACAAAUAUAUGCAUAGCACCGCGUAGGUAUUAGGCACGUGUUACAACUUACGGGACUCAAUUACGACUUACGGAUGUCGAGUUAUCAGCCCGUAGGCAAAACUGACCAACUUUUGGGGAAAAAGUCGAAAAAGAGGCCAUAACCCACCUCGGCCAUUGUAACGAUGUGGAAACUCGUAUAUAGCACCGCGUAGGUAUUAGGCACGCGUUACAACUUACGGGACUCGAUUCCAAUUUACGGAGGCCGAGUUAUCAGCCCGUAGGCAAAACUAAUUAACACUUAUGUAAAAAGUCAAAAAAGAAGCAAAAACCCGCCUCGGCCGUUGUAACGACACGAAAACACAUGUAUAGUACCGCGUAGGUAUUAGGCACGCGUUACAACUUACGGGACUCGAUUCCAAUUUACGGAGGCCGAGUUAUCAGCCCGUAGGCAAAACUGACCAACACUUAGGCAAAAGGUCAAAAAAGAGGCCAAAACUCUCCUUGGUUGUAGUAACGACAUGGAAAUACAUAUAUAGCACCGCGUAGAUAUUAGGCACGCAUUACAACUUACGGGACUCGAUUCCGACCUACGGAGGCCGAGUUAUCAGCCCGUAGCCAAAACUGACCAACACUUAGGCAAGAAGUCAAAAAAGAGGCCAAAACCCGCCUCGGCAGUCGUAAAGACACACAAACAUGAACAUAAUACCGUGUAGGUAUUAGGCACGCGUUACAACUUAUGAAACUCGAUUCCGACUUAUCAGUCCGUAGGCAAAACUCGCCAACACUUAGGCAAAAAGUCAAAAAAGAGGCCAAAACCCGCCUCGACCGUCGUAACAACACGCAAACACAAACAUAGCACAAUGUAGGUAUUAAGCACGCGUUACAAUAUAUGUUACUCGAUUCUGACUUACGGAAGCCGAGUUAUCAGCCCAUAGGCAAAACUGACCAACAAUUAGGUAAAGAAUUAAAAAAGAGGCCAAAACCCGCCUCGGCCGUUGUAACGACACGAAAACACAUGUAUAGUACCGCGUAGGUAUUAGGCAUGCGUUAAAACUUACGGGACCCGAUUCCAACUUACGGAGGCCGAGUUAUCAUCCUGUAGGCAAAACCGACCAACACUUAGGUAAAAAGUCAAAAAAGAAGCCAAAACCCGCCUCGGCCGUCGUAACGACACAUAAACACGUACAUAUCACCGUGUAGGUAUUAGGCACGUGUUACAACUUGUGGGACUCUAUUCCGAUUUACGGAGGCUGACUUAUCAGCCCGUAGGCAAAACUGACUAACACUUAGACAAAAUGUCGAAAAAGAGGCCAAAACCCGCCUCGGUCUUCAUAACAACACGCAAACACGUACAUAACACCGCGUAGGUAUUAGGCACGCGUUACAACUUAUGAAACUCGAUUCCGACUUACGAAGGCCGAGUUAUUAGCCCGUAGGCAAAACAUACCAACACUUAGGUAAAAAGUAAAAAAGAGGCCAAAACCAGUCUCAGCCGUCGUAAGGACACGCAAACAUGUACAUAGCACCACGUAGGUAUUAGGUACGUGUUACAACUUGUGGGACUCUAUUCCGAUUUACGGAGGCCGACUUAUCAGCCCGUAGGCAAAACUGACUAACACUUAGACAAAAAGUCGAAAAAGAGGCCAAAACCCGCCUCGGUCUUCAUAACGACAUGCAAACACGUACAUAGUACCGUGUAGAUAUUAGGCAUGCAUUACAACAUAUGGGACUCGAUUCCGACUUACAUAGGCCGAGUUAUCAGCCCGUAGGCAAAACUGACCAACACUUUGGCAAAAAGUCGAAAAAGAGUCCAAAACCCGCCUCGGCCAUCGUAACAAUAUGCAAACUUGUAUAUAGCACAGCGUAGGUAUUAAGAACGCGUUACAAAUUACGGAAUUCAUUUCUGACAUACGGAGGCCAAGUUAUCAGCCCGUAGGCAAAAUUGACCAAUACUUAGGCAAAAAGUCAAAAAAGAGGACAAAACCCGUCUCGAUCGUUAUAAUGACACACAAACACAUACAUAGCACUACGUAGAUAUUAGACACGCGUUACAACUUAUAGAACUCGAUUCCAACUUACGGAGGCCGAGUUACCAGCCCGUAGGCAAAACUAACCAACAAUUGUGCAAAAUGUCGAAAAAGAGGCCAAAACCCACCUCGGCCGUCGUAACAACUUACGGGAUGCGAUUCCAACUUACAGAGGUCGAGUUAUCAGCCCGUAGUCAAAACUGACUAACACUUAGGCAAAAAGUCAAAAAAGAGGCCAAAACCCACCUCGGCCGUCGUAACAACACGUAAACACAUACAUAGCACCGCGUAGGUACUACGCACACGUUACAACUUACGGGACUAAUUUCCGACUUACGAAGGCCGAGUUAUUAGUCUGUAGGAAAAACUCGCCAACACUUAGGCAAAAAGUCAAAAAAGAGGCCAAAACUCGUCUCGGCCGUCGUAAUAACACGCAAACACAUACAUAGCACAAUGUAGAUAUUAGGCACGCGUUACAAUAUAUGUUACUCGAUUCUGACUUACAGAGGCCGAGUUAUUAGCCCGUAGGCAAACAUGACCAACACUUAGGUAAAAAGUUAAAAAAGAGGCCAAAACCCGCCUCGGCCAUUGUAACGACACGAAAACACAUGUAUAGUAUCGCAUAGGUAUUAGGCACACGUUAAAACUUACGGGACUCGAUUCUAACUUACGUAGGUUGAGUUAAUAGCCCGUAGGAAAAACUGGCCAACACUUAGGUAAAAAAUCAAAAAAGAGGCUAAAACCCGCCUCGGCCAUCGUAAUGUCACGCAAACUCGUACAUAGUACCGCGUAGUUAUUAGGCAUGCAUUACAACUUACGGAACUCGAUUCUGACUUACGGAGGCCGAGUUAUCAGCCCGUAGGAAAAACUGACCAACACUUAGGUAAAAAGUCGAAAAAGAGGCCAAAACCGGCCUCAGCCAUCGUUACGACAAACACAUGCAUAGCACCGCGUAGGUAUUAGUUAUGCAUUACAACUUACGAGACUCAAUUUCGAGAUACGGAGGCCGAGUUAUCAGCCCGUAGGCAAAACUGACCAACACUUAGGUAAAAAGUCGCAAAAGAUGACAAAACCAACCUCGGCCGUCGUAACAACACACAAAUACAUACAUAACACUGCAUGGGUAUUAGGCACGCGGUAUAACUUACGGGAGUCAAUUCUGACUUACGGAGGCCGAGUUAUCAGUCCGUAAGCAAAACUGAACAACAUUUAGGUAAAAAGUCAAAAAAGAGGCCAAAACCCGCCUCGGCCGCCAUAAUGACUCGCAAACACAUACAUAGCACCGUGUAGGUAUUAGGCACUCAUUACAACUUACCGGACUCAAUUCCGACUUACGGAGAUCGAGUUAUCAGCCCGUAGGCAAAACUGACCAACAUAUAGGUCACAAGUCAAAAAAGAGUCCAAAACCCGCCUCGGCCGUCAUAAUAACACACAAACACGUGCAUAGUACCGCGUAGGUAUUAGGCACGCGUUAUAACUUACGGGACUCGAUUCCAACUUACGGAGGCCGAGUUACCAGCCCGUAGGCAAAACUGACCAACACUUAGGUAAAAAGUUAAAAAAAAGGCCAAAACCCGCCUCGGCCGUCGUAAUAACACACAAACACGUACAUAGUACCGCGUAGGUAUUCGGCACGCGUUAUAACUUACGGGACUCGAUUCUAAUUUACUAAGACACAGUUAUCAGCUCGUAGACAAAACUGACCAACACUUAGGUAUAAAGUCAAAAAAAGAGGCCAAAACCCGCCUCGGCCGUCGCAAUGACAGGCAAACACGCACAUAUCACCGUUUAGGUAUUAGGCACGCAUUACUACUUACGGGACUCGAUUCUAAUUUACUAAGACAGAGUUAUCAGCUCGUAGACAAAACUGACCAACACUUACGUUAAAAGUCAAAAAAGAGGGCAAAACCAGCUUCAGCCAUCGUAACGAUACGCAAACACAUACAUAGCACCGCGUAGGUAUUAUGCAUGCAUUACAACUUACGGUACCCAAUUUCGACAUACGGAUGCCGUUAUCAGCCCGUAGGCAAAACUGACCAACACUUAGGCAAAAAGUCGAAAAAGAGGCCAAAACCCACCCCGCCCGUCGUAACAACACGCAAAUAUAUACAUAGUACUGCAUGGGUAUUAGGCAUGCGCUAUAACUUACGGGACUCAAUUCUGACUUACGAAAGCUGAGUUAUCAGCCUGUAAGCAAAACUGAACAACAUUUAGGUAAAAAGUCAAAAAAGAGGCCAAAACCCGCCUCGGCUGUCGUAACGACACGCAAACACAUACAUAGCACCGCGUAGGUAUUAGACACUCGUUACAACUUACGGGACUCGAUUCUGACUUACGGAUGCCGAGUUAUCAGCCCGUAGGCAAAACUCGACAACACUUAGGCAGAAAGUCGAAAAAGAGGCCAAAACCCGCCUCGACCGUCGUAACAACACGCACACAUAUACAUAGCACAACAUCGGUAUUAGGCACAUGUUAUAACUUAUGGGACUCAAUUCUAACUUACGGAGGCCAAGUUAUCAGCCCGUAGGUAAAACUGACCAACACUUAGGCAAGAAGUCAAAAAAGAGGCCAAAACCCGCCUCGGCAGUCGUAAAGACACGCAAAUAUGAACAUAACACCGUGUAGGUAUUAGGAAUGUGUUAGAACUUACAUGACUCGAUUCCGACUUAUAGAGACCGAGUUAUCAGCCCGUAGGCAAAACUGAUCAACACUUGAGCAAAAUGUCGAAAAAAAGGCCAAAACCCGCCUCGGCCGUCGUAACAACAAAAAAAGAUGUGCAUAUUACCGCGUAGGUAUUAGGCAAGCGUUACAACUUACGGGACUCGAUUCCGACAUACGGAGGUCUAGUUAUCAGCCCGUAGGCAAAACUGAACAACACUUAGGCAAAAAGUCAAAAAAGAGGCCAAAACAUGCCUCGCCCGUCGUAACGACACGCAAACACAUGCAUAGCACCGUGCAUGUAUUAGGCAUGUGCUACAACUUACGGGACUCAAUUUCGACAUACGUAGGACAAGUUGUCAGCCCGUAGGCAAAAUUGACCAACACUUAGGUAAAAAGUUAAAAAAAAGGCCAAAACACACCUCGGCCAUUGUAAUGACAUGCAAACACAUGCAUAGUACCGCGUAGGUAUUAACCACGCAUUAUAACUUACCUGACUCAAUUCUGACUUACGGAGGCCGAGUUAUCAAUUCGUAGGCAAAACUGACCAACACUUAGGGAAAAAGUCAAAAAAGAAGCCAAAACCCACCUCGGCCGUCGUAAUGACAUGCAAACAUGUACAUAGCACCGCGCAGAUAUUAGGCACGUGUUACACCUUACGGGACUUGAUUCUGACUUACGAAGGCCGAGUUAUCAGCCCGUAGGCAAAACUGACCAACACUUAGGCAAAAAAUUGAAAAAGAGGCCAAAACUCGCCUCAGCCGUUGUAACGAUACGGAAACUAGUAUAUAGCACCACGUAGGUAUUAGGCACGCGUUACAACUUAUGGGACCCGAUUCUGACUUACGGAGGCCGAGUUAUCAGCCCGUAGGCAAAACUGACCAACACUUAUGUAAAAAGUCAAAAAAGAGGCCAAAACCCGCCUCGGCCGUCGUAACGACACGUAAACACGUACAUAUCACCGUGUAGGUAUUAGGCACGCGUUACUACUUACGGGACUCGAUUCUGAUUUACGGAGGCCGUGUUAUCAGCUCGUAGGUAGGGGUGCUCAAAAAAUUCGGUUUUUCGGUUUUUUUACCGAACCGGUUAUAACCGGUACUGGCGGUACCGAUUUUUUUCGGUUUCGGUUUUUUCGGUUUUGGUUUUUUGGUUUUUUUAUAUUUUUCCUUACCGGUAGCGGUAAUGAGAAUUUGGAAUUCAGUAUAACCGAAAAACCGAAAAAAAACCGAAAUUUGUAUGAAUUUGCAUUCUUGUUCUGGGAGGAGAGUGGAAGAGAGAGACUGAAGAGACAAUAAUCACUAUUUCAUGACUGCAAUGCAUUUGAUGCUUCUUUAGUCAACAAUACUAAGUGCUAAUUCCACUACUACUGUCUACUCAUGUACUAAGUAGGAGGAUAGAGGACACCUGCUAAUUUUCAUACAGUAUUUGAAUUUUAUAUACUCCUUCCAAAAUAACUUUUUUUUAAAAAUUUUAGCCGAUACAAUUUUUAAACUAUAUAUAAAAAAUAUUACUCAUUUAUUAUUAUUAAUGAAUUAUUUUAAAUUUAAAUUUAAAAAUACCUUAUUUUAAAAGUACUCAAUAUUAUAAUUCAGAGCGGAUGUAGUAUAUUGUUAGUACGUAGUUGGAUCUCAUUUUUAUUACUCGAGUCAAUAAUCACUACUAGUAUUUCAUAAUGCUUACAUUCACGAGAACAAAAUAAUGGGCUGCAAAUUGUUGAGUAAUGUAGAAUUACUAAUUACUUAAUUUUAUGUUUUUAUUCUAGCGAUAAAAGUUAUUAGAAGACCUCAAGUAAGGUAUAUAUGAUCAAAAUUCAAACCAAAAUAUGUAGAACAACAAGCCAACUAUAGUCUAUGAUAUAAAUAUAUAAUCAUAUAACAACAAGCCAACUACAGUCUACAACAACAAUUGUAUAUGAUUUCUACAAGACGAACAAUAUAUGAUAUAUAAUUGUUGAUGAUUUCUUUUUUUAGUUUUUUUUAAAAAAUUGUUAAUAUAUUAAAAUAAAUUAUUUAAUUAUUAUUAUUUAUUAAUAAUUAUAUAUAUUACUAUGCACGCGGUAUAACCGAAAACCGAACCGCAAAAAUCGGUACCGGUUCGGUUUUUUACUGAUGAACACCCCUACUCGUAGGCAAAACUGACCAAAAUUAGGCAAAAAGUCGAAAAAGAGUCCAAAACCCGCCUCAGCUAUUAUAAUGAGACAGAAACUCGUGCAUAGCACCGCGUAGGUAUUAGGCACGCGUUACAACUUACGAAACUCAAUUCCGACUUACGGAGGCCGAGUUAUCAGCCCGUAGGCAAAACUGACAAAUACUUAGUUAAAAUGUCAAAAAAGAGGCCAAAACCCGCCUCAACCAUCGUAAUGAUACGCAAACAAAUACAUAGCACCGCAUAGGUAUUAGGUAUUCAUUAUAAUUUACGGGACUCAAUUUUGACAUACGGAGGCUGAGUUAUCAGCCCGUAGGCAAAACUGGCCAACACUUAGGCAAAAAGUUCAAAAAGAGGCCAAAACCCACCUCGGCCGUCGUAACAACACGCAAAGACUUACAUAGCACUGCAUGGGUAUUAGGCACGCGUUAUAACUUACGGGACUCAAUUCUGACUUACGAAGGCUGAUUUAUCAGCCCGUAAACAAAACAGAACAACAUUUAGGUAAAAAGUCAAAAAAGAGGACAAAACAUGACUCGGUCGUCGUAACAACAUAAAAACACAUACAUAGUACCGUGUAUGUAUUAGGCAUGGGUUACAACUUAUGGGACUCGAUUCUGACAUACGUAGACCGAGUUAUUAGCCCGUAUGCAAAAUUAACCAAUACUUACGUAAAAAGUUAAAAAAGAGGCCAUAACCUGCAUCGGCCAUUGUAGGUAUUAGGCACGCGUUACAACUUACGGGACUCAAUUUUGAUUUACGGAGGCCGAGUUAUCAGCCCGUAGACAAAACUGACCAAUAUUUAGGAAAAAAGUCAAAAAAGAGGUCAAAACCCAUCUCGGCCGUUGUAACAAUACGAAAACUCAUACGUAGCACCGCGUAGGUAUUAGGCACGAGUUACAACUUACGGGACUCGAUUCCGAUUUACGGAGGCCGAGUUAUCAGACUGUAGGGAAAACUAAUUAACACUUAGGUGAAAAGUCAAAAAAGGAGCCAAAACCCGCUUCGGACAUUGUAACGAUACGCAAACACAUACAUAGCACCGCAUAGGUAUUAGGCAUGCAUUACAACUUAUGGGACUCGAUUCCGACAUACGGAAGCCGAGUUAUCAGCCCGUAGGCAAAACUGACCAACACUUAGGCAAAAAGUCAAAAAAGAGGCCAAAACUCACCUCAGACAUCGUAAUGACACCCAAACACAUACAUAGCAUCGCGUAGGUAUUAGGCACGCAGUACAACUUAUGGGAAAACUGAGCAACACUUAGGCAAAAAGUCGAAAAAGAGGACAAAACUCACCUUGGCAGUAGUAAUGACACGCAAACACAUAACUAGGACCGCGUAGGUAUUAGGCACGCGUUAAAACUUACGGGACUCGAUUCCGACUUACGAAGACCGAGUUAUCAGCCCGUGGGCAAAACUGACCAACAUUUGGGGUAAAAGUCGAAAAAGAGGCCAAAACCCACCUCGGGCGUUGUAACAAUACAAAAACACGUACAUAGCACCGCGUAGGUAUUAGGCACCCGUGACAAUUUACGGGACUCAAUUCCGAUUUAUGGAGGCCGAGUUAUCAGCCCGUAGGCAAAACUAACUAACACUUAGGUAAAAAGUCAAAAAAGAAGCCAAAACCCGCUUCAGCCAUCCUAAUGAUAUGCAAACACAAAAAUAGCACCGCGUAGGUAUUAGGCAUGCGUUACAACUUACGGGACUCGAUUACGAAGGACAGAGGCCGAGUUAUCAGCCCAUAGGCAAAACUGACUAACAAUUAGGCAAAAAGUCGAAAAAGAGGCCAAAACUCACCUCGGCUGUAGUAAUGACACGCAAAGACAUACAUAGCACCGCGUAGGUAUUUGGCACGCGUUACAACUUACGGGACUUGAUUCUGACUUACGGAGGCCGAGUUAUCAGCCCGUAGGCAAAACUGACCAACACUUAUGCAAAAAGUCGAAAAAGAUGCCAAAAACAAGUCUCGUCCCUCGUAAUGAGACGCAAACUAAUAUAUAGCACCGCGUAGGAAUUAGGCACGCGUUACAACUUACAGGACUCGAUUCUGACUUACGAAGGCAGAGUUAUCAGCCCAUUGGCAAAAUUUACCAACACUUGGGCAAAAAGUCAAAAAAGAGACCAAAAUAGGCUCGGUCGUCGUAAUGACAAACAAACAUAUACAUAGCACCACGUAGGCAUUAGGCACGCGUUACAACUUACGGGACUCAAUUUCGACUUACGGAGGCCGAGUUAUCAGCCCGUAGGCAAAACUGACAAACAAUUAGGUAAAAACUCAAAAAUAGGCCAAAACCCGCCUCGAUUGUCUUAACGACACGCAAACACGUAUAUAGCACCGUGUAGGUAUUAGGCAUGUGUUACAACUUACGGGACUCAAUUCUGACUUACAUAGGCCUAGUUAUCAGCCCGUAGGCAAAACUGACCAACACUUAGGCAAAAAGUCAAAAAAGAGGCCAAAACCCGCCUUGGUCGUUGUAACGAUACUUAAAAAAGUACAUAGCAUCUCGUAGAUAUUAGGCACGCAUUAUAAGUUACGGGACUCGAUUCCGACUUACGGAGGCCGAGUUAUCAGUCUGUAGGCAAAACUGACUAACACUUAGGCAAAAAGUUAAAAAAAAGACCAAAACCCGUCUCAGUCAUCAGAACGACACGUAAGAACAUACAUAGCACCGCGUAGGUAUUAGGCACGCGUUACAACUUACGGAACUCAAUUCUAACUUGCGGAGGCCAAGUUAUUAGCCCGUAGGCAAAACUGACCAACACUUGGGCAAACUGUCGAAAAAGAGACCAAAACCAGCCUCGACCAUCAUAAGGAUACGCAAACACGUACAUAGCACCAUGUAGGUAUUAGGCACGUGUUACAACUUGUGGGACUCGAUUCUGAUUUACGGAGGCCGACUUAUCAGCCCAUAGGCAAAACUGACUAACACUUAGGCAAAAAGUCAAAAAAGAGGCCAAAACUCGCCUCGGCCUUUAUAACGACACACAAAUACGUACAUAGCACUGCGUAGGUAUUAGGCAUGCGUUACAACUUAUGGUACUCAAUUCCGACUUACAUAGGACGAGUUAUCAGCCCGUACGCAAAAUUGACCAACACUUAGGCAAAACGUCAAAAAGAGGCCAAAACAGCCUCGNNNNNNNNNNNNNNNNNNNNNNNNNNNNNNNNNNNNNNNNNNNNNNNNNNNNNNNNNNNNNNNNNNNNNNNNNNNNNNNNNNNNNNNNNNNNNNNNNNNNNNNNNNNNNNNNNNNNNNNNNNNNNNNNNNNNNNNNNNNNNNNNNNNNNNNNNNNNNNNNNNNNNNNNNNNNNNNNNNNNNNNNNNNNNNNNNNNNNNNNNNNNNNNNNNNNNNNNNNNNNNNNNNNNNNNNNNNNNNNNNNNNNNNNNNNNNNNNNNNNNNNNNNNNNNNNNNNNNNNNNNNNNNNNNNNNNNNNNNNNNNNNNNNNNNNNNNNNNNNNNNNNNNNNNNNNNNNNNNNNNNNNNNNNNNNNNNNNNNNNNNNNNNNNNNNNNNNNNNNNNNNNNNNNNNNNNNNNNNNNNNNNNNNNNNNNNNNNNNNNNNNNNNNNNNNNNNNNNNNNNNNNNNNNNNNNNNNNNNNNNNNNNNNNNNNNNNNNNNNNNNNNNNNNNNNNNNNNNNNNNNNNNNNNNNNNNNNNNNNNNNNNNNNNNNNNNNNNNNNNNNNNNNNNNNNNNNNNNNNNNNNNNNNNNNNNNNNNNNNNNNNNNNNNNNNNNNNNNNNNNNNNNNNNNNNNNNNNNNNNNNNNNNNNNNNNNNNNNNNNNNNNNNNNNNNNNNNNNNNNNNNNNNNNNNNNNNNNNNNNNNNNNNNNNCGAGUUAUCAGGCCGUAGGCAAAAUUGACCAACACUUACGCAAAAAGCCAAAAAAGAUGCCAAAAACCCGUCUCGACUGUCGUAAUGAGACGCAACCUAAUACAUAGAACCGCGUAGGAAUUAGGCACGCGUUACAACUUACAGAACUCGAUUCUGACUUACGGAGGCCGAGUUAUCAGCCCAUUGGAAAAACUGACCAACACUUAGGAAAAAAGUCAAAAAAGUGGCCAAAAUUAGCCUCGGCCGUCGUAAUGACACACAAAUAUAUACAUAGCACCACGUAGGCAUUACGCACGCGUUACAACUUACGGAGGCCGAGUUAUCAUCCCGUAGGCAAAAAGUCAAAAAAGAGGCCAAAAAUCGCCUCGACCGUUGUAACGAUACUUAAAGAAGUACAUAGCACCGCGUAUAUAUUAAGCACGCGUUACAACUUACGAGACUCGAUUCGGACUGACGGAGGCCGAGUUAUUAGCCCGUAGGUAAAACUGACUAACACUUAGGCAAAAAGUCAAAAAAGAGGCCAAAACCCGUCUCAGUGAUCGUAAUGACAUGUAAACACAUACAUAGCACCGUGUAGGUACUAGGCACACGUUACAACUUACGGGACUCGAUUCUGACUUACGGAGGCUGAGUUAUCAGCCCGUAGGCAAAACUGACUAACACUUAGGCAAAAAGUUAAAAAAGAGGCCAAAACUCACCUCAGACAUCGUAAUGACACCCAAACACAUACAUAGCAUCGCGUAGGAAUUAGGCACGCGUUACAACUUACGGAACUCGAUUCUGACUUACGGAGGCUGAGUUAUCAGCCCGUAGGCAAAACUGACUAACACUUAGGCAAAAAGUUAAAAAAGAGGCCAAAACUCACCUCAGACAUCGUAAUGACACCCAAACACAUACAUAGCAUCGCGUAGGAAUUAGGCACGCGUUACAACUUACGGAACUCGAUUCUGACUUACGGAGGCUGAGUUAUCAGCCCGUAGGCAAAACUGACUAACACUUAGGCAAAAAGUUAAAAAAGAGGCCAAAACUCACCUCAGACAUCGUAAUGACACCCAAACACAUACAUAGCAUCGCGUAGGAAUUAGGCACGCGUUACAACUUACGGAACUCGAUUCUGACUUACGGAGGCUGAGUUAUCAGCCCGUAGGCAAAACUGACUAACACUUAGGCAAAAAGUUAAAAAAGAGGCCAAAACUCACCUCAGACAUCGUAAUGACACCCAAACACAUACAUAGCAUCGCGUAGGAAUUAGGCACGCGUUACAACUUACGGAACUCGAUUCUGACUUACGGAGGCUGAGUUAUCAGCCCGUAGGCAAAACUGACUAACACUUAGGCAAAAAGUUAAAAAAGAGGCCAAAACUCACCUCAGACAUCGUAAUGACACCCAAACACAUACAUAGCAUCGCGUAGGAAUUAGGCACGCGUUACAACUUACGGAACUCGAUUCUGACUUACGGAGGCUGAGUUAUCAGCCCGUAGGAAAAACUGACCAACACUUAGGUAAAAAGUCAAAAAAGCGGCCAAAACCCGCCUCAGCAAUCGUAACGAUAUGCAAACACAUGCAUAGCACCGCGUAGGUAUUAGGCAUGCAUUACAACUUACGGGACUCAAUUUCGACAUACGGAGGCCGAGUUAUCAGCCCGUAGGCAAAACUGAACAACAUUUAGGUAAAAAGUCAAAAAAGAGGCCAAAACCCGCCUCGACCGUCGUAAAAAAUACGCAAACACAUACAUAGCACCGCGCAAGUAUUAGGUACUCGUUACAACUUACGGGACUCAAUUCCGACUUACGGAGGCCGAGUUAUCAGCCCGUAGGCAAAACUGACCAACAUAUAGGUCAAAAGUUGAAAAAGAGGCCAAAACCCGCAUCGACCGUCGUAACAACACGCAAACACGUGCAUAGUACCGCGUCGGUAUUAGGCACGUAUUACAACUUACGGGACUCGAUUCCAACUUACGGAGGCCGAGUUAUCAGCCCGUAGCCAAAACAGACCAACACUUAAGCAAAAAGUCGAAAAGGAGUCCAAAACCCACCUCGGCUAUCGUAAUAACACGCAAAUAUAUACAUAGUACUGCAUAGGUAUUAGGCACGCGUUACAAAUUAUGGGACUCGAUUCUGACUUAUGGAGGCCGAGUUAUCAGCGUGUAGGCAAAAUUGACCAACACUUAAGCAAAAAGUCUAAAAAGGGGCCAAAACAAGCCUCGGCUAUCGUAACAACACGCAAACACGUACGUAGUAUCGCGUAGGUAUUAGGCAUGCGUUACAACUUAUGAGACUCGAUUCUGACUUACGGAGGCCGAGUUAUCAGCCCGUAGGCAAAACUGACCAACACUUAGGCAAAAAGUCGAAAAAGAGGCAAAAACUAGCCUCGACCGUUGUAACGACACGCAAACACAUACAUAGCAUCACGUAGGUAUUAGGAAAGCAUUACAACUUACGGGACUCAAUUCUGACUUACAGGGGCCGAGUUAUCAGCCCGUAGGCAAAACUGACCAACACUUAGGCAAAAAGUCAAAAAAGAGGCCAAAACCCGCCUCGACUGUUGUAACGAUAGGCAAACUCUUACAUAGCACCGCGUAGGUAUUAGGCAUAUGUUACAACUUACGAGACUCGAUUACGACUUACGGAGGCCGAGUUAUCAGUCCGUAAGCAAAACUGAACAACAUUUAGGUAAAAAGUCAAAAAAGAGGCCAAAACCCGCCUCGGCCGUCAUAAUGACUCGCAAACACAUACAUAGCACCGUGUAGGUAUUUGGCACUCAUUACAACUUACCGGACUCAAUUCCGACUUACGGAGAUCGAGUUAUCAGCCCGUAGGCAAAACUGACCAACAUAUAGGUCACAAGUCAAAAAAGAGGCCAAAACCCGCCUCGGCCGUCAUAAUGACUCGCAAACACAUACAUAGCACCGUGUAGGUAUUUGGCACUCAUUACAACUUACCGGACUCAAUUCCGACUUACGGAGAUCGAGUUAUCAGCCCGUAGGCAAAACUGACCAACAUAUAGGUCACAAGUCAAAAAAGAGUCCAAAACCCGCCUCGGCCGUCGUAAUAACACACAAACACGUGCAUAGUACCGCGUAGGUAUUAGGCACGCGUUAUAACUUACGGGACUCGAUUCCAACUUACGGAGGCCGAGUUAUCAGCCCGUAGCCAAAACUGACCAACACUUAGGCAAAAAGUCGAAAAAGAGGCCAAAACCCGCCUCGGCCGUCGUAACAACACGCAAACACAAAUAUAGCACCGCGUAGGUAAUAGGCGUGUGUUAAAACUUACGGGACCCGAUUCAGACUUACGGAGGCCGAGUUAUCAGCCCGUAGGCAAAACUGACCAACACUUAGGUAAAAAGUCAAAAAAGAGGCCAAAACCCGCCUCGGCUGUCGUAACGACACGCAAACACAUACAUAGCACCGCGUAGGUAUUAGACACUCGUUACAACUUACGGGACUCGAUUCUGACUUACGGAUGCCGAGUUAUCAGCCCGUAGGCAAAAUUGACCAACACUUAGGUAAAAAGUUAAAAAAGAGGCCAAAACCCGCCUAAGCCGGUGGAACGACAUGAAAACACAUACAUAGUACCGCGUAGGUAUUAGGCACGUGUUAUAACUUACGGGACUCGAUUCCAACUUACGGAGGCCGAGUUAUCAGCCCGUAGCCAAAACUGACCAACAUUUAGGCAAAAAGUCAAAAAAGAGGCCAAACCCCGCCUCGGCCGUCGUAACAACACGCAAACACAAAUAUAGCACCGCGUAGGUAAUAGGCGUGUGUUAAAACUUACGGGACCCGAUUCAGACUUACGGAGGCCGAGUUAUCAGCCCGUAGCCAAAACUGACCAACAUUUAGGCAAAAAGUCAAAAAAGAGGCCAAACCCCGCCUCGGCCGUCGUAACAACACGCAAACACAAAUAUAGCACCGCGUAGGUAAUAGGCGUGUGUUAAAACUUACGGGACCCGAUUCAGACUUACGGAGGCCGAGUUAUCAGCCCGUAGCCAAAACUGACCAACAUUUAGGCAAAAAGUCAAAAAAGAGGCCAAACCCCGCCUCGGCCGUCGUAACAACACGCAAACACAAAUAUAGCACCGCGUAGGUAAUAGGCGUGUGUUAAAACUUACGGGACCCGAUUCAGACUUACGGAGGCCGAGUUAUCAGCCCGUAGCCAAAACUGACCAACAUUUAGGCAAAAAGUCAAAAAAGAGGCCAAACCCCGCCUCGGCCGUCGUAACAACACGCAAACACAAAUAUAGCACCGCGUAGGUAAUAGGCGUGUGUUAAAACUUACGGGACCCGAUUCAGACUUACGGAGGCCGAGUUAUCAGCCCGUAGCCAAAACUGACCAACAUUUAGGCAAAAAGUCAAAAAAGAGGCCAAACCCCGCCUCGGCCGUCGUAACAACACGCAAACACAAAUAUAGCACCGCGUAGGUAAUAGGCGUGUGUUAAAACUUACGGGACCCGAUUCAGACUUACGGAGGCCGAGUUAUCAGCCCGUAGCCAAAACUGACCAACAUUUAGGCAAAAAGUCAAAAAAGAGGCCAAACCCCGCCUCGGCCGUCGUAACAACACGCAAACACAAAUAUAGCACCGCGUAGGUAAUAGGCGUGUGUUAAAACUUACGGGACCCGAUUCAGACUUACGGAGGCCGAGUUAUCAGCCCGUAGCCAAAACUGACCAACAUUUAGGCAAAAAGUCAAAAAAGAGGCCAAACCCCGCCUCGGCCGUCGUAACAACACGCAAACACAAAUAUAGCACCGCGUAGGUAAUAGGCGUGUGUUAAAACUUACGGGACCCGAUUCAGACUUACGGAGGCCGAGUUAUCAGCCCGUAGCCAAAACUGACCAACAUUUAGGCAAAAAGUCAAAAAAGAGGCCAAACCCCGCCUCGGCCGUCGUAACAACACGCAAACACAAAUAUAGCACCGCGUAGGUAAUAGGCGUGUGUUAAAACUUACGGGACCCGAUUCAGACUUACGGAGGCCGAGUUAUCAGCCCGUAGCCAAAACUGACCAACAUUUAGGCAAAAAGUCAAAAAAGAGGCCAAACCCCGCCUCGGCCGUCGUAACAACACGCAAACACAAAUAUAGCACCGCGUAGGUAAUAGGCGUGUGUUAAAACUUACGGGACCCGAUUCAGACUUACGGAGGCCGAGUUAUCAGCCCGUAGCCAAAACUGACCAACAUUUAGGCAAAAAGUCAAAAAAGAGGCCAAACCCCGCCUCGGCCGUCGUAACAACACGCAAACACAAAUAUAGCACCGCGUAGGUAAUAGGCGUGUGUUAAAACUUACGGGACCCGAUUCAGACUUACGGAGGCCGAGUUAUCAGCCCGUAGCCAAAACUGACCAACAUUUAGGCAAAAAGUCAAAAAAGAGGCCAAACCCCGCCUCGGCCGUCGUAACAACACGCAAACACAAAUAUAGCACCGCGUAGGUAAUAGGCGUGUGUUAAAACUUACGGGACCCGAUUCAGACUUACGGAGGCCGAGUUAUCAGCCCGUAGCCAAAACUGACCAACAUUUAGGCAAAAAGUCAAAAAAGAGGCCAAACCCCGCCUCGGCCGUCGUAACAACACGCAAACACAAAUAUAGCACCGCGUAGGUAAUAGGCGUGUGUUAAAACUUACGGGACCCGAUUCAGACUUACGGAGGCCGAGUUAUCAGCCCGUAGCCAAAACUGACCAACAUUUAGGCAAAAAGUCAAAAAAGAGGCCAAACCCCGCCUCGGCCGUCGUAACAACACGCAAACACAAAUAUAGCACCGCGUAGGUAAUAGGCGUGUGUUAAAACUUACGGGACCCGAUUCAGACUUACGGAGGCCGAGUUAUCAGCCCGUAGCCAAAACUGACCAACAUUUAGGCAAAAAGUCAAAAAAGAGGCCAAACCCCGCCUCGGCCGUCGUAACAACACGCAAACACAAAUAUAGCACCGCGUAGGUAAUAGGCGUGUGUUAAAACUUACGGGACCCGAUUCAGACUUACGGAGGCCGAGUUAUCAGCCCGUAGCCAAAACUGACCAACAUUUAGGCAAAAAGUCAAAAAAGAGGCCAAACCCCGCCUCGGCCGUCGUAACAACACGCAAACACAAAUAUAGCACCGCGUAGGUAAUAGGCGUGUGUUAAAACUUACGGGACCCGAUUCAGACUUACGGAGGCCGAGUUAUCAGCCCGUAGCCAAAACUGACCAACAUUUAGGCAAAAAGUCAAAAAAGAGGCCAAACCCCGCCUCGGCCGUCGUAACAACACGCAAACACAAAUAUAGCACCGCGUAGGUAAUAGGCGUGUGUUAAAACUUACGGGACCCGAUUCAGACUUACGGAGGCCGAGUUAUCAGCCCGUAGCCAAAACUGACCAACAUUUAGGCAAAAAGUCAAAAAAGAGGCCAAACCCCGCCUCGGCCGUCGUAACAACACGCAAACACAAAUAUAGCACCGCGUAGGUAAUAGGCGUGUGUUAAAACUUACGGGACCCGAUUCAGACUUACGGAGGCCGAGUUAUCAGCCCGUAGCCAAAACUGACCAACAUUUAGGCAAAAAGUCAAAAAAGAGGCCAAACCCCGCCUCGGCCGUCGUAACAACACGCAAACACAAAUAUAGCACCGCGUAGGUAAUAGGCGUGUGUUAAAACUUACGGGACCCGAUUCAGACUUACGGAGGCCGAGUUAUCAGCCCGUAGCCAAAACUGACCAACACUUAGGCAAAAAGUCGAAAAAGAGGCCAAAACCCACCCCGCCCGUCGUAACAACAUGCAAAUAUAUACAUAGUACUGCAUGGGUAUUACGCAUGCGCUAUAACUUACGGGACUUAAUUCUGACUUACGAAAGCUGAGUUAUCAGCCUGUAAGCAAAACUGAACAACAUUUAGGUAAAAAGUCAAAAAAGAGGCCAAAACCCGCCUCGGCUGUCGUAACGACACGCAAACACAUACAUAGCACCGCGUAGGUAUUAGACACUCGUUACAACUUACGGGACUCGAUUCUGACUUACGGAUGCCGAGUUAUCAGCCCGUAGGCAAAACUCGACAACAAUUAGGCAGAAAGUCGAAAAAGAGGCCAAAACCCGCCUCGACCAUCGUAACAACACGCACACAUAUACAUAGCACAACAUCGGUAUUAGGCACAUGUUAUAACUUAUGGGACUCAAUUCUAACUUACGGAGGCCAAGUUAUCAGCCCGUAGGUAAAACUGACCAACACUUAGGCAAGAAGUCAAAAAAGAGGCCAAAACCCGCCUCGGCAGUCGUAAAGACACGCAAANNNNNNNNNNNNNNNNNNNNNNNNNNNNNNNNNNNNNNNNNNNNNNNNNNNNNNNNNNNNNNNNNNNNNNNNNNNNNNNNNNNNNNNNNNNNNNNNNNNNNNNNNNNNNNNNNNNNNCGCGUAGGUAUUAGGCACGCGUUACAACUUACGGAACUCAAUUCUAACUUGCGGAGGCCAAGUUAUUAGCCCGUAGGCAAAACUGACCAACACUUGGGCAAACAGUCGAAAAAGAGACCAAAACCAGCCUCGGCCGUCAUAAGGAUACGCAAACACGUACAUAGCACCAUGUAGGUAUUAGGCACGUGUUACAACUUGUGGGACUCGAUUCUGAUUUACGGAGGCCGACUUAUCAGCCCAUAGGCAAAACUGACUAACACUUAGGCAAAAAGUCGAAAAAGAGGCCAAAACCCGCCUCGGCCUUUAUAACGACACACAAACACGUACAUAGCACUGCGUAGGUAUUAGGCAUGCGUUACAACUUAUGGUACUCAAUUCCGACUUACAUAGGACGAGUUAUCAGCCCGUACGCAAAAUUGACCAACACUUAGGCAAAACGUCAAAAAGAGGCCAAAACAGCCUCGGACAUCGUAACAAUAUACAAACAUGUAUAUAGCACAGCGUAAGUAUUAGGCACGCAUUACAACCUACGGGACUCGAUUCUGACAUACGGAGGCCAAGUUAUCAGCCCGUAGGCAAAACUGACCAAUACUUAGGCAAAAAGUCAAAAAAGAGGCCAAAACUCGUCUCGGCCAUCGUAAUGACACACAAACACAUACAUAGCAUUGCGUAGGUAUUAGACAUGCGUUACAACUUACGGGACUCGAUUCCAACUAUCGGACGACGAGUUAUCAGCCCGUAGGCAAAACUGACCAACACUUAGGCAAAAAGUAGAAAAAGAGCCCAAAAUCCGUCUCGGUCGUUCUAACGAUACAGAAACUCGUACAUAGCACCGCGUAGGUAUUAGGCACGCGUUACAACUUACGGGACUCGAUUCUGACUUACGGAGGCCGAGUUAUCAGCCCGUAGACAAAACUAACCAACACUUAGGUAAAAAGUCAAAAAAGAAGCCAAAGCCCGCCUCGGCCAUCGUAAUGAUACGCAAACACAUACACAGCACCGCGUAGGUAUUAGGCAUACGUUACAACUUACGGGACUCGAUUCCGACAGACAGAGGCCGAGUUAUCAGCCCAUAGGCAAAACUGACCAAUAAUUAGGCAAAAAGUCAAAAAAGAGGCCAAAUCUCACCUCGGCUGUAGUAACGACACGCAAACACAUAUAUAGCACUGCGUAGGUAUUAGGCACGCGUUACAACUUACGGGACUCGAUUCCGACUUACAGAGGCCGAGUUAUCAGGCCGUAGGCAAAAUUGACCAACACUUACGCAAAAAGCCAAAAAAGAUGCCAAAAACCCGUCUCGACUGUCGUAAUGAGACGCAAACUAAUACAUAGAACCGCGUAGGAAUUAGGCACGCGUUACAACUUACGGGACUCGAUUCCGACUUACAGAGGCCGAGUUAUCAGGCCGUAGGCAAAAUUGACCAACACUUACGCAAAAAGCCAAAAAAGAUGCCAAAAACCCGUCUCGACUGUCGUAAUGAGACGCAAACUAAUACAUAGAACCGCGUAGGAAUUAGGCACGCGUUACAACUUACGGGACUCGAUUCCGACUUACAGAGGCCGAGUUAUCAGGCCGUAGGCAAAAUUGACCAACACUUACGCAAAAAGCCAAAAAAGAUGCCAAAAACCCGUCUCGACUGUCGUAAUGAGACGCAAACUAAUACAUAGAACCGCGUAGGAAUUAGGCACGCGUUACAACUUACGGGACUCGAUUCCGACUUACAGAGGCCGAGUUAUCAGGCCGUAGGCAAAAUUGACCAACACUUACGCAAAAAGCCAAAAAAGAUGCCAAAAACCCGUCUCGACUGUCGUAAUGAGACGCAAACUAAUACAUAGAACCGCGUAGGAAUUAGGCACGCGUUACAACUUACGGGACUCGAUUCCGACUUACAGAGGCCGAGUUAUCAGGCCGUAGGCAAAAUUGACCAACACUUACGCAAAAAGCCAAAAAAGAUGCCAAAAACCCGUCUCGACUGUCGUAAUGAGACGCAAACUAAUACAUAGAACCGCGUAGGAAUUAGGCACGCGUUACAACUUACGGGACUCGAUUCCGACUUACAGAGGCCGAGUUAUCAGGCCGUAGGCAAAAUUGACCAACACUUACGCAAAAAGCCAAAAAAGAUGCCAAAAACCCGUCUCGACUGUCGUAAUGAGACGCAAACUAAUACAUAGAACCGCGUAGGAAUUAGGCACGCGUUACAACUUACGGGACUCGAUUCCGACUUACAGAGGCCGAGUUAUCAGGCCGUAGGCAAAAUUGACCAACACUUACGCAAAAAGCCAAAAAAGAUGCCAAAAACCCGUCUCGACUGUCGUAAUGAGACGCAAACUAAUACAUAGAACCGCGUAGGAAUUAGGCACGCGUUACAACUUACGGGACUCGAUUCCGACUUACAGAGGCCGAGUUAUCAGGCCGUAGGCAAAAUUGACCAACACUUACGCAAAAAGCCAAAAAAGAUGCCAAAAACCCGUCUCGACUGUCGUAAUGAGACGCAAACUAAUACAUAGAACCGCGUAGGAAUUAGGCACGCGUUACAACUUACGGGACUCGAUUCCGACUUACAUAGGCCGAGUUAUCAGCCCGUAGGCAAAACUGACCAACACUUAGGUAAAAAGUUAAAAAAGAGGCCAAAACCCGCCUCGGCCGUUGUAACGACACGAAAACACAUGCAUAGUACCGCAUAGGUAUUAGGCAGACAUUAAAACUUAUGGGACUCGAUUCUAACUUACGUAGGCCGAGUUAAUAGCCCGUAGACAAAACUGACCAACACUUAGGUAAAAAAUCAAAAAAGAGGCUAAAACCCGCCUCGGCCGUCGUAAUGUCACGCAAACUCGUACAUAGUACCGCGUAGGUAUUAGGCACGCAUUACAACUUACGGGACUCAAUUCUGACUUACGGAGGCCGAGUUAUCAGCCCGUAGCCAAAACAGACCAACACUUAAGCAAAAAGUCGAAAAAGAGGCCAAAACCCGCCUCGGCCGUCGUAAUGUCACGCAAACUCGUACAUAGUACCGCGUAGGUAUUAGGCACGCAUUACAACUUACGGGACUCAAUUCUGACUUACGGAGGCCGAGUUAUCAGCCCGUAGCCAAAACAGACCAACACUUAAGCAAAAAGUCGAAAAAGAGGCCAAAACCCGCCUCGGCCGUCGUAAUGUCACGCAAACUCGUACAUAGUACCGCGUAGGUAUUAGGCACGCAUUACAACUUACGGGACUCAAUUCUGACUUACGGAGGCCGAGUUAUCAGCCCGUAGCCAAAACAGACCAACACUUAAGCAAAAAGUCGAAAAAGAGGCCAAAACCCGCCUCGGCCGUCGUAACAACACGCAAACACAUAUAUAGCACCGCAUAGGUAUUAGGCGUGUGUUACAACUUACGGGACCUGAUUCAGACUUACGAAGGCCGAGUUAUCAGACCGUAGGCAAAACUGACCAACACUUAGGCAAAAAGUCAAAAAAGAGGCCAAAAAAAAACCUCGGCAGUCGUUACGACACGCAAACACAUACAUAGAACCGCGUGGGUAUUAGGCAUGUGUUACAACUUAUGGGUCUUGAUUCUGACUUACGGAGGCCGAGUUAUCAGCCCGUAGGCAAAACUGAACAACACUUAGGCAAAAAGUCGAACAUGAGGCCAAAACCAGCCUCGACCGUCGUAACGAUAUGCAAACACGUACAUAGCACCACGUAGGUAUUAGGCACGCAUUACAACCUAAGGGACUCAAUUCUGACAUACGGAGGCCGAGCUAUCAGCCUGUAGGCAAAACUGACCAACACUUAGGCAAAAAGUCGAAAAAGAGGCCAAAAUCCACCUUGGCCGUCGUAACGAUGCGCAAACACAUGCAUAGCACCGCGUAGGUAUUUGGCAUGCGUUAAAACUUAUGGGACUCGAUUAUGAUAUACGUAGGCCGAGUUAUCAGCCCGUAGGUAAAACUGACCAACAUUUAGGGAAAAAGUUGAAAAAGAGGCCAGAACCGCCUCGACCCUCAUAAUGACAUGCAAACACGUACAUAACACUGCAUGCAUUAUAACUUAUGGGACUCGAUUCUGACAUACGGAUGCCCAGUUAUCAGCACGUAGGUAAAACUGACCAACACUCAAGAAAAAAGUCGAAAAGGAGUCCAAAACCCACCUCGGCUGUCGUAAUAACACGGAAACAUAUACAUAGCACUGCAUAGGUAUUAGGCACGCGUUACAAAUUAUAGGACUCGAUUCUGACUUACGGAGGCCGAGUUAUCAGCGUGUAGAAAAAAUUGACCAACACUUAAGCAAAAAGUCUAAAAAGGGGCCAUAACAAGCCUCGACUAUCGUAACAACACGAAAGCAUGUACAUAGCAUCGCGUAGGUAUUAGGCAUGCGUUAUAACUUAUGAGACUCGAUUCCGACUUACGGAGGCCGAGUUAUCAGCCCGUAGGCAAAACUGACCAACACUUAUGCAAAAAGUCGAAAAAGAGGCCAUAACUAGCCUCGGCCGUUGUAACGACACGCAAACACAUACAUAGCAUCGCGUAGGUAUUAAGCACGCAUUACAACUUACGGGACUCGAUUCUGACUUACGGGGGGCCGAGUUAUCAGCCCGUAGGCAAAACUGACCAACACUUAGGCAAAAAGUCAAAAAAGAGGCCAAAACUCGCCUCGGCCAUUGUAAUGAAAUGCAAACAUAGCUAAAAAGUCUUACAUAGCACCGUAUAGGUAUUAGGCAUGCGUUACAACAUAAGGGACUCGAUUCUGACUUACGGAGGCCGAGUUAUCAGCGUAGGCAAAACUGACCAACACUUAGCUAAAAAGUCAAAAAAGAGGCCAAAACCCGCCUCGGCUAUCAAAACGAUACGCAAACACAUACAUAGAACCACGUAGGUAUUAGGCAUACGUUACAACUUAUAGGACUUGAUUCCGACUUACGGAGACCGAGUUAUCAGCCCGUAGGCUAAACUGGCCAACACUUAGUUAAAAUGCUAAAAAAGAGGCCAAAACCCGCUUCAGUCAUCAUAACGAUACGCAAACACAUACAUAGCACCUCGUUGGUAUUAGGCAUACAUUACAACUUACGGGACUCAAUUUUGACAUACGGAGGCCGAGUUAUCAGCCCGUAGGAAAAACUGACCAACAUUUAGGCAAAAAGUCGAAAAAAGGCCAAAACCAACCUCGGCCGUCGUAACAACACGCAAAGAUAUACAUAGCACUACAUGGGUAUUAAGCACGCGUUAUAACUUACGGGACUCAAUUCUGACUUACGGAGGCCGAGUUAUCAGCCCGUAAGCAAAACUGAACAACAUUUAGGUAAAAAGACAAAAAAGAGGCCAAAACAUUCCUCGGCCGUCGUAACGACAUAAAAACAUAUACACAGUAUCGCGUAUGUAUUAGGCAUGCGUUACAACUUACGGGACUCGAUUCUGACAUACGUAGACCGAGUUAUUAGCCCGUAUGCAAAUUUGACCAACAUUUAGGUAAAAAGUUAAAAAAGAGGCCAAAACCCGCAUCAGCCAUUGUAAUGACACCCAAAUACAUGUAUAGCACCACGUAGGUAUUAGACACGCGUUACAACUUACAUGACUCAUUUUUGACUUACGGAGGCCGAGUUAUCAGCCCGUAGCCAAAAAUAACUAACACUUAGGUAAAAAGUCAAAAAAGAAGCCAAAACCUGCCUCGGCCGUUGUAAUGAUACAAAAACUCGUACACAGCACCGCGUUGGUAUUAGGCAUACGUAACAACUUACGGGACUCUAUUCCGACAUACGGAGGCCGAGUUAUCAGUCCGUAGGCAAAACUGACCAACACUUAGGCAAAAAGUCAAAAAAGAGGCCAAAACCAACCUCGGCCGUCGUAACAACACGCAAAGACAUACAUAGCACUGCAUGGGUAUUAGGCACGCGUUAUAACUUACGGGACUCAAUUCUAACUUACGGAGGCCGAGUUAACAGCCUGUAAGCAAAACUGAACAACAUUUAGGUAAAAAGUCAAAAAAGAGGCCAAAACAUGCCUCGACCGUCGUAACAACAUAAAAAAAUAUACAUAGUACUGCUUAUGUAUAAGGCAUGUGUUACAACUCACGGGACAUGAUUCUGACAUACAUAGACCGAAUUAUUAGCCCGUAUUCAAAAUUGACCAACACUUAGGUAAAAAGUUAAAAAAGAGGCCAAAACCCGCAUCGGCCAUUGUAACGACACGCAAAUACAUGCAUAGCACCGCGUAGGUAUUAGGCACGCGUUACAACUUACGAGACUCAAUUCCGACUUAUGGAGGCCGAGUUAUCAACCCGUAGGCAAAACCGACCAACAUUUGGGGAAAAAGUCAAAAAAAGGCCAAAAUCCACCUCGGCCGUUAUAAUGAUACGGAAACUCGUACAACUUACGGGACUCGAUUCUGACAUACGGAGGCCGAGUUAUCAGCCCGUAGGGAAAACUGACAAACACUUAGGUAAAAAGUCGAAGAAGAGGCCAAAACUCGCCUCGGCCAUCGUAACGACAAGCAAACACAUACAUAUCAUCGCGUAGGCAAAAUUAACUAACACUUAGGUAAAAAGUUAAAAAAGAGGCCAAAACUCGCCUCGGCAAUUCUAAUGACAUGCAAACGCAUGCAUAGCACUGCGUAAGUAUUAGGCACGUGUUAUAACUUACGAGACUCAAUUCUGACUUACGGAGGCCGAGUUAUCAGUUCGUAGGCAAAACUGACCAACACUUAGGGAAAAAGUCAAAAAAGAAGCCAAAACCCACCUCGACCAUCGUAACGACAUGCAAACACGUACACAGCAUCGCGCAGGUAUUAGGCACGUGUUAUAACUUACGGGACUCGAUUUUGAGUUACGUAGGCCGAGUUAUCAGCCCGUAGGCAAAACUGACCAACACUUAGGCAAAAAAUCGAAAAAGAGGCCAAAACUCGCCUCGGCCGUUGAAACGAUAUGGAAACUCGUAUAUAGCACCACGUAGGUAUUAGGCACGCGUUACAACUUACAGGACUCGAUUUUGACUUACGGAGGCCGAGUUAUCAGCCCGUAGAUAAAACUAACCAACACUUAGGUAAAAAGUUAAAAAAGAGGCCAAAACCCGCCUCGGCCGUCGUAACGAUACGCUAACACAUACAUAGCACCGCGUAAGUAUUAGGCAUACAUUACAACUUACGGGACUCGAUUCCGACAUACGAAGCCCGAGUUAUCAGCCCGUAGGCAAAACUGACCAACACUUAGGUAAAAAGUCAAAAAAGAUGCAAAAAAAAAUCUCGGAAGUCGUAACGACACGCAAACACAUACAUAGAACCGCGUGAGUAUUAGGCAUGUGUUACAACUUAUGGGUCUUGAUUCUGACUUACGGAGGCCGAGUUAUCAGCCCGUAGGCAAAACUGAACAACACUUAGGCAAAAAGUCGAACAAGAGGGCAAAACCAGCCUCGACCUUCGUAACGAUAUGCAAACACGUACAUAGCACCGCGUAGGUAUUAGUCACGCGUUACAACUUAAGGGACUCGAUUCCGACAUACGGAGGCCGAGCUAUCAGCCUGUAGGAAAAACUGACCAACACUUAGGCAAAAAGUCGAAAAAGAGGCCAAAACCCACCUUGGCUGUCGUAACGAUGCGCAAACACAUGCAUAGCACCGCCUAGGUAUUUGGCAUGCGUUAAAACUUACGGGACUCGAUUAUGAUAUACGAAGGCCGAGUUAUCAGCUCGUAGGUAAAACUGACCAACAUUUAGGGAAAAAGUCAAAAAAGAGGCCAAAACCGCCUCGACCCUCAUAAUGACAUGCAAACACGUACAUAAUACUGCGUCGGUAUUAGACAUGCAUUACAACUUAUAGGACUCAAUUCUGACAUACGGAUGCCGAGUUAUCAGUGCGUAGGUAAAACUGACCAACACUCAAGCAAAAAGUCAAAAAAGAGUCCAAAACCCACCUCGGCUAUCGUAAUAACACGCAAAUAUAUACAUAGCACUGCAUAGGUAUUAGGCACGCGUUACAAAUUAUGGGACUCGAUUCUGACUUAUGGAGGCCGAGUUAUCAGCGUGUAGGCAAAAUUGACCAACACUUAAGCAAAAAGUCUAAAAAGGGGCUAAAACAAGCCUCGGCUAUCGUAACAACACGCAAACAUGUACGUAGCAUCGCGUAGGUAUUAGGCAUGCGUUACAACUUAUGAGACUCGAUUCUGACUUACGGAGGCCGAGUUAUCAGCCCGUAGGCAAAAUUGACCAACACUUAGGCAAAAAGUCGAAAAAGAGGCCAAAACUAGCCUCGACCGUUGUAACGACACGCAAACACAUACAUAGCAUCACGUAGGUAUUAGGAAAGCAUUACAACUUACGGGACUCAGUUCUGACUUACAGGGGCCGAGUUAUCAGCCCGUAGGCAAAACUGACCAACACUUAGGCAAAAAGUCAAAAAAGAGGCCAAAACCCGCCUCGACUGUUGUAACGAUAGGCAAACUCUUACAUAGCACCGCGUAGGUAUUAGGCAUACGUUACAACUUACGAGACUCGAUUACGACUUACGGAGGCCGAGUUAUCAGCCGUAAGGCAAAACUGACCAACACUUAGCGAAAAAGUCAAAAAGAGGCCAAAACCCGCCUCGGCCGUCAAAACGAUACGCAAACACAUACAUAGAACUACGUAGGUAUUAGGCAUGUGUUACAACUUACGGGACUUGAUUCCGAUAUACGGAGCCCGAGUUAUCAACCCGUAGGCAUAACUGACCAACACUUAGGCAAAAAGUCAAAAAAGAGGCCAAAACCCACCUCGGCCGUCGUAACGAUACACAAACACUUACAUAGCACCGCGUGGGUAUUAGGCACACGUUACAACUUACGGGACUCGAUUUCAACUUACGAAGGUUGAGUUAUCUGCCCGUAGACAAAACUCGCCAACACUUAGGCAAAAAGUCGAUAAAAGAGGCCAAAACCCGCCUUGACUGUCGUAACAACACGCAAACACAUACAUAGUACAACGUAGGUAUUAGGCAUACGUUACAACUUACGGGACUCGAUUCCAACUUACGGAGGCUGAGUUAUAAGCCCGUAGGUAAAACUGAACAACACUUAGGCAAGAAGUCAAAAAAGAGGCCAAAACUCGCCUCGACAGUCGUAAAGACACGCAAACACAAAUAUAGCACUGCGUAGGUAUUAGGCACGCGUUACAACUUACGGGACUCGAUUCCUACUUACAGAGGCCGAGUUAUCAGCCCGUAGGUAAAACUGACCAACACUUAGGCAAAAAGUCGAAAAAGAGGCCAAAACCCGCCUCGACCAUCUUAAGGACACGCAAAUAGAUACAUAGCACCGUGUAGGUAUUAGGCACGCAUUACAACUUACAGGACUCGAUUCUGACUUACAGAGACCAAGUUAUAAGCCCGUAGGCAAAACUGACCAACACUUAGGCAAAAAGUCAAAAAAGAGACCAAAUCUCGCCUCGACCAUCUUAACGACACGUAAACACGUACAUAGCACUACGUAGGUACUAGGCAUGCGAUAUAUCUUACUGGACUAAGUUCAGACUUAUGGAGGCCGAGUUAUCAGCCCGUAGGCAAAACUGAGUAACACUUAGGCAAAAAGUCGAAAAGAGGCUACCCGCCUCAGCCGUCGUAACGACACACAAACACAUACAUAGAACUGCGUAGGUAUUAGGCACUCGUUACAACUUACGGGACUCGAUUCUGACUUACGGAGGCCGAAUUAUCAGCCCGUAGUCAAAACUCGCCAACACUUAGGCAAAAAGGCAAAAAGAGGGCAAAACCCGUCUCGACCGUCGUAACAACACGCAAACACAUACAUAACACAAUAUAGGUAUUCGACACGCGUUACAAUAUACGAUACUCGAUUCUGACUUACGGAGGCUGAGUUAUCAGCCCAUAGGCAAAACUGAACAACAUUUAGGUAAAAAGUUAAAAAAGAGGCCAAAGCUCGCAUCGGCUGUUGUAACGACACGAAAACACAUGCAUAGUACUGCGUAGGUAUUAGGCACGUGUUAAAACUUACGGGACUCGAUUCCAACUUACGGAGGCUGACUUAUCAGCCCGUAGGGAAAACUGACGAACACUUAGGUAAAAAGUCAAAAAAGAGGCCAAAACCCGCCUCGGCCGUCGUAAUGACACGUAAACACGUACAUAUCACCGUGUAGGUAUUAGGCACGCGUUACUAUUUAUGGGACUUGGUUCUGAUUUACGGAGGCCGAGUUAUCAGCCCGUAGGUAAAACUAACCAACACUCAGGUAAGAAGUUAAAAAAGAGGCCAAAACUCGCCUCGGCAAUCGUAAAGACACGCAAAUAUGAACAUAGCACCGCGUAGGUAUUAGGCACGGGUUAGAACUUACGGGACUCGAUUCCGACUUACAGAAGCCGAGUUAUCAGCCCUUAGGAAAAACUGACCAACACUCAGGUAAGAAGUCAAAAAAGAGGCCAAAACUCGCCUCGACAAUCGUAAAGACACGCAAAUAUGAACAUAGCACCGCGUGGGUAUUAGGCACGGGUUAGAACUUACGGGACUCGAUUCCGACUUACAGAAGCCGAGUUAUCAGCCCUUAGGAAAAACUGACCAACACUUAGGCAAAAAGUCGAAAAAGAGGCCAAAACCUGCCUCGGCCGUCAUAACAACACGCAAACACAUGCAUUGUACCGCAUAGGUAUUAGGCACGCGUCAGAACUUACGGGACUCGAUUCCAACUUACGGAGGCCGAGUUAUCAUCAGCCCGUAGCCAAAAUUGACCAACACUUAGGUAAAAAGUCAAAAAAGAGGCCAAAACCCGCCUCGACCGUCGUAACAACACGCAAACACAAACAUAGCACAAUGUAGUUAUUAAGCACGCGUUAUAAUAUAUGUUACUCGAUUCCGACUUACGGAGGUUGAGUUAUCAGCCCGUAGGCAAAACUGACCAACAAUUAGGUAAAAAAUUAAAAAAGAGGCCAAAACCCGCCUCGGCCGUUGUAACGACAUGAAAACACAUGCAUAGUACCGCAUAGGUAUUAGGCAUGCGUUAAAACUUACGGGACCCGAUUCCAACUUACGGAGGCCGAGUUAUCAGUCCGUAGGUAAAACUGACAAACACUUAGGUAAAAAGUCAAAAAAGAGGCCAAAACCCGUCUCGGCCGUCGUAACGACAAGUAAACACGUACAUAUCACCGUGUAGGUAUUAGGCACGCGUUACUACUUACGGGACUCGAUUCUGAUUUACGAAGGUCGAGUUAUCAGCUCGUAGGCAAAACUGACCAAAAUUAGGCAAAAAGUCGAAAAAGAGUUCAAAACCCGCCUCAGCUGUUAUAAUGAGACAGAAACUCGUGCAUAGCACCGCAUAUGUAUUAGGCACGCGUUACAACUUAUGAAACUCAAUUCCGACUUACGGAGGCCGAGUUAUCAGCCCGUAGGCAAAACUGACCAACACUUAGUUAAAAUGUCAAAAAAGAGGCCACAAACCGCCUCAGCCAUCGUAACGAUACGCAAAGAAAUACAUAGCACCGCGUAGGUAUUAGGUAUUCAUUACAACUUACGGGACUUGAUUUCGACAUACGGAGGCCGAGUUAUCAGCCCGUAGGCAAAACUGACCAACACUUAGGCAAAAAGUCCAAAAAGAGGCCAAAAACCACCUCGGCCGUCAUAACAACACGCAAAGACAUACAUAGCACUGCAUGGGUAUUAGUCACGCGUUAUAACUUACGGGACUCAAUUAUGACUUACGGAGGCCGAGUUAUCAGCCCGUAAGUAAAACUGAACACCAUUUAGGUAAAAAGUCAAAAAAGAGGCCAAAACAUGCCUCGGUCGUCGUAAUGACACGCAAAGACAUACAUAGCACUGCAUGGGUAUUAGUCACGCGUUAUAACUUACGGGACUCAAUUCUGACUUACGGAGGCCGAGUUAUCAACCCGUAAGCAAAACUAAACAACAAUUAGGUAAAAAGUCGAAAAAGAGGGCAAAACAUGACUCGGUCGUCGUAACAACAUAAAAACACAUACAUAGUACCGCGUAUGUAUUAGGCAUACGUUACAACUUAUAGGACUCGAUUCUGAAAUACGUAGACCGAGUUAUUAUACCGUAUGCAAAAUUGACCAACACUUAGGUAAAAAGUUAAAAAAGAGGCCAAAACCCGCAUCGACCAUUGUAGGUAUUAGGCACGCGUUACAACUUACAGGACUCAAUUCUGAUUUACGGAGGCCGAGUUAUCAGCCCGUAGACAAAACUGACCAACACUAAGGCACCGCGUAGGUAUUAGGCACGCGUUACAACUUACGGAACUCGAUUCCGAUUUACGGAGGCCGCGUUAUCAGAUCGUAGGCAAAACUAAUUAACACUUAGGUAAAAAGUUAAAAAAAUAGCCAAAACCCACUUCGGACAUCGUAACGAUACGCAAACACAUACAUAGCACCGCAUAGGUAUUAGGCAUGCGUUACAACUUAUGGGACUCGAUUCCGAUAUACGGAGGCCGAGUUAUCAGCCCGUAGUCAAAACUGACCAACACUAAGGCAAAAAGUCAAAAAAGAGGCCAAAACUCACCUCGGACAUCGUAACGACACCCGAACACAUACAUAGCAUAAUUCCAAUGGCUUUGGCUACUAUAACCUUCCCGACCGCUAUUUUUUCUUUUUUCUAGACAUUUCGCUUCAAAAUAAGAAAUUGUAUUCUACUGAGUAUCAAAAUAUAGUAACUAAAAAAUAAAAUAUAAAUGGAUAAAUAAACAAAUAGCGGCUUACAUCGUUUCUAUGAUUACUUUCUAAUGAUGAAGAAGUAUGGACGCAUUCGCUCAUAGAAAACGGUAUCAACCUCCCCAUUGCGUAUUGGUACUUAUCGAGUAUAGAAUAAAUCUGCUUCUCUUUGUUCCUACGAACGGAAUCGUUCCAUUAUUACCAACAGAAUAGAACAAAUAUUAACCCUUGCUCUGAAACAAUCCCCUGAACAGGGGAACAUAGUCAUAGUCAUAGUAUAGUCUUUUCCAAUGCAAUAAAGUUACGUAGUGUCUUGUAGGUAUUAGGCACGCAUUACAACUUACGGGAAAACUGAACAACACUUAGGCAAAAAGUUAAAAAAGAGGCCAAAACCCACCGCGGCCGUUGUAACAACACGUAAACACAUACAUAGGACCGCGUAGGUACUAGGCACACGUUACAACUUACGGGACUAAUUUCUGACUUACGGAGGUCGAGUUAUCAGUCCGUAGGCAAAACUCGCCAACACUUAGGCAAAAAGUCAAAAAAGAGGCCAAAACUCGUCUCGACCAUCGUAACAACACGCAAACACAUACAUAGCACAAUGUAGAUAUUAGGCACGCGUUACAAUAUAUGUUACUCGAUUCCGACUUACGGAGGCCGAGUUAUUAGCCCGUAGGCAAAACUGACCAACACUUAGGUAAAAAGUUAAAAAAGAGGCCAAAACCCGCCUCGGCCGUUGUAACGACAUGAAAACACAUGCAUAGUACCGCAUAGGUAUUAGGCAGAUGUUAAAACUUAUGGGACUCGAUUCCAACUUACGUAGGCCGAGUUAAUAGUCCGUAGGCAAAACUGACCAACACUUAGGUAAAAAAUCAAAAAAGAGGCUAAAACCCGCAUCGACCGUCGUAAAGUCACGCAAAAUCGUACAUAGUACCGUGUAGGUAUUAGGCAUGCGUUACAACGUACAGAACUCGAUUCUGACUUACGGAGGCCGAGUUAUCAGCCCGUAGGCAAAACUGACCAACACUUAGGUAAAAAGUCAAAAAAGAGGCCAAAACCCGCCUCAGCCAUCGUAAUGAUACGCAAACACAUGCAUAGCACCGCGUAGGUAUUAGGAAUGCAUUACAACUUACGGGACUCAAUUUCGACAUACGGAGGCCGAGUUAUCAGCUAGUACGCAAAACUGACUAACACUUAGGUAAAAAGUCGAAAAAGAUGCCAAAACCCACCUCGGCCGUCGUAACAACACGCAAAUACAUACAUAGCACUGCAUGGGCAUUAGGCACGCGUUAUAACUUACGGGACUCAAUUCUGACUUACGGAGGCCGAGUUAUCAGCCCGUAGGCAAAACUGACCAACACUUAGGUAAAAAGUCAAAAAAGAGGCCAAAACCCGCCUCAGCCAUCGUAAUGAUACGCAAACACAUGCAUAGCACCGCGUAGGUAUUAGGAAUGCAUUACAACUUACGGGACUCAAUUUCGACAUACGGAGGCCGAGUUAUCAGCUAGUACGCAAAACUGACUAACACUUAGGUAAAAAGUCGAAAAAGAUGCCAAAACCCACCUCGGCCGUCGUAACAACACGCAAAUACAUACAUAGCACUGCAUGGGUAUGAGGCACGCGUUAUAAAUUACGUGACUCAAUUCUGACUUACGGAGACCUAGUUAUCAGUCCGUAAGCAAAACUGAACAACAUUUAGGUAAAAAGUCAAAAAAGAGGUCAAAACCCGCCUCGGCCGUCAUAACAACUCGCAAACACAUACAUAGCACCGCAUAGGUAUUAGGCAUACGUUACAACUUACGGGACUCAAUUCUGACUUACGGAGGCCGAGUUAUCAGCCCGUAGGCAAAACUGACCAACAUAUAGGUCAAAAGUCAAAAAAGAGGCCAAAACCCGCCUCGGCCGUCGUAAUAACACGCAAACACGUGCAUAGUACCGCGUAGGUAUUUGGCACGCAUUACAACUUACGGGACUCGAUUCCAACUUACGGAGGCCGAGUUAUCAGCCCGUAGCCAAAACUGACCAACACUUAGGUAAAAAGUCGAAAAAGAGGCCAAAACCCGCCUCGGCCGUCGUAACAACACGCAAACACAUAUAUAGCACCGCGUAGGUAUUAGGCGUGUGUUACAACUUUCGGGACCCGAUUCAGACUUACGGAAGCCGAGUUAUCAGCCCGUAGGCAAAACUGACCAACACUUAGGUAAAAAGUUAAAAAAGAGGCCAAAACUCGCCUCGGCCGUUGUAACGACACGAAAACACAUGCAUAGUACCGCGUAGGUAUUAGGCAUGCAUUAAAACUUACGGGAUUCGAUUCCAAAUUACGGAAGCCGAGUUAUCAGCCCGUAAGCAAAACUGACCAACACUUAGGUAAAAAGUCAAAAAAAGAGGCCAAAACCCGCCUCGGCCGUCGUAACGACACGCAAACACGCACAUAUCACCGUUUAGGUAUUAGGCACGCGUUACUACUUACGGGACUCGAUUCUGAUUUACUGAGACCGAGUUAUCAACUCGUACGCAAAACUGACCAACACUUAGGUAAAAAGUCAAAAAAAGUGGCCAAAACCCGCCUCGGUCGUCGUAACGACACGCAAACACGGACAUAUCACCGUUUAGGUAUUAGGCACGCGUUACUACUUACGGGACUCGAUUCUGAUUUAUUGAGACCGAGUUAUCAGCUCGUAGGCAAAACUGACCAACACUUAGGUAAAAAGUCAAAAAAGAGACCAAAACCCGCCUCAGCCAUCGUAACGAUACGUAAACACAUACAUAGCACCGCGUAGGUAUUAUGCAUACAUUACAACUUACGGUACCCAAUUUCGACAUACGGAGGCCGUUAUCAGCCUGUAGGAAAAACUGACCAACACUUAGGCAAAAAGUCAAAAAAGAGGCCAAAACUCACCUCGGCCGUUGUAACAACAUUCAAAUACAUACAUAGCACUGCAUUGGUAUUAGGCAUGCGCUAUAACUUACGGGACUCAAUUCUGACUUACGGAAGCUGAGUUAUCAGCCUGUAAGAAAACUGAACAACAUUUAGGUAAAAAGUCAAAAAAGAGGCCAAAACCCGCCUCGACUGUCGUAACGACACGCAAACACAUACAUAGCACCGCGUAGGUAUUAGACACUCGUUACAACUUACGGGACUCGAUUCUGACUUACGGAGGCCGAGUUAUCAGCCCGUAGGCAAAACUGACCAACACUUGAGCAAAAUGUCGAAAAAAAGGCCAAAACACGCCUCGACCGUCGUAACAACACGCACACACAUACAUAGCACGGCAUCGGUAUUAGGCACGUGUUAUAACUUACGGGACUCAAUUCUAACUUACGGAGGCCAAGUUAUCAGCUCGUAGGUAAAACUGACCAACACUUAGGCAAGAAGUCAAAAAAGAGGCCAAAACCCACCUCGGCAGUCGUAAAGACACACAAACAUGAACAUAGCACCGUGUAGGUAUUUGGCACAUGUUAGAACUUACAUGACUCGAUUCCGACUUACAGAGGCCGAGUUAUCAGCCCGUAGGCAAAACUGACCAACACUUGAGCAAAAUGUCGAAAAAAAGGCCAAAACCCGCCUCGGCCGUCGUAACAACAAGCAAACACGAGCAUAGUACCGCGUAGGUAUUAGGCACGCGUUACAACUUACGGGACUCGAUUCCGACAUACGGAGGCCGAGUUAUCAGCCCGUAGGCAAAACUGAACAACACUUAGGCAAAAAGUCAAAAAAGAGGCCAAAACAUGCCUCGACCGUCGUAACGACACGCAAACACAUGCAUAUCACCGUGCAUGUAUUAGGCAUGUGCUACAACUUACGGGACUCGAUUCCGACAUAUGUAGGACAAGUUGUCAGCCCGUAGGCAAAAUUGUCCAACACUUAGGUAAAAAGUUAAAAAAAAGGCCAAAACACGCCUCGGCCAUUGUAAUGACAUGCAAACACAUGCAUAGCACCGCGUAGGUAUUAAGUACGUAUUAUAACUCCUGACUCAAUUUUGACUUACGGAGGCCGAGUUAUCAGUUCGUAGGCAAAACUGACCAACACUUAGGGAAAAAUUCAAAAAAGAAGCCAAAACCCACCUCGGUCGUCGUAAAAACACGCAAAGACAUAGCACCGCGUAGGUAUUAGGCACGCGUUACAGCUUACGGGAUUUGAUUCCGAUUUACGGAGGUCGAGUUAUCAGCCCGUAGGCAAAACUAACUAACACUUAGGUAAAAAGUCAAAAAAGAAGCCAAAAUUCACCUCGGCCAUCGUAAUGUUACGAAAACACAUACAUAGCACCACUUAGGUAUUAGGCACGCGUUAUAGCUUACGGGACUCGAUUCCGACAUACAGAGGCCGAGUUAUCAGCCCGUAGGCAAAACUGACCAACACUUAGGUAAAAAGUUAAAAAAGAUGCCAAAACCCGCCUCGGCUAUCGUAACGACACGCAAACACAUACACAGUAUCGCGUAGGUAUUAGGCACACGUUAAAACUUACGGGACUCGAUUCCAACUUACGUAGGCCCAGUUAAUAGCCCGUAGGCAAAACUAACCAACACUUAGGUAAAAAAUCGAAAAAGAGGCCAAAACUCGCCUCAACCAUCGUAUUAGGCAUGCGUUAAAACUUACGGGACUCAAUUCUGACAUACGUAGACCGAAUUAUAAGCCCGUAUGCAAAAUUGACCAACACUUAGGUAAAAAGUUAAAAAAGAGGCCAAAACCCGCAUCGACCAUUUUAACGACACGCAAAUAUAUGCAUAGAACAGUGUAGGUAUUAGGCACGCGUUACAAUUUACGGGACUCAAUUCCGACUUACGGAGGCCGAGUUAUCAGCCCGUAGGCAAAACUGACCAAUAUUUGGGGAAAAAGUCAAAAACGAGGCCAAAACCCACCUCAGCCGUUGUAACAAUACGGAAACACGUACAUAGCACCGUGUAGGUAUUAGGCACACGUUACAGCUUACGGGACUCGAUUCUGAUUUACGGAGGCCGAGUUAUCAGCCCGUAGGCAAAAUUAACUAACACUUAGGUAAAAAGACAAAAAAGAAGCCAAAACCCGCCUCGGCCAUCGUAAUGAUACGGAAACACAUAAAUAGUACCGCGUAGGUAUUAGGCAUACGUUACAACUUACGGGACUCGAUUCCGACAUAUGGAGGCCGAGUUAUCAGCCCGUAGACAAAACUGACCAACACUUAGGCAAAAAGUCGAAAAAGAGGCCAAAACUCGCCUCGGCCAUCGUAACAACACGCAAACACAUACAUAGCAUCGUGUAGGUAUUAGGCACACAUUAAAACUUACAGGACUCGAUUCCGACAGACGGAGGCCGAGUUAUCAGCUCGUAGGUAAAACAGACCAACACUUAGGCAAAAAGUAGAAAAAGAGGCCAAAAUCCACCUCGGCCGUUGUAACGAUACAAAUACUAAUACAUAGCACGGCGUAGGUAUUAGGCACGCGUUACAACUUAAGGGACUUGAUUCCGACUUACGGAGGCCGAGUUAUCAGCCCGUAAGCAAAACUAACUAACACGUAAGUAAAAAGUCAAAAAAGAAGCCAAAAUCCGCCUCGGCCAUCGUAAUGAUACGCAAAAACAUACAUAGCACCGCGUAGGUAUUAGGCAUACAUUACAAUGUAUGGGACUCUAUUCCAACAUAUGGAGGCCGAAGUACCAGCCCGUAGGCAAAACUCGACAACACUUAGGCACAAAGUCGAAAAAGAGGCCAAAACCCGCCUCGACCAUCGUAACAACACGCACACACAUACAUAGCACAACAUCGGUAUUAGGUAUGUGUUAUAACUUACAGGACUCAAUUCUAACUUACGAAGGCCAAGUUAUCAGCCCGUAGGUAAAACUGACCAACACUUAGGCAAGAAGUCAAAAAAGAGGCAAAACCCCGCUUCGGCAGUCGUAAAGACACACAAACAUGAACAUAGCACUGUGUAGGUAUUAGGCACGUGUUAGAACUUACAUGACUCGAUUCCGACUUAAAGAGGCCGAGUUAUCAGCCCAUAGGCAAAACUGACCAACACUUGAGCAAAAUGUCGAAAAAAGGCCAAAACCCACCUCGGCCGUCGUAACAACAAGCAAACACGUGCAUAGUACCGCGUAGGUAUUAGGCACGCGUUACAACUUACGGGACUCGAUUCCGACAUACGGAGGCCAAGUUAUCAGCCCGUAGGCAAAACUGAACAACACUUAGGCAAAAAGUCAAAAAAGAGGCCAAAACAUGCCUCGACCGUCAUAACGAUACGCAAACUCAUGCAUAGCACCGUGCAUGUAUUAGGCAUGUGCUACAACUUACGGAACUCGAUUCCGACAUACGUAGGACAUGUUGUCAGCCCGUAGGCAAAAUUGACCAACACUUAGGUAAAAAGUUAAAAAAAAGGCCAAAACACGCCUCGGCCAUUGUAAUGUUACGAAACACAUACAUAGCACCGCGUAGGUAUUAGGCAUGCGUAACAACCUACGGGACUCGAUUCCGACAUACGGAGGCCGAGUUAUCAGCCCAUAUGCAAAACUGACAAACACUUAGGCAAAAAGUCGAAAAAAGGCCAAAACUCGCCUCGGCCAUCGUAACGACAUGCAAACACAUACAUAGUAUCGUGUAGGUAUUAGUCACACGUUAAAACUUACUGGACUCGAUUCCAACUUACGGAUGCCGAGUUAUCAGCCCGUAAACAAAACUAACCAACAAUUACGUAAAAAGUCAAAAAAGAGGCCAAAAUCCGCCUCGAUCGUCGUAACGACACGCAAACACGUACAUAUCAUCGUGUAGGUAUUAGGCACGCGUUACUACUUACGGGACUCAAUUCUAAUUUACCGAGGCCGAGUUAUAAUCCCGUAGGCAAAAUUGACCAACACUUAGGCAAAAAGUCGAAAAAGAGGCCAAAACCCGCCUCGACUGUUGUAAUGAGACGAAAACUCGUACAUAGAACCGCAUAGGUUUUAGGCACGUGUUACAACUUACGGAACUUGAUUCUGACUUAUGGAGGCCGAGUUAUCAGCCCGUAGGCAAAGCUGACCAACACUUAGGUAAAAAGUCUAAAAAGAGGCCAAAACCCGCCUCAGCCAUCAUAAUGAUACGCAAACACAUACAUAACACCACGUAGGUAUUAGGCAUACAUUACAACUUACGGGACUCGAUUUCGACAUACGGAGGCCGAGUUAUCAGCCCAUAGGCAAAACUGACCAACACUUAGGCAAAAAGUCGAAAAAAAGGCCAAAACCAACCUCAGCCGUCGUAAAAACACGCAAAGACAUACAUAGCACUGCAUGGGUAUUAGACACGCGUUAUAACUUACGGGACUCAAUUCUGACUUACGGAGGCCGAGUUAUCAGCCCGUAAGAAAAACUGAACAACAUUUAGGUAAAAAGUCAAAAAAGAGGCCAAAACAUGCCUCGACCGUCGUAACGACAUAAAAACACAUACAUAGUACUGCGUAUGUAUUAGGCAUGUGUUAUAACUUACGGGACUAGAUUCUGACAUACGUAGACUGAGUUAUUAGCCUGUAUUCAAAAUUGACCAACACUUAGGUAAAAAGUUAAAAAAGAGGCCAAAACUCGCAUCGGCCAUUGUAACGACACGCAAAUACAUGCAUAGCAUCGCGUAAGUAUUAGGCACGCAUUACAACUUACGGGACUCAAUUUCGACUUACGGAGGCGAGUUAUCAGCCCAUAGGCAAAACUGACCAAUAUUUGGGAAAAAAGUCAAAAAAAGGCCAAAAUCCACCUCGGCCGUUGUAAUGAUACGGAAACUCGUAUAACUUACGGGACUCGAUUUCGACAUACAGAGGCUGAGUUAUCAGCCCGUAGGCAAAAGUGACAAACACUUAGGCAAAAAGUCGAAAAAGAGGCCAAAACUCGCCUCGACCAUCGUAACGACAAGCAAACACAUACAUAUCAUCACGUAGGUAUUAGCACGCAUUACAACUUACGGGACUCGAUUCCGACAGACGGAGGCCGAGUUAUCAGCUCGUAUGAAAAAUUGACCAAUACUUAGGCAAAAAGUAGAAAAAGAGGCCAAAAUCCGCCUCAGCCAUUGUAACGAUACAGAAACUCAUACAUAGCACCGCGUAGGUAUUAGGCACGCGUUACAACUUACGGGACUCGAUUUCGACUUACGCAGGCCGAGUUAUCAGCCUGUAGGAAAAACUAACACUUAGGCAAAAAGUCAAAAAAGAAGCCGAAACCCGCCUCGGCCAUCGUAAUGAUACGUAAACACAUAGAUUGCACCGCGGAGCUAUUAGACAUACGUUACAACUUAUGGGACUCGAUUACGACAUACGGAGGCCGAGUUAUCAGCCCGUAGGUAAAACUGACCAACACAUAGGCAAAAAGUCAAAAAAGAGGCCAAAACUUGCCUCGCCCAUCGUAACGACACAUAAACACAUACAUAGCAUCGCGUAGGUAUUAGGCACGCAUUACAACUUAUGGGACUCGAUUCCGACAGACGGAGACCGAGUUAUCAGCCCGUAGGCAAAACUGACCAACACUUAAGCAAAAAGUCAAAAAAGAAGCCAAAACUCUCCUCGGCUGUUGUAACGACACACAAACACAUACAUAGAAACGCGUAGGUAUUAGGCAUGUGAUACAACUUACGGGGCUCGAUUCCGACUUACGGAGGUCGAGUUAUCAGCCUGUAGGCAAAACUGACCAACACUUAGGCAAAAAGUCGAAAAAGAUGCCAAAAACUCAUCUCGGUCGUCAUAAUAAGACGCAAACUAAUACAUAGCACCGCGUUGGAAUUAGGCACACGUUACAACUUAUAAGACUCGAUUCUGAGUUACGGAGGCCGAGUUAUUAGCCCAUUGGCAAAACUGACCAACACUUAGGCAAAAAGUCAAAUAAGCCAAAAUUAGCCUCGGUCGUCGUAAUAACACACAAACGUGUACAUAGCACCACGUAGGCAUUAGGCACGCGUUACAACUUACAGAACUUGAUUUGAACUUACGGAGGCCGAGUUAUCAGCCCGUAGGCAAAACUGACCAACACUUAGGCAAAAACUCUAAAAAGAGGCCAAAACCCGCCUUAGUCGUCAUAAUGACACGCAAACACGUAUAUAGCACCGUGAAGGUAUUAGGCACUUGUUACAACUUACAGAACUCGAUUCUGACUUAUGGAGGCUGAGUUAUCAGCCCGUAGGCAAAACUGACAAACACUUAGGCAAAAAGUCAAAAAAAAGGUCAAAACCCGCCUCAGCCAUCGUAAUGAUAUGCAAAUAUAUACAUAGCACCACGUAAGUAUUAGGCAUGCAUUACAACUUACGGGACUCGAUUUCGACAUACGGAGGCCGAGUUAUCAGGCCGUAGGUAAAACUGACCAACACUUAUGCAAAAAGUCGAAAAAGAGGCCAAAACCCACCUCGGCCGUCGUAACAACACGCAAAGACUUACAUAGCACUGCAUUGGUAUUAGGCACACGUUAUAACUUACGGGACUCAAUUUUGACUUACGGAGCCCGAGUUAUCAGCCCGUAAGCAAAACUGAACAACAUUUAGGUAAAAAGUCAAAAAAGAGGCCAAAACAUGUCUCGGCCGUCGUAACAACAUAAAAACACAUACAUAGUACUACGUAUGUAUAAGGCCUGCGUUACAACUUACGGGACUUGAUUCUGACAUACGUAGACCGAGUUAUUAGACCGUAUUUAAAAUUGACCAACACUUAGGUAAAAAGUUAAAGAAGAGGCCAAAACCCACAUCGGCCAUUGUAAUGACACGCAAAUACAUGCAUAGCACCGCGUAGGUAUUAGGCACGCGUUACAACUUACGGGACUCAAUUCUGACUUACGGAGGCUGAGUUAUCAGCUCGUAGGUAAAACUGACCAACAUUUGGGGAAAAAGUCGAAAAAGAGGCCAAAACCCAACUCGGCCAUUGUAAUGAUACGAAAACUCGUACAUAGCAUCGCGUAGGUAUUAGGCACGCAUUACAGUUUACGGGACUCGAUUCCGAUUUACGGAGGCCGAGUUAUCAGCCCAUAGGCAAAACUAACUAACACUUAGGUAAAAAGUCAAAAAAGAAGCCAAAACCCGCCUUGCCCAUCGUAAUGAUACGCAAAAACAUACACAGCAUUGCGUAGGUAUUAUGCAUGCGUUAUAACUUACGGCACUCGAUUCCCACAUACAGAGGCCGAGUUAUCAGCCCGUAGGCAAAACUAACUAACACUUAGGUAAAAAGUCAAAAAAGAAGCCAAAACCCGCCUCGACGAUCAUAAUGAUACGCAAAAACAUACACAACACCGUGUAGGUAUUAGGCAUGCGUUACAACUUACGGGAUUUGAUUCCCACAUACGGAGGCCGACUUAUCAGCCCGUAGGCAAAACUGACCAACACUUAGGCAAAAAGUCAAAAAAGAGGCAAAAACUUGCCUCGGCCAUCGUAACGACACGCAAAUAUAUACAUAGCAUCGCGUAGGUAUUAGGCACGCUUUAAAACUUACGGGACUCGAUUCCAACUUACAGAGACCGAGUUAUCAGCCCGUAGACAAAACUGACCAACACUUGGGCAAAAAGUCAAAAAAGAGGCCAAAACCCGCCUCGGUCGUCGUAACGACACGCAAACAUUUACAUAUCACUGUGUAGGUAUUAGGCACACGUUACUACUUAUGGGACUAGAUUUUGAUUUAUCGAGGCCGAGUUAUAAGCCCGUAGGCAAAACUGACCAACACUUAGGCAAAAAGUUAAAAAAGAGGCCAAAACUCGCCUCAGCCGUUGUAAUGAGACGGAAACUCGUACAUAGCACCGCAUAGGUUUUAGGCACACAUUACAACUUACGAAACUCGAUUCCAACUUAUAGAGGUCGAGUUAUCAGCCUGUAGACAAAACUGACCAACACUUAGGUAAAAAGUCAAAAAGGAGGCCAAAACCCGCCUCAGCCAUCGUAACGAUACGCAAACACAUACAUAGAACCGCGUAGGUAUUAGGCAUACAUUAAAACUUACAGGACUCGAUUUUGAUAUACGGAGGCCGAGUUAUCAGCCCGUAGGCAAAAAUGACCAACACUUAGGCAAAGAGUCGAAAAAGAGGCCAAAACCAACCUCGUCUAUCGUAACAACACGCAAAUACAUACAUAGCACUACAUGGGUAUUAGGCACGUGUUAUAACUUACGGGACUCAAUUCUGACUUACGGAGGCCGAGUUAUCAGCCCGUAAGCAAAACUGAACAACAUUUAGGUAAAAAGUCAAAAAAGAGGCCAAAACAUGCCUUGACCGUCGUAACGACAUAAAAACACAUACAUAGUACUGCGUAUGUAUUAGGCAUGUGUUACAACUUACGGGACUAGAUUCUGACAUACGUAGACCGAGUUAUUAGCCCGUAUGCAAAAUUGACCAACACUUAGGUAAAAAGUUAAAGAAGAGGCCAAAACCCACAUCGGCCAUUGUAACGACACACAAAUACAUGCAUAGCACCGCCUAGGUAUUAGGCACGCGUUACAACUUACGGGACUCAAUUCCGACUUACGGAGGCCGAGUUAUCAGCCCGUAGGUAAAACUGACCAACAUUUGGGGAAAAAGUCGAAAAAGAGGCCACCUCGGCCGUUGUAAUGAUACAAAAACUCGUACAAUGCACCGCGUAGGUAUUAGGCAUGCGUUACAGCUUACGGGACUCGAUUCUGAUUUACGAAGGCCGAGUUAUCAGCCCGUAGGCAAAACUAACUAACACUUAGGUAAAAAGUCAAAAAAGAAGCCAAAACCUGCCUCGACCAUCGUAAUGAUACGCAAACACAUACACAGCACCGCGUAGGUAUUAGGCAUGCAUUGCAAUUUAUGGCACUCGAUUCUUAAUACGGAGGCCGAGUUAUCAGCCCGUAGGCAAAACUGACCAACACUUAGGCAAAAAGUCGAAAAAGAGGCCAAAACCCGCCUCGGUCGUCGUAACGACACGCAAACACGUACAUAUCACUAUGUAGGUAUUAGGCAGCCGUUACUACUUAUGAUAGUCGAUUCUGAUUUACCGAGGCCGAGUUAUAAGCCCGUAGGCAAAACUGACCAACACUUAGGCAAAAAGUCGAAAAAGAGGCCAAAACCCGCCUUAGCCGUUGUAAUGAGACGAAAACUCGUACAUAGCAUCGCGUAGGUAUUAGUCACGCGUUACAACUUACGAAACUCGAUUCCGACUUACGGAGGUCGAGUUAUCAGCCUGUAGGCAAAACUGACAAACACUUAUGUAAAAAGUCAAAAAAGAGGCCAAAACCCGCCUCAGCCAUCGUAACGAUACGCAAAGAUAUACAUAGAACCGCGUAGGUAUUAGGCAUACAUUACAACCUAUGGGACUCUAUUCGACAUACGGAGGCCGAGGUAUCAGCCCGUAGGCAAAACUGACCAACACUUAGGCAAAAAGUCAAAAAAGAGGCCAAAACCAACCUCAUCCGUCGUAACAACACGCAAAUACAUACAUAACACUGCAUGGGUAAUAGGCACACGUUAUAACUUACGGGACUCAAUUCUGACUUACGGAGGCCGAGUUAUCAGCCCGUAAGCAAAACUGAACAACAUUUAGGUAAAAAGUCAAAAAAGAGACGAACACAUGCCUCGACCGUCGUAACGACAUAAAAACACAUACAUAGUACUGCGUAUGUAUAAGGCCUACGUUACAACCUACGGGACUCGAUUCUGACAUACGUAGACCGAGUUAUUAGCCCGUAUACAAAAUUGACCAACACUUAGAUAAAAAGUUAAAAAAGAGGCCAAAACCCGCAUCAGCCAUUGUAACGACACGCAAAUACGUGCAUAGCAUCGCGUAGGUAUUAGGCACGCAUUACAACUUAAGGGACUUGAUUCUAACUUACAGAGGUCGAGUUAUCAGCCCGUAGGCAAAACUGACCAACACUUAGGCAAAAAGUCAAAAAAGAGGCUAAAACUCGCCUCAGCCGUCGUAACGACACGCAAACACGUACAUAGUACCGUGUAGGUAUUAGGCAUGAAUUACAACUUACGGGACUCGAUUCUAACUUGCAGAGGUCGAGUUAUCAGCCCGUAGGCAAAACGGACCAAUACUUAGGCAAAAAGUCGAAAAAGAGGCCGAAACAUGCCUCGGCCGUCGUAAUGACACGCAAAAAUAUACAUAGCACCGCGUAGGUAUUCGUUACAACUUACGGGACUAGAUUUCGACUUACGGAGGCCGAUUUAUCAGCCUGUUUGCCAAACUGACUAACAUUUAGGCAAAAAGUCAAAAAAGAGGCCAAAACCCGUCUCGGUCGUCAUAACAAAACAAAAACACGUACAUAACACCGCGUAGGUAUUAGGCACGUGUAACAACUUAAGGGAUUGGAUUCCGACUUACAGAGGCCGAGUUAUCAGCCUGUAGGCAAAACUGACCAAUACUUAGGCAAAAAGUCGAAAAAGAGGCCAAAACCCGCCUCAGACGUCGUAAAGACAUGCAAACACAGACAUAGUAUUGCGUAGGCAUUAGGCACGCGUUAAAACUUACGGGACUCGAUUUCAACUUACGGAGGCCGAGUUAUCAGCUCGUACGCAAAACUGACCAACACUUAGGCAAAAAGUCAAAAAAGAGGCAAAAACCCGCCUUAGCCGGCAUAACAACACGCAAACACAUACAUAACACCGCAUAGGUAUUAGGCACACGUUACAAAUUAAGGGACUCGAUUCUGACUUACGGAGGUCGACUUAUAAGGCCAUAGGCAAAACUCGCCAUCACUUAGAUAAAAUGUCGAAAAAGAGGCCAAAACCUGUCUUGACCGUCGUAACAACCCGCAGACAAAUACAUAGCACAGUGUAGGUAUUAGGCACGCGUUACAACUUAAGUGACUCGAUUCUAACUUACGGAGGCCGAGUUAUCAGCCCGUAGGCAAAACUGACCAACACUUAGGCAAAAAGUCAAAAAAGAGGCCAAAACCCGCCUCGGACGUCAUAAAGACAUGCAAACACAGACAUAGUAUUGCGUAGGCAUUAGGCAUGCGUUAAAACUUACGGGACUCGAUUUCAACUUACGGAGGCCGAGUUAUCAGCUCGUACGCAAAACUGACCAACACUUAGGCAAAAAGUCGAAAAAGAGGCCAAAACCCGCCUCAGCCGGUAUAACAACACGCAAACACAUACAUAACACCGCGUAGGUAUUAGGCACACGUUACAAAUUAAGGGACUCGAUUCUGACUUACGGAGGUCGACUUAUAAGGCCCUAGGCAAAACUCGCCAACACUUCGAUAAAAAGUCGAAAAAGAGGCCAAAACCUGCCUCGGCUAUCGUAACGAUAUACAAACACAUACAUAGCACCAUGUAGGUAUUAGGCACGCGUUACAACUUAUGGGACUCGAUUCUGACUUACGGAGGUCGAGUUAUCAGCCCGUAGGCAAAACUGAACAACACUUAGGCAAAAAGUCGAACAACAGGCCAAAACCAGCCUCGACCGUCGUAAUGAUAUGCAAACACGUGCAUAGUACUGCGUAGGUAUUAGGCACGCGUUACAACUUACGGGACUUGAUUCCAACUUACGCAGGCCGAGUUAUCAGCCCGUAGCCAAAAUUGACCAACACUUAGGCAAAAAGUCAAAAAAGAGGCCAAAACCCGUCUCGGCCGUCGUAAUAACAUGCAAACACAUAUAUAGCACCGCGUAGGUAUUAGGUGUGUGUUACAACUUACGGGACUCGAUUCAGACCUACGGAGGCCGAGUUAUCAGCCCCAUAGGCAAAACUGACCAACACUUAGGUAACAAAUUAAAAAUGAGGCCAAAACCCGCCUCGGCCGUUGUAACGACAUGAAAACACAUGCAUAGUACCGUGUAGGUAUUAGGCACGCGUUAAAACUUACGGAACUCGAUUCCAACUUACGGAGGCCGAGUUAUCAGCCCGUAGGCAAAACUGACCAACACUUAGGUAAAAAGUCAAAAAAAGGCCAAAACCCGCCUCGGCCAUCGUAACGUCACGCAAACACGUACAUAUCACCGUGUAGGUAUUAGGCACGCGUUACUACUUACUGGAAUCGAUUCUGAUUUACGGAGGCCGAGUUAUCAGCUCGUAGGCAAAAUUGACCAAUACUUAGGCAAAAAGUCAAAAAAGAGGCCUAAACCCGCCUCGGUCGUUGUAAAGAGACAGAAACUCGUACAUAGCACCGCGUAGGUAUUAGGCAUGCAUUACAGCUUACGAAACUCGAUUCUGACUUACGGAGGCCGAGUUAUCAACCCGUAGGCAAAACUGACCAAUAUUUAGGUAAAAAGUCAAAAAAGAGGACAAAACUCGCCUCAGCCAUCGUAACGAUACGCAAACACAUACAUAGCACCGCGUAGGUAUUAGGCAUGCAUUACAACUUACGGGACUCGAUUUCAACAUAUGGAGGCCGAGUUAUCAGCCCGUAGGCAAAACUGACCAACACUUAGGCAAAAAGUCGAAAAAGAGGCCAAAACCCACCUCGGCCGUAAUAACGACACGCAAACACGUACAUAGCACCGCGUAAGUAUUAGGCAUGCAUUACAACAUAUGGGACUCGAUUUCAUCUUAUAUAGGCCGAGUUAUCAGCCCGUAGGCAAAACUGACCAACACUUUGGCAAAAAGUCGAAAAAGAGUCCAAAAUCCGCCUCGGCCAUCGUAACAAUAUGCAAACUUGUAUAUAGCACAGCGUAGGUAUUAGGAACGCGUUACAAAUUACGGAAUUCGUUUCUGACAUACGGAGGCCAAGUUAUCAGCCCGUAGGCAAAAAUGACUAAUACUUAGGCAAAAAGUCAAAAAAGAGGCCAAAACCCAUCUCGGUCGUCAUAAUGACACACAAACACAUACAUAGCACUACGUAGGUAUUAGACACAUGUUACAACUUAUGGAACUCGAUUCUAACUUACGGAGGCCGAGUUACCAGCCCGUAGGCAAAACUGACCAACAAUUAUGCAAAAUGUCGAAAAAGAGGCCAAAACCCGCCUCGACCGUCGUAACAACACGCAAACACGUGCAUAGUACCACGUAGGUAUUCGGCACGCAUUACAAAUUACGGGACGCGAUUCCAACUUAUAGAGGUCGAGUUAUCAGCCCGUAGUCAAAACUGACUAACACUUAGGCAAAAAGUCGAAAAAGAGGCCAAAAUCCACCUCGACCGUCGUAACAACACGUAAACACAUACAUAGCACCGCGUAGGUACUAGGAACAUGUUACAACUUACGAGACUAAUUUCUGACUUACGGAGGCCGAGUUAUCAGUCCGUAGGCAAAACUCGCCAACACUUAGUCAAAAAGUCAAAAAAGAGGCCAAAACUCAUCUCGACCGUCAUAACAACACGCAAACACAUACAUAGCACAAUGUAGAUAUUAGGCACGCGUUACAAUAUAUGUUACUCGAUUCCGACUUACGGAGGCCGAGUUAUUAGCCCGUAGGGAAAACUGACCAACACUUAAGUAAAAAGUUAAAAAAGAGGCCAAAACCCGCCUCGGCCGUUGUAACGACACGAAAACACAUGCAUAGUACCGCAUAGGUAUUAGGCACACGUUAAAACUUACGGGACUCGAUUCGAACUUACGUAGGCCGAGUUAAUAGCCCGUAGGCAAAACUGACCAACACUUAGGUAAAAAAUCAAAAAAGAGGCUAAAACCCACCUCGGCCGUCGUAAUGUCACGCAAACUAGUACAUAGUACCGCGUAGGUAUUAGGCAUGCGUUACAACUUACGGAACUCAAUUCUGACUUACGGAGGCCGAGUUAUCAGCCCGUAGGCAAAACUGACCAACACUUAGGUAAAAAGUCGAAAAAGAGGACAAAACCCGCCUUAGCCAUCGUAACGAUACGCAAACACAUGCAUAGCACUGCGUAGGUAUUAGGCAUGCAUUACAACUUACGGGACUCAAUUUCGACAUACGGAGGCUGAGUUAUCAGCCCAUAGGCAAAACUGACCAACACUUAGGUAAAAAGUCGAAAAAGAUGCCAAAACCCACCUCGGCCAUCGUAACAACACGCAAAUACAUACAUAGCACUGCAUGGGUAUUAGACACGCGUUAUAAAUUACGGGACUCAAUUCUGACUUACGGAGGCCGAGUUAUCAGUCUGUAAGCAAAACUGAAUAACAUUUAGGUAAAAAGUCAAAAAAGUGGCCAAAACCCGCCUCGGCCGUCAUAACAACUCGCAAACACUUACAUAGCACCGCGUAGGUAUUAGGCACUCGUUACAACUUAUGGGACUCAAUUCCGACUUACGGAGGCUUAGUUAUCAGCCCGCAGGAAAAACUGACCAACAUAUAGGUUAAAAUUCAAAAAAGAGGCCAAAACCCGCCUCGGCCGUCGUAACAACACGCAAACACGUGCAUAGUACCGCGUAGGUAUUUGGCACGCAUUACAACUUACGGGACUCGAUUCCAACUUACGGAGGCCGAGUUAUCAGCCUGUAGCCAAAACUAACCAACACUUAGGCAAAAAGUCAAAAAAGAGGCCAAAACCCGCCUCGGCCGUCGUUAUAACACGCAAAUACAUAUAUAGCACCGCGUAGGUAUUAGGCGUGUGUAACAACUUAUGGGACCCGAUUCAGACUUACGGAGGCCGAGUUAUAAGCCCGUAGGCAAAACUGACCAACACUUAGGUAAAAAGUUAAAAAAGAGGCCAAAACCCGCCUCGGCCGUUGUAACGACACGAAAACACAUGCAUAGUACCGUGUAGGUAUUAGGCACGCGUUAAAACAUACGGGACUCGAUUCCAAAUUACGGAGGCCGAGUUAUCAGCCCGUAAGCAAAACUGACCAACACUUAGGUAAAAAGUUAAAAAAGAGGCCAAAACCCGCCUCGGCCGUUGUAACGACACGAAAACACAUGCAUAGUACCGUGUAGGUAUUAGGCACGCGUUAAAACAUACGGGACUCGAUUCCAAAUUACGGAGGCCGAGUUAUCAGCCCGUAAGCAAAACUGACCAACACUUAGGUAAAAAGUCAAAAAAAGAGGCCAAAACCCGCCUCGGCCGUCGUAACAACACGCAAACACGCACAUAUCACCGUUUAGGUAUUAGGCACGCGUUACUACUUUCGGGACUCUAUUCUGAUUUACUGAGACCGAGUUAUCAGCUCGUAGGCAAAACUGACCAACACUUAGGUAAAAAGUCAAAAAAGAGGCCAAAACCCGCCUCAACCAUCGUAACGAUACGUAAUCACAUACAUAGCACCGCGUAGGUAUUAUGCAUGCAUUACAACUUAUGAUACCCGAUUUCGACAUACGGAGGCCGUUAUCAGCCCGUAGGCAAAACUGACCAACACUUAGGCAAAAAGUCAAAAAAUAGGUCAAAACCCACCUCGGCCGUCGUAACAACACUCAAAUACAUACAUAGCACUGCAUGGGUAUUAGGCAUGCACUAUAACUUACGGGACUCAAUUCUGACUUACGGAGGCUGAGUUAUCAGCCCGUAACAAAACUGAACAACAUUUAGGUAAAAAGUCAAAAAAGAGGCCAAAACCCGCCUCGACUGUCGUAACGACACGCAAACACAUACAUAGCACCGCGUAGGUAUUAGACACUCAUUACAACUUACGAGACUCAAUUCUGACUUACGGAGGCCGAGUUAUCAGCCCGUAGGCAAAACUCGACAACACUUAGGCAGAAAGUCGAAAAAAAGGCCAAAACCCACCUCAACCGUCGUAACAACACGCACACACAUACAUAGCACAACAUCGGGAUUAGGCACAUGUUAUAACUUACGGGACUCAAUUCUAACUUACGGAGGCCAAGUUAUCAGCCCGUAAGUAAAACUGACCAACACUUAGGCAAACGGGACUCGAUUCCGAUUUACGGAGGCCAAGUUAUCAGCCCGUAGGCAAAACUGACCAACCCUUAGGCAAACGGGACUCGAUUCCGAUUUACGGAGGCCAAGUUAUCAGCCCGUAGGCAAAACUGACCAACCCUUAGGCAAACGGGACUCGAUUCCGAUUUACGGAGGCCAAGUUAUCAGCCCGUAGGCAAAACUGACCAACCCUUAGGCAAACGGGACUCGAUUCCGAUUUACGGAGGCCAAGUUAUCAGCCCGUAGGCAAAACUGACCAACCCUUAGGCAAACGGGACUCGAUUCCGAUUUACGGAGGCCAAGUUAUCAGCCCGUAGGCAAAACUGACCAACCCUUAGGCAAACGGGACUCGAUUCCGAUUUACGGAGGCCAAGUUAUCAGCCCGUAGGCAAAACUGACCAACCCUUAGGCAAACGGGACUCGAUUCCGAUUUACGGAGGCCAAGUUAUCAGCCCGUAGGCAAAACUGACCAACCCUUAGGCAAACGGGACUCGAUUCCGAUUUACGGAGGCCAAGUUAUCAGCCCGUAGGCAAAACUGACCAACCCUUAGGCAAACGGGACUCGAUUCCGAUUUACGGAGGCCAAGUUAUCAGCCCGUAGGCAAAACUGACCAACCCUUAGGCAAACGGGACUCGAUUCCGAUUUACGGAGGCCAAGUUAUCAGCCCGUAGGCAAAACUGACCAACCCUUAGGCAAACGGGACUCGAUUCCGAUUUACGGAGGCCAAGUUAUCAGCCCGUAGGCAAAACUGACCAACCCUUAGGCAAACGGGACUCGAUUCCGAUUUACGGAGGCCAAGUUAUCAGCCCGUAGGCAAAACUGACCAACCCUUAGGCAAACGGGACUCGAUUCCGAUUUACGGAGGCCAAGUUAUCAGCCCGUAGGCAAAACUGACCAACCCUUAGGCAAACGGGACUCGAUUCCGAUUUACGGAGGCCAAGUUAUCAGCCCGUAGGCAAAACUGACCAACCCUUAGGCAAACGGGACUCGAUUCCGAUUUACGGAGGCCAAGUUAUCAGCCCGUAGGCAAAACUGACCAACCCUUAGGCAAACGGGACUCGAUUCCGAUUUACGGAGGCCAAGUUAUCAGCCCGUAGGCAAAACUGACCAACCCUUAGGCAAACGGGACUCGAUUCCGAUUUACGGAGGCCAAGUUAUCAGCCCGUAGGCAAAACUGACCAACCCUUAGGCAAACGGGACUCGAUUCCGAUUUACGGAGGCCAAGUUAUCAGCCCGUAGGCAAAACUGACCAACCCUUAGGCAAACGGGACUCGAUUCCGAUUUACGGAGGCCAAGUUAUCAGCCCGUAGGCAAAACUGACCAACCCUUAGGCAAACGGGACUCGAUUCCGAUUUACGGAGGCCAAGUUAUCAGCCCGUAGGCAAAACUGACCAACCCUUAGGCAAACGGGACUCGAUUCCGAUUUACGGAGGCCAAGUUAUCAGCCCGUAGGCAAAACUGACCAACCCUUAGGCAAACGGGACUCGAUUCCGAUUUACGGAGGCCAAGUUAUCAGCCCGUAGGCAAAACUGACCAACCCUUAGGCAAACGGGACUCGAUUCCGAUUUACGGAGGCCAAGUUAUCAGCCCGUAGGCAAAACUGACCAACCCUUAGGCAAACGGGACUCGAUUCCGAUUUACGGAGGCCAAGUUAUCAGCCCGUAGGCAAAACUGACCAACCCUUAGGCAAACGGGACUCGAUUCCGAUUUACGGAGGCCAAGUUAUCAGCCCGUAGGCAAAACUGACCAACCCUUAGGCAAACGGGACUCGAUUCCGAUUUACGGAGGCCAAGUUAUCAGCCCGUAGGCAAAACUGACCAACCCUUAGGCAAACGGGACUCGAUUCCGAUUUACGGAGGCCAAGUUAUCAGCCCGUAGGCAAAACUGACCAACCCUUAGGCAAACGGGACUCGAUUCCGAUUUACGGAGGCCAAGUUAUCAGCCCGUAGGCAAAACUGACCAACCCUUAGGCAAACGGGACUCGAUUCCGAUUUACGGAGGCCAAGUUAUCAGCCCGUAGGCAAAACUGACCAACCCUUAGGCAAACGGGACUCGAUUCCGAUUUACGGAGGCCAAGUUAUCAGCCCGUAGGCAAAACUGACCAACCCUUAGGCAAACGGGACUCGAUUCCGAUUUACGGAGGCCAAGUUAUCAGCCCGUAGGCAAAACUGACCAACCCUUAGGCAAACGGGACUCGAUUCCGAUUUACGGAGGCCAAGUUAUCAGCCCGUAGGCAAAACUGACCAACCCUUAGGCAAACGGGACUCGAUUCCGAUUUACGGAGGCCAAGUUAUCAGCCCGUAGGCAAAACUGACCAACCCUUAGGCAAACGGGACUCGAUUCCGAUUUACGGAGGCCAAGUUAUCAGCCCGUAGGCAAAACUGACCAACCCUUAGGCAAACGGGACUCGAUUCCGAUUUACGGAGGCCAAGUUAUCAGCCCGUAGGCAAAACUGACCAACCCUUAGGCAAACGGGACUCGAUUCCGAUUUACGGAGGCCAAGUUAUCAGCCCGUAGGCAAAACUGACCAACCCUUAGGCAAACGGGACUCGAUUCCGAUUUACGGAGGCCAAGUUAUCAGCCCGUAGGCAAAACUGACCAACCCUUAGGCAAACGGGACUCGAUUCCGAUUUACGGAGGCCAAGUUAUCAGCCCGUAGGCAAAACUGACCAACCCUUAGGCAAACGGGACUCGAUUCCGAUUUACGGAGGCCAAGUUAUCAGCCCGUAGGCAAAACUGACCAACCCUUAGGCAAACGGGACUCGAUUCCGAUUUACGGAGGCCAAGUUAUCAGCCCGUAGGCAAAACUGACCAACCCUUAGGCAAACGGGACUCGAUUCCGAUUUACGGAGGCCAAGUUAUCAGCCCGUAGGCAAAACUGACCAACCCUUAGGCAAACGGGACUCGAUUCCGAUUUACGGAGGCCAAGUUAUCAGCCCGUAGGCAAAACUGACCAACCCUUAGGCAAACGGGACUCGAUUCCGAUUUACGGAGGCCAAGUUAUCAGCCCGUAGGCAAAACUGACCAACCCUUAGGCAAACGGGACUCGAUUCCGAUUUACGGAGGCCAAGUUAUCAGCCCGUAGGCAAAACUGACCAACCCUUAGGCAAACGGGACUCGAUUCCGAUUUACGGAGGCCAAGUUAUCAGCCCGUAGGCAAAACUGACCAACCCUUAGGCAAACGGGACUCGAUUCCGAUUUACGGAGGCCAAGUUAUCAGCCCGUAGGCAAAACUGACCAACCCUUAGGCAAACGGGACUCGAUUCCGAUUUACGGAGGCCAAGUUAUCAGCCCGUAGGCAAAACUGACCAACCCUUAGGCAAACGGGACUCGAUUCCGAUUUACGGAGGCCAAGUUAUCAGCCCGUAGGCAAAACUGACCAACCCUUAGGCAAACGGGACUCGAUUCCGAUUUACGGAGGCCAAGUUAUCAGCCCGUAGGCAAAACUGACCAACCCUUAGGCAAACGGGACUCGAUUCCGAUUUACGGAGGCCAAGUUAUCAGCCCGUAGGCAAAACUGACCAACCCUUAGGCAAACGGGACUCGAUUCCGAUUUACGGAGGCCAAGUUAUCAGCCCGUAGGCAAAACUGACCAACCCUUAGGCAAACGGGACUCGAUUCCGAUUUACGGAGGCCAAGUUAUCAGCCCGUAGGCAAAACUGACCAACCCUUAGGCAAACGGGACUCGAUUCCGAUUUACGGAGGCCAAGUUAUCAGCCCGUAGGCAAAACUGACCAACCCUUAGGCAAACGGGACUCGAUUCCGAUUUACGGAGGCCAAGUUAUCAGCCCGUAGGCAAAACUGACCAACCCUUAGGCAAACGGGACUCGAUUCCGAUUUACGGAGGCCAAGUUAUCAGCCCGUAGGCAAAACUGACCAACCCUUAGGCAAACGGGACUCGAUUCCGAUUUACGGAGGCCAAGUUAUCAGCCCGUAGGCAAAACUGACCAACCCUUAGGCAAACGGGACUCGAUUCCGAUUUACGGAGGCCAAGUUAUCAGCCCGUAGGCAAAACUGACCAACCCUUAGGCAAACGGGACUCGAUUCCGAUUUACGGAGGCCAAGUUAUCAGCCCGUAGGCAAAACUGACCAACCCUUAGGCAAACGGGACUCGAUUCCGAUUUACGGAGGCCAAGUUAUCAGCCCGUAGGCAAAACUGACCAACCCUUAGGCAAACGGGACUCGAUUCCGAUUUACGGAGGCCAAGUUAUCAGCCCGUAGGCAAAACUGACCAACCCUUAGGCAAACGGGACUCGAUUCCGAUUUACGGAGGCCAAGUUAUCAGCCCGUAGGCAAAACUGACCAACCCUUAGGCAAACGGGACUCGAUUCCGAUUUACGGAGGCCAAGUUAUCAGCCCGUAGGCAAAACUGACCAACCCUUAGGCAAACGGGACUCGAUUCCGAUUUACGGAGGCCAAGUUAUCAGCCCGUAGGCAAAACUGACCAACCCUUAGGCAAACGGGACUCGAUUCCGAUUUACGGAGGCCAAGUUAUCAGCCCGUAGGCAAAACUGACCAACCCUUAGGCAAACGGGACUCGAUUCCGAUUUACGGAGGCCAAGUUAUCAGCCCGUAGGCAAAACUGACCAACCCUUAGGCAAACGGGACUCGAUUCCGAUUUACGGAGGCCAAGUUAUCAGCCCGUAGGCAAAACUGACCAACCCUUAGGCAAACGGGACUCGAUUCCGAUUUACGGAGGCCAAGUUAUCAGCCCGUAGGCAAAACUGACCAACCCUUAGGCAAACGGGACUCGAUUCCGAUUUACGGAGGCCAAGUUAUCAGCCCGUAGGCAAAACUGACCAACACUUAGGUAAAAAGUCGAAAAAGAUGCCAAAACCCACCUCGGCCAUCGUAACAACACGCAAAUAUAUACACAGCACUGCAUGGGUAUUAGACACGCGUUAUAAAUUACGGGACUCAAUUCUGACUUACGGAGGCCGAGUUAUCAGUCCGUAAGCAAAACUGAACAACAUUUAGGUAAAAAGUCAAAAAAGUGGCCUAAACCCGCCUCGGCCGUCAUAAUAACUCGCAAACACUUACAUAGCACCGCGUAGGUAUUAGGCACUCGUUACAACUUAUGGGACUCAAUUCCGACUUACAGAGGCUUAGUUAUCAGCCAGCAGGAAAAACUGACCAACAUAUAGGUUAAAAUUUGAAAAAGAGGCCAAAACCCGCCUCGGCCGUCAUAACAACACACAAACACGUGCAUAGUACCGCGUAGGUAUUUGGCACGCAUUACAACUUACGGGACUCGAUUCCAACUUACGGAGGCCGAGUUAUCAGCCCGUAAGCAAAACUGACCAACACUUAGGUAAAAAGUCAAAAAAAGAGGCCAAAACCCGCCUCGGCCGUCGUAACAACACGCAAACACGCACAUAUCACCGUUUAGGUAUUAGGCACGCGUUACUACUUUUGGGACUCUAUUCUGAUUUACUGAGACCGAGUUAUCAGCUCGUAGGCAAAACUGACCAACACUUAGGUAAAAAGUCAAAAAAGAGGUCAAAACCCGCCUCAACCAUCGUAACGAUACGUAAUAACAUACAUAGCACCGCGUAGGUAUUAUGCAUGCAUUACAACUUACGACACCCGAUUUCGACAUACGGAGGCCGUUAUCAGCCCGUAGACAAAACUGACCAACACUUAGGCAAAAAGUCAAAAAAGAGGCCAAAACCCACCUCGGCUGUCGUAACAACACGCAAAUACAUACAUAGCACUGCAUGCGUAUUAGGCAUGCGCUAUAACUUACGGGACUCAAUUCUGACUUACGGAGGCUGAGUUAUCAGCCCGUAACAAAACUGAACAACAUUUAGGUAAAAAGUCAAAAAAGAGGCCAAAACCCGCCUCGACUGUCGUAACAACACGCAAACAUAUACAUAGCACCGCGUAGGUAUUAGACACUCGUUACAACUUACGAGACUCAAUUCUGACUUACGGAGGCCGAGUUAUCAGCCCGUAGGCAAAACUCGACAACACUUAGGCAGAAAGUCAAAAAAAAGGCCAAAACCCGUCUCAACCGUCGUAACAACACGCACACACAUACAUAGCACAGCAUCAGGAUUAGACACAUGUUAUAACUUACGGGACUCAAUUCUAACUUACGGAGGCCAAGUUAUCAGCCCGUAAGUAAAACUGACCAACACUUAGGCAAGAAGUCAAAAAAGAGGCCAAAACCCGCCUCGGCAGUCGUAAAGACACGCAAACACGAACAUAGCACCGUGUAGGUAUUAAGCACGUGUUAGAACUUACAUGACUCGAUUCCGACUUACAGAGGCCGAGUUAUCAGCCCGUAGGCAAAACUGAGCAACACUUGAGCAAAAUGUCGAAAAAAGGCCAAAAUCCGCCUCGGCCGUCGUAACAACAAACACACACGUGCAUAGUACCACAUAGGUAUUAGGCACGCAUUACAACUUACGGGACUCGAUUCCGACAUACGGAGGCCGAGUUAUCAGCCCGUAGGUAAAACUGAACAACACUUAGGCAAAAAGUUAAAAAAGAGGCCAAAACAUGCCUCGACCGUCGUAACGACACGCAAACACAUGCAUAGCACCGUGCAUGUAUUAGGCAUGUGCUACACCUUACGGGACUCAAUUCCGAUAUACGUAGGACAAGUUGUCAGCCCGUAGGCAAAAUUGACCAACACUUAGGUAAAAAGUUAAAAAAAAGGCCAAAACACGCCUCGGCCAUUGUAUUGACAUGCAAACACAUGCAUAGCACCGAGUAGGUAUUAAGCACGCAUUAUAACUCCUGACUCAAUUCCGACUUACGGAGGCCGAGUUAUCAGUUCGUAGGUAAAACUGACCAACACUUAGGAAAAAAUUCAAAAAAGAAGCCAACACCCACCUCGGUUGUCGUAAAAACACGCAAAGACAUAGCACCGCAUAGGUAUUAGGCACGCGUUACAGCUUACGGGACUCGAUUCCGAUUUACGGAGGCCAAGUUAUCAGCCCAUAGUCAAAACUAACUAACACUUAGGUAAAAAGUCAAAAAAGAAGCCAAAAUUCACCUCGGCCAUCGUAAUGUUACGAAAACACAUACAUAGCACCGCGUAGGUAUUAGCCAUGCGUAACAACUUAUGGGACUCGAUUCCGACAUACGGAGGCCGAGUUAUCAGCCCCCGUAGGCAAAACUGACCAACACUUAGGCAAAAAGUCGAGAAAGAUACGGAGGCCGAGUUAUCAGCCCCCGUAGGCAAAACUGACCAACACUUAGGCAAAAAGUCGAAAAAGAGGCCAAAACUCACCUCGGCCAUCGUUACAACACGCAAACACAUACACAGUAUCGCGUAGAUAUUAGGCACACGUUAAAACUUACGGGACUCGAUUCCAACUUACGGAUGCCGAGUUAUCAGCCCGUAAACAAAACUGACCAACACUUACGUAAAAAGUCAAAAAAGAGGCCAAAUAGCAUUGCGUAAGUAUUAGGCACGCGUUACAACUUACGGGAUUCAAUUUCGACAUACGGAGGCCGAGUUAUCAGCCCGUAAACAAAACUGACCAACACUUAGGUAAAAAGUCAAAAAAAGAGGCCAAAACAUGCCUCGACCGUCGUAACGACAUAAAAACACAUACAUAGUACUGCGUAUGUAUUAGGCAUGUGUUACAACUUACGGGACUAGAUUCUGACAUACGUAGACUGAGUUAUUAGCCCGUAUUCAAAAUUGACCAACACUUAGGUAAAAAGUUAAAAAAGAGGCCAAAACUCGCAUCGGCCAUUGUAAUGACACACAAAUACAUGCAUAGCAUUGCGUAAGUAUUAGGCACGCGUUACAACUUACGGGACUCAAUUUCGACAUACGGAGGCCGAGUUAUCAGCCCGUAGGCAAAACUGACCAAUAUUUGGGAAAAAAGUCAAAAAAAGGGCCAAAAUCCACCUCGGCCGUUGUAAUGAUACAGAAACUCGUAUAACUUACGGGACUCGAUUUAGACAUACGAAGGCUGAGUUAUCAGCCCGUAGGCAAAAGUGACAAACACUUAGGCAAAAAGUCGAAAAAGAGGCCAAAACUCGCCUCGGCCAUCGUAACGACAAGCAAACACAUACAUAUCAUCACGUAGGUAUUAGCACGCAUUACAACUUACGGGACUCGAUUCCGACAGACGGAGGCCGAGUUAUCAGCUCGUAUGAAAAAUUGACCAACACUUAGGCAAAAAGUAGAAAAAGAGGCCAAAAUCCGCCUCAGCCGUUGUAACGAUACAGAAACUCGUACAUAGCACCGCGUAGGUAUUAGGCACGCGUUACAACUUACGGAACUCGAUUUCGACUUACGAAGGCCGAGUUAUCAGCCUGUAGAAAAAACUAACACUUAGGUAAAAAGUCAAAAAAGAAGCCGAAACCCUCCUCGGCCAUCGUAAUGAUACGCAAACACAUACAUUACACCGCGGAGGUAUUAGACAUACGUUACAACUUAUGGGACUCAAUUCUGACAUACGAAGGCCGAGUUAUUAGCCCGUAGGCAAAACUGACCAACACUUAGGCAAAAAGUCAAAAAAGAGGCCAAAACUCGUCUCGGCCAUCGUAACAAUACAUAAACACAUACAUAACAUCGCGUAGGUAUUAGGCACGUAUUACAACUUACGGGACUCGAUUCCUACAGACGGAGACCGAGUUAUCAGCCCGUAGGCAAAACUGACCAACACUUAGGCAAAAAGUCAAAAAAGAGGCCAAAACUCUCCUCGGCUAUUGUAACGACACGCAAACACAUACAUAGCACCGCGUAGGUAUUAGGCAUGCGUUACAACUUACGGGACUCGAUUCCGACUUACGGAGGCCGAGUUAUCAGCUCGUAGGCAAAACUAACCAACACUUAGGCAAAAAGUCGAAAAAGAUGCCAAAAACUCGUCUCGGUCGUCGUAAUAAGACGCAAACUAAUACAUAGCACCGCGUUGGAAUUAGGCACACGUUAUAACUUAUAAGACUCGAUUCUGACUUACGGAGGCCGAGUUAUUAGCCCAUUGGCAAAAUUGACCAACACUUAGGCAAAAAAUCAAAAAAUAAGCCAAAAUUAGCCUCGGUCGUCGUAAUAACACACAAAUGUGUACAUAGCACCACGUAGGCAUUAGGCACGCGUUACAACUUACGAAACUUGAUUUCAACUUACGGAGGCUGAGUUAUCAGCCCGUAGGCAAAACUGACCAACACUUACGGAAAAACUAGAAAAAGAGGCCAAAACCCGCCUUGGCCGUCAUAACGACACGCAAACACUUAUAUAGCACCGUGUAGCUAUUAGGCACGCGUUAUAACUUACGGAACUCGAUUCUGACUUACGGAGGCCGAGUUAUUAGCCCGUAGGCAAAACUGACAAAUACUUAGGCAAAAAGUCAAAAAAGAGGUCAAAACCCGCCUCAGCCAUCGUAACGAUAUGCAAACAUAUACAUAGCACCACGUAAGUAUUAGGCAUGCAUUACAACUUACGGGACUCGAUUUCGACAUACGGAGGCCGAGUUAUCAGGCCGUAGGUAAAACUAACCAACACUUAUGCAAAAAGUCAAAAAAGAGGCCAAAACCCACCUCGGCCGUCGUAACAACACGCAAAGACUUACAUAGCAUUGCAUUGGUAUUAGGCACGCGUUAUAACUUACGGGACUCAAUUUUGACUUACGGAGGCCGAGUUAUCAGCCGUAAGCAAAACUGAACAACAUUUAGGUAAAAAGUCAAAAAAGAGGCCAAAACAUGCCUCGGCCGUCGUAACGACAUAAAAACACAUACAUAGUACCGCGUAUAUAUUAGGCAUACAUGACAACUUAUGGGACAAGAUUUUGACAUACGUAGACCGAGUUAUUAGCCCGUAUGCAAAAUUGACCACAACUUAGGUAAAAAGUUAAAGAAGAGGCCAAAUCCCACAUCGGACAUUGUAACGACACGCAAAUACAUGCAUAGCACCACGUAGGUAUUAGGCACGCGUUACAACUUACGGGACUCAAUUCCGACUUACGGAGGCCGUGUUAUCAGCUCGUAGGUAAAACUGACCAAUAUUUGGGGAAAAAGUCGAAAAAGCGGCCAAAACCCACCUCGACCGUUGUAAUGAUACGAAAACUAGUACAUAGCACCGCGUAAGUAUUAGGCACGCAUUACAGCUUACGGGACUCGAUUCCGAUUUACGCAGGCCGAGUUAUCAGCCCGUAGGCAAAACUAACUAACACUUAAGUAAAAAGUCAAAAAAGAAGCCACAACCCGCCUCGGCCAUCGUAAUGAUACGCAAAAACAUACACAGCACCGCGUAGGUAUUAUGCAUGCGUUAUAACUUACGGCACUCGAUUCCCACAUACGAAGGCCAAGUUAUCAGCCCGUAGGCAAAACUAACUAACACUUAGGUAAAAAGUCAAAAAAGAAGCCAAAACCCGCCUCGACCAUCGUAAUGAUACGUAAAAACAUACAUAACACCGCGUAGGUAUUAGGCAUGCGUUACAACUUGCGGCACUCGAUUCCCACAUACGGAGGCCGAGUUAUCAACCCGUAGGCAAAAUUGACCAACACUUAGGCAAAAACUCGCCUCGGCCAUCGUAACGACACGCAAACACAUACAUAGCAUUGCGUAGGUAUUAGGCACACGUUAAAACUUACGGGACUUGAUUCCAACUUAUAGAGACCGAGUUAUCAGCCCGUAGACAAAACUGACCAACACUUGGUCGUCGUAAUGAUACGCAAACACGUACAUAGCACCGCGUAGGUAUUAGGCAUGCGUUAUAACUUACGAAACUUGAUUCCGACUUACGGAGGUCGAGUUAUCAGCCUGUAGGCAAAACUGACAAACACUAAGAUAAAAAGUCAAAAAAGAGGCCAAAAUCCGCCUCAGCCAUCGUAAUGAUACGCAAAGAUAUACAUAGAACCGCGUAGGUAUUAGGCAUACAUUACAACUUACGGGACUCGAUUUCGACAUACGGAGGCCGAGUUAUCAGCCCGUAAACAAAACUGACCAAAACUUAGGCAAAGAGUCAAAAAAGAGGCCAAAACCAACCUCGGCUGUUGUAACAACAUGCAAAUACAUACAUAGCACUGCAUGGGUAUUAGGCACAUGUUAUAACUUACGGGACUCAAUUCUGACUUACGGAGGCCGAGUUAUCAAGCCCGUAAUCAAAACUGAACAACAUUUAGGUAAAAAGUCAAAAAAGAGGCAAAAACAUGCCUCGGCCGUCGUAACGACAUAAAAACACAUACAUAGUACCGCGUAUGUAUUAGGCAUGUGUUACAACUUACGGGAGAAGAUUCUGACAUACGUAGACUGAGUUAUUAGCCCGUAUGCAAAAUUGACCAACACUUAGGUAAAAAGUUAAAGAAGAGGCCAAAACCCGCAUCGGCCAUUGUAACGACACGCAAAUACAUGCAUAGCAUCGCGUAAGUAUUAGGCACGCGUUACAACUUACGGGACUCAAUUUCGACUUACGGAGGCCGAGUUAUCAGCCCGUAGGCAAAACUGACCAAUAUUUGGGUAAAAAGGUCAAAAAAGGCCAAAAUCCACCUCGGCCGUUGUAAUGAUACGGAAACUCGUAUAACUUACGGGACUCGAUUUCGACAUACGGAGGCUGAGUUAUCAGCCCGUAGGCAAAAGUGACAAACACUUAGGAAAAAAGUCGAAAAAGAGGCCAAAACUCGCCUCGACCAUCGUAACGACAAGCAAACACAUACAUAUCAUCACGUAGGUAUUAGGACGCAUUAAAACUUACGGGACUCGAUUCCGACAGACGGAGGCUGAGUUAUCAGCUCGUAGGAAAAAUUGACCAACACUUAGGCAAAAAGUAGAAAAAGAGGCCAAAAUCCACCUCAGCCGUUGUAACGAUACAGAAACUCGUACAUAGCACCACGUAGGUAUUAGGCACGCGUUACAACUUACGGGACUCGAUUCCGUCUUACGAAGGCCGAGUUAUCAGCCUGUAGAAAAAACUAACACUUAGGUAAAAAGUCAAAAAAGAAGUCGAAACCCUCCUCGGCCAUCGUAAUGAUACGCAAACACAUACAUUACACCGCGGAGGUAUUAGACAUACGUUACAACUUAUGGGACUCGAUUCUGACAUACGAAGGCCGAGUUAUCAGCCCGUAGGCAAAACUGACCAACACAUAGGCAAAAAGUCAAAAAAGAGGCCAAAACUCGCCUCGGCCAUCGUAACGACACAUAAACACAUACAUAGCAUCGCGUAGGUAUUAGGCACGUAUUACAACUUACGGGACUCGAUUCCUACAGACGAAGACCGAGUUAUCAGCCCGUAGGCAAAACUGACCAACACUUAGGCAAAAAAGUCAAAAAAGAGGCCAAAACUCUCCUCGGCUAUUGUAACAACACGCACACACAUACAUAGCACCGCGUAGGUAUUAGGCAUGCGUUACAACUUACGGAACUCGAUUCCGACUUACGGAGACCUAGUUAUCAGCCCGUAGGCAAAACUGACCAACACUUAGGCAAAAAGUCGAGAAAGAUGCCAAAAACUCGUCUCGGUCGUCGUAAUAAGACGCAAACUAAUACAUAGCACCGCGUUGGAAUUAGGCACACUUUAUAACUUAUAAGACUCGAUUCUGACUUACGGAGGCCGAGUUAUUAGCCCAUUGGCAAAACUGACCAACACUUAGGCAAAAAGUCAAAAAAUAAGCCAAAAUUAGCCUCGGUCGUCGUAAUAACACACUAAUAUGUACAUAGCACCACGUAGGCAUUAGGCACGCGUUACAACUUACGGAACUUGAUUUCAACUUAAGGAGGCCGAGUUAUCAGCCCGUAGGCAAAACUGACCAACACUUAGGCAAAAACUAUAAAAAGAGGCCAAAACCCGCCUUGGCCGUCAUAACGACACACAAACACUUAUAUAGCACCGUGUAGCUAUUAGGCACGCGUUACAACUUACGGAACUCGAUUCUGACUUACGGAGGCCGAGUUAUUAGCCCGUAGGCAAAACUGACAAACAGUUAGGCAAAAAGUCAAAAAAGAGGUCAAAACCCGCCUCAGCCAUCGUAACGAUAUGCAAACAUAUACAUAGCACCACGUAAGUAUUAGGCAUGUAUUACAACUUACGGGACUCGAUUUCGACAUACGGAGGCCGAGUUAUCAGGCCGUAGGUAAAACUAACCAACACUUAUACAAAAAGUCAAAAAAGAGGCCAAAACCCACCUCGGCCGUCGUAACAACACGCAAAGACUUACAUAGCAUUGCAUUGGUAUUAGGCACGCGUUAUAACUUAUGGGACUCAAUUUUGACUUACGGAGGCCGAGUUAUCAGCCCGUAAGCAAAACUGAACAACAUUUAGGUAAAAAGUCAAAAAAGAGGCCAAAACAUGCCUCGGCCGUCGUAACGACAUAAAAACACAUACAUAGUACUGCGUAAAUAUUAGGAAUACCUUACAACUUACGGGACAAGAUUUUGACAUACGUAGACCGAGUUAUUAGCCCGUAUGCAAAAUUGACCACCACUUAGGUAAAAAGUUAAAGAAGAGGCCAAAUCCCACAUCGGAUAUUGUAACGACGCGCAAAUACAUGCAUAGCACCACGUAGGUAUUAGGCACGCGUUACAACUUACGGGACUCAAUUCCGACUUACGGAGGCCGUGUUAUUAGCUCGUAGGUAAAACUGACCAACAUUUGGGGAAAAAGUCGAAAAAGAGGCCAAAACCCACCUUGACCGUUGUAAUGAUACGAAAACUCGUACAUAGCAUCGCGUAAGUAUUAGGCACGCAUUACAGCUUACGGGACUCGAUUCCGAUUUACGGAGGCCGAGUUAUCAGCCCGUAGGCAAAACUAACUAACACUUAAGUAAAAAGUCAAAAAAGAAGCCACAACCCGCCUCGGCCAUCGUAAUGAUACGCAAAAACAUACACAGCACCGCGUAGGUAUUAUGCAUGCGUUAUAACUUACGGCACUCGAUUCCCACAUACGGAGGUCGAGUUAUCAGCCCGUAGGCAAAACUAACUAACACUUAGGUAACAAGUCAAAAAAGAAGCCAAAACCCGCCUCGACCAUCGUAAUGAUACGCAAAAACAUACACAACACCGCGUAGGUAUUAGGCAUGCGUUACAACUUACGGCACUCGAUUCCCACAUACGGAGGCCGAGUUAUCAAGCCGUAGGCAAAAUUGACCAACACUUAGGCAAAAAGUCGAAAGAGAGGCAAAAACUCGCCUCGACCAUCGUAACGACACGCAAACACAUACAUAGCAUCGCGUAGAUAUUAGGCACGCGUUAAAACUUACGGGACUCGAUUCCAACUUAUAGAGACCGAGUUAUUAGCCCGUAGACAAAACUGAACAACACUUGGGCAAAAAGUCAAAAAAGAGGCCAAAACCCGCCUCGGUCGUCGUAACGACACGCAAACACGUACAUAGCACCGCGUAGGUAUUAGGCACGCGUUACAACUUACGAAACUCGAUUCUGACUUACGGAGGCCGAGUUAUCAGCCUGUAGGCAAAACUGACAAACACUAAGAUAAAAAGUCAAAAAAGAGGCCAAAACCCGCCUCAGCCAUCGUAAUGAUACGCAAAGAUAUAUAUAGAACCGCGUAGGUAUUAGGCAUACAUUACAACUUACGGGACUCGAUUUCGACAUACGGAGGCCGAGUUAUCAGCCCGUAGGUAAAACUGACCAACACUUAGGCAAAGAGUCGAAAAAGAGGCCAAAACCAACCUCGGCUGUUGUAAUAACACGCAAAUACAUAUAUAGCACUGCAUGGGUAUUAGGCACGUGAUAUAACUUACGGGACUCAAUUCUGACUUACGGAGGCCGAGUUAUCAAGCCCGUAAUCAAAACUGAACAACAUUUAGGUAAAAAGUCAAAAAAGAGGCAAAAACAUGCCUCGGCCGUCGUAACGACAUAAAAACACAUACAUAGUACCGCGUAUGUAUUAGGCAUGUGUUACAACUUACGGGAGAAGAUUCUGACAUACGUAGACCGAGUUAUUAGCCCGUAUGCAAAAUUGACCAACACUUAGGUAAAAAGUUAAAGAAGAGGCCAAAACUCGCAUCGGCCAUUGUAACGACACACAAAUACAUGCAUAGCAUUGCGUAAGUAUUAGGCACGCGUUACAACUUACGGGACUCAAUUUCGACUUACGGAGGCUGAGUUAUCAGCCCGUAGGCAAAACUGACCAAUAUUUGGGUAAAAAGGUCAAAAAAAGGCCAAAAUCCACCUCGGCCGUUGUAAUGAUACGGAAACUCGUAUAACUUACGGGACUCGAUUUCGACAUACGGAGGCUGAGUUAUCAGCCCGUAGGCAAAAGUGACAAACACUUAGGAAAAAAGUCGAAAAAGAGGCCAAAACUCGCCUCGACCAUCGUAACGACAAGCAAACACAUACAUAUCAUCACGUAGGUAUUAGGACGCAUUAAAACUUACGGGACUCGAUUCCGACAGACGGAGGCUGAGUUAUCAGCUCGUAGGAAAAAUUGACCAACACUUAGGCAAAAAGUAGAAAAAGAGGCCAAAACAUGCCUCGGCCGUCGUAAUGACAUAAAAACACAUACAUAGUACCGCGUAUGUAUUAGGCAUGCGUUACAACUUACGGGAGAAGAUUCUGACAUACGUAGACCGAGUUAUUAGCCCGUAUGCAAAAUUGACCAACACUUAGGUAAAAAGUUAAAGAAGAGGCCAAAACCCACAUCGGCCAUUGUAACGACACACAAAUACAUGUAUAACACCGCGUAGGUAUUAGGCAUGCGUUACAACUUACGGGACUCAAUUCCGACUUACGGAGGCCGAGUUAUCAGCCCGUAGGCAAAACUGACCAACAUAUAGGUCAAAAGUCGAAAAAGAGGCCAAAACCCACCUCGGCCGUUGUAAUGAUACGAAAUCUCAUACAUAACAUCGCAUAGGUAUUAGGCACGCGUUACAGCUUACUGGACUCGAUUCCGAUUUACGGAGGCCGAGUUAUUCAGCCCGUAGGCAAAACUAACUAACACUUAGGUAAAAAGUCAAAAAAGAAGCCAAAACCUGCCUCGGCCAUCGUAAUGAUACGCAAACACAUACACAGCACCGCGUAGGUAUUAAGCAUGCGUUGCAAUUUACGGCACUCGAUUCUGACAUACGUAGGCCGAGUUAUCAGUCCGUAGGCAAAACUGACCAACACUUAGGCAAAAAGUCGAAAAAGAGGCUAAAACUCGCCUCGGCCAUCGUAACGACAUGUAAACACAUAGAUAGCAUCGCGUAGGUAUUAGGCACGCGUUAAAACUUUCGGGAUUCGAUUCUAACUUAUGGAGGCCGAGUUAUCAGCCCGUAGACAAACUGACCAACACUUAAGUAAAAAGUCAAAAAAGAGGCCAAAACCCGCCUCGGUAGUCGUAACGACACGCAAACACGUACAUAUCACUGUGUAGGUAUUAGGCACGCGUUACUACUUACGGUACUCGAUUCUGAUUUACCGAGGCCGAGUUAUAAGCCCGUAGGCAAAACUGACCAACACAUACGCAAAAAGUCAAAAAAGAGGCCAAAACCCGCCUCAGCCGUUGUAAUGAGACGAAAACUCGUAAAUAGCGCCGCGUAGGUUUUAGGCACGCGUUACAACUUAUGAAACUCGAUUCCGACUUACGGAGGCCGAGUUAUUGUUGGGCUUCGGCAUAGAAACGCACAGCGGAAAUUAAAAUUUUAAAGCAAUUUCCGAAACCCUAAAACAGGAUCCAUGCGAAAAAUCAAUUAAAUCAGAUGUUUAGAGAUUAUACCAGAUAUAAAAAACGAGAAUCUGAAACCGAUUGCGCCUCGAAUCUCUAACGCAAUACAAACCGAUUGCGCCUCUACGGUAUCCACACGAACGCUGCACGAACCGUCGAACGAUUCUGCAAUAAGAAGGACUUGCGGUACUAGCCACCAAAAGGAAUGGAUUUUCUGAAACUGUUUUCUCUCUAGUCUCUCUCUAAGAGCGGNNNNNNNNNNNNNNNNNNNNNNNNNNNNNNNNNNNNNNNNNNNNNNNNNNNNNNNNNNNNNNNNNNNNNNNNNNNNNNNNNNNNNNNNNNNNNNNNNNNNNNNNNNNNNNNNNNNNNNNNNNNNNNNNNNNNNNNNNNNNNNNNNNNNNNNNNNNNNNNNNNNNNNNNNNNNNNNNNNNNNNNNNNNNNNNNNNNNNNNNNNNNNNNNNNNNNNNNNNNNNNNNNNNNNNNNNNNNNNNNNNNNNNNNNNNNNNNNNNNNNNNNNNNNNNNNNNNNNNNNNNNNNNNNNNNNNNNNNNNNNNNNNNNNNNNNNNNNNNNNNNNNNNNNNNNNNNNNNNNNNNNNNNNNNNNNNNNNNNNNNNNNNNNNNNNNNNNNNNNNNNNNNNNNNNNNNNNNNNNNNNNNNNNNNNNNNNNNNNNNNNNNNNNNNNNNNNNNNNNNNNNNNNNNNNNNNNNNNNNNNNNNNNNNNNNNNNNNNNNNNNNNNNNNNNNNNNNNNNNNNNNNNNNNNNNNNNNNNNNNNNNNNNNNNNNNNNNNNNNNNNNNNNNNNNNNNNNNNNNNNNNNNNNNNNNNNNNNNNNNNNNNNNNNNNNNNNNNNNNNNNNNNNNNNNNNNNNNNNNNNNNNNNNNNNNNNNNNNNNNNNNNNNNNNNNNNNNNNNNNNNNNNNNNNNNNNNNNNNNNNNNNNNNNNNNNNNNNNNNNNNNNNNNNNNNNNNNNNNNNNNNNNNNNNNNNNNNNNNNNNNNNNNNNNNNNNNNNNNNNNNNNNNNNNNNNNNNNNNNNNNNNNNNNNNNNNNNNNNNNNNNNNNNNNNNNNNNNNNNNNNNNNNNNNNNNNNNNNNNNNNNNNNNNNNNNNNNNNNNNNNNNNNNNNNNNNNNNNNNNNNNNNNNNNNNNNNNNNNNNNNNNNNNNNNNNNNNNNNNNNNNNNNNNNNNNNNNNNNNNNNNNNNNNNNNNNNNNNNNNNNNNNNNNNNNNNNNNNNNNNNNNNNNNNNNNNNNNNNNNNNNNNNNNNNNNNNNNNNNNNNNNNNNNNNNNNNNNNNNNNNNNNNNNNNNNNNNNNNNNNNNNNNNNNNNNNNNNNNNNNNNNNNNNNNNNNNNNNNNNNNNNNNNNNNNNNNNNNNNNNNNNNNNNNNNNNNNNNNNNNNNNNNNNNNNNNNNNNNNNNNNNNNNNNNNNNNNNNNNNNNNNNNNNNNNNNNNNNNNNNNNNNNNNNNNNNNNNNNNNNNNNNNNNNNNNNNNNNNNNNNNNNNNNNNNNNNNNNNNNNNNNNNNNNNNNNNNNNNNNNNNNNNNNNNNNNNNNNNNNNNNNNNNNNNNNNNNNNNNNNNNNNNNNNNNNNNNNNNNNNNNNNNNNNNNNNNNNNNNNNNNNNNNNNNNNNNNNNNNNNNNNNNNNNNNNNNNNNNNNNNNNNNNNNNNNNNNNNNNNNNNNNNNNNNNNNNNNNNNNNNNNNNNNNNNNNNNNNNNNNNNNNNNNNNNNNNNNNNNNNNNNNNNNNNNNNNNNNNNNNNNNNNNNNNNNNNNNNNNNNNNNNNNNNNNNNNNNNNNNNNNNNNNNNNNNNNNNNNNNNNNNNNNNNNNNNNNNNNNNNNNNNNNNNNNNNNNNNNNNNNNNNNNNNNNNNNNNNNNNNNNNNNNNNNNNNNNNNNNNNNNNNNNNNNNNNNNNNNNNNNNNNNNNNNNNNNNNNNNNNNNNNNNNNNNNNNNNNNNNNNNNNNNNNNNNNNNNNNNNNNNNNNNNNNNNNNNNNNNNNNNNNNNNNNNNNNNNNNNNNNNNNNNNNNNNNNNNNNNNNNNNNNNNNNNNNNNNNNNNNNNNNNNNNNNNNNNNNNNNNNNNNNNNNNNNNNNNNNNNNNNNNNNNNNNNNNNNNNNNNNNNNNNNNNNNNNNNNNNNNNNNNNNNNNNNNNNNNNNNNNNNNNNNNNNNNNNNNNNNNNNNNNNNNNNNNNNNNNNNNNNNNNNNNNNNNNNNNNNNNNNNNNNNNNNNNNNNNNNNNNNNNNNNNNNNNNNNNNNNNNNNNNNNNNNNNNNNNNNNNNNNNNNNNNNNNNNNNNNNNNNNNNNNNNNNNNNNNNNNNNNNNNNNNNNNNNNNNNNNNNNNNNNNNNNNNNNNNNNNNNNNNNNNNNNNNNNNNNNNNNNNNNNNNNNNNNNNNNNNNNNNNNNNNNNNNNNNNNNNNNNNNNNNNNNNNNNNNNNNNNNNNNNNNNNNNNNNNNNNNNNNNNNNNNNNNNNNNNNNNNNNNNNNNNNNNNNNNNNNNNNNNNNNNNNNNNNNNNNNNNNNNNNNNNNNNNNNNNNNNNNNNNNNNNNNNNNNNNNNNNNNNNNNNNNNNNNNNNNNNNNNNNNNNNNNNNNNNNNNNNNNNNNNNNNNNNNNNNNNNNNNNNNNNNNNNNNNNNNNNNNNNNNNNNNNNNNNNNNNNNNNNNNNNNNNNNNNNNNNNNNNNNNNNNNNNNNNNNNNNNNNNNNNNNNNNNNNNNNNNNNNNNNNNNNNNNNNNNNNNNNNNNNNNNNNNNNNNNNNNNNNNNNNNNNNNNNNNNNNNNNNNNNNNNNNNNNNNNNNNNNNNNNNNNNNNNNNNNNNNNNNNNNNNNNNNNNNNNNNNNNNNNNNNNNNNNNNNNNNNNNNNNNNNNNNNNNNNNNNNNNNNNNNNNNNNNNNNNNNNNNNNNNNNNNNNNNNNNNNNNNNNNNNNNNNNNNNNNNNNNNNNNNNNNNNNNNNNNNNNNNNNNNNNNNNNNNNNNNNNNNNNNNNNNNNNNNNNNNNNNNNNNNNNNNNNNNNNNNNNNNNNNNNNNNNNNNNNNNNNNNNNNNNNNNNNNNNNNNNNNNNNNNNNNNNNNNNNNNNNNNNNNNNNNNNNNNNNNNNNNNNNNNNNNNNNNNNNNNNNNNNNNNNNNNNNNNNNNNNNNNNNNNNNNNNNNNNNNNNNNNNNNNNNNNNNNNNNNNNNNNNNNNNNNNNNNNNNNNNNNNNNNNNNNNNNNNNNNNNNNNNNNNNNNNNNNNNNNNNNNNNNNNNNNNNNNNNNNNNNNNNNNNNNNNNNNNNNNNNNNNNNNNNNNNNNNNNNNNNNNNNNNNNNNNNNNNNNNNNNNNNNNNNNNNNNNNNNNNNNNNNNNNNNNNNNNNNNNNNNNNNNNNNNNNNNNNNNNNNNNNNNNNNNNNNNNNNNNNNNNNNNNNNNNNNNNNNNNNNNNNNNNNNNNNNNNNNNNNNNNNNNNNNNNNNNNNNNNNNNNNNNNNNNNNNNNNNNNNNNNNNNNNNNNNNNNNNNNNNNNNNNNNNNNNNNNNNNNNNNNNNNNNNNNNNNNNNNNNNNNNNNNNNNNNNNNNNNNNNNNNNNNNNNNNNNNNNNNNNNNNNNNNNNNNNNNNNNNNNNNNNNNNNNNNNNNNNNNNNNNNNNNNNNNNNNNNNNNNNNNNNNNNNNNNNNNNNNNNNNNNNNNNNNNNNNNNNNNNNNNNNNNNNNNNNNNNNNNNNNNNNNNNNNNNNNNNNNNNNNNNNNNNNNNNNNNNNNNNNNNNNNNNNNNNNNNNNNNNNNNNNNNNNNNNNNNNNNNNNNNNNNNNNNNNNNNNNNNNNNNNNNNNNNNNNNNNNNNNNNNNNNNNNNNNNNNNNNNNNNNNNNNNNNNNNNNNNNNNNNNNNNNNNNNNNNNNNNNNNNNNNNNNNNNNNNNNNNNNNNNNNNNNNNNNNNNNNNNNNNNNNNNNNNNNNNNNNNNNNNNNNNNNNNNNNNNNNNNNNNNNNNNNNNNNNNNNNNNNNNNNNNNNNNNNNNNNNNNNNNNNNNNNNNNNNNNNNNNNNNNNNNNNNNNNNNNNNNNNNNNNNNNNNNNNNNNNNNNNNNNNNNNNNNNNNNNNNNNNNNNNNNNNNNNNNNNNNNNNNNNNNNNNNNNNNNNNNNNNNNNNNNNNNNNNNNNNNNNNNNNNNNNNNNNNNNNNNNNNNNNNNNNNNNNNNNNNNNNNNNNNNNNNNNNNNNNNNNNNNNNNNNNNNNNNNNNNNNNNNNNNNNNNNNNNNNNNNNNNNNNNNNNNNNNNNNNNNNNNNNNNNNNNNNNNNNNNNNNNNNNNNNNNNNNNNNNNNNNNNNNNNNNNNNNNNNNNNNNNNNNNNNNNNNNNNNNNNNNNNNNNNNNNNNNNNNNNNNNNNNNNNNNNNNNNNNNNNNNNNNNNNNNNNNNNNNNNNNNNNNNNNNNNNNNNNNNNNNNNNNNNNNNNNNNNNNNNNNNNNNNNNNNNNNNNNNNNNNNNNNNNNNNNNNNNNNNNNNNNNNNNNNNNNNNNNNNNNNNNNNNNNNNNNNNNNNNNNNNNNNNNNNNNNNNNNNNNNNNNNNNNNNNNNNNNNNNNNNNNNNNNNNNNNNNNNNNNNNNNNNNNNNNNNNNNNNNNNNNNNNNNNNNNNNNNNNNNNNNNNNNNNNNNNNNNNNNNNNNNNNNNNNNNNNNNNNNNNNNNNNNNNNNNNNNNNNNNNNNNNNNNNNNNNNNNNNNNNNNNNNNNNNNNNNNNNNNNNNNNNNNNNNNNNNNNNNNNNNNNNNNNNNNNNNNNNNNNNNNNNNNNNNNNNNNNNNNNNNNNNNNNNNNNNNNNNNNNNNNNNNNNNNNNNNNNNNNNNNNNNNNNNNNNNNNNNNNNNNNNNNNNNNNNNNNNNNNNNNNNNNNNNNNNNNNNNNNNNNNNNNNNNNNNNNNNNNNNNNNNNNNNNNNNNNNNNNNNNNNNNNNNNNNNNNNNNNNNNNNNNNNNNNNNNNNNNNNNNNNNNNNNNNNNNNNNNNNNNNNNNNNNNNNNNNNNNNNNNNNNNNNNNNNNNNNNNNNNNNNNNNNNNNNNNNNNNNNNNNNNNNNNNNNNNNNNNNNNNNNNNNNNNNNNNNNNNNNNNNNNNNNNNNNNNNNNNNNNNNNNNNNNNNNNNNNNNNNNNNNNNNNNNNNNNNNNNNNNNNNNNNNNNNNNNNNNNNNNNNNNNNNNNNNNNNNNNNNNNNNNNNNNNNNNNNNNNNNNNNNNNNNNNNNNNNNNNNNNNNNNNNNNNNNNNNNNNNNNNNNNNNNNNNNNNNNNNNNNNNNNNNNNNNNNNNNNNNNNNNNNNNNNNNNNNNNNNNNNNNNNNNNNNNNNNNNNNNNNNNNNNNNNNNNNNNNNNNNNNNNNNNNNNNNNNNNNNNNNNNNNNNNNNNNNNNNNNNNNNNNNNNNNNNNNNNNNNNNNNNNNNNNNNNNNNNNNNNNNNNNNNNNNNNNNNNNNNNNNNNUUGUCCCAUCAACAAUGAUACUCGACUAGGGACAUUUAAGAACACUGAUACUAAUGGUAAUAUAUAAUCUCAUGUUCAAGUCACAUACUUGAAACUAUAUAAUUUGUAUCACUAUUCUAAGGAAUUUUAUUAUGUUAACAAUUAUAUUACGCAGUAAAUAAAACCAUAAUAAAAUCAUAUAUUUAUUCAAUCAAAUAUAAUAUCAAAACGUUAAGCAAUUAUAUCAAAUAAUUGGCCCCUAGGGCAUAAACUCUAACAGUUAUCAGCCUGUAGGCAAAACUGACCAACACUUAGGUAAAAAGUCAAAAAAGAGGACAAAACCUGCCUCAGCCAUCGUAACGAUACGCAAACAUAUACAUAGAACCGCGUAGGUAUUAGGCAUACAUUACAACUUACGGGACUCGAUUUCGACAUACGGAGGCCGAGUUAUCAGCCCGUAGGCAAAACUGACCAACACUUAGGCAAAAAGUCGAAAAAGAGGCCAAAACCAACCUCGGCCGUCGUAACAACACACAAAUACAUACAUAGCACUGCAUGAGUAAUAGGCACGCGUUAUAACUUACGAGACUCAAUUCUGAUUUACGGAGGCCGAGUUAUCAGCCCGUAAGCAAAACUGAACAACAUUUAGGUAAAAAGUCAAAAAAGAGGCGAAAACAUGCCUCGACCGUCGUAACGACAUAAAAACACAUACAUAGUACUGCGUAUGUAUAAGGCCUACGUUAUAACUUACAGGACUCGAUUCUGACAUACGUAGACCGAGUUAUUAGCCCGUAUUCAAAAUUGACCAACACUUAGGUAAAAAGUUAAAAAAGAGGCCAAAACCCGCAUCGGCCAUUGUAACGACACGCAAAUACGUGCAUAGCACCGCGUAGGUAUUAGGCACGCGUUACAACUUAUGGGACUUGAUUCUAACUUACAGAGGUCGAGUUAUCAGCCCGUAGGCAAAACUGACCAACACUUAGGCAAAAAGUCAAAAAAGAGGCUAAAACCCGCCUCAACCGUCGUAACGACACGCAAACACGUACAUAGUACCGUGUAGAUAUUAGGCAUGAAUUAUAAUUAACGGGACUCGAUUCUAACUUACAGAGGUCGAGUUAUCAGCCCGUAGGCAAAACGGACCAAUACUUAGGCAAAAAGUCAAAAAAGAGGCCGAAACAUGCCUCGGCCGUCGUAAUGACACGCAAAAAUAUACAUAGCACCGCGUAGGUAUUCGUUACAACUUACGGGACUAGAUUCCGACUUACGGAGGCCGAUUUAUCAGCCUGUUUGCCAAACUGACUAACAUUUAGGUAAAAAGUCAAAAAAGAGGCCAAAACCCGCCUCGGACGUCGUAAAGACAUGCAAACACAGACAUAGUAUUGUGUAGGCAUUAGGCACGCGUUAAAACUUAUGGGACUCGAUUUCAACUUACGGAGGCCGAGUUAUCAGCUCGUACGCAAAACUGACCAACACUUAGGCAAAAAGUCGAAAAAGAGGCCAAAACCCACCUCAGCCGGCAUAACAACACGCAAACACAUAUAUAGCACAGCAUAGGCAUUAGGCACACGUUACAACUUAAGGGACUCGAUUCUGACUUACGGAAGUCGACUUAUAAGGCCAUAGGAAAAACUCGCCAACAAUUAGAUAAAAAAUCAAAAAAGAGGCCAAAACCUGUCUUGACCGUUGUAACAACCCGCAGACACAUACAUAGCACAGCGUAGGUAUUAGGUACGCGUUACAACUUAAGUGACUCGAUUCUAACUUACGGAGGCCGAGUUAUCAGCCCGUAGGCAAAACUGACCAACACUUAGGUAAAAAGUCGAAAAAGAGACCAAAACCCAUCUCGACUGUCAUAACGACACAAAAACACAUACAUAGCACCGCAUAGGUAUUAGGCACGCGUUAUAACUUAAGGGACUCGAUUCUAACUUACGGAGGCCGAGUUAUUAGCCCGUAGUCAAAAUUGGAUAACACUUAAGCAAAAAGUCAAAAAAGUGGCCAAAACCUGCCUCGGCUGUCGUAACGAUAUGCAAACACAAACAUAGCACCAUGUAGGUAUUAGGCACGCGUUACAACUUACAGUACUCAAUUCUGACUUACGGAGGCCGAGUUAUCAGCCCGUAGGCAAAACUGACCAACAUAUAGGUCAAAAGUCGAAAAAGAGGCCAAAACCCGCCUCGGCCGUCGUAACAACACGCAAACACGUGCAUAGUACCGCAUAGGUAUUAGGCACGCGUUACAACUUACGGUACUCAAUUCUAACUUACGGAGGCCGAGUUAUCAGCCCGUAGGCAAAACUGACCAACAUAUAGGUCAAAAGUCGAAAAAGAGGCCAAAACCCGCCUCGGCCGUCGUAACAACACGCAAACACGUGCAUAGUACCGCAUAGGUAUUAGGCACGCGUUACAACUUACAGGACUUGAUUCCAACUUACGGAGGCCGAGUUAUUAGCCCGUAGCCAAAACUGACCAACACUUAGGCAAAAAGUCGAAAAAGAGGCCAAAACCCGUCUCGGCCGUCGUAACAACACGCAAACAAAUAUAUAGCACCGCAUAUGUAUCAGGCGUGUGUUACAACUUACGGGACUCGAUUCAAACCUGCGGAGGCCGAGUUAUCAGCCCGUAGACAAAACUGACCAACACUUAGAUAACAAGUUAAAAAAGAGGCCAAAACCCGCCUCGGCCGUUGUAACGACAAAAAAACACAUGCAUAGUACCGCGUAGGUAUUAGGCACGCGUUAAAACUUACGGAACUCGAUUCCAACUUACGGAGGCCGAGUUAUCAGCCCGUAGGCAAAACUAACCAACACUUAGGUAAAAAGUCAAAAAAGAGGCCAAAACCCGCCUCGGCCGUCGUAACGUCACGCAAACACGUAUAUAUCACCGUGUAGGUAUUAGGCACACGUUACUACUUACUGGAAUCGAUUCUGAUUUACGGAGGCCGAGUUAUCAGCUCGUAGACAAAACUGACCAAUACUUAGGCAAAAAGUCAAAAAAGAAGCCAAAACUCGCCUCGGCUGUUGUAAAGAGACAAAAACUCGUACAUAGCACCGCGUAGGUAUUAGGCAUGCAUUACAGCUUACGGAACUCGAUUCUGACUUAUGGAGGCCGAGUUAUCAACCCGUAAGCAAAACUGACCAAUAUUUAGGUAAAAAGUCAAAAAAGAGGCCAAAACUUGCCUCAGCCAUCAUAACGAUACGCAAACACAUAAAUAGCACCGCGUAGGUAUUAGGCAUGCAUUACAACUUACGGGACUCGAUUUCGACAAACGGAGGCCGAGUUAUCAGCCCAUAGGCAAAACUGACCAACACUUAGGCAAAAAGUCGAAAAAGAGGCCAAAACCCACCUCGACCGUCGUAACAACACGCAAAUACAUACAUAGCACUGCAUGGGUAUUAGGCACGCGUUAUAACUUACGGGACUCAAUUCUGACUUACGGAAGCCGAGUUAUCAGCCCGUAAGCAAAAUUGAACAACAUUUAGGUAAAAAGUCAAAAAAGAGGCCAAAACCCGCAUCGGCCGUCGUAACGACACGCAAACACAUACAUAUCACCGCGUAAGUAUUAGACAAUCGUUACAACUUACGGGACUCGAUUCUGACUUACGGAGGUCGAGUUAUCAGCCCGUAGGCAAAGCGCCAACACUUAGGCAGAAAGUUGAAAAAGAGGCCAAAACCCGCCUCGACCGUCGUAACAACACGCACACACAUACAUAGCAUAGCGUCGGUAUUAGGCACGUGUUAUAACUUACGGGACUCAAUUCUACCUUACGGAGGCCAAGUUAACAGCCCGUAGGUAAAACUGAACAACACUUAGGCAAGAAGUCAAAAAAGAGGCCAAAACCCGCCUCGGCAGUCGUAAAGACACGCAAACAUGAACAUAGCACCAUUCAGGUAUUAGGCACGUGUUAGAACUUACAUGACUCGAUUCCGACUUACAAAGGCCGAGUUAUCAGCCCGUAGGCAAAACUGACCAACACUUAGGCAAAAUGUCAAAAAAAGGCCAAAACCCGCUUCGGCCGUCGUAACAACAAGCAAACACGUGCAUAGUACCGCAUAGGUAUUAGGCACACGUUAUAACUUACAGGACUCGAUUCGGACAUACGAAGGCCGAGUUAUCCGUAGGCAAAACUGAACAACACUUAGGUAAAAAGUCAAAAAAGAGACCAAAACAUGCCUUAACCGUCGUAACGACACGCAAACACAUACAUAGCACUGUGCAUGUCUUAGGCAUGUGCUACAACUUACGGGACUCGAUUCCGACAUACGUAGGACAAGUUGUCAGCCCGUAGGCAAAAUUGACCAACACUUAGGUAAAAAUUUAAAAAAGGCCAAAACCCGCCUCGGCCAUUGUAAUGACAUGCAAACACAUGCAUAGCACCGCGUAGGUAUUAAGCACGCGUUAUAACUUACCUGACUCAAUUCCGACUUACGGAGGCCGAGUUAUCAGUUCGUAGGCAAAACUGACCAACACUAAGGGAAAAAGUCAAAAAAGAAGCGAAAACCCACCUCGACCGUCGUAAUGACACGCAAACAUGUACAUAGCACCGCACAGGUAUUAGACACGUGUUACAACUUACGAGACUCGAUUCUGACUUACGAAGGCCGAGUUAUCAGCCCGUAGGCAAAACUGACCAACACUUAGACAAAAAAUCAAAAAAGAGGCCAAAACUAGCCUCGACCGUUUUAACGAUACGGAAACUAGUAUAUAGCAGCACGUAGGUAUUAAGCACGCGUUACAACUUAUGGGACUCGAUUCCGAUUACGGAGGCCGAGUUAUCAGCCCGUAGACAAAACUUACCAACACUUAGAUAAAAGUCAAAAAAGAGGCCAAAACCCGCCUCGGCCAUCGUAACGAUACGCUAAUACAUACAUAGCACCGCGUAGGUAUUAGGCAUAUGUUACAACUUACGGGACUCGAUUCCGACAUACAGAGGCCGAGUUAUCAGCCCGUAAGCAAAACUAACCAACAGUUAGGCAAAAAGUCAAAAAGAGGUCAAAAACCACCUCGGCAGUCGUAACGACACGUAAACACAUACAUAGAACCGCGUGGGUAUUAGGCAUGUGUUACAACUUAUGGGUCUUGAUUCUGACUUACGGAGGCCGAGUUAUCAGCCCGUAGGCAAAACUAAACAACACUUAGGCAAAAAGUCGAACAACAGGCCAAAACCAGCCUCGACCGUCAUAACGAUAUGCAAAUACGUACAUAGCACCGUGUAGGUAUUAGGCACGCGUUACAACUUAAGGGACUCGAUUCCAUCAUACGGAGACCGAGCUAUCAGUUUGUAGACAAAACUGACCAACAGUUAGGCAAAAAGUCAAAAAAGAGGCCAAAACUCACCUCGGCCAUCGUAACAACACGCAAAGACAUACAUAGCACUGCAUGGGUAUUAGGCACGCGUUAUAACUUACGGGACUCAAUUCUGACUUACGGAGGCCGAGUUAUCAGCCCGUAAGCAAAAACUGAACAACAUUUAGAUAAAAAGUCAAAAAAGAGGCCAAAACCCGUCUCGGCCGUCAUAACGAAACAAAAAUACGUACAUAACACCGCGUAGGUAUUAGGCACGUGUAACAACUUAAGGGAUUGGAUUCCGACUUACAGAGGCCAAGUUAUCAGCCGGUAGGCAAAACUGACCAAUACUUAGCCAAAAAGUCGAAAAAGAUGCCAAAACCCGCCUCGGACGUCGUAAAGACAUGCAAACACAGACAUAGUAUUGUGUAGGCAUUAGGCACGCGUUAAAACUUACGGGACUCGAUUUCAACUUACGGAGGCCGAGUUAUCAGCUCGUACGUAAAAUUGACCAAGACUUAGGCAAAAAGUCGAAAAAGAGGCCAAAACCCACCUCAGCCGGCAUAACAACACGCAAACACAUACAUAGUACCGCGUAGGUAUUAGGCACACGUUACAACUUAAGGGACACGAUUCUGACUUACGAAAGUUGACUUAUAAGGCCAUAGGCAAAACUCGCCAACACUUACAUAAAAAUUCGAAAAAGAGGCCAAAACCUGUCUUGACCGUCGUAACAACCCGCAGAUACAUACAUAGCAUAGCGUAGGUAUUAGGCACACGUUACAACUUAAGUGACUCGAUUAUAACUUACGGAGGCCGAGUUAUCAGCCCGUAGGCAAAACUGACCAACACUUAGGCAAAAAGUCAAAAAAGAGAUCAAAACCCGUCUCGAAUGUCAUAACGACACAAAAACACAUACAUAGCACCACAUAGGUAUUAGGCACACGUUACAACUUAAGGGACUUGAUUCUGACUUACGGAGGCCGAGUUAUUAGCCCGUAGUCAAAACUGGAUAACACUUAAGUAAAAAGUCAAAAAUGAGGCCAAAACCUGCCUCGGCUGUCGUAACGAUAUGCAAACACAAACAUAGCACCAUGUAGGUAUUAGGCACGCUUUACAACUUACGGGACUCGAUUCUGACUUACGGAGGCCGAGUUAUCAGCCCGUAGGCAAAACUGACCAACAUAUAGCUCAAAAGUCGAAAAAGAGGCCAAAACCCGCCUCGGCCGUUGUAAUAACACGCAAACACGUGCAUAGUACCGCGUAGGUAUUAGGCACGCGUUACAACUUACAGGACUUGAUUCCAACUUACGAAGGCCGAGUUAUCAGCCCGUAGCCAAAACUGACCAACACUUAGGCAAAAAGUCGAAAAAGAGGCCAAAACCCGUAUCGGCCGUCGUAACAACACGCAAACACAAAUAUAGCACCGCGUAGGUAUUAGGCGUGUGUUACAACUUACGGGACUCGAUUCAGACCUGCAGAGGCCGAGUUAUCAGCUCGUAGACAAAACUGACCAACACUUAGGUAACAAGUUAAAAAAGAGGCCAAAACCCGCCUCGGCAGUUGUAACGACACGAAAACACAUGCAUAGUACCGCGUAGGUAUUAGGCAUGCGUUAAAACUUACGGAACUCGAUUCCAACUUACGGAGCCCGAGUUAUCAGCCCGUAGGCAAAACUGACCAACACUUUGGUAAAAAGUCAAAAAAGAGGCCAAAACCUGCCUCGGCCGUCGUAACGUCACGCAAACACGUACAUAUCACCGUGUAGGUAUUAGGCACGCGUUACUACUUACUGGAAUCGAUUCGGAUUUACGGAGGCCGAGUUAUCAGCUCAUAGGCAAAACUGAACAACAUUUAGGUAAAAAGUCAAAAAAGAAGCCAAAACCCGCAUCGGCCGUCGUAACAACACGCAAACACAUAUAUAUCACCGCGUAGGUAUUAGACAAUCGUUACAACUUACGGGACUCGAUUCUGACUUACGGAGGUCGAGUUAUCAGCCCGUAGGCAAAAGUCGUCAACACUUAGGCAGAAAGUUGAAAAAGAGGGCAAAACCCGCCUCGACCGUCGUUAUAACACGCACACACAUACAUAGCAUAGCGUCGGUAUUAGGCACGUGUUAUAACUUACAGGACUCAAUUCUACCUUACGGAGGCCAAGUUAACAGCCCGUAGGUAAAACUGACCAACACUUAGGCAAGAAGUCAAAAAAGAGGCCAAAACCCGCCUCGGCAGUUGUAAAGACACGCAAACAUGAACAUAGCACCGUUCAGGUAUUAGGCACGUGUUAGAACUUACAUGACUCGAUUCCGACUUACAGAGGCCGAGUUAUCAGCCCGUAGGCAAAACUGACCAACACUUAGGCAAAAUGUCGAAAAAAGGCCAAAACCCGCUUCGGCCGUCGUAACAACAAUCAAACACGUGCAUAGUACCGCGUAGGCAAAACUGACCAACACUUAGGCAAAAAGUCGAAAAAGAGGCCAAAACUAGCCUCGGUCGUUGUAACGAUACGGAAACUAGUAUAUAGCACCACGUAGGUAUUAAGCACGCGUUACAACUUACGAGACUCAAUUGCGAUUACGGAGGCCGAGUUAUCAACCCGUAGACAAAACAUACCAACACUUAGAUAAAAAGUCAAAAAAGAGGCCAAAACCCGCCUCAGCCAUCGUAACGAUACGCUAAUACAUACAUAGCACCGCGUAGGUAUUAGGCAUACGUUACAACUCCCGAGACUCGAUUCCGACAUACGGAGGCCGAGUUAUCAGCCCGUAGGCAAAACUAACCAACACUUACGCAAAAAGUCAAAAAAAAGGUCAAAAACCACCUUGGCAGUCGUAACGACACGUAAACACAUACAUAGAACCGCGUGGGUAUUAGGCAUGUGUUACAACUUAUGGGUCUUGAUUCUGACUUACAGAGGCCGAGUUAUCAGCCCGUAGGCAAAACUGAACAACACUUAGGUAAAAAGUCGAACAACAGGCCAAAACCAGCCUCGACCGUUGUAACGAUAUGCAAAUACGUACAUAGCACCGUGUAGGUAUUAGGCACGUGUUAUAACUUAAGGGACUCAAUUCCGUCAUACGGAGACCGAGCUAUCAGUUUGUAGGCAAAACUGACCAACACUUAGGCAAAAAGUCAAAAAAGAGGCAAAAACUCACCUCGGCCGUCGUAACAACACGCAAAGACAUAAAUAGUACUGCAUGGGUAUUAGGCACGCGUUAUAACUUACAGGACUCAAUUCUGACUUACGGAGGCCGAGUUAUCAACCCGUAAGCAAAACUGAACAACAUUUAGAUAAAAAGUCAAAAAAAGGCCAAAACCCGCCUCGGCCGUCGUAACGACACGCAAACACAUACAUAGCACCGCGUAGGUAUUAGGCACUCGUUACAACUUACGAGACUCAAUUCUGACUAACGGAGGCCGAGUUAUCAGCCUGUAGGCAAAACUCGCUAACACUUAAGCAAAGAGUCGAAAAAGAGGCCAAAACCCGCCUCGACCGUCGUAACAACACACACAUACAUAUAUAGCACAACGUAGGUAUUAGGCAUGUGUUACAACUUACGGGACUCAAUUCUAACUUACGGAGGCCGAGUUAUCAGCCCGUAAGUAAAACUGACCAACACUUAGGCAAGAAUUCAAAAAAGAGGCCAAAACCCGCCUCGGCAGUCGUAAAGACACGCAAACAUGAACAUAGCACCGUGUAGGUAUUAGGCACGUGUUAGAACUUAUGGGGCUCGAUUCCGACUUACAGAGGCCGAGUUAUCAGCCCGUAGGCAAAACUGACCAACACUUAGGCAAAAUGUCGAAAAAGAGGCCAAAACCCGCCUCGGCCGUCGUAAAAACAAGCAAACACGUGCAUAGUACCGCGUAGGUAUUAGGCACGCGUUAUAACUUACGGGACUCGAUUCCGAUAAACGUGUUAGGUUUUUGUGAAAAUCAAAGUAGCAAUCAAAUUGCAAAAUUUUGCGGAAGCGUAAUAAAAUCAGAUUUUAAAAUUUUUCACAAACCAAUUACCCGGAUCAAUCUUUAUGCAUAUUAUUAAUUAAACGAAGAAUAAGAAAUUGUGAAAUCAUACCCUUGUAGAAACGAGCUUCCUCAGGUAUGAGUUCACCUCCUACUUCUCCGCGAUCUCCUUGAAUCUCCGGGUAAAUUCCUUCCUUUGAUCAAUGUAAGCCACCCAAGUGUAUGGCCUCUAGAGGUGAUCCACCAAGGAAGAAGAAUUUUCAAGAAGAAGGGUGUAUUGGCUCAAACCCUAGUUUUUCCUAUCUCUAUAGAAAAAGGGAGUACUCUCCAACUCUUUGGAAUUACGNNNNNNNNNNNNNNNNNNNNNNNNNNNNNNNNNNNNNNNNNNNNNNNNNNNNNNNNNNNNNNNNNNNNNNNNNNNNNNNNNNNNNNNNNNNNNNNNNNNNNNNNNNNNNNNNNNNNNNNNNNNNNNNNNNNNNNNNNNNNNNNNNNNNNNNNNNNNNNNNNNNNNNNNNNNNNNNNNNNNNNNNNNNNNNNNNNNNNNNNNNNNNNNNNNNNNNNNNNNNNNNNNNNNNNNNNNNNNNNNNNNNNNNNNNNNNNNNNNNNNNNNNNNNNNNNNNNNNNNNNNNNNNNNNNNNNNNNNNNNNNNNNNNNNNNNNNNNNNNNNNNNNNNNNNNNNNNNNNNNNNNNNNNNNNNNNNNNNNNNNNNNNNNNNNNNNNNNNNNNNNNNNNNNNNNNNNNNNNNNNNNNNNNNNNNNNNNNNNNNNNNNNNNNNNNNNNNNNNNNNNNNNNNNNNNNNNNNNNNNNNNNNNNNNNNNNNNNNNNNNNNNNNNNNNNNNNNNNNNNNNNNNNNNNNNNNNNNNNNNNNNNNNNNNNNNNNNNNNNNNNNNNNNNNNNNNNNNNNNNNNNNNNNNNNNNNNNNNNNNNNNNNNNNNNNNNNNNNNNNNNNNNNNNNNNNNNNNNNNNNNNNNNNNNNNNNNNNNNNNNNNNNNNNNNNNNNNNNNNNNNNNNNNNNNNNNNNNNNNNNNNNNNNNNNNNNNNNNNNNNNNNNNNNNNNNNNNNNNNNNNNNNNNNNNNNNNNNNNNNNNNNNNNNNNNNNNNNNNNNNNNNNNNNNNNNNNNNNNNNNNNNNNNNNNNNNNNNNNNNNNNNNNNNNNNNNNNNNNNNNNNNNNNNNNNNNNNNNNNNNNNNNNNNNNNNNNNNNNNNNNNNNNNNNNNNNNNNNNNNNNNNNNNNNNNNNNNNNNNNNNNCUAUCUAAGAAUUUAGAUCUCAUUAGCAUGAUCUCAUCAUGAUUCUAAAAGCAUUGCUUAAAACUAUGGGUUUAUCACAUAUUAAAAUAGCACCAUGUAGAUAAUAAAUGCCUUUAAUAAAUAAUUCUUUUAUUAAUAAAUAAAUAAGAUUGAUUACAAAGUAUAUGCUUUAUCAUCAUACAUGAUUGGCUUGUAUGCAUACUACUUUCAAAACGGAGGCCGAGUUAUCAGCCCGUAAGCAAAACUGAACAACACUUAGGCAAAAAGUAAAAAAAGAGGCCAAAACAUGCCACGGCCGUCGUAAUGACACGCAAACACAUACAUAGCACCGCGCAUGUAUUUGACAUGUGCUACAACUUACGGGACUCGAUUCUGACAUACGUAGGCCAAGGUGUCGGCCCGUAGGUAAAAUUGACCAAUAAUUUGGUAAAAAAUUAAAAAAGAGGCCAAAACCCGUCUCAACCAUUGUAAUGACAUGCAAACACAUGCAUAGCACCGCGUAGGUAUUAGGCACGUGUUAUAACUUACGGGACUCAAUUAUGACUUACGGAGGCCGAGUUAUCAGUUCGUAGGAAAAACUGACCAACACUUAGGGAAAAAGUCAAAAAAGAAGCUAAAACCCACCUCGGCCGUCGUAAUGACACGCAAACACGUACAUAGCACCGCGCAGGUAUUGGGCACGUGUUACAACUUACGGGACUCGAUUCUGACUUACGGAGGCCGAGUUAUCAGCCCGUAGACAAAACUGACCAACACUUAGGCAAAAAAUCGAAAAAGAGGCCAAAACUCGCCUCGGUCGUUGUAACGAUACAGAAACUCGUAUAUCGCACGACGUAGGUAUUAGGCACGCGUUACAACUUACGGGACUCAAUUCUGACUUACAGAGGCCGAGUUAUCAGCCCGUAGAUAAAACUAACCCACACUUAGGUAAAAAGUCAAAAAAGAGGCCAAAACCCGCCUCGGCUGUCAUAACGAUACGCUAACACAUACAUAGCACCGCAUAGGUAUUAAGCAUACGUUACAACAUACGGGACUCGUUUCCGACAUACAGAGGCCGAAUUAUCAGCCCGUAGGCAAAACUGACCAACACCUAGGCAAAAAGUUAAAAAAGAGGCCAAAAACCACCUCGGCAAUCGUAACGACACGCAAACACAUAUAUAGAACCGCGUGGGUUUUAAACAUGUGUUACAACUUAUAGGUCUUGAUUCUGACUUACGGAGGCCGAGUUAUCAGCCCGUAGGCAAAACUGAACAACACUUAGGCAAAAAGUCGAACAAGAGACCAAAACCAGCCUCGACCGUCGUAACGAUAUGCAAACACGUACAUAGAACCGCGUAGGUAUUAGGCACGCGUUACAACUUAAGGGAUUCGAUUCCAACAUACGGAGGCCGAGCUAUCAGCCUGUAGGCAAAACUGACCAACACUUCGGUAAAAAGUCGAAAAAGAGGCCAAAACCUGCCUUGGCUGUCGUAACGACGCGCAAACACAUGCAUAGCACCGCGUAGGUAUUUAGCAUGCGUUACACCUUACGGGACUCGAUUCCGAUAUACGAAGGCCGAGUUAUCAGCCCGUAGGUAAAAUUGACCAACACUUAGUGAAAAAGUCGAAAAAGAGGUCAAAAUCGCCUCGACCGACAUAAUGACACGCAAACACGUACAUAUCACUGCGUCGAUAUUAGACAUGUGUUACAACUUAUGGGACUCGAUUCUGACAUACAGAUGCCGAGUUAUCAGCGCGUAGGUAAAACUGACCAACACUCAAGCAAAAAGUCAAAAAAGAGUCCAAAAUCCACCUCGGCUGUCGUAAUAACACGCAAACAUAUACAUAGCACUAUAUAGGUAUUAGGCACGCGCUACAACUUAUGGGACUCGAUUUUGACUUACGGAGGCCGAGUUAUCAGCGUGUAGUCAAAAUUGACCAACACUUAAGCAAAAAGUCUAAAAAGGGGCCAAAACAAGCCUCGGCUAUCGUAACAACACGCAAACACGUACGUAGCAUCGCGUAGGUAUUAGGCAUGCGUUACAACUUAUGAGACUCGAUUCCAACUUACGGAGGCCGAGUUAUCUGCCCGUAGGCAAAAUUGACCAACACUUAGGCAAAAAGUCGAAAAAGAGGCCAAAACUAGCCUCGACAGUUUUGACGACACACAAACACAUACAUAGCAUUGCGUAGGUAUUAGGCACGCAUUACAACUUACGGGACUCGAUUCUGACUUACGGGGGUCGAGUUAUCAGCCCCUAGGCAAAACUGACCAACACUUAGGAAAAAAGUCUAAAAAGAGGCCAAAACCGGCCUCGACCGUUGUAACCAUAGGCAAACUCUUACAUAGCACCGUGUAGGUAUUAGGCAUGCGUUACAACUUACAGGACUCGAUUCCGACUUACGGAGACCGAGUUAUCAGCCCGUAGGCAAAACUGACCAACACUUAGCUAAAAAGUCAAAAAAAAAAGCCAAAACCCGACUCGGCCGUCAAAACGAUACGCAAACACAUACAUAGAACCACGUAGGUAUUAGGCAUGUGUUACAACUUAUGGGACUUGAUUCCGAUAUACGGAGGCCGAGUUAUCAACCCGUAGGCAUAACUAACCAACACUUAGGCAAAAAGUCGAAAAAGAGACCAAAACCCUCCUCGGCCGUCUUAACGACACACAAACACUUACAUAGCACCGCGUGGGUAUUAUGUGACGCCCCCAAAAUAGGUAUACAUCACCCAUUUUGAGUUGUCAAAUACAUGGUACAGAAACUACUACAACUUUAUUAUUACAACAUAAAAACUGUGAGUUUAAAAUACAAAUAUUGUCAUCCAGACAAUAUUAAUACCCAAAUAAAUCCUCAUCACAAUUAUUAAUACAUUAUUUUAUGAAAAUGGUGAGGACUACUAAACAACUCUCUCUAGAACCAUCAUUCCAUACCCCGACUCGUACUCGCUAUAUUCUCGCCUCCUGAGAAGAAAAAUGGAACAACAAGGAAAAGGGUGAGCUCAACUAGCCCAGUAAAGAAUAUUAUGACUAAGAUAAUAUAGAACAAAUUAUCGUUAGUCCUCAACAGGGAAAAAUCUGAUAGAAUACAAUAGACAACAAAUUUCAGAUCAAUAUUCGCAGCGAAAAAUAAUAAUUCAUAGAAUAGUUACGUAGAGGAUGAAAUCUACUAAUAUCUAUGAAUUAAACAGUCCAUCAUCAUUAUUUUAUCCCUGUAACAUCAAUCAAUAUACAUCUUGAAUCAAAUAUUCAUCUUUGCACUACAGGCCAAAGAUAUUCAGUAACAUCAUCAUUUAGGACUGAGGAUGAUGAAAAAUAUUUUUAAAGAAACGAAUCCAGUGAAACAAAAGACAAGGAUUAAGGAUUAAGGAUUAAGGAUUCGUAAUUCGGUUUAUCCAUGUCCAAAAAUACCUCAAUAAUAAUCAUAGUGGAGUAAAAUUCAAGAAUGAUCAAAACAUGGAUACAAUCAAAGCUAGUAAUCAUAAUAGAUAUUUUGGACAAAAACGAAAAUUUAAUUUUUUUGUGGAUAGUGUCGUAUUCGUGAAUAGUGCCAUAUACGUAAAUAGUGCUAUAUACGUGAAUAGUAACACCUACACAAAAAGUUCCAAAUUUGAUAAAAACUUCAGAUCAAUAUUUUGGCAUAAUGAUAUUAAAGAAAUAAUAUCAUUACAAAAAAAAUAAUAUCCCUUACCUCGAAAGACAGUACUUCUAGUUGAAACACCGGAUAUUGACUAUGACUUGAACUUGCACCGUAUAGCAAUACUCAAAGUAUACUCAAAAUACUCACAAGAAUACGCUCGAUAAUAUAGAGAGAGAAAACUUCGCUUUCUGGUGUAAUUUUCAAUUCUAACCUAAGCACCCUAUUUAUAGGAAAAUGCUUAGAACACCAAAGCAGAAAAUUUAAUAUAAUAAUAUAUUUAUAAAAAUUUGUCUACGCCAACCUUUGAGAAUCUGAAAUCAGCCCCUUCAACACACAUAUGGAACACACCUUAAUGAAAAAAACGUUUUUCAUACUUUAAAUAUUUUAAACUUCCAAAAAUCAAUUAUUUCGGAGCUUCGGAACUUCAAUAAUUCAUAAUAAAUAGCCCUUUUAUCCGAAAAUUUGAAUCUCGCGAGUUUUUAUAGGAAAUUCAAUUCUCUACAACUUUUCAGAAGAAAGUUUUUCCAAAUUCCAAACAGAAAUUGACCGAAAUCCACAAACGGACGAUUUUACAGGCUAUAAUCAAAUUUCAGUCAAUAAAUGGGGUCCACCGACAUGUUUAACAUGUUUUAAAUAUUUAUUGUAACAAAAAUACUCCUCCUCCACAUAUACUCAUAUAUCCCACAUUCAUCGUAAAAAUAUCAUCAUUAUUAUAUUAUUAAAAUAUAAUAAUAUAUUUAAAUGAAUUAUUUUAUCAGAAAAAGAUAAAAUUUCAAUUUUCAACAAUUGUCACAUUAAAAAUUUUUUUCCAUCUAUAUCCACAUAAAAUCAAUAUUUUCCUCAUCAUAUAAAUCAUUAAUUAAUUAUUCAAAAAUAAUAUUACAGAAUCACAAUACUGACAACCAGGCAGUUCCCAGGAAAGAGGGGGCCUUCCGGUAAAGAUUUCUCCUUANNNNNNNNNNNNNNNNNNNNNNNNNNNNNNNNNNNNNNNNNNNNNNNNNNNNNNNNNNNNNNNNNNNNNNNNNNNNNNNNNNNNNNNNNNNNNNNNNNNNNNNNNNNNNNNNNNNNNNNNNNNNNNNNNNNNNNNNNNNNNNNNNNNNNNNNNNNNNNNNNNNNNNNNNNNNNNNNNNNNNNNAAUAAUUGGUGCAAUACCGUGUGCUACUGUGCAACAACGCGUAUUACUGUGUUUUAACCACCGGGUAUUCCAACAGUAUUAACGGUAACAACUACGCCGUUAUUUAUAAACAACUUAUACUUGUCGUUUUCUUCAUCCAAUCCCUUUCUGUUAUGGGGCUCACACAAGGCUGCGCCGUCGUACGAAUAUUCCUCGACAAUAAAAAUAUUCCACGACCCAACGAAUAUUCCUCAACAACAAUGAAUAUUUUAUAACCACUUGCUUAUUUUGUAAAAUUUGCGCAUUUUACCCAUAACUAACCACAUUAAUCAAUUCAACCCUAACUAUUUCAAAAUAAUAAAUAAAGGAAAUUUCAUUUUUAUAAAAAAAAUUCGGGGUCUUACAUAUUAGGCAUGCGUUACAACUUACGGGACUCGAUUCUGACAUACGGAAGCCAAGUUAUCAGCCCGUAGGCAAAACUGACCAAUACUUAGGCAAAAAGUUGAAAAAGAGACCAAAACUAGCCUCGACCGUUGUAACGACAUGCAAACACAUACAUAGCAUCGCGUUGGUAUUAGGCACGCAUUACAACUUACGGGACUCGAUUCUGACUUACGAGAGCCGAGUUAUCAGCCCGUAGGCAAAACAGACCAACACUUAGGCAAAAAGUCAAAAAAGAGGCCAAAACCGGCCUCGACCGUUGUAACGAUAGGCAAACUCUUACAUAGCACCGUGUAGGUAUUAGGCAUGCGUUACAACUUACGGGACUCGAUUCCGACUUAUGGAGGCCGAGUUAUCAGCCCGUAGGCAAAACAGACCAACACUUAGGCAAAAAGUCAAAAAAGAGGCCAAAACCCGCCUUGGCCGUCAAAACGAUACGCAAACACAUACAUAGAACCACGUAGGUAUUAGCCAUGCGUUACAACUUAUGGGACUUGAUUCUGAUAUACGGAGGCCGAGUAAUCAACCCGUAGGCAAAACUAACCAAUAUUUAGGUAAAAAGUUAAAAAAAGAGGCCAAAACCCGCAUCGGCCGUUGUAAUGACACGAAAACACAUGUAUAGUACCGUGUAGGUAUUAAGCACACGUUAAAACUUACGGGACUCGAUUCCAACUUACAGAGGCCGAGUUAUCAGCCCGUAGGCAAAACUGACCAACAAGUAGGUAAAAAGUCAAAAAAAGAGGCCAAAACCCGCCUCGGUCGUCGUAACAACACGCAAACAUAUGCAUAGUACCGCAUAGGUAUUAGGCACGCGUUACAACUUACAGGACUCGAUUCCAACUUACGGAUGGCGAGUUAUCAGCCCGUAGCCAAAACUGACCAACACUUAGGCAAAAAGUCGAAAAAGAGGCCAAAACCCACCUCGGCCGUCGUAACAACACGCAAACACAUAUAUAGCACUGCGUAGGUAUUAGGCACACGUUACAACUUAUGAAACUAAUUUCCGACUUACGGAAGCCGAGUUAUCAGUCCGUAGGCAAAACUAAACAACAUUUAGGUAAAAAGUCAAAAAAGAGGCCAAAACCCGCCUCGGCCUUCGUAACGACAUGCAAACACAUAUAUAGCACCGCGUAGGUAUUAGGCACUCUUUACAACUUACGGGACUCGAUUCUGACUUACGGAGGCCGAGUUAUCAGCCCGUAGGCAAAACUCGCCAACACUUAUUCAAAAAGUCGAAAAAGAGGCCAAAACCCACCUCGACCGUCGUAACAACGCGCACACACAUACAUAGCACAACAUAGGUAUUAGGCACUUGUUACAACUUACGGGACUUGAUUCUAACUUACGGAGGCCGAAUUAUCAGCCCGUAUGUAAAAAUGACCAACACUUAGGCAAGAAGUAAAAAAGAGGCCAAAACUCACCUCGGUAGUCGUAAAGACACGCAAACAUGAACAUAGCACCGUGUAGGUAUUAGGCAAGGGUUAGAACUUAAGGGUCUCGAUUCUGACUUACAGAGGCCAAGUUAUCAGCCCGUAGGAAAAACUAACCAACACUUAGACAAAAUAUCGAAAAAGAGGCCAAAACCUGCGUCGGUCGUCGUAACAACACGCAAACAUGUGCAUAGAACCGCAUAGGUAUUAGGCACGCGUUACAACUUACGGGACUCGAUUCUGACUUACGGAGGCCGAAUUAUUAGCCCAUUGGCAAAACUGACCAACACUUAGGCAAAAAGUCAAAAAAGAGGCUAAAAUUAGCCUCGGUCGUCGUAAUGACACACAAACAUAUACAUAGCACCACGUAGGCAUUAGGCACGCGUUACAACUUACAGGACUAGAUUUCGACUUACGGAGGUCGAGUUAUCAGCCCGAAGUCAAAACUGACCAACACUUAGGCAAAAACUCAAAAAAAGGCCAAAACCCGCCUUGGCCGUCAUAACGACACGCAAAAACGUAUAUAGCACCGUGUAGGUAUUAGGCACGUGUUACAACUUACGGGACUCGAUUCCGAAUUAUAUAGGGCGAGUUAUCAGCCCGUACGCAAAACUGACCAACACUUAGGCAAAAAGUUAAAAAAGAGGCCGAAACCUGCCUCGACCGUCGUAACGAUACGCAAAGAAGUACAUAGCACCGCGUAGGUAUUAGGCAUGCGUUACAACUUACGGGACUCGAUUCCGACUUACGGAGGCCGAGUUAUCAGCCCGUAGGCAAAACUGACCAACACAUAGGCAAAAAUUCGAAAAAGAGGCCAAAACUCGUAUCGGCCAUCGUAACGACACGCAAACACAUACAUAGCAUCGCGUAGGUAUUAGGCACGCGUUAAAACUUACUGGACUCGAUUCCAACUUACGGAGGCCGAGUUAUCAGCUCGUAGACAAAACUGACCAACACUUAGGUGAAAAGUCAAAAAAGAGGCCAAAACCCGCCUUGGUCGUCGUAACGACACGCAAACACGUACAUAUCACUGUGUAGGUAUUAGGCACGCGUUACUACUUACGGGACUCGAUUCUGAUUUACCGAGGCCGAGUUAUAAGCCCGUAGGCAAAACUGACCAACACUUAAGCAAAAAGUUGAAAAAGAGGCCAAAACCCUCCUCAGCCGUUGUAAUGAGGCGGAAACUCGUACAUAGCAUCGCGUAGGUUUUAAGCACGCGUUACAACUUACGAAACUUGAUUCCGACUUACGGAGGCCGAGUUAUCAGCCUUUAGGCAAAACUGAUCAACACUUAGGUAAAAAGUCAAAAAAGAGACCAAAACCUGCCUCAGCCAUCGUAAUGAUACGCAAACACAUACAUAGCACCGCGUAGGUAUUAGGCAUACAUUAUAGCUUACGGGACUCGAUUUUGAAAUACGGAGGCCGAGUUAUCAGCCCGUAGGCAAAACUGACCAACACUUAGGCAAAAAGUCGAAAAAGAGGCCAAAACCAACCUCGGCCGUCGUAACAACACGCAAAGACAUACAUAGCACUGCAUGGGUAUUAGGCACGCGUUAUAACUUACGGGACUCAAUUCUGACUUACGGAGGCCGAGUUAUCAGCCCGUAAGCAAAACUGAACAACAUUUAGGUAAAAAGUCGAAAAAGGGGCGAAAACAUGCCUCGACCGUCGUAACGACAUAAAAACACAUACAUAGUACUACGUAUGUAUAAGGCCUGCGUUACAACUUACGGGACACGAUUCUGACAUACGUAGAUCGAGUUAUUAGCCCGUAUUCAAAAUUGACCAACACUUAGGUAAAAAGUUAAAAAAGAGGUCAAAUCCCGCAUCGGCCAUUGUAACGACACAUAAAUACAUGCAUAGCACCGCGUAGGUAUUAGGCAUGCAUUAUAACUUAUGGGACUCAAUUCCGACUUACGGGGGCCGAGUUAUCAGCCCGUAGGCAAAACUGACCAAUAUUUGGGAAAAAAGUCAAAAAAGAGGCCAAAACCCACCUCGACUGUUGUAACGUUAUGGAAACUCGUACAUAGCACCGCGUAGGUAUUAGGCACACGUUACAACUUAUGGGACUCGAUUCCAAUUUACGGAGGCCGAGUUAUCAGCCCGUAGGCAAAACUAACUAACACUUAGGUAAAAAGUUAAAAAAUAAGCCAAAACCCGUCUCGGCCAUCGUACUGAUACGUAAACACAUACAUAGCACCGCGUAGGUAUUAGGCAUGUGUUACAACUUACGGGACUCGAUUCCAACAUACGGAGGCCGAGUUAUCAGCCCGUAGGCAAAACUAACAAACACUUAGGCAAAAAGUCAAAAAAGAGGCUAAAACUCGCAUGGACCAUCGUAACGACAAGCAAACACAUACAUAUCAUCGCGUAGGUAUUAGGCACACAUUACAACUUACGGGACUCGAUUCCGACAGACGGAGGCCGAGUUAUCAACCCGUAGGCAAAACUGACCAACACUUAGGCAAAAAGUAGAAAAAGAUGCCAAAAUCCGCCUCGACCGUUGUAACGAUACAGAAACUAGUACAUAGCACCGCGUAGGUAUCAGGCACGCAUUACAACUUACGGGACUCGAUUUCGACUUACGGAGGCCAAGUUAUCAGCCUGUAGGCAAAACUAACUAACACUUAGGUAAAAAGUCAAAAAAGAAGCCGAAACCCGCCUCGGCCAUCGUAAUGAUACCCAAACACAUACAUUGCACUGCAUAGGUAUUAGACGUACGUUACAACUUACAGGACUCGAUUCCGACAUACGGAGGCCGAGUUAUCAGCCCGUAGGCAAAACUGACCAACACUUAGGCAAAAAGUCAAAAAAGAGGCCAAAACUCACCUCGGCUAUCGUAACAACACGCAAACACAUACAUAGCAUCGCGUAGGUAUUAGGCACGCAUUACAACUUACGGGACUCGAUUCUGACAGACGGAGGCCGAGUUAUCAGCCCGUAGGCAAAACUGAGCAACACUUAGGCAAAAAGUCAAAAAAGAGGCCAAAACUCUCCUCGGCUGUAGUAACGACACACAAACACAAAUAUAGCACCGCGUAAGUAUUAGGCACGUGUUACAACUUACAGGACUCGAUUCCGACUUACGGAGGCCAAGUUAUCAGCCCGUAGGCAAAACUGACCAACACUUAGGCAAAAAGUCAAAAAAGUUCCCAAAAACCCGUCUCGGGCGUCGUAAUAAGAUGCAAAGUAAUUCAUAGCACUGUGUCAGAAUUAGGCACGCGUUACAACUUACAGGACUCGAUUCUGACUUACGAAGGCCGAGUUAUUAGCCCAUUGGCAAAACUGACCAACACUUAGGCAAAAAGUCAAAAAAGAGGCCAAAAUUAGCCUCGGUCGUUGUAAUGACAUACAAACAUAUACAUAGCACCACGUAGACAUUAGGCACGCGUUACAACUUACGGGACUUAAUUUUGACUUACGGAGGCCGAGUUAUCAGCCCGUAGGCAAAACUGACCAACACUUGGGCAAAAACUCGAAAAAAGGCCAAAACCCGCCUUGGCCGUCAUAACGACACACAAACACGUAUAUAGCACUGCAAACACAUACAUAGCAUCGCAUAAGUAUUAGGCACGCGUUAAAACUUACGAGACUCGAUUCCAACUUACGGAGGCCGAGUUAUCAGUCAAUAGACAAAACUGACCAACACUUAGGUAAAAAGUCAAAAAAGAGACCAAAACCCGCCUCGGUCGUCGUAAUGACAUGCAAAAAUGUACAUAUCAUUGUGUAGGUAUUAGGCACGCGUUACUACUUACGGGACUCGAUUCUAAUUUACCGAGGCCGAGUUAUAAGCCCGUAGGCAAAACUCACCAACACUUAGGUAAAAAGUCGAAAAAGAGACCAAAACCCGCCUCAGGCGUUGUAAUGAGACGGAAACACGUACAUAGUACCGCGUAAGUUUUAGGCAUGCGUUACAACUUACGAAACUCGAUUUCGACUUACGGAGGCCAAGUUAUCAGCCUUUAGGCAAAACUGACCAACACUUAGGUAAAAAGUCAAAAAAGAGGUCAAAACCUGCAUCAGCCAUCGUAACGAUACGCAAACACAUACAUAGCACCACGUUGGUAUUAGGCAUACAUUACAACUUACGGGACUUGAUUUCGACAUACGGAGGCCGAGUUAUCAGCCCGUAGGCAAAACUAACCAACACUUAGGCAAAAAGUCGAAAAAGAGGCCAAAACUAACCUCGGCCGUCGUAACAACAUGCAAAGACAUACAUAGCACUGCAUGGGUAAUAGUUAUGCGUUAUAACUUACGGGACUCAAUUCUGACUCACGGAGGCUGAGUUAUCAGCCCGUAAGCAAAACUGAACAACAUUUAGGUAAAAAGUCAAAAAAGGGGCGAAAACAUGCUUCGACCAUCGUAACGACAUAAAAACACAUAAAUAGUACUGUGUAUGUAUAAGGCCUGCGUUACAACUUACGGGACUCGAUUCUGACAUACGUAGACCGAGUUAUUAGCCCGUAUUUAAAAUUGACCAACACUUAGGUAAAAAGUUAAAAAAGAGGCCAAAACUCGCAUCGGCCAUUGUAACGACACGCAAAUCAAAGAGUUGAUCUCCAUGCUUUUUGGUAAGUGUUACAUGGUUAUUGUGUUGCACUCUUUUUGUAAUUAUUUUGUGGAUGCACUAAUCUUGUAAUUAUUAUCUAAUUGUUGUAUAGUAGUGUAAAGAACUCUUUAUUAAACUUUAGAAUUUAAUAUGAAAUAAUCAAUUACUCCCUCCGUCCCAUAGUUAUAGGCUGAUUUCUUUUGGCACAUAGUUUAAGAAAAUCAGUUUAAGUGACAAUUUUAAAAAGAAAAUUUCAACAUAUACCCCUUAAUAUAGAAUUAAUAAAUAAGUUAAUUACUCUUUACUUAUCACACUGAAACUCUCAACUUAAUUGAUUAGCGUGUAUUGACCAUUAAAGUCCUUAACCAUAUAACUUUAACCAAAGAUGGAGUUUUUACUUUCAACCAAUUGUCUUUUAUACACAAAAUAUGUUAAACUAGUAAAGCCUAAAAAGUUGAAUUCUUUUAUUGAGAAUACAUCAACAUUAAAUAUGGUGAUAAAAAUAAUGACGCUGAAUGUUGUUUCUUCAAAAAAAAGUAAUGGUUGAAUAUUUAUUAUAAGGGCAUAAAAGUAAAACAAUGAACCAACUAAAUUUUAUAAAUAAUAAGUAGCCUAUAUAUUGGGACAUCCCAAAAUGAAAAAUCACCCUAUAACUAUGGGACAGAAGGAGUAUUUAUAUUCAAAAUUUUAGAAACAAUUUAAACAUGUAAGAAAUCGAACUAGUCGAACCAAUCUCGAACUUAUCGAACUGAACUCGAACUUAUCGAGUCAAUCUUGAACUUAUCGAACCGAACUCGAACUUAUCGAACCGAACCACAUGGUUCGCGAACAUGUUCGAUCGAGCAAUCGAACGUAACACUAUGUGCGAACUCGACUCGACUAGGCGAGCAACUCGAACUCGAACCGAACUGGUUCGCGAACGUUUGCAGCCCUACAAUAAUAUACUACAUACCUGAAGGUUAUACAAGGCAAUUUUAACUAAACUGCUGAAAGAUGAUACAAUCCAUAUCGCAAAACUUUUUGGUUCUCACUAUUUUAUCAAAUCAACUAGAUAAUAGCUCAUAAUUGACAUGAACAUAUAAUGAAGAAAUUGACACUUCAAACCAAAGAUAACAGCUUUGUGACGACCAGUUUCAUCAAAUGAUUCAUCUCCAGAUGAAACAGUCACAUUAUACAGAAAGCUUAGUAAUUGAUAACAUCGGUAGAAUGUCUAAAAGAGAAACUGGCAUGGAUAGAGCCCUCAAGAGAACAUAACAUCAAAACUUAAGAUAUUUUAGUUGUCUGCUAUAUGCUCAACAUAUGAACCAGAAAGUCCAGAAGUCCCAAGAACUGUGACCUGCAAUUGAAUGAACAAACAAUUUCAAAGAAUUAGACCAUUUAAUGUAGUCAUUCGAAGAAAGCAGGNNNNNNNNNNNNNNNNNNNNNNNNNNNNNNNNNNNNNNNNNNNNNNNNNNNNNNNNNNNNNNNNNNNNNNNNNNNNNNNNNNNNNNNNNNNNNNNNNNNNNNNNNNNNNNNNNNNNNNNNNNNNNNNNNNNNNNNNNNNNNNNNNNNNNNNNNNNNNNNNNNNNNNNNNNNNNNNNNNNNNNNNNNNNNNNNNNNNNNNNNNNNNNNNNNNNNNNNNNNNNNNNNNNNNNNNNNNNNNNNNNNNNNNNNNNNNNNNNNNNNNNNNNNNNNNNNNNNNNNNNNNNNNNNNNNNNNNNNNNNNNNNNNNNNNNNNNNNNNNNNNNNNNNNNNNNNNNNNNNNNNNNNNNNNNNNNNNNNNNNNNNNNNNNNNNNNNNNNNNNNNNNNNNNNNNNNNNNNNNNNNNNNNNNNNNNNNNNNNNNNNNNNNNNNNNNNNNNNNNNNNNNNNNNNNNNNNNNNNNNAGGAUAAAGAAGAGCAAGUACUCUCACAUAUUAAUGCUGGUGAGAAACAUGAAUCGGAAGUUAAGUGUGUUGAAAAACUUGCAGAUUCAGAGAUGAUUUGCGGUGAGAAAAUUGAAGUUAAGUUUGACCCAAAAUGCAAAAACAUCAAGGAAGAUAAAUUUGAGGUCAACAAUAUUGAUUUUCUCUUUCCCGUUGAUAUAGUUGAGUUCCCAACUACUUCAAAUUUCUAUAUUAUGUCAUUGUUAUUCCCAAAAAUUGUGCUAAUGACAUUAAAACAUCGGAUGCAAAUGUUUUGUUGGAAGAAAUCUCUCGGGCCGUGGUUUAUUAUUCUACGAUAUUUCAACUCGAGGACGAGUUUUUUUCUAAGGCGAGGAGAAUGAUGAAGUACGGAAGAAGAAAUUCAAUAAGUUUGUUAUUAAUUUUUUAUUUUUAUUUAGAGAUAAAUGUGUUAUUAAUUAAAUUAUUUAGUAGGAUAUUAUAGUAAUAGUUUUUCAUUAGGAGAGUUUUAAUUGUAGUAGUAGAUUUCAAUUAGGAGAGUAUUAUAGUAGUAGAUUUUAGUUAGAAGAUUGUUUCCUUUCUAAAUUAGAGUUUUUACUUAAUCCCCAAGUAUUGUGUUUUGUAUUUAAGUAUUGUAAUACUUCAUUAUUUUGGGAUAUUAUUGAAUAUAUUGAUUUGAGAUAAAAACUGUGUGCUUUUGUGUGUGUUUCUUUACCGAUUCUCUGCGGGAGAUAGGUACUCUUAUUCCUUCUUCCUACCCCAUCCUACAUCAUGUCUACUUAAGAGUGCCAUACACAAAUCUUAAUAUUUGCAAGGAAAAGUCAACAAAAGUAGGACUCUCUUCUCUAGAUGGAGGAAGUGAUCCGUAUUUCGUUUUCAUAUCAGUCUUUUUUAAUAUUUUGCUCCUAUUUUCUUUUAGCAUCUCUAUGGCCAGUGCUAGUAAUACCAUCUUAGCCUUUUAACUGUCUGCAACACACUUAUGUGCAGUAAACAAGCAAUGAACCAACACAAUGAGAAACAUGGAUGAUAACAAAUUGCUAGGUCCAAAUUUUGUAUGCUAUCUAUCUGCCUAUAUAAAAGUGUUUACAAGAAAAAAGCACAUAUUUUUAUACCUUUCCCCAUUCAGAACCAAGACCACCACAUCUCAUUUUCAAAUGUAUCAUCCUCGUUCCCAGUUCAUUCUCUACUUUCUUUCGCAAAAAGGUCUCAUCAGGUCCAAAUGCUUCCAGAUAUGCAGUGUAACGUUCAAAAGCAGUGUUUAAUGCUUUAACAAAUUCAUAUGGUAAAGGUCUGACAUUCUGCAGAAAUAUUCACAUGAGUAUACAGCAUGAAUCCGAGAAACAGUAAAUAAAUAAGUGUCACCAAUAACAAUGUUUUUAUGUAACCUCGCCACUCAAUCCAAGGUUGUCAUCAAUUUCCAUCCUCAAAGAUACAAGUUUUCCCGUAAAUUCC
rnacentral:lncRNA from 1 species